rnacentral:lncRNA from 1 species
AGACUGGAUUUGAUGUGGGCGAAGAUUCUGGUAGGUCCAGAGGCAUUUUAGGGUUACAAGAUGAACGUCAUUCAUUUUCUUUCAGCUGGGGACAUGGACACCAUGCGUGAUGGGUAGUUUGAGAUUCAAUAUACUAGUUCUAUUUUUUCUUUUGUGAAUGGAGGUCUUCCUCCUAUCGCCAUUGAAAAAGGUGUCUCCUAUUUUCUUCCUCAUAGAGCUAGUUCAGCUUUAUUAAUCAAGCUGCUAUCAAAUGAUUUGUCAUUUCUGUACACUUGUCAGCAAUACCUACCUAUGUUAAUUGUAAAUUUACAACGUAAGGUUUUGGAUCGUUGAUAGAUAGAUGGUUGAGCAUACUUUUGCUGUGGAAUACUACACUAGAUGUAACAAUAUCAUCUUUUUUUGGCUGUGUGGUAUUCUAUGUUGAUGUGUAAAUCACCCUUCCAGUUGCAAUUUCUGAUCCAAAUUUUCACCUGAACAUGCUAGUUUGUGGCAUUUUCAAGUUUUUCAAUCAUCAAUACAAUUCAUGCUCUGGGGGAAAUUAUUAUGAGAUUCUUUGACAGGUAUUAAGCACAUUGCUUCUCCUCCGAGACAGCAUACUGUAUGCAACCCUGGGGUUCUUUUCAUGGCUGUCAAUCUUUUCCUGUAUAAUUUGUGUGCUCGACUGCAUGUCUAGGUCCUCCUAUUAUUCCUCGUAAUUCAUUGUGAUUACUGGUUCAUAUUCUGUCAGGUCUCGUUGCAGUUCCUGUUUUCUACCAUGCCGACACCAUGCUUGUAGUGUUGUUCUUUGUUUCUGUCUAGACACUUGGAUUCACACACUGUAUUCCUCGUAAUUCAUUGUGAUUACUGGUUCAUUUUCUGUUGGGUCUCGUUGCAGUUCCUGUUUUCUACCAUGCUUGUAGUGUUUGUAGGGUUUGUUUUUUUGGUUGCGAGAUCAUAUGAAAGAAAUUAGAUAGUCGGUCUAAUGUUGGAUUGAAACAAAAGUUGAAUUAUUUCUCUCGAUAAGUUUUUUUGCCACACGCUUCUCACGUGUAUUAUUUAAUUAUAUAUUUGAUGUUUUUGACUUAAUUUUUAUAAAUUGAUUUAAUAAUUAAUAGUUAGAAAUUAAAAAAUCAUAAAUGUAUAUUACUAACCAUAAUUAAGGUCCAUUUUGGUAAUUUCUUAAAUUGAUUUAAUAAUUAAUAUUUUUUAUUAACUUUAACAUAAAUUUAUUAUUAAAUCUUAAUUAUUGGUUUUUAUUGACUUAUUUUUAAAAUUUUCUAGAGGUUUUACAGUCAAAAUAAAGUGUUAACGAAAUACUAUAUAGGUGAGGGGUGAUAAAGAAACUUAUAUAGUAUCAUUUGUAGUUUUAUUUGAUGUACAAAUAAUAACAUUUGGAAAAACGAGAUUAAACUAUAUUUUAAGAAGUGUAUUUAUGUUUUGUUCUAUUUUCUAAUAAGAGAAGGUUUGAAUUUACAUAUUAGUAUUAGUAUUGAUAUAAAUAUUUUAUUGUCAUAUAAAAAAAUAUUUUUUUAUAUAGAGUUAAUUAUUCUUAAGACACUAUGCUUAAUAAUUAUAAAUAAAUUACUUUUAGUAUAUGUGAUGGUUGAUAAAAUUUAAGAAUAUCUUUAUCAAAUCAAAUGUUUUGCUAUGAAUUUUGCGCCUUUAUGUAUUAGUUAUGGAUUAUUAGACGAUACCCUCGUAACCAACGAAAGCUAAAUAAGUUAAUCAAUUAUUUUUAUAUUUUAAUUAAAUAGAAAAAAUAAAAAGAGAAGGGUGUUUGAAGCAACACAGUACUCCUUCUUUCUACUUUAUCCAGCGGUAUUUGUUUUUUAUACGCAUGUAUAAUAAAUAUUAAUUGUUAAACCUAAAAACAAACAAACAGAGAUAAUAUAUUUCUAUUCAUGUUCUUUGAACGGUAAGUAAGCCCAUACUUCUACGUCUCUUUCCAGAACACUCUCAAACUCGCUCUCUCAACGGUUCGCUGCAUGUCCGCGCCACGGCGAUCAACGUCGCUCAGAGACUCUUCCUCCGAUUCUGAGCGGAUGGAAGGCACAGGUAGCUGGGACGACGCUCUCGACUGGUUCAAACUCGAGGUCCAAAACAUCUCUCCCUCUCAAAUUUCAAUGAUAGGUUAAAUUAUUCAUCAUAUUUUCUCGAUUUAAAUUAUUCACCAUAUUCUCUCUUUCUUAGGUGCAGCAUCCGGCGUCGCGCUCGGUCUCGCAUCACGCUAAUUACAAGUGCUUGCUUGAGGCAGAGCGUGUUCUUGUCGAGGUAGAAUUUCUUCUUCCUUCUUUUUGAUUUCUUUAAAAUCUUGAUUUUUUUCUUGAUUUCUAAUUCCUGGUUAGAGUUUCUUUUAGGAAUUUUAGAAUUCGAAUACAUAUUACGCGUAUGGAAAAGGAAUCGAGGAAUUUGAUUCUUAGAACCAACCCUAGUUUGCUUGAUAUUAUAGUUAAAUCACCGUUAAUGGCUUAAAUGAAAUAAAACUAGAACAAUGUGCCCUUACUAAAACUGGCUAGGGUUAUUUACAUGAAUCUUUCUCCUCAAUUUCUUCAUAUUCUGCGCUUUUGGGUAAAUGGAUCAAAUCGUGAUUUCAGGGACGCGGUGUUGUUCUUAUCAAUACUGACGAGGCAGGUACCUUGAUAGUGACUAAUUUCCGUCUUAUUUUUCUGGUGAGUGGCGUGUUCUCUCGUUUUUGUCUAUUCCUCGUGAAGUUUCUUUUAUAAAAUGAUGGAAUGGUACUGAUUUCAAUUCUGCAACGUAUUUGUUGUAAUUUAUUUAAGCAUGUAUGUUAGAAGAGAUAAGGAAUUGUGGUUGCAUCACUGGAAAUGAUGUUGUGCAUGCACAACAGAAUACUGACUAUAUGUUGUUUUCUCUUCUCUUGUUCAAGAGUGAGGGAACGGAAAAUAUUAUUGCGCUUGGCACAAUUCCGCUAGCAACAAUUGAGAAGUUCAGCAAAAUGGUAAGUUAUUCUUGAACUCAUGGAUUUCUUAGCACCAAGGGAUGUUAAGUUAGAAAAGUAACAGGAGAUGAGAGAGUGACUAAUUUGUUAAUUGAGUUAUUUUAUGUAUUAUAAUGUUGUGCCAUGUGCCUCACUUUUUAUGUGAAGAUGAUCUGAUCCUUGCUCUGAAAUGUAUUCUUUACCUCUUACACGCAAACCAUGUGGUGAUGGCACACAGACAGAAAACAUGGCAAAAUAAUGUUAGGAUAAUAGGUUGUAUGCUACCUCAGUUCCAUCCGUGCAUGAAAUAUUUAGGUUGAAAAUCUUAUGCUAAUGAUCUGAAAUGAUGUCACUGUUUCAAUUCUUAUCUUUUAUCACUCAACUCAAUUUAAGCCUCAACCCCAAAUUAAUUGGGGUCAGCAACAUGGAUCCUUUUUACUAUUCUGUUUUAGCAUGUGCUAAACUUUAUCCAUGCUAGAAAAUCUUCUCCAUUACUUUUCUUUGGUUUUGAUUGGCACCUGUUCAGCUUAAUGAAUUUGGAGUUGUUUUGGCUUGGCCACCCAUAACACAUGUUAAUUGAUUAUUGUUUUUUGCUUGUCUUAUAUUUGUUACUUUGUGGAAUGUAUGAAGGUUGUAAAAAAUCAAUCAGCCCCUCGUCAUUCUGAGAAGACUCCAUCACAGCGAUUUCUCCAAGUCAUUGGUACGCCCUUUGAAGUGUUUGUUUUACUAUUUCUUAACAUUUUUUACCAGUUAUUAUUUUUUUGUGGGAUUUACAAUAGAUUUGUAGUUUGUCUUUGGAAGAUAGAACUUUGGGACAUAUUUGACAUUUGUACGGGUGAUGAUGUUACUUUUAUUUCACUUUGAUGAUUCAGAAUUCAAUCAAUAAGUUAAAUUUAUGACAGUAAUAGAGAUGGUGGCAGAUUCUGGAGGGGGUAAUGUGGUUGUUUCCUAGUGAGGGUAGUUGCCAAAGAGGAAGUUUAUAGAUGCUGGUUAGCUUGAUUGAUAAAAUUAAAGUAUGUCUGUUGCAUUAAGGCAUGAGAUUUUCAGUAUAUAUUUUUAUUUCUGAACAAGCAAGGUUUCUUUGAAGUAGGCAGUUAUCAGAACAAUGGAUCUGGGUAUUGCUGCUUGCUAAUGGUUUCUUUUGCUUUCUUUUGCUUUCUUUCUCUUGAAUAUUGUUGGUGAUUGUUAUUUUGAUGAUAUAAUUGGCCCUGGUCCUCUUUAGUGAGAAUGCUAAUGGAAUUAUUGGUUCUUGUAUUUUGCAGGGAAAGAUAUGAGAAUUGUUGUUUUUGGUUUCCGGUCCAAAACAAAGCAGGUUAACUUUAGCUGCUAUCUCUUCUUGCUUCAGCUCUUGUUUUUCCUCCAAACUAUGAUCACUUACAGAUGGAUUUUGUUUUUUCAUUUGCAAGAUUUAUGCUGUUAUAAAGAAAUAUGGAGUUCAUGAUUUUGAUUUUUGCUUGGUUGGGGGUUAAAAAGAUGUAGUUGAGAUUGAGAAUAAUCUUCUGAUCUGCCUAUGUUUUUUAUUUUUUUGUGGGCUAAGAAUCAGAAAUCAGGGAUUUUGAGGGUUUAUAUUUUAAAAUCAACUGAGGAAAGAUUUGAUUGGAUGGGUUCAAAAUGGUGGAUUGGGUCAUCACACCUGACAUGUUUUAAGUUACUUGCCUUUUCUUAUGCAGAGACGGGCCAUAUAUGAUGGGUUAUUGAGGUGCACAAAACCAUCAAGACUCUGGGAUCUUUAUGCUUUUAGCUGUGGACCGUUCAAAUUUACUAAUGCAAACCCAAAAGUACGCUUGUUGAAUGAGUAUUUCCGUCUUCUAGGAAAAGGCCUUUGUAGGGCAUCAAUGGAUAUGAUCGACAAUGGGUCAUAUACAAUGUCUAAUGAGCUGUGGAGAAUCUGUAAUGUAAAUUCCAACUACAUAAUGUGCCCAAGUUACCCUUUUGCCUUGAUUGUUCCAAAAUCAAUCAGGUAAAACAUUAAGAUUCUUACUGCAUUGUAAAAUUGGGGAAAAGAGGGGAAAGUGAAAACGUGUUCGAGACCCUUACUUCUAGUUUGACUCGAAAAUAGUUUUUGUCUGGCCUGACUCUUGCCGAAGAUUUACAGCUAAUAACCUUAUAUUUGUUACUAGUGAUGAAGAAGUGAUCCAGGCAUCCAACUUUCGUUCCAAGGGUCGUUUACCUGUAGUUUCUUGGUGUCAUCCCGGUAUGAAAAACUGAAAUUUAGUUAUUUUGUUCAUCACAAGUUGUGUUAUGAUGUCUUGAUGUGUGUGGCAUUGUAGAAACUGGAGCAGUCCUUGCACGUUCAUCCCAACCCUUAGUUGGUCUGAUGAUGAAUAUGAGGAGGUAGUUUGAUCUGCCCACUUAAUUUCCUUUCAAUGAACUUAAAACACAUUGCUAUGCAAAAAUUAUGCCUGUUGUAGAUACAGUGCUGGGAUUUUGGUCUUCAAUUGAAGUGCGUUUGUGAUUGUGGCUAUGGUGUUGCAUGCAUUUCAAAAACUUUAGUCAUAUACAAAAUAGUUAUGGCAUGAUUGAUGAUAAAUUUUAGCAAGGUGUUUUUAUUCUGCGGAUUUCAAAUAAUUUCAUUAGAGAUUUAAUUUCUAAUAUUUAACAUGAAUAGAGAUACCUUAAAAUUCAUGCAAGAUAUAUUUUAUUAUCUAAUUAGGCUGUCAAAACUCUAGCAUAUAGCAUCCUGAACGUGAUUUUAACAACAGUUUCCAAGCUAAAAGAACAAAAACAUUUGAAAUGCAAGCCCAAGACGGCUGCAAUGAUUGUAAAAUCCUUUAUGGGUAUGAUUUUCGAAUCAUGGCCCAUAAUACCAGAAAGUGCCAGACCAUUUUGAUUCUUUUACGCAACACCUGUUAUUUGUUUUUGUUCCUGGGAUCCAUUGAUAUCUUAUAUUUUGAGGUUUGGAAGGUAAGUACUUGAUUUUUCUUUUGCCAUCUGUUGCUUGAUAUAUGACUGAUUCCCAUCAAUGUAUAUGCAUGCAGCAACACAGAUGAAAAGCUUGUUGCAGAACUUUGCUCUCAACUUGGUGAUGAGAAAAAAAGGCGGAGGUAGUUUUAUUCAAAUUGAUUCCUUUUGUUUUGGCUGAGCUGUUCUCAUUGUUUGUGUUUUUCAUGUUUGCACCAUUUUCUUUUUUAUGUUCUAACUUGACUUUCUUAGUUGUUAAGAAGUAUCUACACAGACUUGCUAUGUAUUGCUCUUAAUACCUUGGGUGAUGAAUUUUUUUGAAAUGUAUAUCAAUCUACCGAGUUUUGAAACCUCAAUCAUGGUAUUACUUCUCUUUCGCUUUUUUCUUAAAAUGCAGUCCUUAUAGUGAUAGGAUUCCAGUUUUGCAUCUCAUCUGGAAAUGGCUGGAGAAUGUUUGUUUUUAGGGUACUCUAAAAUAGAUUUGGUGGAGAGACUUGGGCCCAUAGCUUUGAUGAUUAAAGCAAGUGAUUAUGCGGCAUAGUGUUUAAAUUUUUAUCACUCAUGGCUCACAGACAGGUAUGGAGGAGACAUUUCCCUUUUGAGGUGGGAAAUCCUAAUCAUUGUACUGGGGCUGAAGCCUUGAAACUUAGCUGUGAGUCUUUUAUUGAAAUAGUGUGGCCUUUAUUUUUAUUUAUGAUUUCUUGUCAAUGGUGCAAAUUUUCCAAACAGUAGGUCUGGACCAAAUGAGCACUUCUCUUGUUAGGUUCCUUGUUGUCGUGUAACUCUGAUUUCUCUUUUGAUAAAAAUGAAAUUUGUUAAUACACCUGAAUUACACUCUUAAUGUUCAUUGAUUGACAUGACAUGCAUUUUAUGCUAGGCUAUAUGCCAGUUGUUUCUUUAGAUUUCAUACGCCUGUUGUUUCUUUAGAUUUCAUGUUCUCAUUUCUUUGCUUAUUCUUUCUUGCUCCGGUUUUAGUAAAUGAAUAUUUGUUAAAAAAGUCACCUGUCUUCUUGUCCUCUCUCCUUUUUCCCCAUUUCAGGAAGUUAUAUAAUUGCUGAAGCAAAACCUCUGGAAAAUGCCAAAUCUUUGUGUUUUCUUUUCAGGAAGUUAUACAUUGCUGAUGCAAGACCUAGAAAAAAUGCUUUAGCAAAUGUCGCAAUGGGAGGUGGCUCAGAAUCAUCAUCCAACUAUUUUCAAUCUGAGGUUUGUCAGAGGUUUGAGUUGUCUAAUUAUGUAUCUCAUAGUCAUCAACUUUGCUGCCUUAUUUUCACUAAUAUCAUAUUCCUGUUUUUUAUCUGUUAUCAGGUAGUUUUCUUUGGGAUAGACAACAUACAUUCUAUGAGAGAGAGUCUUUCUCGGCUUAGGGACUACUUAGAUGCUCAUGGCACCACUUCAUCAGAUGGAACACUAUCACUCUUGGUUAGUCUAUGAACAUUAGGAAUUUAAAAACCAGCUGCUUUGCCUGUUGAAAACUAGUACAUUAACAUCAGAUGUUAUAAGCAGUUCUGUUGUUGGAUAAGGUUUAACCUAGUACUGCUUAUAUCAAUUCUCAAAAGGCAGAAAAUGAUGGCAUAUUAUUUUGUGCAACUUGAAUGUGCAUCUAUCCAUUUGUCAAGUUUUUGGUAAACAUAGUUGAGGCAUUAGAAAUUUUUCCUUGAAUAACAUCAGAUAUAGGAACACAUAGUAACAGAAGUAAUGCAUGAUGGUGUGUGGUAUGUUUCCCAAUUUUUACCAUCACUAAAUGAUUGGAAUUGCCCUCUAUGAAUGGCGCUGCUGUGUGAGUCUCUGGGUUAAAGACUAGAAUUUUCAUGUUCAGUUCCCUGUGCUGUUGUGGGUGCAUCUUCAAUAGAAAAGCAAAAAGGAAAAGCUUCACUUGUAUUCAUUUAUCUAUCUGGCAGCAACUUAUAUUUGGAGACAGCAUCCUGUUCAUUAUAUAGCUCUUAUAUAAUGCAGACAUCCUCGGGCCCUAUGUGCUUGUCCAAUGAUGCACACAAGCCAAUAUAACUAACUUAACCUUGACAUCAUUGCAUCAAUGAUUUAAUCUCUAGUCAAAAUUUAAAUAAAUAAAUCAAUCUUCUCAAAUGUGCUCCUCAUGUUUAGUUGGGAUUUUUUUCAAUUAAUUUAUAGCAUCAAUCUUUGACUGGUUACCUAAUAGCUCUAAAACACUUGCUAUGUUUCCUAGGCUUCAGCAGAAACAAUAUGUUUCCAGUGGUUGUUAAUAUCUCUAUUUGUUCAUACCAUAUUUCGCUUGCAGAGACAUGGUGGUUGGACCUGGGGUGGAGGCAAUCUCAGCAAUAUGUCUGCCUCUGUUUCAACCCUCGGUGAUAGUGGUUGGUUAAUACAUGUUCAAAGUGUCUUGGCUGGUUCAGCUUGGAUUGCUGCUCGUGUUGCUUUGGAAUCAGCAUCAGUACUUGUACAUUGCAGGUCAGAUAUCUUGACCCUGUGUCUUCUAUUAAUCUUUGUAACAACUGGAAAGAAUCAUUUCUAUUCUGUUGCCACUGUGAUGAAACCUGAAGAUUUUUAAUGUGCUGCUCACUAUAUGGCCUCUUUUUUCCCUUUUGAUUUGUAAUUUCUAUUUCAAUAUGCUGUUAGUCUAUUUUUUGUUUCUAUUCGUUGUGCUGAUAAUCUAACACAGAAUCAAAUAUUAAUUACAUACACCUGCUUCGAUUCCAAAUCAGGCUUUCUUUUGGUAGAUCUCACAUCUACCCUUCCUCACUGUGUAAUCACAUGGAUAGAGCUUCUCAGACUGAUUAGCAGAAAAAUCUUGGUAUUAUUGCCUAGCAGAUCAUGGUUUUAUAUGCGAACUUGGCAGGUCAUUUGCCUGCUACCAGACUCAUGGCCCACUGUUAUUCGACUUUAUAUCAGAGCAGAAAAAAGAAUAGCUGAAUCAUCUAGGAAGCAUUUCAGCUCAGCAAAAUUUUCCAUCAGAAAAAAGUUGCCUUUCUUUCUGUUUUCAAUUUCCUGCUUUUCUUUUAGAGCCUCUGCAUUUGCUGAGUUCUUGUCUUUCAUUCUAUUUGUCUAGUGAUGGAUGGGAUAGAACGAGUCAGCUGGUUGCACUUGCUAAUUUGUUGCUCGACCCAUACUAUCGGACAUUCACAGGGUUUCAGGUAUUUUCUUCUACUAUUGGACCCCUUUAUUGGUCGUGUAUUGUUCUUUUUAUAUGCUUAAGAUGUGACUUUACAUUUGAACAAAAAAUUCUGGAAUAUCUCAUUUCCAUCCAGGCACUCAUUGAAAAAGACUGGCUAGCAUUUGGUCAUCCAUUUGCUGAGCGUGGGGGCAUGCCAACUGUAUCUGGGAGCAGCGAAAGACCUCCUGAUUUAUGUAGGCAAUCUUCUGUUGGGAGUUUUCCAUUGCCACCCAUGUGUCAGUCAUCGGGAUCAUUUGCGCCACCAACUCCUAGUUCUUCUCAUGCACAGAACCAGCAGUCACCCAUAUUUUUGCAGGUUAAUGUUGUUUUAUGCAUGCUCUUAUUAACUUGAUUUUAGGAAUCAAGUACCAACUGGCUUUCAUGAUUAUUAUUAUUGGCAAUCCAAAUCAGUAGGGAUUACCAUAGUAGUUGUGCCUCAAGCUCCUUGCGAACAAGUUCAACAAUUGUUUGGCCCCCCUUCCUUUCUGUGUGAUGAAAGCAGCAGGAAAAAAUGAUUACUUGGGUUUAUUGUUGCAUUUAUGUGCCAAAUGCAUUAAAAAAUUUAUUGCCUUAUGCUGGGGCAUAAGCUAGAGAUGUGAGGGAAAGAGUGCAAUCAUAGGAUCUUCAGGCAAUUAUAGAGUCUACUAGAAGGAUUGGAUUGAAGGUGAGUAUGGUCGGAGUAUUGUUAAGAAAGUCUACUUAAAAACCCUAAAUAAUAGUUAUAAUAAUUACCUAGCUGUUUGAAUGCCCUCUAUUAUAUUCAGCCCAAGUAAAUUUGAGAAUUUGUUGUGUAAGAUGGUCUUUGCUAAGUUCUAUGAAUUGCCGAUGUAUUCUGCAGUGGAUUGAUUGUGUUUCUCAAUUAUUGCGGAUGUAUCCCUUUGCUUUCGAGUUCUCCUCGGUAUGUGAUUUUCUUUUCUUGUAAUGAUACUCAUUUUCUUGUUUUCAUUAGAAGUUAGUUGUUGAGACAAAAUAUGUUUCAAAGAAACUGGUUUAUCACAAACUUUUUGCUGACUAGUGUAUUGUAUGAUGACUUAGGCUUUCCUGGUGGACUUGUUGGACUGUGUCCUUUCAUGUCGUUUCGGUAACUUCUUCUGCAACAGGUGAUUCCGUUUUUCUUCUUAACUUGUACAUAUGAAUAUCUUAAAUAGAUUAAGGCCUGUGGUUUCUGCCAUGCCUUCACUUGAUCUGUCCAUGCUACAUGGAUUAGCUGCUGAUAUAUUUAUUUUGGAGCAGUCAAGAACCUUAAUUUUCAAUCUCAAUUCUAGAUUGGUUGCUAAAAAUUGUAAUAUCUGGAGACAAGCAUUGAUUCAGCAAAUCUUUGUGUAAACUAGAAACUAGGAGAAAGAAGAGCUGCUUAAUUUCCUUUUAUAUUCAAGGGUGACAGAUCAUCUGUAGUAUCAUCUCUGGACAGAAAAAAUUGAUUAAGUUAAAAAUUUAGAAAAAUUAAGAUGAAAAUGCAUCAAUGUCCUGAAAUAGGCUACAAGAAAUAUAAUCUCUUAUGCCACAAGUGACCAACCACUGUAGCAAACUCAGUGGUAAAAGGAUUGUGCCACGAAUAUUCAAUCUCGCUGGACCUAUCAACCCUUGUAGAUGCACCAUACUGAUUUAUCCUGCCAUUUAUAUCCCGCAUGAUCAAAAUGAUGUCGAAUGACAUUGUUGCAUCUUCUCACAAACACGUGAUAUAUGUGUUGUCAUUGGAUAUCUGUGGUAUGCACUAUCAGCUGUUGAAUGUUUCUCUUUGCAUUCUCUUCAUCUUCCCAAAAAUAAAGAGACGAUCUAGUAGCUUUUUGUCCGUAGCAUGUGAUGCAUUUAUGUUGGAAUGUCAUAUUCAUGGGCGUUUGGUUUUAUAACAGUUCAUUAUUCUUUUCAAAGCUCAGUUCAAGUGGUCAACUCUUCUCCCUCUUGUCAUAAAAUUGGUAGUUCCUUAGCAUAACAAGUGAUGACACACAAAUUUAUGAUCCUUGUGGGCAUGCAUGUUUUCUUGGCUACCGUUUCAUAUACUGACUGCAUCAUAAACCUCUUAGGCUGGAUUAGAACUUGGUUCCUGUUUAAGGCUGACAAAGGGACAACUUUAUGCAUAAAUGCUGAACACUAGGAUACUGUGUCUGGAGAACCCUUUCUGUUUACUCUAACCUCUCUAGCAUGUAAUGGCUCCUUUUUGUUUUACUCCAAUUGUUUUGGAAGCAUUAAAAUUCCUCUUUCUGGGUGCUUAAUCUAAAUUUUCAGUGAGAAGGAAAGGCAGCAAGUUGGUAUUUCUGAAGCUUGUGGGUGCUUGUGGGCUUAUUUGGCCGAUCUGCGUUCUUCAGAAGGAAGGUCUCAUGUGCACUGUAACCCUUUUUACAGUCCUCUGAAACAUAAUGGUCCAUUGUUACCUCCAGCAGCAGCCUUAGCCCCAACACUGUGGCCCCAAUUCCACCUUCGGUGGGCUUGUCCUUCAGAAGCCCAAGCUGGGGAGCUUGAAGCUCAAUGUCGGAUAAUGUCUAUAAAAUUCUCCAAACUACAGAAGGUAAUGAACUGCUUUCCUUCUACUGAACCAGUACAAUAUUUUCACACUAAAACAUGACCUUUUGCAGUCAUGUAGGCUGAUAUGAUUUUUCCUAGACUGUUGGGUUAUAGUAUUAUGUUCUUUCAAUCUCUCUCUUGCUGUCUUUGAGGGCAUCAUUAUGCAGAAACCUAGUGACAUAUGGCCAGCGGUGGCUUACUUUUCCUUUCAUUUUAUUUCAUGAUGUUUACAAGUCUGCUUUUUUUUAUUAAAUCCCUACUUCCUGUCAAAUUAAUAACCAGGCAAAAGAAGGGGCUGAGAAGAAAGCUAAAGAAACUGCAAUUGUUGUGGAGUCAUUGUCUGCAGAAUUACGGAAUGAGAAGCAGCUCAGUAGCUCUGCUAUGGCCUUGGCCAAGAGGGCCAGCAAGGAAACUGCAGCCAUAAAGCGAGCCAUACAAUCAUUGGGAUGCAAAGUUCAUUAUGCUAGUGGUGGUGAUACUACUGUUGAUAUCGAGACCAGCCCUGUGAAAAAUUCACAGAAAUCUGUGUUUUCUCCUUCUACAAGAGAAUCUGUUGGUAUUGUCCAACAUGAAGAUAAGUCAGAUCUAUCAGUUUCCAUUUCAGUAGCGGCAGAUGAUGUUGUUUCCAAUAAUCCAUUUGGUCGAGUGUGCGAUACUUUAUGCCCAUUACGCACAAGAGAUGGAGGCUGCAGGUGGCCAGAUGCUGGUUGUGCUCAACUAGCUAGUCAGUUUAUUGGGGUGAAGGCAGACUAUGAGGCACUCGAUAGUCUUUCUAUAUACGAAGGUUAUUUUAAGACAGUGAGUACCUUAUAACUCUAUUAUAUGCACAUUGAUUUAUCCAUCAAUUCUCCAUAUAAUUGGUUGAGGUUUUUCAUAGAUGGAAGGAGGUAAAUAGAGUUUAAAGCUUUGCCAGAAGAAGUUUGAGAUUUAUUUGAGCUCUCAAGCAACACAGGCAUAGGAUUGGUGCAGAAACCUCAGAUUUUGGUAUCGGGACUGUUCAUACAGAGAAUGUAGAGUUAGUAGCACAACAUCUUAGCAUAGUCAUUCAUUGGAAACAUAAUAAGAAAUCCCACACAAAAGAGCAUAAAAGAGCAAGCAUGAAGUGCUGCAGUGAAGGCUGAUUUAUAUCGAAGAGGUCAGCUUUUCAUCCUGCUAUUGUCAUCAUCGUAGCUAGUUUUCUCCCUCAAUAAGAACAGUUUGUUGCCCAUAUUUCAUAUAACAUGUGACUUUAUUAUGUUCAAACAAGCUGGUCAGACAUUGUUUUUAUCUAUAACCAUACAUGUACAUAGCAAGAUUCAUAUAACAUGUGAUUUUGUUCGUAAUAAAUUAAUCGCCAUGUUCUGGUGUUGCCCAUAUUUCAUUUCUUCCUUCCGACGCGUUAGAAUCCCCUCAAAACUAAGAGACCCAAAUGGAUCAUCACACUUCCACGGCUACCUCGUUGAAACUGAAACAUCUCUUCCCUUUUAACAAUCACUAUAAAUGAAUAAUCGUUAUAUACAUCAUGUGAUGCCAUCUCCCCUGCUUUGUUUAUCGUUAUGAAAAACGGAAAAAUUUACACAGGAUACAACACUAGGAAGAAAAUUAUUUGUCACAGUGAAGCAGCAUUGUGCAUUCCACGUUUAUUCACCACCUGCCCGAGUAACCAAACCCUGGUAAGAGUUGUAUAGCAAAAUCCUCCUGCCCGCCUCAUUUAUUGCAGGCAGCAGCUCUGAAUUAAUGCCAAAUGGGUUUUGCCACUGCCAGUCUCCAGUGCUUGUGAGCUGGUGCCCAUAAUUAGAUUAUAGUUAAAUGGUUUUGAUGCAUCAUUUAACUAGCAUCAAUCUUAGAGGCGUAAGCAAGAAUCCAUAUGCGUUAACUAAUCCUUCCUGCUUGAUCAAUCAAAGUGCCAACUUGGUCUCCACAUAAUGCUCUUGAGAUAUUCCCAGGCUCGAGCAAAUUAAAGAUGACCACUAUACAUGACAGGGAGAGAGCACGCAGCAUUAGCAAGGUAAGAUGUGGGAAUGGGAGAAUGCAACUAUGCGAGAGAGGCUGAUAUAGCAAGAGCAAAUGAGUAUAGGAAAAUCAUUACAUACCAGGAAUUCCAUUCUCUUCACAGUAAGUAAUUGCCAUCAUGUCCAUUGAGGUAACACCCCUGGAAACCACCUCUCUGAAUGAUAUGUGAUCCAGUAUUGCAUUGCUGUUACCAGCAUGAUUAUCAUAGACACCAUCAACAUUAGUGGUACCUUUAAGGAGCGCAUCUGCAUUAACUGAUAACCAAAAAACAUUAUAAAAAAAACACGCAUCAAGAUUUCCAGUAAACAGCAGAACACAAGAUAUAAUAAAAGCAAGCAGGAGGGGAAUACUCUCUGAAGCUCUCAGAGCUGCUGCGGUGUCAGUAGUGAAUAGUGGAUUUCCAGCACCAGCACCAGCACCAGCCCCAGCACCACCAAAUAUGACAACUCUUCCUUUCUCAAGAUGCCGGAUGGCCCGUUGCCUGCUAUAAGGUUCAGCUAACUCUGGCAUUGCGAAUGCACUUUGCACACGAGCCUGAACACCAUGCUUCUCCAAAGCUGAUUGAAGCAAUAUUGAAUUCAUAACUGUUGCCAUCAUGCUGACAUUACAUCAUAAGUUACCAUAUUGUCAAAAACUAGCAAAUAUUAAGUUUAGGAUGAAGACUGCAAAGAAAGCUAUAAGCUAUUUAUACAAGCUACUUGUAAAGGCGAACAUAGAUAAUGUUCAAGCUCUAGGAGUAUGGUGAUGCAAUACAAGCUCUAGGAGUAUGGUGAAUUACCUGAUUUGAUACGCAGUAGGCCUCUCUAAGCCAGUAGCAGAUAUCCAUGAGUCUCCACAAAAGAAAUUGCGACCUCCAAGAACAAUAGCAAUCUAUAAAAACCACAUACGAGUAAGCAAUCUUGCAAUUUGAAUUAGCGUUGCAGAAAACCAACAAGGAAAAGGAAUAGGGCAAGACCUCCAGUCCACCGCGGCUAGCUGUUGCUACUUCCCGAGCAAUCUGCAUAGCUACCUAGAAAUAAAAGAAGGCAAUUUAGCUUGCAUAUUCCCGAUAUCAUCAGUGUCCAAACAUACUAUAAUCAUCCAAAUACUGAAUCUUGCACCUUAGGAUCAAUAUUCUGGCAAUUCCCAGCCAAUGCAGAACCACUUAUUUUAAACACCACUCUCCGCCAUUUUAAAUUUGGCACUGGUUUAGUUUUGAGAGUAUUAGCAAAUGCAGCACUGCCAGAUGUAUACCUGCAUAUAAACGUUAACACAAAAGAUCAGUCAGUCGUAGCAAGAUCCUCCAGCACCAUGUCAUACCAUUCCAGAACCACCUGGCUACUUUAACCGAAAUCCAAUAAUCAAGUUUCGAAAUCUGCAUGAUCAAGCAUUGCCAAACAAACAAGAACACCUGUAAAAAUCCAAACUUUCACAACCUGAACACAAGACCGAAACAAGACACUACCUUUUAACUUGCUUAACCGCCGCAUUAACAUUCCCACCACUCCCUCCACCACCGCCACCAUCACUCUCUCCACCACCACCACUCUUCCCAUUACAUGCAUUCCCCAUAAUAGCCUCUAUAUGCUUAAACCAAUGCCAACUGCUCCCACUCCCACUAAUCCUCUGUAACUCCACUUUAUACCUCUUCUUCAAAUUAUCAAUCUUAUUCUUACACUGCUCCACACUCUUCUUAUUACUCCCUCCUCUCUCACUCACCGCUUCCGCUACUUCCUCCCAAUCCCUCCCUCUCAAAUUCCCUCUAUUCAACUGAUUAUACUUCUCCGUAUACGCCUCUAACAAACACGAUAUCGCCGCAUCGCUCCAUUCCUCUCUAUCCUUCCUGUAAUCACGGUAAUCACAAGAUUCUAUCUCCGUGAUGCUGUUUGAUUUCGAUCUCUUGUUGUUGUUGUAGUAGUGGUUUUGCUGGUUGCGUUUCGAGGACGGUGUGGCCGCGGAUUUGUCGUGAUCGGAGUAGUAGUAAUCACCGGUGGUUGUGACGGAAUAUGGGUGGCGCGUUGGAGGGUGAGGAGGUGGCUCGUCGAUGAGGGGGAAAUCGUCGGUGGCCAUUGGAAAUUAGGGUUAGGGUUAAGAUUUCGAUUUGGGGGUGAAGCAGAUGAUGUUGGGAAGACGACGUUAGAGGGACGGGUGACGGAGCGAGGGGUUAGGUUUUAGAUGGGGAUUUGAAUCACGGAUGGUGUAACGGAUCCGUUUAAACAAGAGAGUAAGUAACGUAACGUAUGUGCUUAGAGUAGAGAUUAAAUAACACUUUUAAAAGUUGUUUUUUUUAAAAUAUUUUUUAUUUAAAAGUAUAGUUAAAUUGUGAAAACUAGAAAUACAUUAAAAUGUUAAAUUAUAUGUAUAUAUGUGAGUUAUUUUAAAUCUGUUUUAAGUAGAUUUCAAUUAGACGAUGUUUAUAUUUCAAAUCUUAUCAUUAAUUUUAUAUUUAACAGUUUAAGUCUGGUUUUGAUUCUUGAUUCCAUAAUAAGACGGUACUCAUCUUUCAAAACUCAUCAUUAAUUUUAUAUUUAAUAAUUUAAAUUACAAGAGAUAAAAAGUUAAUAAAUUAAAAUUGCUUUUAUUUUUAUUAUACAGUAUAUUAUAAACUUGGGAUGAUUACAGUGAGAGAAAAUCCAUGUCUCAAAUCUAAUUACAAAUCAUCACAAUUGAAUUAAGAGGUCCAUAAAAUUAAUAGUUUCAGCAAGCUGCCCUUGUGUUUUUGAAAGCAUGACCAUGGAAAACCAAUUUCAUUUUUGAAAUAUUAGGCACUCAAAACUCCGAAAUUCCCUCACAGACAUCGUGCAAAAACUCCCCAUUUCCUUGAUACAAAUUCCCCCGUAGCUCUUUCAGCUUUCAAGUUUAAAGAAUAUUUUAGUUAAAAAUAUAUUAAAAUAAUAUCUUUUAUUUUUUAAAAAUAAUCUAAAGAUAUUAAAAAAAUAUUAAUUUAAAAUAAAUAAAAAUAUAAAUCUUUUUAAAAAAUAUUUUUAAAACACCAAAACAAAUUAUAUACAUUAAUGAUAUAAUGACAAGUGCUUGACUUCUCACCAAGAAUCCAACAUCAACAGAAAGUGAACCGACGUCUAUCAGCAUGUUUGGGGGCAGCGUUCAGCUAAGGUUUUGUAAAAUUUUGAUUUUGAUUUGUUUUAAAUUAAUUUUUUAAAUUAUUUUAUGUGAUAAUAUUAAAAAUAAAAAAUAUCAUUGGAUUUGAUUUACUUGAUUCACAGUAGAGAUCGAAGUGGGAAAAAAAAUGGUCUCGUGGCAAAGGAACAUGUUAUCAAGAUCAGCAUUGUCUCUCGUUACAAGGGAUUCGGACAAAACAAGACCCAAAGUUACCACUAUGUUUCUUUUGAAAAGAUAGGCAACUGACAAUUCUAAAACUUGCAUGAGACAACAUGAGGUGGUGUAGGUAAAGUUUUAGAUUUGUUUUUUUUAGAAGUUAUUAAUUUAAAUGUUAUAAAUUGUAGGGUCACUGAAAACUUACAUGGUCAUUAAUUUCUUGACCUUGAGGGAUUAAUUAAGGUGCGCAUAAGCUGUUAUAAACUUCAGAACCACUGAAAACUUACAUGGUCCUUAAUUUCUUGACCUCAAGAGAUUAAUCGAUAUGCGUGUAAGUUGUCCGAACAUCUAUAAUUAAAAAAAACACUUGCUUGAGACUUCUAAGUCGCAGUUCCCACAGAAGAAUAUUUACGAAAACUGCAAGGCAUUUCAAUAUUGAUAUGGCCUUUGCAAAAUAGAAAAAUGAGUGGAAUAUGGCAUCGCCGCCUGCAUUCAGAAAUUCCCUUCCUUUCAUAUGUUCUCUUCUGUAUCCUAAUACAGCAGUUACAUCACCUUCACUGCCUCUUUGAGCUAGCCUGGAAUUAAUAUUCUUUCCUAACAAGAACAAAAAAUUCAAUCAGAUCUUGUCAUACAAAUCCUGACUAACAGCUAAACGAACACUAAUUAUAUCCGUCAUUGUUUCUCAAAAUAAACAUCUUCCGAAGGCUAACAUUCACAUUCGUCAGAGUAACAGCUCAGUACUGUCAAAUAGUUUCCAUUUUUGCAUGGUGAAUGCUGAGCAUCUAGCAAGAAACCGGACAGCAGCAGCUAAUUAUCUGGAAAAUGAGUUCAACAAACCCCCCUCGUCUUCGAUGUUCCUCAAUACUCUUGCUCCUGCAUUCCCUAACAAUCCGUACUCGUAUACGACAAAGAAAUUUCCUAAUUCCCUCCCCAUUAAUGACCUCACUAUUAGAAAAUUAGAAUAAAAAAACAAUGAAAAUGCCGACGGAAAAUAUAGCAUUGUUAUUCAUCUAUGAAAAUUACGACAGAAAAUUUUUUUGUGUAAUUUUCAAUGGAAACUGUAGUGGAAUAAAAACUAAUAAAAAUUCCUUUGAUAAUUUUGUUAAAUUACUGACAGAAUUUUCACUUGUAAGUUUAAAAGAAAUCAAAACCUGACAAUUGUCUUCUCCCAUUCCUCCUUCUUAAUUCAGAAAACAACAACCUCUCUCUUCUAUUUUAAUUCUAACUACCCUCCCCCAACGAACCCAGCCACCCAACCUAUAGAUAUCAACCAGUCUCCAUCCAGAAGUGUCAGCUUUACUCCAUUGGUUUCAUUUUUUUAUUUAGCAAGCACACCUAUUUUUAUUAAUAUCAGCUCAUGGGGUGUGCUAAAUGAAAAAUAAAAAAUUUUAAAAUGUUUUUUUUAAAAUGUUAUUUUUAUAUAUCUCUUACAAAAACCAAAACUAAUAAAAUAGAGCCGACAAAAAAAAUAAAUUAAUUAUAUGCAGCUAGCCAUGUGAAAAAAAUAUCAAAUUUAUAAAAAAAAAAACAUUUAAUUUUUUCAUUUCGAUACAAUUAUAUGCUUUUUAGAUAGUUUUUUUCAUUGAAAUAUAUAUAAUAAAAAAAAUUAUAUUUAUACUAUUCAAAAUAUUAUUUUAUCAAUUUAAUUUUUUAAAAUAUAUCUCCCUGUGAAGACGAGACGCUAUAAUCAAUUUAUGUUAAAGUCGAUGGAAUAUUCUUUUCAAUGUCGACAAAAUAGAAACCCCAGUAAACAAAUUUUCGACAAUGAUAUUAGUAUUAUAAAAUGCUGAUAGAAUCUUCACUAUAUACCAAUCGAAUAUUCCAUCAACAUUUACUAUUUUCGACUUCACUCAUGUAUAUAUGUUGCUGGUUAUUUUACUCUUGUUUCAGUCGGAUAAUUAUUAUUUUUUGUGAAAAAAAUAUAUAUAUAUAUAUAUAUAUAUAAAAAAAACUUAUGCAUGCAUUUAAAUAAAUACACUGAGAACCAUUUGUGUCAAUAAAUACAAAAAAAAAAUAACAUAUUUAUUCAACUUACCUCAUUGUAAGUCGAAUGCAAAAUAUUAAAGUGUAGUUGUUAUUAAUGUAUUUUUUAUAUCGAAUAAAAAAUAUAACUGUGAAUAAAAAAGUCAAUACUAGCAUAUAAUAAAAUAUAGUAAAAAUCAUAUAUGUUAAUAAAAACACAUAAGAUCUCAAGUUAAUUUUUAACGUAGCAGGAGAAUUGAACAAUAUUGCAAUUGCUAUAGUAAAACAUUGUUCCUUUAAUUCCUGUAUGAUAGUUUUUCUAAAAAAAUUUGUAAAAAAGAAAAACAAAUUUCAAAAUAAUAAAAAUAAGAAUAAAAAAAUGAUAUAAAUAGGCAAAAUGUAGAGUGAUAAAUAUUCAAAGUAUAAAAAAUAAAAAUAAUAUUUUUUAAAAAAAAAUAUAAAGAAAAACUAAAAAAAUAAUAUAAAAAAUUAUGAUAAAUAGACAAAGUGUAAAAUGAUAAAAAUAUAAAGUAUAAAAAAAAAACUUUGUUUUCUAAAAAACCAAAAAUUAUAAUUUUUUCACAACUACAGUACACCACGGUAAAAAAUAUAUAUAUAAUUAUAUUAUUUUUAUAUAAAAACACAAUUUACUUUUAGUGUAUAUAUAAUAAAUAUCUAUGGAAAUAAAAAGAUUUUGCUGGUUGCUGGUUUCAGUUUCCGUCAUUGGUUUUUGAGAGAACCUUGGGCGUGGGAUUCUUCAGGGUUUUUGAUAGUCAAGCGGAUAAAGCAAAAUGGAGCACUUGAUGGUUGAUGGGUGAUGGAAUGAGUAUUGAGGGGGCCGCCGCCUGGGUGAAGUGGAUUGUUCAAGUAUAUCUAUAAUAAUAUAAGUCAAAAUAUUAUUCUGCAUGUACUGAAAAAAAAAAGUUUUCAUGUAACAAUGAUAUAGUUAUAACUAUCAAUUUUAUUAAUUUUUUUUAUUAUAGUAGUAUUGUAACAGUAGCAAAAUAGUAAUUUUUAGUUUUAUUUUAAUAAAAAACAAGUUUUUCUUGUAUUUUUUUUAUAAUUGAUAUUUUUUUCAUUUUAUAUUUUGCUGAUUUAUCACAAUUUUCUUUUCUUAUCUUCAUUUUUCAUGAUGCUUUUUUAGUUUUUUUUAUAUACUUUAAAUAUUUAUCAUUUUACAUUUGACCUAUUUGUAUCAUUUUUUUUUGUUUUUUUAAAAUUUUUCUUUAUAUUUUUUUUUUAAAAAAAUUAUUAUACAAAGACUAAGGAAAUGGUAUUUCAAUGUAGCAAUUACAAUAUUAUUUGAUUUUUCUACAACAUUAAAAAUAAACUUGGGAUCUUAUAUGUCUUCAUUAACGUUCAUGAUCUUUACUAUAUUUUAUUACAUGUAAGUAUUAAAUUUUUUAUUCACAAUUAUAUUUUUUACUUAUUGUCAAUACACAUAUUGUCAAUACACAUACUUAUUAUAUUUAUACGAGAAUUCAUCUGUGUUAGAAAAAAAUUAUUCGACUUGUAGUUAGGCAAGUGAAAUAAACGCUUUAACAUUUUUAUUUUUAUUUGCAUUUACGUACAAAUAGUUCUCAAAUUAUUUAAUUAAAUACAUGUAUGAGAUUUUUAUUUAUAAUUAAGAUUUUUUAAAACACGUUUGAAAAGAUUACAUAUAUAUUUUUUAAAAAAAAAUAUCCAACCCACAACAAAAUAUAUAUCAAAUAACUAGUAAUUAUCUAAAAAAAUACAUUCGUUCAUACAAGUUUAGAUAUUCAUUUAUCAAGUUUUUGUUUUAAAUGGAGCACCUGAUGGGUGAUGGAGUGAUUAUUGAGGGGCCCGCCGCCUGGGUGGAGUGGAAUUGGAUUGUUCAAGUAUAUCUAUAUACUGAAAAAAAACUUGUUUGGAAUGAUAUAAUUAUCAAUUUUUUUAUUGUAGCAAUAACAAAAUUGUAAUUUUUAGUUUAUAUAUGAAAAACAAGUUUUUCUUGUAUUUUUUUUUAUAAUUAAUAUUUUGUUCAUUUUUCAUUUUACCUAUCUAUCACCAUUUUCUUUUCUUAUCUUCAAUCUUCAUGAUGUUUUUCAUAUAAACAUCAUGAAGAUUUUUCUACAUGACUAAGAAAAUAGUGUUGUUCAUUAUCUUAUUUUCUUUUCAAAAAUUAUUAAACAAAGACUAAGAAAAUAGUGUUUCAAUGUAACAAUUGCAAUAUGGUUAGAUUUUUCUACAACAUUAAAAAUAAGUUUGGGAUCUUAUAUAUCUUUAUUAAUGUAUAUGAUCUUCACUAUAUUUUAUUACAUGUAAGCAUCCAAAUUUUGAUUCAAAGUUAUAUUUUUUACUUACUGUCAAUACACACGUUAAUAACAUUUAUACAUUAAUUCAUCUGUGUUAGAAAAAAAAAUAUUCAACUUGUAGCUAGGCGAGUGGAAUCGACGCGUUACCAUUUUGUUGCAUUUAUGUACAGAUGAUUCUUAAUUUAUUUAAUUAAAUACAUGCAUGAGCUUUUUUUUAUUUAUAAUUAGAAUUUUUUAAAUGCAUUUAAAAAACUUGCAUGUAUAUUUAAAAAAAAAAUAUCCAACCCGUAGCAAAAUAUAUAUCAAAUAACUAGUAAUUAUCUAAAACAAAUUCGUUCAUACAAGUUUAGAUAUUCAUUUAUCAAAUUUUGGUUUUAUUGUCACCCUCACCCUUUCCAGAUGGUAAUGUAAUAGCUUGUUGCAAUUAGGUUGAAUCAAUGUCCCUGUCAAAUUCAUAACUGAAUUAGAAUUUUUUUUUUAUUUGUAAUAUAUUUUAUAUAAUUGAAAAUAUGCACCUCGACUUUUUCAAGUUCAUUAUUAAAAAAGAUAAUGCUGAUUUUUUUAAUAUUUUAAUAAAUAAUAAUAAUAAAAAUAAUUACAUCACCGAAUGCAUUAGAUGAGCUUCUAGAUUGAUCAACACUAAAAUCACCUGGUUCGAAACUUGGUGAGAAACAUAUUUAAUAUAGCAGUUAAGAACUCAUUUUUUUUAAUUGUAAGUGAUAUAUUUGUUGGUAUUGAUAACAGUACAACCAAACCCAAGCUUUAUUUAUCAAUAUUGCAAAUUAAUCAAAGUAUAUAAUCUUGAUAAAAGUUUAUUUAAUAAAACCCUAAAUCGUAACAUAAUCAGCAACAACUAAAAUUCAUUAAUUUUCUCAACAAAAAAUAAAAUCAUCAACUCAAUUGAUGUAUUUCAUAGCUAAUUAAUAUAAUUUACAUUUAAUUCAAUAAAACUCCUAAUUUAACCUAUAAAAACCCUAACCUUGACCAUACCAUAAUUGAUAAUAAGCUAAAUUCAUCAAUUUUCUUCAUGAAUAAUGAAAUUAUCAACUUGAUUUAAUGUAUUUUAUAGCCAAUUAAUAUAAUUCAGACCUAAUUUAUAAAAAUUCUAAAUUACCCUAAAAACCUCAACCUUGACCCUAAAUCAAUCAAAAUAAAAAUGUAUCAUAUGUUAGCACAAAUCCUAUGCAAUUCAUGGAGGGAAAGUGUAAAAUAUACCUUAACAUGUUGAAUAUGGGUGGUGGUGGUGACGCUAAAUGACGACAGUGGUCAAGAGUUGAUGAGAAAACCGCAAGUGAGAGGAGAGAGAGACUAUCAUGUUUUGUGGUGGAGAGAGAGAGGUGAUAUCGUGGUUGUAGUAUAGGUAUUUUGUGGUGGGGGAGAGAUUGUCAGGUGGGCAGGUGGUUGCAAUGAAAGGGAAAAUGAGGGGAAAAAAUGGGUUUUGAGUUUGAGACGGUGUUUGGGAGUGUGGUUAUGGUUGUUUUUUAAAGUGUUUUUCAUUUAGAAAAGUGUGUUUAUAAUAUUUUUUUAUUUUUUAAAAUUAUUUUUGAGAUCAACACAUUAAAAUGAUUUGAAAACAUCAAAAACAUAUUACUUAAAAAAAAAUUCAAAUUUUUUCAAAAAUAUUUUUGAAAAGCACUUUCAAACAGGCUAAAAAAAAAAAAAUUUAAAUUUAAUUAGAUGACUUGCGAGUCAUAUUCAUGGCCAAAGACUCGCAAGUUCCUUAUUUCACACUACAUAAGACUCUGUAAUGAUAGACUAACAACGUAGACCAAACAAGGAAUGAUUAAAUGUUUAUACUUUAUAGAAUGAAAUCUAACAAAGAGAAUAAUUAAUCCUUGAAAAAAAAGAGAGUAAUCAACAGAGUUUUACUUGAAUCAACAUGGGAACUUACUGGUAAAACGAUCAAGGGACUCUUCAUUCCAGGCUCUUCAAAGUCCUAGGAUCAGCGAACUCUACAACAUCAGGCAGCUUCUUACUUGUAAUCUCUUCUUUCUCUUCCAAUUUAACAGGAAACUCUAUAUUUUCAAUAAGCAGAAAUAAUUUCCUUUUCCAAGAAAAAUCAGGUGUUGGUGUUCAAGAUUAAUUCCUGAGUUUUGCAUUUUCUUUCUUAAUUUUGAUGUUAUUUGGGUGCAUAAUUUCGUGAAAAAACUUUAUGGCUGCCUCCUAGAUUGUUAUUGUUGGUGUUCUUUUUAUUCUAUGAUAAAAAAUUAUCUUCGGACCACCUUUGCAAAAUCUAAUUGAGCAUAUUAAAAGAGCAAAGUUCCAAGUCAAACUUUGCAAAAUCUACUUGUUUUUUAAUGCCUCUAGUCUCUUUUCCUUUUUCCUUUUUCCUUUUUCCUUCUCUAUCUCUCUCUUUUACUCUCCUAUCUUAUCUAGAGAUAACAAUUUAAUUUGAAUUCCAUAAAUAUGAAGUAGACCUGAACAACCCUAAUGAAUAAGUAAUUUUAUGGUAUAGAUAAAUAAUAAAUAGGGUAUGAAUAUUAUCAAACCCAAUUUAAAACCCAUUUGAACCUAACUUGAAAUAUAUAUUUAUAUUAUACAAAUAUUUUAUAUAAUAUUUAGAUUUUUUUUAUAACAUGGUAUACACAUAUCUUAAUAUUGACACACACACAUAUGAAUGAUAUUUAUCAUUUAAUAUACAUAUACAUACUUCAUAUAUAUAUAUAUAUAUUAAUUAUUUUAUUUUUUAUUAAUUAAUAAAUAAUAAUAGAUAACAGGUACCAAUUAAAUAUUUAAAACCCGUUUAAUAAUUUAUGUAUAUCUAACUUUAUUACUUGAUAAACAAUAAAUAAAGUAUAAAUAAUAAUAAAAAUUCGACCAACGAGUACCAAUUAAACAAGGAACAGGAAAUCACCAUUUUAAAUUGCAUUUCAUGGUGAUCCGAUACAUAAUAACCAAAAGUGGAAAAGGAAAACAAAAUAUUUUGCUACGCUCCCCUCGUAGCCCAUUGUAACACUACUUGCAAGCUGGAAGAAAUGACGGUCGUCCAUGUCGUUUUCAAUGACACGAGAAAGAAAACCAUAAAGAAACAAGGAACAGGAAGCAGAGAAAACCAACGCAAAAAUCACGCAAUCUCUGUUAAACUCACCAUCCUCUCUCCUUCUGGAAACCCAGCUCCCUCUCUCUCUAUCUUCUUCAGAGUCUUCUCUCUUCUGAUCAAAAAAUGAACCCGCACUUGAACCUUGAAGAGAACAUGAAGUUGGCUUCAGUUCUUGAGCCAUCAAAACCUGUAAGGUGUACUCAAGCUUAUUUACUUUUGCUUUGACUUCUAAGCUCUCACUCUUUUCUUUCUGAUGGCUCAAGAAAGCUUUGUUUUCUUACCGUUCUUUCUUGUUUCUCGGUUUCUUUAGUUUCCUAUUUUAAAUUCUUUGGUUUCUUGGUUGGUUAUCAAGAACAUGCUCAAGAAAAGCAUAAAAGAAUCUUAACAAGUUUUUGGGGUUUCUACUUUCUUGAUCUUGAGUGAUUUGUCUGGUUGCUGAGAAAAUGUUAGGAACGGAGACACUGUUCUGAUUUGUCGUAUUUUUCUUUACUUUGGAGAUCAAAAGGCAAAAGAAUAAUAAAAAAGUAUUGGGGCGGAGCUAGAAUUUCUCUCUUUUAUGUACACGAGUGACAUUAUGUAGGUAUAAUAUGUUCUUUAUCGUUUUGAAUUUUGCAGAGUUUCUUUCCUGCAAUGACAAAGAUUGUCGGCACACUUGGUCCAAAAUCUCGGUCUGUCGAGAUAAUAUCUAACUGCUUGAAGGCAGGAAUGUCUGGUAUUGCUCCAUCUGAUUUUCAUUUUUAAACAUCCUAUUAUUGAAAGGUCCUUUCUCCUCUCUUUUUUUCCAAACUCUCUUUGGUUUUAGAAAAAAUGAAUUCAUUCUAUCCAGAUAAUUUAUUGUUAAAUGGCUCAGGGGCAAUUGCAGGUUUCACUUCACACUAAGAGCCACAUAUUGAAAGUAGACAAACUUUUGCGUAUCUUUAGUUAUUGAUCUUCUUUGAGACCAAGCAGGCUAUAUAACUAAAGGUUGACAUACACGGUUGGGCUUAUUCUUGGGGGCUGAUCUGAAUGAUUUUUUUUUUAAUCUUUUGUAGUGGCUCGGUUUGAUUUUUCAUGGGGUGACACUGAUUACCAUCAAGAGACAUUGGAUAAUCUGAAGAUAGCUGUCAAGAGUGCCAAGAAACUCUGUGGGGUAAGCUUAUCUUUAUUAGAUUCAGUCUAUAAGCCAGAUGACUAUCUCAUUUAGCUAUCCAACGUUGAUGCAAAGGCAUUAAUGACAAUUUGAUAAAGAGGGAUCAUGUUGUGGGUGAAGGCAAGAACUAUCAAAUGCAUUUCUAAAAUUUUGAAGUCUGGAAGUGCAUGAUAAAUAUAGAAAAUGUAUUCAAGAUUUUUUGGCACUCGAUGCAGAUACAGUUCUGUUCUCAUACUGAAGAAUCUAUUUUGAUUGCUACAUCUUUGUGCUUCAAGUCUUUCACCCAAGCGCAUUAGAUAAUAAGAAUUUUAUCCUAUUCCCUUGGUGGGUUUAUACUUCUACUAAUAGCCAAAUCUUAUGCCUUUCUUACCCUUUUAUUCUUUUGGUUUUGAUUUCAGGUUAUGCUUGAUACUGUGGGUCCAGAGUUGCAAGUGAUCAAUAAAAAGGAGAACCCGAUUUCCCUUCAGGAAGAUAGUUUUGUUGUCCUAACACCAGAUCUGGACAAAGAAGCUACUUCAUGUCUGCUACCCAUAAAUUUUACCGGGUUGUCAACGGUAAGUACCUGUUUUACAUGUUGUUUAGACUGAUUUUGAUUUCAUCUGGCAUUUGCAUCUAUGUUUUUAAAAUUUGUGCAGCUUCUCUAAAACAUUGCUGCAUGUGCCUUCCCCCCCUCUUCCAUGACAUGUAACUUUAAUUUGAUAUGGCCUUUGCAGGCGGUGAAAAAGGGAGACACCAUUUUUAUUGGUCAAUAUCUCUUUACAGGAAAUGAAACCACUUCUGUGUGGCUAGAGGUAAGUAGCUUCACUGGGGCAUGUCAUGUCACCUACUUUUCAUGCUAGGCGUGCCUUUUACAUACCAUCUGUAACUUUUAUUGCUAGCUGCCUACCCAUUUUAAUUAAAACUGUUCUUGGUACAAACAAGCCAGGGGACUUUGUAUUCAAAACAUAAUGGCCUGCGUCAACUUCAAAAAAAGAAGAAGAAGAAUGUUCUUAAAUCAAUUUCAUGAUGAUGCAGGUCACUGAAGUCAAUGGUGAAGAUGUGGUUUGCUUGGUAAAGAACUCUGCUACCUUGAGUGGACUGCUAUAUACUUUGCAUGUCUCUCAAAUCCAUAUUAAUCUGCCUACUCUCACUGAUAAAGAUAAAGAGGUAUUUGUUUCUAUUCGAUCAUAUAAUGUGUUGUUAUAAAAGCUUAUAUAGAAUCGUGUUUGGUGUUAACCUUUUCCUGUUUGACUAAUCAGUGCUGGCUUCAAUCAUUUAUACUGGAAAAAUGCCAACUAUUUCUCCUUACCCAUUAUGCUACCCCUUGGAACUAAGAUUUCAGAAUCAUAUUCUUUGUUUUUAUUAAUCACUAACUUGGGUGCCAACUAUUUGUAAGAGUGGUGACAUGCUCCCUUGGAAAUUUUGUGCUUACUGCUAUUCCGCUAUCAUUAAGUGCUUCGAUGGCAUUUUCAUGAUCAAUAUCAGGUUAUAAGUUCAUGGGGUGUUCGAAACAACAUAGACAUCCUCUCACUUUCAUACACCAGGCAUGCAGAAGAUGUUCGUCAUGUAAGGAUUUUCCAUCUAAGAGUUCUUUUCUAUUAUCUCUUUCAAUUGUAAAGUAAAUUACUUCGACUUAUCCCCUUUUCUGGGUCCUUACAAUUUUUUGCUGCAUCAAUAUAUUUCUCCCUUCCCCUUUAACAUUUCAAUUGUGGCCGGUCAUCCUUUUAUACAGGCUCGUGAAUUUCUUUCUAAACUUGGGGACCUCUCUCAGACUCAAAUUUUUGCAAAAAUUGAAAAUGUAGAGGUGAGAUUUAUAAUUCUGUUAUCAUAUGCCAUUCUCUAUCGUACCUGUGCUUAAAUUCCAUUAUAGGUUCCAGAUUCCUUAUUUCUAAUGCAUUUCUUUCAGGGAUUAGCUCAUUUUGAUGAGAUCCUACAAGAAGCAGAUGGUGUCAUCCUUUCCCGUGGAAAUUUGGGGAUAGAUCUCCCACCAGAGAAGGUUAGUUAUGAAAUCUGAUUGAUGAGCUUGCAUAUGUGUAAGUUAUCAUAAACAUGUGGAAUUAAAAUACACUGGUCCUAGAAUUGCUUGUUAACAUGUGAUAAUCAAAUAUUAGAGUUAAUACGGAUUGCAUAAUAGCAAUAUAGAGAAGAUAGAAAGGAAAUGGAGAAAGUGAUAUGCAGCAACAAUCUUUAAAUUGUUACAACCAUACAACAUUGCUGUAUCAUCAAUCUUUCUUUUGUAGGUUUUAUUUUUCGUUCACAUAUCAUACUUUAAGUGGGAUAACUUUGUGGCUUUCGGAGGCCAUUAAAAAGGUUCAAUUUCCCGUGAUCCCAAUCCUGGCAAUGAGUUCAGAUAUGAUAACCAACUGUAGGCAUUAGCAUGUUGUUCCUAUAUGCUUUGACACCAUCAGUGAACAUGCAUGUGCGUUUAGUGCUAGUUGAAUCUGGAUAUUCUACUACUACCCAUAAUCCAACUAGACUGUCUUGCUCUGUGCAUUUCGCAGGUGUUUCUGUUUCAAAAAACUGCUGUUUUUAAGUGCAACAUGGCUGGAAAACCUGCUGUGGUUACUCGUGUUGUGGAUAGUAUGACAGAGAAUUUGAGACCUACUCGUGCAGAAGCAACUGAUGUUGCCAAUGCAGUAUUGGAUGGUAAUUUUCAGUUUGAAAAGUUCCCUGUUGUAACCUUUGUUGCGUGUAUCUUUCUGUUUUGGAUAAUGAUGUGCUAGCUUCUUACAUGAGUGAGAGUAUUAUUCUCCUGCUUAUAGCUGUCUUGAUACCCCCAUUCCUCCAGUUUGGUCAGUAAGUUAGACAGUAUUAUAUGCUUCAUAAAUCCCAGACUAAUAGAAGUGUUAUACUGUGGUUUUUCUGUUGCUUCAGGGAGCGAUGCAAUUCUUCUAGGUGCAGAGACCUUGCGAGGACUGUAUCCAGUGGAGACCAUCUCUACUGUUGGGAGAAUUUGUGCCGAGGUAAUUUUUCUCAAUUAUUCCUCCAUUUUCCCUUGAUAUUUCCAUUGGACAGCAGCCCCCCCAACACACACACACACACACACCCUCUCAUGCACACACACACAAAAAAGGCCAAAGAGUUUGUUGGACUAUAGAUAAAUUUUCUUCCUUAGCUUCCAUGAAUAUAGGCAUGGUAAACUUGUCUCAACUGCACACAGACCUAGACAUGGACGAGGUAGCCUACUCAAUAAUCUGUGCUGCCUUUUCUUGGAACUGCAUUGCUUCACUUCAAAAUUCAUUUCGUAGUCAUUUUCUUUUCUAAUUUUUUUUGUUGAUUUGAUUAUAUUUCCAACUGCAGGCAGAGAAGGUUUUCAAUUAUGAUUUGUAUUACAAAAGAGCUGUCAAAUAUGCAGGAGAUUCAAUGAGCCAUCUGGAAUCUAUUACUUCCACUGCGGUAAUCUCUUAAUGUUUGAUUCAGGGUUUUUUGCUUAUUUUGAACAUUCUUUGCAUUACUGCCAUGCAAUUGUUUAUUUCCCUUAUUUUUACCCUUGCUAUUUUCGGUCAUGAAGGUCCGUGCAGCUAUCAAGGUUAAAGCUUCUGUAAUUUUAUGCUUCACUUCCACUGGAAGAGCUGCAAGGUUUUUCCUUCUUCACAAUUUUGUUUCGGGUCAUAUGUUUGUUUAAAUGCAAAUGCAAAUGCAAAUGGUUAGUAACUUGGAAGUCUAUUUUGAGAGAUUUAUGAAAUCAGAUUAUCUAAAUGUGAUUCAGAUGACCCACAAAUUUCUUGUAGAAUCUGAUUAGGACUUUCUAAGCUUUUUAUGUACCAAUGCAGGUUUAUUGCAAAGUACAAGCCCACAACACCUGUGAUAUCUGUUGUUAUCCCUCGGCUGAAGACAAAUCAACUGCGUUGGACCUUUACUGGCGCUUUUGAGGUACGUUAUUGUUUAGAUUGGUUAUAUCUUCUGGCCAGGGGAUAGGUUGACUAACUCUAGCGAUUUUGAAACAUGUGAAAACACUGUUGUAGGGGUAGCUGCUAACAAGCGUCCAACAAUUUUGUCCAUAUAGAAUGAUUUCUCAAUUUUUCAUUUACGCUCAAUUAAUAUUAAUAAUCUGUUGAAUGCGAUAUUUUCAAUAGUUUUCAUGGUUUUAUGGCAGGCACGGCAAUCACUCAUUGUGAGAGGAAUUUUUCCCAUGCUUGCUGAUGCUCGACACCAAGUAAGCAUGUGUUAUGUUACAUUAUUGCAAGUUUCCCCUUUUGUCCGUCCCACUUUUCUUCACCCUCUUUUGAGAGCGACAGGGUGAAGGUUCUGGAAUGAAUUUCCCUUUUCUGAUAUGCUAUUGAUAUUUGUCCUGAAUGUUAAAGGUUCCAUGACUGUAAUUUUAAUUUUGUGGGAAACAUACUUUAUAUCGAUAUAAAAAAUGGAAUUGUGUUGGGAGAAUUGUUAUUGAUUGUGUUUUUCUAACAUGAAAAUUCACUAUCUAUAAAGUGUUAUUAGCCCCCACUACAAGGUUAUUGUUAUUGGGUUUAAAGCAAAUACAUGUUCAGGGCUUAGAUACAAAAGACCUUCUAAGAACACUCAAAGAACUUGUUUAAUUUUGAGUACGAGGAGGAAAAUUAGGAAUAGGAAGUUGUUUUUAAACUACCAAAUGACUUUUAUUUAGUGUUGAGUGACCAAUAACUGACAUUAUACCAAAUGUCUUUUGGAUGAAAAGACAUGAAUAAAACAACACCAGAAUCGAACAUCUGGUUGAGGUUUCAACUGCAUGUUUCAAACAUGCGAUUCAAGACUCAACAUGAAGUCUGUUCAAAAUCUUUCUUUCACAACAUUCAGUGAACAUGACAACAGGAUGUUCUGAACAUCCGGUCCACAGUGCAACAUGAUGUUCGAAAAGAUACCUUUUCAAACUUCCAUUCUUUAUAUUCUAAUUAAUUUUUAAAAUUCUUCGCACUUUAAAUUCAAAAUUUUUUAUACCUUGAAUCCAACAAAUUCCCUUGGCAUUUUAGUGAAGUGCCAUUAAGGGACGAGGAGCAAAUAUGGAGUCUAGUCAUAGGAGUUUACACCAUCUUUUUUUAAUCAUGUUGUUUGUAGCAUCUUGCUAUGAUUACAAUGUGACUUCCUAGAGAAAUAACUAUAACUGGGAAAUAGGAAGAGGGUAUUCAAAAAGAAUAUCCCAAUGCAAUACGGGUUGUAGUUCUUUGGCACAUAAGUUAGGCGAUCUUGUGCCACUUGAGUUUCUACUCUUCCUCUUUCACUGGGAUAUUCAACUCUGAUUGAGAGGGGAAGGUAUUAUCAUGAAUUCUUGCUUUACUUCUUACGAAAUGGAAACAUACUUGGUUUUACAGGCUGAGCCUUUAUUUUAAGAAACGUAAACAUGCUUGGUUUUGCAGGCUGAGUCUUCAAAUUCAACAAAUGAAUCGGUUCUGAAGGUUGCUUUGGAUCAUGGCAAGGCACAUGGUUUUAUAAAGCCUCAUGACCGAGUUGUUGUUUGCCAAAAGCUUGGCGAUGCAUACGUGGUGAAGAUCCUUGAGCUUGAAGAUUAAGGUUAUUGCGCAUCUCAUUUCGCUUGAAAUCUGUGUUUGGCAGCUUCCGCCUUUAUCGUAUAAAAUAAAAGAUCUCGGACAUUUGUAAGAGUACAUAGUAUAUACAAGAGGUGGGGUUAGGUUCUUUCCGCUGUGGGCUGGCUAAGAUCAUGGACUAGCACCCACCCUGUCGGAAAAGAUAACAAAAAAUUCAUGACAUUGUUGGUCGAGUAAUUGUAUCCUUAUUUUCGUGGUCGAGUAAGGCGUUGUUGUUGUGGUGCUUCGAUGCCUUUGUUCUAUAAAUUUUGACUUGAUUCCCAAUUUUAUCUCAUCUUUAUUUAUUUCUUUUACUAAAAAUUAAAUAACAUGUGAAAAAAUCAUGCAAACACAAAUAAUGAAAAGCACACAAAUUUCAGUUAAUUUUUUAUGCGGAUUUCACAAAUACAUCUUUAUUAAAAAUCGUACAAUGUUCUUAAUUAUUAGAGAUUAAAUAGAUGAUCGUUCUUGAUUAUAAAAAAAAAUAGAUAAAACAAAAAAAUAUUAAAAAAUAUUCACUCGAGUAAAUUAUAAUUUAAUUGUUUUUUUUUUGUUGCUUUUGUAAAUUGGUCCUUUUAUUUUUCAAAAUUGGAUGUUAAUUCUUUAAUCAAAGUUGACAGUUGAUUUUUUUAAAAAAUUUCUAAAUUACCUUUUUGAAAGACUUAAUUUUGUCUAUAGGAAUAAUUUACUCUAUUUAAUUUGAUACUUUAAUUUAUUCAUACAUGUUUUCUCUUGAUCCACGUUUAUGUUUUAGGGUAAAUUACAAAAAGCUUUUUAGCGAAUUAUUUUGACAAAAAUCUUCAAAUUGUUCAAGUAAAUAUUUCAAAUAUCCUGAGGCUAAAUUCUUUUAUAUGUUUGGGAGUGGUGGCAGUUGCUUUUCUCUUGAAAAUAUAUCAAAAUAAUAUAUUUUUUUAUUUUUUAAAAAUUAUUUUUGAUAGAUCUAAAAACAUAAAAAAAUAUUAAUUUAAAAUAAAAAAAUAAAAAUUUUAAAUUGUUUAAAAACACUUUUUAAAAGCAAAAAUAAACAGGUAAACGUAUUAAGUUAAGGCUUGGAAAUCAGUAUAUGGUAUACUUCUAGUUAUAUUUUCUUUCUGUUGUUUCCUUUCAUUUUUGGCGGAGACUAUACAACAAAGUUUUUCUAUUUAUUUCUUUACAUGCCAGGAUUGAAUUUUAGGGGUGAGUGUAUUAAACUAGAGACCAAUGAUGGAACUGUAUCACUACCUUUUGUGAAUCUGCAGAUUCUGAAAAGUGGUGCUAUAGUUUUUGUAGAGCCUAUUUUGUUUAUGUCAAUUUGAAUCUAUUUGCUCUUUGCAAAAUAUAGGGAUGGUCGUCCAGCAGAGCUGCUGGAGGUGUGUUGGCUUGAUGUAAGCGGUGAAAUGCGUGUAACCAAAGGGAAGACGCAUGGAGUUAGCUUCAUGUUAUCCAUGAACACGGAGAAUUCCUUUGGCUGGGACGUUCCUGUUUUUUUGAUGGCUAGGAUAGGGGAGGAAGGAAAGUAUCAGAAUUAGGCGGGGAAGUAGAGGAAUUUCCUCCGAAGAAGUGUCGGAUUGAGUUUGAAAGUGAUUAAAAAAUCUGAAAAUAACGAGGAAUUUCCUGCGAAGAAGAGUCAGACCAAGUCUAAAAGUGAUGAAAACGCUAAAAAUAAUGAGGAAACGCUCUAUUUUCGCUUGAAUGAAGUGUGGGCUAACAAAUGGAAGGGUGGUCUACGGAUUCAUGAGGCCAUAUAUAGUUCAGGAAAGAACAGCUGGGAAUUAUGCUUCUACAUCUAAUACCCGUUCCGACGAGUCCAGAGGGAAAGAAAUAACAACUGACGAUUCUACUUCAACAACUGAAAAACCUCCGAUCGAGUCCGAAGUUCAAGAAGUAUAAGCUGAUUUAGAGCCAACCAAAAAUCCACUACCAAAGCGCACUUCCAGGUUUUUUCAGUCCAGGUUUUUUCAGUGAUUUGAUCAGCAGACCAGAUUGCAUCUAGUUAUCUGUUAUAUUUCUAUUUUCGUCAGUGUCAUAUUUCAAGUUAUUUUGAUUUUCUUAGUUAGCCCAACUAUGGCAAACUUAUAACAUGCUAAAAAGAAAUUAAUGAGGGGAUGACUGCUAUCAGUUUUGUAGGCAAGUGUAAUCUUACUGCUAAAGAGCUGGUUAUUUUGCUUGGCAAAUUAAAUAGUACAAAAUGGUUUGAACUUUGAUAUGUAUUGUUAAUUUCAAUAUAUAAGCUCAUGAACGUGCGUUCAUUUUUGAAGAUUUUAAAGUUUAGGGCAGAUAAAAAAGAACCAUCUUAAAAAAAAAAAAACAAAUUAAUGGGUUUUUAAAUGCUAUAUAUGUUCAUAUGCUUAUGAGAUAUACACACACGAAAGACAGAUCGAGGAUACACAAAUGACACUUCCUUUCCUUAUGGUACUCAUGUCAUCUUGGGUGGGUCUCAAAAUUGUCUACAUUUGAUACGCAAAAUUUGAUGUUGAUGUAGGUUCUACACAUGCAUAUUCAGGAUAAAAAACAGUAAAAUAGAUUAAAAAAAUAUCAAAUGAAUACCAUACAAAAUACCUAAACAUUCCCUAGACAUACCCAUUUCUAGGCAUCCCAGCUAGAAGGAAGAUGGGGGUUUGCAACAAAUUGACUACUUGAAAAUGGUGAUAAUGAUGAUGAUGAUGAUGAGGAGGAGUAUGCUGACAGUGAUGACAUGAUUGCAUCGAUGGACUCCAAUUGACUGGUUGCCACUUCAUGUACUGGAUACGGCCCAGAUGGGAGACUUGAAAGUCUAGCAAGUGGGUCGUGAACUGUGUUCUGUGAUUCAGAUGAAGGUGGAAUGCGGCAAACAUUUCCUUCAAUGAUCUCAAAAAGUUUUGGCAUCAUAGACACCAUCAUAGAUUGAUUGUCAUAAGACAUUGUUGCAUCAAUCGUACUCUGAUCAUGAGUAACAACUUUCUCUCCAAUAUAAUGCACUGGAAUUGCCCCAUUGCUCAAACUUUGAUGAUGAUCUUCUUGGUUUUGAUCGAGGUGUUGAGGUAGACAAGGCAACGACCACCCUGGGUCAAAUGAAGAUGAAUUAUCAUUUAGAGGGGGUGGGAUUAAGGGAGUUGCAGGUGACAAAUGAGGCAAAUCAACAUUGUAAUUAUUGGGUUGGUUGAGUUUGAAAUGUUUUUUAUCCUGAAUAUGCAUGUGUAGAAUCAAACAGUAAAAUGUUUUUUUUUUUAAAAUCAAAAAACGCAUUCCUCUCUUUAAAUCAUCUUUCCAAGGAGGCAAGGAUUGCUGAAACAGGAAAGUAAAAAAAAAUGUGUAUUAGUUUUCUCGAUUCUCAACGCAUUGGCUGGAACUCAUCACAUACAUGAAAGUUUUAGUCAUUGUUUUAAAAAGAUCAAAUCGUAAUACAACAAAGAGUUUAGAAUAUUUCUUUUCAUAUUGAAACCCGAUUAGAAGGGGUAUUUUUAAAAAAAUUAUAUUGUUUAGGAUGAAAAAUGAAGGAUUCUUUUUUUUUUUUUGUUAAAGUCUCAGGAUGAUUUUUUAUAAUUUCGCCUUCCAAAUUAAAUAAUUUUUUUUCAAUUUCUCAUUUAAUUAUCAUUUAAGAAAUAAUCAAAGAAGUUGACACAAUAUGUCAUAGUUUAUUUUUGAGUUAUUUUUCAAAUUUUACUUUUUUUUAAAAAAAUAAAAAAAUAAAAAAUAAAAAAUAAUAGCAAGAAAACUGACGAUUUAAAAAAAAGAAAAAACUAGGACGAUUUCAGAAAAAUCAAACUGCAAUUUCUUUCUUUUUUUUGCUAUAAUUUCAAUGAAAGAAAUCAAUCAAGAAGAUGUAAAGAAACGAGUUACCAUACCAGAGUGGUUUUUUGGGUUAGGGUUUUGGUUUUCAUUUUCCGACUCACCAUUAAAAGAUCCGUGCAGUAUUUUGGGAUUUGAUUUACUUUUCCUAAGAAUAGGGUUAGGGUUUCUGCGCUGUGAUCAUUUUGUCAUCAUCUUCUUCUUUCUUUUCUUAUAUGCUGAAUAAGUGCAUGAUUACUCUUAUCUACUUUAAUAAUAGUGAAUGCAUUCAAGUUUUGAGGCACUUGAUGCCGAUACAGCUCCUUCACUGAAGAAUCUAUUUUGAUAGCUCCAUCUUUGUGCUUCAAGUCUUUCUUAAUGAUUUAUUUUUUUUCGUUUUAAUUUCAGGUUAUGCUUGACACUGUUGGUCCAGAGUUGCAAGUGAUCAAUAAAACUGAGAACUCGAUUCCCCUUCAGGAAGAUAACUUCAUUGUCCUAACACCAGAUCUGGACAAAGAAGCCACUUCAAGCCUGCUGUCCAUGAAUUUUACUGAGUUGUCAACGCAUGGAGAAGAUGGGCAGUGUUUUUGAAAUUUCUUGCCAAAUAUACAACUUAGUCCUCAUUCUUUACUAAUUAUGACAAUUUGUUUUUGAAAAAAAACGACGUCAAAUACCGACUUCCCAUAUUGCCACCAUAGUAGCCGGGAGAUUAGUGCUAGAAUUUUUUACAAAUGUAAAUCUAUUUUUCAAUUUAUUUUUUAACUCUUGAUAAAUUUAUUUACGAUCUUAAAAAAAAGUCUCACACUGACUUGACUUGCUAGGCUUGUAAGCUCUUGACUUGCCCAUCUCAACGAUGUCUAGCUAUUUUUUUAAAUUGAUGUAUUUACUUAAUUUAGCCUCUUUUAAAUAACAAUUAUUUUUUUAUUUAUUUUAUAUGCAUAUAAUUUUUGAAAAAAUUACUCUAAUUCAUAUAUAAUUUGUUGGUUUCAUGUUUUAUAUAAAUUAAAAAAACAUUUAUUUUUAAAUAAUAUUUGUAACCUUACAUAAUAUUAUUUUAUUCAUCCAAUAUUAUUUGAUUAAAUAAUAUAGAUAAACAAAAUAUUGAACAGAAUUAAGUUAAUUAAGUUAAAAGCCCGUGUUGUUGUGAGGUCACACAUCAUCUUGAUGCAUAUAUGUUUCUCAGUUUUUUCAUUUUCAUCUAUAUUUAUCAUUAAUAACUUGUUUUUUUAUUUAGCAGAAUUUGUAGCUCCCAGAAAACAGGUAAUGGCCGAUAAUAAUGUAGCGGCGGCAAGGUGCGAUAGAAGAUAAGCCAGCGAACAGAAAUGUCCAUCACAGAACUCAACUCACUGAAAGCAGCAUUUUAUUGAUCUAGAUGCAUAAAAUUUCCGUGGUUUUCAUGUACAUUAUUCUUUCUGAAAGACACCUGCAACUACUGCAUCAGGGCGACUGAAAAGUUCUUAAAUUUUUGAAAGCUCACCUAGUACCAUCAAUUGGUUCCUGAACCGGUUAUAACUGCGGACAUGCCUGGUAAAAUGAAUUACAAAACUGUGCAAAAAUGAUACGGCACAACAAAUUGCAGUGGUAACAAAUACCCCGGAAAUAAAUUUGUGCAAUCCAUCGAAAAUUCCCCAACUCGCUCAAGAACAGAAAUGGAUCAUUUCUUGGACCCAUUUGUUAGUUUCGAGGGCUUAUUUCAAUAUCACAGAAGCAGCCUGCGGAUAUCACUGAAAUUAGCACGCAAAGCUGAUAGGAAUGCACCUGCAAAGAAAAUAGUUUAAGCUCAAAAGUUGUUGUGAAGUUCUGCAUAUAAAUAUGCCCCACGCAGCAGUCAAGCUGCCCAAGUAGCAUGUUCGAAAAUGUGCUACAUGAUAAGAGGUCAGGGGAAAAAAUAAACUGAAAUUACCACCCAUUAUUAAUUUCUUUUGUCCGUUAGGGACAAGGAGAAAAAUCACAAAUUCAAAAACUGGUCGUAACUAGUUGGAAAGCUCAUAGUUCUCCAAGAUUCGAUGCCUUGGGUCCCCGGAUUACAUAACAGCAUUACCUCAACGCCCUAGGAAGAACUUGUCCAAUUAGAGAUAAGGCCUUUUAGCAGUAUCCCUGCCUUUGAAGAGGUACCCUCAUUUAAAGAUACCCAUAAAGUUUCAACCUCAUUAAGGAGGCAAUCCAAUAGGAUCCAAAUCCUCAAAUAUGCUCUAUUUUGAAUUUGAAUUUGAAGAACAUUCACAGCAUUUUCAAAAUACCUUCCCUAAUGAAAGUAAAGAAAUUUGGAGAAUUACAGACCUGAAACUUGGCCAUCAAAAACACGAUGAUCAGCAGAUAAAGUCAAGUUCAUUUUGUUGAUAACUGCAGGCCUCUCAAUUCCUGGUAGAAAGAAAGUUCAAGUUAUAGCACUCAAAGAAGCUCUGGUACUUGAAACCAACAAAUAUCAGGUGGCAGAACCUACAACCAGCAGAUACUUACCAUCACUUCCAAGUAGUGGUUCAACAACUUUGUUCCCUCUACCAACAGCAAGUAUGCCAGCCUGCAAUAAAAGAGAUCUUUUAUAUACUAUACAUUUACAGGAAGCCAGCAAUGAUGGUUGUAGUGUAUCCCUGUAUUUCUUUCCGUGCCCAUUUUUGAUUUAAUCAACACCGGGACUAAUAAAAGAUCACAUGUUUAUGAUAUUGCUGUUUUAAAAAUAAAGACCACAUGUCUAUGAUAGUUCCAUUUUAAAAAUUUAACAGCAGCAAUAUUUUCCAGAAACAUGGAAGGUGUUUGUUCGACAUAAAAAAGGAAUGAUAUUUAACUAAUGAGAAUUUAAACACUAGCUACUCAUGACUCAUUUCUUCCAGUAAAGGAGAUGAAAAACAGCAGAAAUUCAAGCUAUAUGCGAUGCCUAAACCCAACAGGGCCACAGUCAUUUGAUUUUUUUCUCUCUUGAAAUAGUGACAAAUUUCUUUGCAAGGCUGAAGCCAGUCAUAUUGCCUUAAUUGAAAGAGCAUAGUUUAAUGCAUAUAUGAAUGUGUAUGUUCAGGGUUGAGUUUGAGGAAGAGGGAUGAAAAGAGAGAACCUGAGGCGGAUUUAUAAUUGCAACAAAUUGGUCCACUGGAUACAUUCCCAGGUUGGAAAUGCUGCACAAUAACAAGGAAAAAUUAGGUAUAUACAUUGUCUUUUAUUGUAUCUGUUUCAGAAAGUUCAGCCUAAUAAUAUAUGAACCUGAAAGUUCCUCCUUGAAAUUCAUUUGGUGUAAGCUUCCCGACCCGAGCUUUCUCAGCUAGUUGCUUGACCUGAAAUUCCAAGCAAACAAAAAUACAAUAAGCAAAGCAAAAUUGUGGUCUUCCCAUACAGAAAUGUAGACACUCGAUAAUUAACAGAAAACGAGGAGAAGAUACAUGAAAAGUGAUUGAAAAAUAUAGAAGGAAUGACCAAAAGUUCAUCACAAGCUUGCCCAAAAGCAGAGAGUAGGGGGUGGUGGAGAGUUCAACAGUCAUGGUUCGAUAAAAAUGAAUUUUCUUAACACAUUUCUGAAGUACGCAUAUUGUAGGUGUAACCUUUCCCUGGAUUCUUAGAAGCAAGCAUGGUCUUAGUGUAAGAGAUAAGGUCUACUAAAAUCCACUAGUGAAUCCCACCAUGGCGAAACAGAAAUAAAAUCACAUUAGUUACCUCUGAGGAGAUUGCAGAAAUGGAUUUCUGAUCUGCAUUCCUAACAAUUGGCGUCAUUAAGCCCUGCAUAAGCAAAUAAGGUAUAAUAAAUUCUCUAGGCCACAAAGGUAUAAUGUUAAAAAGCCACCAGCUAGCAAAUGCAGGGAUACAAGUUAGGGUCUUUAGAAUAGUUACUUCAUGCAUAAAUGUUGAAAAGUAUAAUAGUCUCUAGUUCUCCCUCUCACUACCUGAUUUUGGUUGAACUACAACCGGUAAGUGGCCCUUUUGGAAUCUAGUUUUUGUCCAAACUUUUCAAGAGAUUAUAAACACCAUACCUUCUCAGUAGCAACUGCAAUCGAUAUGUCAACAGAGUCGCACAAAAUGAUUUCUCCUUUCUCAACAUUCCAGUAAGCUGUCGUGCAUUGAUGUAGCAUUUUCAGUAUUAGAAAUGGAGAUAGAAACACAGCAUGGUAAAUUUUCUCCUGAAAUUUAAAAAUAUUAUGGAAUCCAAAAAAGAAUUCGUACUUCAAAGCCCAACACUCAUGAAAAGUCAGGGUAGGUUACCCUGUGGGGGCAUAGACUCUAGAUCACCCUUCGGACCCAAAAGAAAUGCAUGCAUUCUUGCAAGCACAUACAUCCGACAAAAGUAUGGCAUUAAAAAGACUUGCCAUUGUUGAAUUUAAAACACAACAUAUCCUAAAGCAGCAUCAAAUACACAAAGCGGGACAAAAUGUGUUGAGUGAUUUCUUUGGUCAAUUAUGCUCCUUAAAAAAACCAAAUCUUGGUCUGCAAUAAAUCUAUGCAAUUGAGUGUUCUGAUGCAACCAGUACUUAAAAGAAUUAUAAUAUAUCUUACCAUUAGCUUGCGGUACAUUUCUCAGAGCAAUUGCAACAGCUUUGAUGACAAUGUCAUUUACUGAAACUUUGACAUCAUGUUGCUCUGUAAAAUCAAGAAGCUCUGAUGCAUGAAUAGUCUGCCAGCUAUAAUUUCUCAGAGAAACACAAUAGUAAUAACUGAAAGUUUAUACCUUUAAGCUCCUUUCUGAAAGAAAGAAGAGGAUCCAGAAUAACAUCUGAUGAACACAUCUGACACCAUUAGAACAAAAAUUAUAUAUUGGAUAGUGAAAUAGAUCCCAUAGAGUUAUAUAUAACCUGUGGAUAAAUAUAAAUGUGGUGUCGUCUGUUUUGAUUCCAACAACCUUCUAGCUAUAACCUGCAGAUCAAUCAUUAUUUAAACAUAAGCAAUAUUGCAUUGAAAAAAUAAAAUCGCUGAUUUAGAAAAAAAAAUUUGAUGGAGAAGAAUUUGUCAAACACAAUGACACAAACAAGCGCAUAAGAAGAAUCCAAAAAUAACUCGAGAAAGAUGGGAAAAAGGAGGGGGGUCACUGGAGAAGCAAGAAUACAUAGAACAUCCAUACAAACCAAGGAAAAGGAACUAAAAAAUGUAAGUGACCUAAGCAUCCAUUAAAAUAGUUAGUAGGAAACAGAGAUUUGAUCAGAGAGUGCCUACUUCUACUCCAAUUAUCAGACAGCCACUCCAAUAACAUAACAUGUAUUGCUAUCACCAGAGUGCCAGUUAACAUGUAUGCAUAUAGGGGUAUCAAAUCUGGACUUAAACUACUAUAAGUUGAUAUGUGGUAUAUGUCUGAAAAGCCUUGCAUCAGACACAAAAACAAAUUCUGACGUCUGAUGAAGGAAGGGAGAGUAUCUUUCCUUUAUGGCGCAUAAUGGAUUUUGGAGACCGUCAUGCAUAAAGCUUUUCUCAUCUGUCCAUGUCCAUGGUGGGAACUUCUCACAGAUGCUUUGAUAUCUAAUCUAUCUUGAAUCCUACACCUCCAUCUCAGCUUACUCACAUAUUCUCAUAACUAUUAACAAAAAAUUUCAGUAUAAUCAAGGAACUUGUCAAUAACAAGGGGCAUCGGAUUUUGGAAAACCAUUCACUAGGACACCCUAACAAUCCCCAAUCUGUCUAUGAUAGCUUUCGAAACUUGACUUUCCCUCACACACCAAUGGCAUUACCUUGCGGAUUUGAGUGUUAGGCAGAUCUUCAAAAGAAUCUGACUGCUUUGGUUCCAGGGAAGGAAUGGCAGAAGGUUGGGGACUCUUUUGAGGUGGCGGAGCUCCUUUCUCCGCGGCUGAAGAUUUUUUUCCUUUCCCUGACUUAAUUGCAGCCAAAACAUCAGUCUUUAGCAGAGUACCAUAAGGCCCAGAUGCAUGUAAAGAUGAUGCAUCCAAUCCAUGUUCUGAAAUAAGCAACUUAGCAGAUGGACUGAUCCUCUUAAAAUUGCCUUUUUCUUUACUAGCUUCAGCUUUAGAACCAUGAUGAGUUGGUUUUUCUUCUUUAACCUUCUUGCCACUGCUGCUGCUAGCAGAAGUCUUUACAGCUUCGAUAUCAUUCGAGUCUUCAACCUGGAAAAACAUCCAUUAUUGCUCCAUAAAAACAUAGAACAUACAUACAUGAACAAUAACUCUGACUUACUGUUAUGGCAAUAGGUUGUCCCACAGCCACAUCCUUUGAGCCUUCUGGUGCUAGUAUCUUGGCCAAAUAUCUGCAUUCAACAUUUCACGAAAGAAUAACAAAAACUCACAGAUAGCAUAAGAUUCAAAAUCAAUUGCAGUUCAUUCAUUUCUAUGAGAAAAAAAAUAAUACAAGCAAAGUCUAAAAGUAGCUUCUAAAAGCUAGAACAUCUAAGGUAUUAAAAUAGUGCCAUUGUAUACCAAGCCAAACCACAUGUACUCAAAGUCACACACAAAGUUAAGCCAGUAGUUUGAGAUCUUUUAUAAAAGCUGCUCAUGUUUUACUAGAAAAGUAUAAAAUUCCAAAGUGGAGAGAGAGGGAGGGAGACAAAAGAGCCAUACCCUUCUUCAAGAGUUUCAAAUUCUAGAGUAGCUUUGUCUGUCUCUAUUUCACAUAUUACAUCACCCACCUCUAUCUGUUAAGCACAGAGACAUGGCAAGUGAAAAGGCAUAAUAAUUUGGUCAAUCAGCAUCACCCAAUUAGAUAGAAAGCAAUUUAGCCUAAAGAAUCCAACCUUGUCUCCUUCCUUUUUUCUCCAUUUGGCAAUGUUACCCUGAUUCUGAAGGAAUAGAUAGAAAAGAGUGUUUAGCUUAAAAGGAAAGGAGAAAAUUCAACAAAAUCAAUCCAUAUUCAUCAGCUGAUUUAUUUCGUCCUUUCCUACCAUUGUUGGGGACAAUGCUGGCAUUCCAAGAAUAACAUGAGGGGGAAGUUCUGAUGCAUUAAUAGAGCUUGUUUCUUGUGCCCCACCUUCACUUUUGACAUCCUGGUCAGUUGAUUUUUCCUCCUUAACAUCUGAUCCACUUCCAACAGUAGCAGGGACGUUUUGGAUGUCAUCUGCAUCCUCGACCUUGUGAAGACAUAAAAGGAGUGUUAAUGACCUUCUAAUGGAAUGGUUCAUACUCAGAAUGAAAAUUGCUGAGGAAGCAUAAAAGCAAAUCUCACUUAUCAAACAGUAUGAAACCAUAUUACCUAUUUAAGUGAUUAAAAUAUCCUUCAAGGAUACUCCAAUAAAGAAACAAGUGCCUAUGAUGCAUAAUCAAGUACCAAAAGGAACAGAAAGAAAAGAAAGAAGUGCACAGGAAAAUGUACAGAAAGGGAGGUUAUCUCCUUUACAGAAAGAUUGGUUUUCCUCGAUGUCAAACUUUAUAUUAUAAUUUACCGUUAUUGCAAUGGCCUGUCCUACAGGUACAUCCUUUGAACCUUCAGGUACCAAUAUCUUAGCCAAAAACCUGCAUUGGAUCGGUACUCAUCAAUGAAGAAAAAGGAAAUUUUACAAUCUGUGAUGGGGUAAAUAAACAUAGCACGCCAAUGGCAAAUGUGGAUCCAAAAAUUAAAUAUCACAAAAAAAAUAUACUAGAUAAAAAAUUAGAAAGAGCAGAAUUACCCCUCUUCAAGACAUUCAAAUUCAAGUGUAGCUUUAUCAGUCUCUAUCUCGCAGAGGACAUCACCCACUUCUAUCUGUUAGAUUGGUCCACUAGUUCAGAAACCAUAUACGGAUGAAAUCAACAAAUUGUCUCCAUUCAGUUAUGGCAGGAUUUAUUUCCAACAACCAUCUCCAAAUCACAUCAUUAUAGAAGUAAGCAAGCUGAAUUUACAAGCAUCAUCUUAUAUCAAAUCCUGCACUAACUCACCUUCUCCCCUUCUUUCUUCUUCCACUUCGCGAUAUUACCCUGAGUCUACACAAGAACAACAAGUAGAGAGACUUGAAUUCUUGCAGAAGAGUAGAAGUUCCAGCUAAAAGAGAUGAGAAACCUGCCUAUAGUAUACCAUUCCUGCAUAUCUUACCAUUGUAGGAGACAAAGCUGGCAUUCCAACAACUGUAUGUGAUGGCUCUGCAACAACAGGAGUUUAAUCAUAAAUACCAAUAUUAAUGUUCUCACAAGCAAGAUAAGGCUUCUACAAAUCACCUCUUCAUUUCAAAGAUUAAAAAAGAAGUUAAUGUCAACAUACAUGGCAGUCAUAGCAAGAUGAAAAAUUCAUAUGCUUGUGAACUGAUGAGCUUGUGAACUUGCAUUGGAAUUUGAGGCAAUGCAUGCAUGCAUGAAUUCUUAUCAAUUUCUUUUUUCUUUUAGCUUAAUUCAUAACAAUCUCUACACAGUCUUACUUCAACAGAACUCAACAUGCACUCAUACCACAGAUUAUUUAUCAAAUUUCAGCUGAAGUUCACUACCAUUGUCCCAUACGAAGUGCACGGCACAAUGAGCAAGUUGGGAAGUUUUGUAGAAUAUAGGCUAAUUUUAUUGUUAUUUCACUGGCUUAUUGAGCAGAAACCCUCUUUCCAAAUUAUGUCCUAGCACAGGAGAGAUAAACUGGUUGGUAUUUUCUUCGUAACACACUUAGCAAAAUAAAAGAUUUCAAGAGUCUUUCAUGGCACACGAAAUUAUGUUUCUGCCAGCAUUCAUCUGUAAAAAUUCAGCAUGAACACAUGCAAUUUUCAAGAAGUUGGGGAACAUGCAUGUGAGUUGUUGACUCACUUACUCUGGGAGUAGCAAAAUAAGUUAUGAACACUACAAAGCGCAAGUCCAUUGGUGAUCCUUAUUAUUUAGCCAGGUUCAUGGUUUGAACCUGCAACUCCAGAUUCACUUGGAGCUAGUAAAGUCCAUGCCACACAAUCCAUUCACAAAAUUACUUGAUGCAUAAACCCAGUGCCAACUAACAUAGAUCAGUGUUCUGAUUGUAGACUUAAAAUAAGAGCAUACUGGUUUCAUUAAUUCUACAGACAACAGAGACACACCAAACCAAGUCCCUUAACGCAACAACAGAAGAUUCCCUUAGAUACAGACAAAUAUCAGGAAUUGCAGUAAAAUGAGGUACGUACCAGAAGAUGAGAAAUGUCGAACACCAAUUUGCAUCUGUAAAGCAAUAGACAACAUCAGAAAACGGACAAGUCUAAAUUAGAACAACUCACAUAAUUCAACACUAACCUUGAGCUUCAAAGAACUAUCAUCGUGUACUCCACUGACUGUAAAUACUGAUGCAGACCUAAUGCACAUAACCAACAGUGAAAAACCAGCAAAAUUGAGCACACACAAAAAAGAAAAGGACAGCAAGAGGUUGCAAGCUAGGUGGCUCCAAAUAGAAAUAUAAAAAGAACAGAAAAAAUUAAAGAGACCAAUUCAAGGUAUGUGUAGUAAAUUAAUCAAAUUGGGCACCGAUUCUCGGUCGAAAAAAUUCAAUAAACAAAUCAACAAUCCCUGCUCAAAUUAGCUUUCACUUCGUCUAAUUCCAACUUCACCAAUUUCUUUCUUUGUUUGUUUCCUUCUUUUUUAACACUUCAGCACCGAAGCAACUGUACAACCACUAAGGAAACCAACAAACGUAAAAGGUAAAAAGAUGCAAACCUUGAGAAAGAGCCAUUGGCAUCCAAAUUAGAGCAAGAGCUGUAACAAGAAAUUAAAAAUAUCAAAAUUAAACUGAGGAUUGAGAAAAUAGAAGACAUGAUCAAUUUCCACAAUUUUUUUUUUUAAAAUCAUUCAUUCAUGUAAUUUAAAUAAAUAAAUCUGCAAUUAAUAUUGAUGAAACAGGAAAUGAUUGACUGACUGGCCGAUUGAUUGAUCAACACAAAAAUGAAAUAAACAAAUAAAUAAGCUAAACAAUUGGCACGUGCAGAUGGAGAAAAUUACAGAGCGAAGGAUCGAGAGGAAGAGAGAAAUCGAGCUUUGAAAAGAGAAGGUGCGAAGCGCGAUGUCAAUGGAUGCCUAAGUCGCGAAAGCAGCGCCAUUCUCUGUUCACUUUCUGCUGCUGCUAUCGAGAGAGAGGAAUUUGAGAAUGGUAAGUUUGUUUAUUUUGAAGAGCCGAGUUAGGGGUAUUUUUCUGUUUGGUUUUCUUUCUUUCUUUUUUUUAGUCAAAAUUCAGAUCGUAGUCGGUGAGCUAUGCGCUAUGGGUUCAUUCUGGCUGACUGGUUGCGCUGGAGGGGUGGGUGCGUUUUAAAAAUUGCUGUUUAGGUGUGGUGGGGCUACUAGCCUCAAAAGGUUGCUCUAUUUUCCUACUCUUUUCAAUGUGGUCACCGUCAAUUAAUUUUUCUUAAUACACACCUCCUUCCUGGGCUUGGUUUCGUAAUUCUGUUGGCUUUGCUGUGGUUAUAGCUGUUUUUUUUCAUUUAUUUAUUUUAAUUUAAUUAUUGUUAAUAGUAUUGUAUAUCUAAAAUUAUUACAUCAAAUUGAUGCUUCUAUAAUUAAUGGUCUGUGAGUGCUUCCAAAAAUAUCAUGAAACACUUUGGAUAUUAUGGUAAUUAUUAUCUCUUAUUUAAAUAAGUGUUUCUUUUCAAAUUAAGUUUUUAAAACUCUAAAAUAAAAAUCAUAUUUAAAACUAUUGUAUCUUGUUAGGUGAAACCAAUUAUUUAUUAUUUAUUCUUUAUCUUCUAAUUCUGGAUUAAGUUGACACAAGGUAUUUAUACAUAUAACAAAUUAAUUAUAAAAUUGUGAUAGAAAUAUAAUAAUUUAGUAAAAGAAAUGCGAUAACUUUAUUCAUUGUAUUUUUAUUAUCUUGAUCUUAUAUCAAAUGAGAGAAAUUAAGCAGCGAUACAUCAAAUCCCACUUGUAAGAACAACUAGAAUUUAGCUUGUGGAGCUAGACAAAACGACCUAUUUGAGUUUAUAUUAAGAGUUGAUGUAGAAGGACCAAAUUAAUAAAAUUAAUUGAUUGAUGAUGUAACAUAAAAAAUAAGAAAUAAGAGGGACUUGUAGCUGUGCUCUAUUUUUUUUUCUUUUUUUCCUGUUUUUUGGCUUUCGGCUUUUCUUUAGGUAAAUUUAUGGUCAGCUCCUCGAAGUUUUUGUUACUGUAGACUGCGCCUCUAAAUAAACUAAUGGAUUGUUUUUCCUUUUUCUGCUACCUGCAUCUACUUGGGCUGGAGUAGAGCCCAUACACCUGCCUUUCUGUAAGGGUUUUUUGGGUGAAAGCCCACUUUCGACAUCUAAGAAGAUUGUUACUGGGUAAAAGCCCAACAAUAGCCUCUAACACACAAAAAAUAGGCCCUGGACAAAAUGGGUUAUCCUGUCGAGAAGGGAAAAAAACUUUGUUAUAAAGUUUAUUUUAUUUAUUUUUUUCUAAUUCAAAUUCAAUUAAAGAAUUUGAAGUAUAGCUGCCAGACAAAACAGGGACAGUUGGGUCACUAAAUCAAUCCAGGAUUAUAAUUUAAACACAAUUUUAAAUGCAAACCACAAUUUAAAACCUAAAUAUUCUAGUAGAUCAUAAAUAUAAUUCAUAUAUCCAAUUUAAAGUUUGAAAUGCCAAAUAACAAUCACAAUCAGUAAUUAUAAUUGAUGUACAUAUAUUAUAACGAGGUCAGUCAGUCUCGUCCUUAAUUAAUACAAGGAGAUUCGCCAACAAAUUCAAUAUCAAGUCACAAAACCAUAUUUCAUAGAGUAAUGCUAUCCACACAGAGGAUAAGAAUUGCAAGUAUAGAGAUAUCUUGGAAACGCGUGCUAAUCUGUGUUUCUAAAAAAAUUAUAUUUUUAUUAUUAAAAAUUAAAAUUUUUAUAUAUUUUGUAUUGUUUUGAUGGGUUGAUCUCAAAAAUAAAUUUUAAAAAAUAAAAAAAAUAUGAUUUUAAUACAUUUUAAUAUAAAUAACAUUUUAAACAAUAUUUUUCUUUCUGGAUAGGCACUUCAGGUCAUGCCCGAUUUUAAUUUCUCUCCUCCUCCUCCUCCUGCUGACCAUUUCUCUCAACUGCUCUUGUGACUUCCUGGAAAACGCACAUACUCAUCAUAUUUUUUCAACAUAGCUUGUUCAAUCAAGAUGAAGUAUUUCUUAGCAUGACAUGACAUGAUUUCUAGCAAAAUGCCACCACAUGUCCCUUCUUUCUUCUCGAAUCGCAAAUUGCUAGAAAGUGACCCUUGUCUCUCUGUACACUUUGGUGAAUUUUAAUCAUAGUUAUAAACUUGAUAAUUUAUAAUUUUAGAUAAGUUAAGUUUUAUUUCAAAUUAUUUUGAUAUUGAUAUAAUCAGAUUUGAAUAAUUCGGCUGAUUGAUUGAGUUAAACAUUAAAAAAACAGAAAUAACAUAAAAAUCUAAAAUCAAUUUGAAACAAAAACUUUUUAUGAGUUUAGAUCUGAUUUUUAAAAUAAUUUCCGAGAUAAGAAAUAUUAGUUGAACUUUUUUUAUUGAAUUGAAUAGAAUAUUUUAUCAUUAAAAUUAAUUUUUUUAUUAACCAGAAUUGAUAUCAACAUCUUUUUUUUCUCUGUAACUAAAUUCAGUAUUCUUUCACUUUUAUUAAACUAGAAACUAAAAAGUCAAAGAAAUAAUUUUUUUUUUACAAAAAUUGAAUUGAAAAAAACUAUAUUUACACGACAAACUUGUAAUGAAGACUUGCUACUUGACUUGACUGUUUUCCCACACUGGAAAUUCUAGAAUAGGGCCAUCCGUUAUUCCGUCCCCAUGCAGAAGAAGGAGCUCAAAUUAUCUCCCCAGCACAAUAAUACAUAAUUAAAGAAAAAAAUCACGAACAAGGACAGGAUCUGUAUUAGCCUUCGACAUUCAUCUAAAGCAACAUGUUAGCCUAAUUUGAAUGCAGCAACACGAAAGAAAGGCAUAAAGAAAUUUAGGAACCCAUGGAGAAAACUUAAUCAAAACCCCUUUCCUGGUGGCUGUGAGGGUUGAGGAAACAAAGCUCAACAGCUUGAGCUUGGAAAGAACGAAGAAAGGGCUCCUGAUUGCUUCUAUCAGAGUUGGUGGUUGUGAGGGUCGAGUUGGAGAUUUUCAUUUUCAUUCCAGGGUGUCCAGUACGAGUAAUGAGGAUGAAAAUUAAAAAAAAAACAAAAUUCUGGAUGGCAGUGUUUAAUUCUUACAUUUUUCCCCCUCACAGUUAGACCCGUUAGGUUUGGAUUCGAUCAAGUUGGAUGAACUGAAUUUCUAAAAAAAUUAUUCGGAUUAAACGCAUUUCACAAAAUCAAAAUCUUGAACGAUUCAACUACUAACUUAGCUCGGAUUAAAUUCCAAAUAUCUGGUUUCCAAUCUCAUUUAUGGUACGUAAUCUUAAAAAUCGUUCUCUGUAUUCCAUUCUCUUGGUUCAUGAAGCCAGUACCGUGGAACUGAAUUCUAUAUUUUGGUCAAACAAACUAGAGUUCCAUAUUCCAUGCAUGCAUGCUCUAGGUUCUAUGAAGGAAGACUUGACAAAUACUUCAAGCACAGACAAUUUAUUGGCCCACCGGGAUUGAUGAAACAAAGAAAAAAAAAGGAGAGAAUUUUUAUGAUUCCACAAAUUUACUUUUUCAAAAUUUAGAAAAACAACGUCUGGACGCAUUUCCAAACCAAACCUUAAACCCUCUAAACGGGCAAAAAGACUUGCCCCAUUCAACAAGGAAGCUAAAAUGUCGAGAUUGGAAGGGAACUGCCCUGCAGGAGCGCUAUAUAAACAAGCCAGAUUAUCAAUGUCUAGCAUCCAUAAGUUCUCCUCUCGAACCCACAAGUGAAGGAGAGUCCUAGAUUUCAUGUCUACAAUGACAGCUAGAAGUUUUCCGAUUUUUGUAGCCAUUUUACUUCUUGUUGCGAUGCAAUCACGCACCAUUCAAUCAAAACCAAGUGGAGAUCCUUUUGGGUUCAUCAAACACCUGGAGGGAUGCCACAAGAAUGGAUCUGUCAAAGGGCUUCAUGAGCUCAAAAGAUAUCUUGAGAAAUUUGGAUACUUGAAGUAUGGUCAUCAAGGAAAGAAGGGCCAUAACCAUGCCAAUGACGAUGAGUUUGACGAUCUUUUAGAGUCUGCAAUCAAGGCAUAUCAGCAGAACCAUCAUUUGAACGUUACAGGAAGCCUAGACAAUAGUACAGUGCACGAAAUGAUGCAGCCUAGAUGUGGCGUGCCAGAUGUUGUCAAUGGCACAAAGCAUUACCAUACUCACAAGUCCAUCCACACACUAGCUCACUACAAUUUCAUUCCUGGAAAUCGUAGAUGGGCAAAAAGGCAAUUGACGUACACGUUUCGUUCCAGUGUCCAAGUCCCGGCUGCACAGAACAUAAGAUCCAUCUGCGCAAAAGCUUUUCGAAGAUGGGCACAGGUCACCGAAUUCACUUUUCAGGAAGUUAGCGGUAGCUCCCCUGCAGAUAUUGUAAUUGGAUUCCAUCGCGGAGACCAUAACGAUGGUAAAGCCUUUGACGGUCCUCAAGCAGUGGCGGAGCCACGUGGGUGCAAAAGGGGGCAAUUGCCCCCUUCAUUUUUUUUAAAGUAUUUUCUAUAUUAGGAUAUUAAUAUAAUAAUUUGGGGAGGAUUUGAUACACGGAAAGUGGAAAGUUGCUGUUUACUUAUAUUUUAAUAUAAUAUAUAAUAUAUAUUUUCAGUUUAUUUACUUAAACUUUUUCCUUUUUUUUUUUCGUUUUUUUCACUAAUUAAUAGAGAGUCAUUUUUCCUUUUGAAUUGUUGUCUUCCUCUCUCUUAUGCAAAUUUCUUUUAAAGUCCAGAUAACUAAGUAAUUUCUUUAGCUUUAUACUUUAAAUAAAUUUUUUUUUUAUCUUUUCUAUUUAUUUCAUUAUCUAAUUUUAGUUUUAUUUUUUUAUAAUUAGUUAUUAAAAAUAUUAGGGUUUAUGAUAAUUUAGGGGUUUUAAUAUGAAUGUGUUCAAAUAUGUUCAAAAUAAAUGUUUGAAUUUACUAAUUUAAUCAAUUAAAUGUUUUUUUUUCUUAUUAUAAAUGAAUAAAUUAAUGUUCAUGCAAAACCACUAUUCUUGACACCUCUUGUAUUGACAUAGUAGAUUAUUGGAAUUAUUUAACUAAGAUCUCUUAGUUCUAUAAUUAUGGAUUAAUUAUUUAAUUGAGGUCUCUUAAUUUACAAUGUACAUAUAUUAAUUGUCAUUUUAUAUCACAAAUUUAUUUGUAAUUAAUUGUUAACGAAAUGCUUGGAGUUAGGAGAGGGGAUGGGUUUAAAUCUUAUAAGUUACACUUUUUCUCUCUCGGUAUUUUCUCUUAUUUGAAAGUAUAGGAUAGUAUUAAAACUUGUUUCACAUAUUUGAUUUAGUGAGUUCAUACAAAUUUUUUGUGUGUGUCUAGAAAUAAUUUAAAUGUCUAAAAAUGAUUAAGUAUAAUUUAAUCAACAUACUUAUUAUAUACAUAUAGAUAUGAAUUGAAAUGAGUUUUGAUGAAUUGAUGUAUAUUUUGCUAUGAAUAUCAUAUGAAAGAUUUAGAAUUAUUGUGUAACUCAACUGACUUUAUUAUUAUGUAGUUGUGUUAAUUAUUAUGUAGACACUAAUGAUAAUAAAAAAAAUCAGUAGGUUCAUUGAUUAAAUUAACACGUCACUAUACAAGUAUUUCAAGUGUAAAUCCCUUGAGAAUAAAUAGUUAUUCAAAACUUCAAAUCAUGUAACUCAAUCAAGUUAAAAAAAAAAUUAUAUUAAAAAGUUAUAGUAUUUAUUAGUAAUUUGCCCCCUCAUCAAAAAAAUUCUGGCUCCGCCACUGUCCUCAAGGGGUCUUAGCCCAUGCUACUCCACCAGCUAGUGAUGCAAUAUUCCAUUUCGAUGCGGAUGAAAAUUGGAGUGAAAACCCAGGACCUAACCAGAUGGACCUGGAAUCUGUUGCUGUGCAUGAAAUAGGACAUCUUCUUGGUCUUGACCACAAUGAUGAUCCAAAAGCCGAUGCCAUCAUGUCUUCCGGAAUUCCUUCUGGGAUUGCGAAAAGGGAUUUGCGUGCGGAUGAUAUUCAGGGUGUACGAGCUUUAUACGGAUUCGCUAAUUGAAGCACGUACAAAAGGAGAAUGAUGCUUGCAGUUUCUAUUAUCUAAAUUAAGAAUAAAUUUCCAUCAGUUUCUAGUUACGAAUUUGUGUUUAAUUAGGCCACCCCUGAUCUUAGAGGUGGUUAGAGUCUUUAUUUGCAAAGUAUCUCCUUGCAAGCCUAAAACUAUUUUGUAAACCAUUUCUUUGAGAUCGUAAAUAAAUUAUGUUUGCAAAAUACAAAUAAUCGCGGAUUAAUUGGACGAGUCUCUUCAAGGUCUAUUUGUGCAGCCAGCCGCAUGUUGUCUGUGUCACAGAGCAUUACCGAAGGCAUAAUAAUUCCAUCCACACUGUACUCUAUAUUUUCAUCCGACGAAACCCAAGAUGUCCACCAGAGAAAAGGCAUUUAAUGUAUAGGAAUUAGGAUUGGUUCUAGUGGUCAAGUCCAUCGCACAGAUGCACACAGAGCAUAACGUCUAUCAGCUGCAAUCUGUGGACAAGCUUUUCAAAUAUAGAGACAAGUUUGCCCAAUUUGUUUUGAUAAUAAUGCACAAAUUGAAUUGCCAUAUGCAACCCCUCUCUCUCCCACAACUCGAACAAUCAUUAUUUUUUUUUUCAUUGAACACGUCCACGGAUUUUUUCUUGGCAUGGUGCAUGAACCGAAGUUCAAACCUAGCUAUCUUGCUUAUACUGAACAAGAAGACCACCUCAGCUUAACUCAAAUUCCUAAGCCGGCAUUACACAUGCAUUCCUUCGAAGAAUGGAAAGUACAUAACACACACAGGACACCACAGGCUGAUAAUUUCCUGUAGGAUUUGGUUUCUUUGUCCAAUAAUUCUCCAAUUGGAAGAAUGUUACAACUACAGGCAUGUGUUAAUGCGUUUUGAAUGAGCAUCGACACUAUGAAUUAUCCCUAUUGUAUUAUUUGGAUGUCGUUUCAAGGCACUUGAGCCAUUAAAAACGGUGAGGAUGGACCCGGCCUAUGAACUAUUUUCUUUAUUGAAAGAAAAAAAAAUCAUUACAAAAUAAUUACAUAUUCUCUCGAGGUAUUAUUUUUAAUUGCUAGGUAAACUGCAUGCUUUCAUCAUCAUUAUCUAGAAUCUGAAUUUAAAGAAAGGCUAUAAGAAAAAAAAAAACAAUCUUAUGAACAGAUAGGUAUGGAUAUGAGUGACCUGUUUUAAGAACCAAUCAAGAAAAAAAUUAAUCUCACGCAUGAAAACUUUCUCUGAUACCUGACCGAUGGAGAAAAUAAUAAUUGGCUGAUGUGGAAUGGUUUUAGGCUUUCAGCCACACAUUUGUUCCUUAAUUUACAACUAAUCACUUAUGGUUCGCUCUGUUUGAUCAUGAGAAAUAUCAUUACAUCAUAUUUAGAUGUGAAAAGGCUAAAAAAUAUCAUCACAUCACACUGUGUAUUGAUUCCAGUCUAUUCAAGUUAUGAAAGAGGAACCUUCACCAUCAACAAAUACAAAAUUUGUGGAGAAUUUUUAAAAUUAUUUUAUUAUAUUGAAAGAAACAAAAUAUUUCUGUUUUGAAGUGAAAUUUGUAUAAUUGGUCCAAUAAUAGCGAAAACCUCUACAUCACUACGUAGUUUCAAUCAAUUCAUGAAUUCAGUAUAUUUAACUUUUUGAUGCCCUUUAUUUGUUGGUAAAUUUAUCACUAAUUUUAUUAUUAAUGAAUUUAUUAACAAAUUAAAAAUCACCAAAAAUAAUUUUUUUAAUAAAUAUUUCUGUUCGUCAGUCUAUUGAUAAAAUUCGUGUCAAUAGACUGAAAGUACAAAUACUAAUAGACUAUUCUGUUAGUAAAUGUAAAAAUUCUGUUAGUGUCAGGAUGUUUAAUAAUUGAAAGAAUUCAGUCCAUACAUGACAACAUCUAUGGAAAAGUUGAAAACCAUACCUUAACAUCUCUGAUUGAAAUGUUAAAACGUCAACGACAUGUUAGCUUUCUGUCAAUUUAUGCUUGAAAAAACAUAAUAGAUACCCUUAGGAGAAUAUCUUCUGGUUGGGGCACUAUAUAUUUAUUUAUGUGGAGUUUCAUGUUCAUCCUGAAGAAGUCCUAACCAAUUGAAAGAGGCUUCCAAGUAUGGCUGAAAAAACCUUCAAAUUUCUAGUAUCCCUUUUUCUUCUCCUGGUGAUUCUGAUAAAAUUUGUCCAAUCAGAACCAACUGGGCAUCAUCCAUUCAAAUCCAUCCUGAACCUUGUGGAAAGCCAAAAAGGUCAAUCUGUUUCCAAGCUGCACCUUGUAAAACAGUAUCUGAAGAAAUUUGGAUACUUGGAUUAUGAUCUUUCAAGUAACAAGAACCUGAACCAGGUUGACGAUGACGAGUUCGAUGACCGUUUGGAGUCUGCUAUCAGAACCUAUCAGCAAAACUUUCAUUUGGAAGUCACUGGAAGGCUAGACAAACGUACUGUGAAUCAAAUGAUGAAGCCUAGAUGUGGUGUGGCUGAUAUCUUCAAUAGCACAAAGCACCACAAUAGUUCCAAGUCUUCUGAUGGGGUGGCCAAUGCUGACUAUUCGUUCUUCCCUGGAGCCCCCAGAUGGUCCAAAAAGCAUUUGAAGUACACGUUUGGCGCAACCGUCCAAGUCGCUGGUGCAGAGAGUAUAAGGUCUGUUUGCAAACAAUCCUUUCAAAAAUGGGCACAAGUUACUGACUUCACGUUCGAAGAAGUGCCUAAUUCUGCCGAUGCUGAUAUUAAAAUUGCCUUUUACCAACUAGACCACGGAGAUGAUGAGCCAUUUGAUGGCCCUGGAGGAAUCUUUGCCCAUGGUUUUAGACCAACUAUCGGGAUGCUACAUUUUGAUGCUGAUGAAACCUGGAGCAGCAAUCCUGGACGUCAAGAGCUAGACCUGGAAUCCGUCGCUGUGCAUGAAAUAGGUCACUUACUCGGACUUGGUCACAGCGAAGACCAUCCAGAUGCAAUCAUGUAUCCAUACUUUGAUUAUGGAAAGACAAAAAGGAGUUUGCAAGAGGAUGACAUCGAAGGUAUCCGUGACCUCUAUGGACUUUGAUUAAAAGCCACAUAUAACUAAAAGAUUAUUAUACCUGUUAUUGUAUUAGCAAAUAAAGGAUUUGUACGUGGAUUUUAAAAUAUGUGAAGAAGUCACUUCCACAUAAUCUUAUCUCCUUGUAAUCAUAGAACAAUUGCAAUUGAAGUUUUCCAGUCUGCAUGUUUCUUUCUAGAUAUAAUUAGUGUUCAGGAAUUUGGAGUUUGACAAAAGCCUAUUUUGCUAACCAGAUCUUAAUUUUUCGAGUUAUGCAAUCAACCAAAAGAGCAGUGGCAAUUAGAACUAAAUUCGGAAAAUUUAUCUGUAGGAAGCUGGGGGCAUUAUAUUCUCUCUUCUUCUAAAAUAAGAAUUCUAAGCCCCCCAAAUCACCUGCUAUUAUGUAGCACAGAUGGUCGAAACCCAGAUGAAAUUAGCAUGAGCGGUCCAAUAAUAUUACAAAACCUCUACAUCAGUACAGAAGUUUCAAUCAAUUCAAGCUGUCCAAUAAUUUAGCCCAUCAACAGCAUGUUAGCUUUCUGAAAACCAUACCUUAACGCCUCUUAUUGAAAUGUCAUAAUAAGCACAUCAACAGCAUGUUAGCUUUCUGUCAAUUUAUACCUGAAAAAUCAUACUGGAUACCUUUACGAGAAUAUCUCCAGGUUCAGGCACUGUAUAUUUAUGUGGAGUUUCAUGUUCAUAUACCUGAACAAGCCCUAACCAACUGAAAGAGGCAGCUAGCUCCCACCAAGUAUGGCUGAAAACAAAGUACUCGAAUAUGCUCCUUUUAUAAUAUAUAUAUAUAUAUAUAUAUAUAUAUUAUGAACUUGCACAUCACACUAAAAUGUGAUUUACUUCAAAGCUGAUACAUUAAAAAUUAAUUUCACCAAUCACAUUCUUCUCUUUCUGUAAGGGUUUUUUAGGUGAAAACCCAGUUUCAACGUCUAAAAAGAAUAAAUUUUGAAAUUUAUUUUAAAUAAAAAGAUUUACUAGAAAACAAAAUCGAUUAAAUUACUUAAAUAGUGGAAAUCAAUUCCAGCAUAAAAUUGGUUUCAAAAGGCAGCAAAGGUACAACAAUAAUUUGACUCAUCAAGCACCCCAAUGAGGUCGAGCCCCUAGAGAUGAUAAUCUCCGUUGACUCAUUAACGGUUGUUAAUUAUUACUGGAGUCUGGGCCUCUAAUUCCUUUUUCUGUUUUCUUCACCUACUUGGGCUGAAGUAGAGCCCAUACACCUGCCUUUCUGUAAGGGUUUUUUAGGUGAAAACCCAGUUUCAACGUCUAAAAAGAUUGUUACUGGAUAAAAGCCCAACUGUAGCCUCUAGCAUACAAAAGAUAGGCACCGAACAAAAUGGGUUAGCCUGUAAAGAAAGGGAAAAAAAAAAAAAAAACUUUGUUAUAAAGAAUUUGAAGUAUAGCUGCCAGACAAAAUAGGGACAGUUGGGUCACUAAAUCAAUCCAGGAAUACUACGUCAACUCAUGCAGACUAACAAAUAGAAAAAAUAAUAUUUUUUUGACAAAAAUUGAAUUGAAAAACUAUAUAUGUUUCCACGGGAAACUUGUAAUUAAUGAAGACUUGCUACUUGACUUGUCUGUUUUCCCACAGUGGAAAUUCUAGAAUAGGGCCAUCCGUCCCCAUGCAGAAGAAGGAGCUCAAAUUCUCUUCCCAACACAAUAAUACAUAAUUAAAAAAUAAAAUUGAUGAAUAAGGACAGGAUCUAUAUUAGCCUUCUACAUUCAUCUAAGCAACCAUCUCUUAGCCUAAUUUGAAUGCAACAACACGAAAGAAAGGCAUAAGGAAUCACGGAACCCAUGGAGAAAACUUAAUCAAAACCCCUUUCCUGGAUAACAAUAAUGUACUAAAUCAAGUAUAAAGACCCGGGUACAUGAAAGAUGGAUACAAGAAACUCAACAGCUUGAGCUUGGAAAGAACGAAGAAAGGGCCGCUCCGGAUUGCUUCUAUCAGAGUUGGUGGUUCUCCAGAACGAGUAAUGAGGAUAAAAAAAAAAAAAGAGUUCUAUCAAGUAUAAAGAACUCAUGAAAUCUAUAUUUUGGUCAAACAAACAAAAGUUUUAAUUCCAUAUUCCAUGCUCUAGGUUCUAUCAAGGAAGACUUGACAAAUACUACAAUCACAGACAAUUUAGUGGUCCAUCGGGAUUGAUGAAAACAAAUAAAAAAAAGGAGAGAAUUUUUAUGAUUCCACAAAUUUACUUUUUCAAAAUUUAGAAAAACAACGUCUGGACGCGUUUCCAAACCAAACCUUAAACCCUCUUAACGGGCAAAAAGACUUGCCCCAUUCAACAAGGAAGCUAAAAUGUCGAGAUUGGAAGGGAACUGCCCUGCAGGAGCGCUAUAUAAACAAGCCAGAUUAUCAAUGUCUAGCAUCCAUAAGUUCUCCUCUCGAACCCACAAGUGAAGGAGAGUCCUAGAUUUCAUGUCUACAAUGACAGCUAGAAGUUUUCCGAUUUUUGUAGCCAUUUUACUUCUUGUUGCGAUGCAAUCACGCACCAUUCAAUCAAAACCAAGUGGAGAUCCUUUUGGGUUCAUCAAACACCUGGAGGGAUGCCACAGGAAUGUAUCUGUCAAAGGGCUUCAUGAGCUCAAAAGAUAUCUUGAGAAAUUUGGAUACUUGAAGUAUGGUCAUCAAGGAAAGAAGGGCCAUAACCAUGCCAAUGACGAUGAGUUUGACGAUCUUUUAGAGUCUGCAAUCAAGGCAUAUCAGCAGAACCAUCAUUUGAACGUUACAGGAAGCCUAGACAAUAGUACAGUGCACGAAAUGAUGCAGCCUAGAUGUGGCGUGCCAGAUGUUGUCAAUGGCACAAAGCAUUACCAUACUCACAAGUCCAUCCACACACUAGCUCACUACAAUUUCUUUCCUGAAAAUCCUAGAUGGACAAAAAGGCAAUUGACGUACAAGUUUCGUUCCAGUGUCCAAGUCCCGGCUGCACAGAACAUAAGGUCCAUCUGCGCAAAAGCUUUUCAAAGAUGGGCACAGGUCACCGAAUUCACUUUUCAGGAAGUUAGCGGUAGCUCCCCUGCAGAUAUUGUAAUUGGAUUCCAUCGGCGAGACCAUAACGAUGGUUCCGCCUUUGACGGUCCUGGAGGGACCUUAGCGCAUGCUACUCCACCAGUUAGGAAUGCAAUGUUCCAUUUCGAUGCGGAUGAAAAUUGGAGUGAAAACCCAGGACCAAACCAGAUGGACCUGGAAUCUGUAGCCGUGCAUGAAAUAGGACAUCUCCUCGGUCUUGACCACAAUGAUGAUCCAAAUGCCGAUGCCAUCAUGUCUUCCAGAAUUCCUUCUGGGAUUGCGAAAAGGGAUUUGCGUGCGGAUGAUAUUCAGGGUGUACGAGCUUUAUACGGAUUCGCUAAUUGAAGCACGUACAAAAGGAGAAUGAUGCUUGCAGUUUCUAUUAUCUAAAUUAAGAAUAAAUUUCCAUCAGUUUCUAGUUACGAAUUUGUGUUUAAUUUGGCCAUCCUGAUCUUAGAGAGGCGGUUACAGUCUUUAUUUGCAAAGUAUCUCCUUGCAAGCCUAAAACUAUUUUGUAAACCAUUUCUUUGAGAUUGUAAAUAAAUUAUGUUUGCAAAAUACAAAUAAUUGUUGGGUAAUUCCCAGAACUCAAACACACACAAUUUACGUGGUUCGGCAACUUGCCUACUCCACGGAGCUACUGGUUUGUAUUAAUGAAGCUUACAAACAAUACAAACAAAGGAGGAGGAGAUAAAACUCUCUCAACUCAACUCUACUCUCUCAAGCUCUCUCUAUUCUUCUCUGUUCUCUCUUCUCUCUGUGUUUCUCACGCUGCUCUCUGUGUUCUUCAUACACAGGCACAACAGCUCUUCACUGAGCAUACAUAUAUAUUAAGCUAGGAGUGAAGGGCAUAAAUCAUGCCAUGAUUUAUGCCCACCGUUUGCCUCCACUUGUGCUAAGUGGAGAUUAGGUAUUCCCACUAAGCACAUAGUGGAGGUGGGACAUUGCUUGUCUCCAAAUAGCUAACAAUCUCCCACUUGGAGACAAACAAUGAAAAAAUAUCUUUUAUCCUUGAAGACCAACUGAAGUUUUGCACAACUUCAGUUUAUCAAGUGUAACUCCUUUGGUUAACAUGUCAGCUGGAUUCUUGCUUCCACAGACCUUUUCUAGCAUUAGUUGCUCGUCAUCCAGCAGUUGUCGGAUGAAGUGAUAUUUGAUCUGAAUAUGCUUCGUCCUGGAGUGAAAUGCUGGAUUCUUGGCAAGGAAGAUUGCACUCUGACUGUCGCUAUACAAAGUACCUUUUCCAUUCAACUUGCCCAAUUCCUUCAGGAAACUCUGCAACCAUACUAUCUCUUUUGCAGAUUCUGAGACUGCAACAUAUUCAGCUUCUGUUGUUGAAAGAGCGACAAUCUUUUGCAAGGUAGAACUCCAGGAAACAGCAGUACCUCCUAGAGUAUACACAUAUCCUGUAGUGCUCUUUCUGCUAUCAACAUCUCCUGCUAGAUCAGCGUCUACAAAACCUUCAAGUUUCAAACCACCAGCUGUGAAGGUAAGACAUGUCUCUGAUGAACCUUUUAAGUACCUCAUGAUCCAUUUGACCGCCUCCCAAUGCUGCUUUCCAGGAUUGCUCAUAUAUCGGCUUACAACUCCCACUGCAUGGGCAAUGUCUGGUCUGGUACAGACCAUAGCAUACAUCAAAGAGCCGAUAGCUGAGGCGUAUGGAAUCUUAUCCAUGUAUCCACAUUCUUGCUCAGUUUUUGGUGACUGAUCUUUGCUGAGCUUGAAAUGAUUCCCCAGUGGUGUACUUACUGGUUUAGUAUUAUCCAUACUAAACCUGCUGAGAACCUUCUUGACAUACUCUGUUUGUGAAAGCUUUAGUACGCCUUUGUCUUUAUCUCUGAAGAUUCUCAUGCCAAGUAUUUGUUUAGCAGCUCCCAGAUCCUUCAUUUCAAACUGUUUUGACAACUGCUGUUUCAGCUUAUCAAUCUCCUCAAUACUGGAUCCUGCAAUCAACAUAUCAUCUACAUAUAAUAGUAGAAUGAUGUAGGAGUUGUCAAAAUGUUUGACAUAACAACAAUGAUCAGCUUGACAUCUUGUAUAUCCCGAACUACACAUGAAGUUGUCAAACUUCUUGUACCACUGUCUUGGAGCUUGCUUCAAGCCGUAUAAGCUUUUCUUUAGCUUGCAGACUUGUUUCUCCUUUCCUUGUAUUUCAAACCCCUCUGGCUGUUGCAUGUAAAUGUCUUCCUCCAAUUCUCCAUGAAGAAAGGCUGUUUUUACAUCUAAUUGUUCAAGAUGUAAAUUCUCUGCUGCUACUAUCCCCAGAACAACUCUGAUUGUUGUGAGCUUCACAACUGGAGAAAAUAUCUCAGAGUAGUCAAUCCCUUUCUUUUGUUGAAACCCUUUUACAACAAGUCUUGCCUUGAACCGUUUACUUCCGUCAUGCUCAGUCUUCACUCUGUAAACCCACUUGUUUUGUAAAGCCUUCUUUCCUUCAGGCAGUGUGGUUAGCUCCCAAGUCUUGUUCUUCAGCAACGAACUCAUCUCAUCCUUCAUGGCUAACUCCCACUUGCUUGAGUUUCCAUCUUGUAAGGAUUCUUCAUAAGUUAGCGGUUCACCACCAUCUGUCAACAAAAUGUAAUUCAGUAAAAGUGUGAACCGUUGCGGGGGCUUUAUCGUCCUCGAAGACCUGCGAACAGCUGGUUCAAUUUGCUCCGCUUCUUCUUGUGUAGUAGCGGGUACAGAUAUGCUUGAGUCUUCUUGUAAAGGCUCUUGAUUGUUGUUCUGCUCAGUAACAUCGGGAAGGCCUUCUAAUCUUAUGAAUUCAGAUCCUUGUGGACUUGUAUCUGAAUCAGCCUUAUCCUUAUCUGUUUCUGCACUUGAUCUGUCUUUGUACAGAACUUUCUCAUUGAAGAUCACGUUCCUGCUUCUGAGAAUCUUUCUAUUCUGAUCAUCCCAGAAUCGAUAUCCAAAUUCUUCAUCUCCAUAGCCGAUGAAGAAACAUUUCUUGGAUUUGGCAUCCAACUUGUUGCGAGCAUUAGAAUCUAUAUGAACAUAGGAAACACACCCAAAUAUCUUUAAAUGAGAGAGUUGUACCUCUUUUCCUCUCCAUACUUCCUCGGGCAGUCUGAACUCCAAAGGAACUGAUGGUCCACGGUUGAUCAAGUAAACUGCAGUAUGAACUGCAUCGGCCCAAAAUGUUUGAGGUAACCCAGAAUGCAACCUCAUGCUUCUAGCUCGUUCAUUGAUGGUCCUGUUCAUCCGUUCAGCAACGCCAUUCUGUUGCGGUGUGCCUGGAACGGUCUUUUCCAUUCUGAUACCAUUGACAACACAAUACUCCUUGAAACCUCCAUCAAUGUAUUCUCCUCCAUUAUCGGAUCUCAAGCAUUUCAACUUCAGACCUGAUUCAGUCUCAACUAUAGCCUUCCAUUUCUUGAAUGUUUCAAACACAUCAGAUUUAUUUUUCAGAAAGUAGACCCAUACCUUUCUGCUGAAAUCAUCAAUGAAAGUCACGUAAUACCGAGAACCUCCAAGAGAUGCUACUGGAGACGGUCCCCAUAAAUCUGUGUGUACCAGUUCUAGCUUUCUUGGUCUUAAGGUCCUGCCAACCUUUAAGAAACUGAGUUUCUUCUGUUUUCCAAGAACACAGCUUUCACAAAUGUCUAGAUCAACAUUUUUAAGCUCUGGCAGCUUUCCCUUCGAUUGAAGUACCUUCAUCCCCUUUUGACUCAUAUGGCCGAAUCUACAGUGCCAUAGAUGUGCUUGAUUUUCUGCUUCAGUAGAGGCAAUAAUGUCUGCAAAUCUUAUGGUCAUAUACAGGGUGCCGGUUUUCUUUCCACGAGCCAAAACCAUUGCUCCCUUUGAAACCUUCCACAUACCUCCAGAAAAAAGGAUUGAAUGACCACUAUCAUCAAGUUGUCCGACCGAGAUCAGCUUCUUCUUUAGAUCAGGAACAUGCCUUACAUUUUGCAAGUUCCAUAUAGAUCCAUUCAUUGUCUUGAUUUGUACAUCUCCUAUACCCACAAUAUCCAAUGGUUGUCCAUCGGCCAGAUAGACUACACCGUGAUCUCCAGCAAUAUAGUUUUGCAUCAUUUCAUGGUGUGGUGUACAGUGAAAUGAAGCACCAGAAUCAAGAACCCAAUCAUCAACAUGACUAUGCACAGCAAGAAUCAAAGCAUCUUGUACCUCGUCUGUAGUGGCGUUUGCAGAGUCAGCUUCAGGUUUUUUCGGUUUUGUGCAAUUCCUCAUGAAAUGACCAGGUUUGCCACAAUUCCAACAUUCAACCUGCUUUCUGGGUCCGAACUUGCUUUUACUUCUGUAUCUUGAUUUGGAUCUGCCUCUGGAUAAGCCUCUAUCCUGUCUCCUCCCUCGAGUGUUAAUGUUGAGAGCUGAUCCUGAACUUGAACUUUCACCUGAGUCUUUCCUUCGCACUUCUUCAGCUAAAAUCAAGUCUCGGAUGUCAUCAUAUUUCAGUUUGGAUUUUCCAGCUGAAUUGCUCACGGCUGUCCUCAUACCUUCCCAACUGCUUGGAAGUGAAGCUAGCAAAAUGAGUGCACGGAUCUCAUCAUCAAACUCAAUCUCAACAGAUGACAAUUGAUUUGUAAUGGUAUUGAAGUUGUUGAGAUGUUGUGUCACAGAGGUGCUUUCUGUCAUCUUCAAGUUGAACAACUUCUUCAUCAGGUGCACUUUGUUAUUUGCUAAGGGCUUCUCAUACAUCCCAGACAAAGCUUCCAUUAGUCUUGCAGUGGAUCUUUCUUUUGUAACAUUGUGAGCAACUCUUCUCGAUAAGGAUAGCCGGAUAAUGCCCAAAACCUGUCUAUCAAGAAGUUGCCAAUCUUCUUCUGGCAUAUUUUCUGGUUUGCUCCCCAACAGAGGAAGAUGAAGUUUCUUCCCAUAUAAAUAGUCUUCAAUUUGCAUUUUCCAAUAUCCAAAAUCUGUUCCAUCAAAUUUUUCAAUUCCCGCAGCUUUUAUUUCAUCUGUCAUUUUAAUAUGUCUCGGAUUUAAAUCUGUCAAAUCUGACCUUACAGAUGUGUCCGGAACGGCCAAAACUAUUGGAAACGACACUGAGAUCACCCCAAUCGGACUUCGGAUGGCUCAGAUCUUAACAGUCAAAGUUUUAGGUCAACAGACGGUGCUGAUGAAGCCACGUGUCAGGCGGAAAUAGUGUCUGCGAAACACUGAAUCAAAACCCACUGUGAUGACGUGGAUAGAUGACGUGGCAUCCACGUCAGAAAUCCGGGCCCACCUUUGAUGACGUGGCAAAUGCACGCACUUUUUGGCUGACGUGGCAGGUGAUGGCGUGGCUGCUGACUGGUCUGAUGACGUGGCGGAUGACUGUGCAGAAUUGCUGGCGUGGCUGAUGACUGGCUGCUUGCGUGGCGGGUCAACCCGGUUCAGUUGCAGACAAUCGGGUGAAGACGACGCGUGGAGAGCGUGGCGCGAGUGGUCGCGCGUGGGCAGUGCUGUCGUCGGCGCGUGUUGGAGCGUGCGGUCAUGCAGGACGUCGGUUCUUCGCCGGGUUUUCACCAGUGAAUGCGUCUCUACUUCCUCUACGCGAUGGUAAUGUCAAAAACACGUUUUGAGAACUUUGAUUUUUGAGUUUGGAUCAAACACCCUCUUUUUCAAGAACCAGGCUCUGAUACCAGUUGUUGGGUAAUUCCCAGAACUCAAACACACACAAUUUACGUGGUUCGGCAACUUGCCUACUCCACGGAGCUACUGGUUUGUAUUAAUGAAGCUUACAAACAAUACAAACAAAGGAGGAGGAGAUAAAACUCUCUCAACUCAACUCUACUCUCUCAAGCUCUCUCUAUUCUUCUCUGUUCUCUCUUCUCUCUGUGUUUCUCACGCUGCUCUCUGUGUUCUUCAUACACAGGCACAACAGCUCUUCACUGAGCAUACAUAUAUAUUAAGCUAGGAGUGAAGGGCAUAAAUCAUGCCAUGAUUUAUGCCCACCGUUUGCCUCCACUUGUGCUAAGUGGAGAUUAGGUAUUCCCACUAAGCACAUAGUGGAGGUGGGACAUUGCUUGUCUCCAAAUAGCUAACAAUAAUCGGGGAUUAUUUGGACGAGUCUCUUCAAGGUCUAUUUGUGCAGGCAGCCGCAUGUUGUCUGUGUCACAGAGCAUGACCGCAGGCAUAAUAAGUCCGUCCAUACGUACAGUACCCUAUAAUUUCAUCCGACGAAACCCAAGAUGGCCACCAGAGAAAAGGCAUUUAAUUAAUGUAUAGGAAUUAGGAUCGGUUCUAGUCUCCAAGUCCAUCGCACACAGAGCAUAACGUUUAUCAGCUGUAAUUCUGUGGACAAGCUUUUCAAAUAUAGAAACAAGUUUGCCCAAUAUGUUUUGAUGAUGCACAAAUUGAACUGCCAUAUGCAACUCCUCUCCCCCCCCAUCUCUUAUCAUCAUUUGUUUUUUCAUUGAACACGUCCACGCAUGAAAACUUUCUCUUACACCUAACCGAUGGAGAAAAUAAUAUUUGACUGAUUAAUUUGAGUCAAAUUAAAAUAUUUAAUUAGGUGAGUACUUAAUUAUAUUUCUAAUUGGUCAAAUUAACUUUAUUAGAGGUAUAAUUAAGAUUUAUAAAUAUGUGAAGUCUUAGUAAGAAACGGUCCAACUUCUACAAAAAAAAAUUCCAUCCUCAAUACAUCUUAAAAUUUCCAUCGAUCACAAAACCACUUUGCUUUCACUCCUAAACCAGUUAGAGUAAUUCUAUAUAUGAGACCACGUAUAUGACUAUUUUGGAUAGAGAAAGAGUGUUGUUUUUACCAUUUAUCUCUUAUGAAAUUACUUUUUAUUUAUUUAUUGGAUUUUGUUCUUGAAAGAGAAGGCUCGUGUUUAUACCUAUUUUAAAUUCACAAUCCACUAUAAUUUAAGCUCUACACUUUACAAAAUAAACUCACGCAACAACUAAUUAAGUAAAAUAUUGUUAUAUUUAGAGAUCAUAUAAUGUUCUGGAUACACGUGGGAGGAAACGUUGUGUUUUAUGUUUUUUAAAAGCGUGUUUGAUAUAAAAAUAUAUUAAAUUAAAUUUUUUUAAUGUUUUUAAUAAUUUUGAUGUAUUGAUAUUAAAAAUAAAAAUUAAUAUAUAUAUAUAUAUAUAUAUAUAUAUUUUAAUUAAAUUUCAAACAAAAAAUAUAUUUGAAAAACAAAUACACCUCACGCAACCGUAUUUUAUUAUCCAACAAUGCAAUUCAAAGCUCAAAACUUUUAAACCUAUUUUGAAAUUUGAAUUAGCUUCUUAAUAUAAAAUUGAGUCUUAUAUCUUGUGGAGAUAAAAGAAAAUAAUAAUAGAAAAAAGAUAAAUAUCUUAGUUUAGCUGGAAAGUGCCAGGUCUUUGUAAGAGUUUCCAAAUCACAUUAAAGGUCCAGUUUCUCAAGAUAUGAUCAGCAACCAGUUUCUAAGAAGGAAAGAAUAAAUUGCGUAAAAGAAAUACGAAAGUCCAAUAAAUUUAAAUAGGGAUGCAAUAAAUCGAGCGGUGUAGAUAUUUAAUCAAUUCAAUCCCCUUCCACCUUCUUAAGGGUUGCCGCGUAGAAAUAAUUUCUUCGUAUUUUCCAAAUCUAUGAUAAUUUCGUCUUAAGAACUGGUUUAAUAAUUGAAAAAAUAUAAUCAAAUAUUUAGUUUAUCAAUUUCAACUUUUAAAUAAAAGUAAUGAAACAUAAGACUCUCAGUAGAAUCGAAGAGCCAAAACCCUUCUACAGCAGGCGAUUCAUAACAUUUUCUAUAAAAAAUGAACUUGCUCACGAGGAAAUACAUCUGCAGAUUAGGAUGGCCUAAUUAAACACGAAGUCAUUAUUAGAAAACAGAUGGGAAUAUGCUCUUAAUGAAGAUAAUAAAAGCUGCGAGCAUCAUUCUCCUUCCCUUUGGUUCUUAUUAAUUAUUAGUGAAUCCGUAUAAAGCUCGUACACCCUGAAUAUCAUCCUCACGCAUGCAAAUCCCUUCUCGCAAUCCCAGGACGAAUUCUUGAAGACAUGAUGGCAUCGGCAUUUGGAUCAUCACUCUGGUCAAGACCAAGCUAGAAGAUGUACUAUUUCAUGCAUUCCUAGUUGGUGGAGUAGCAUGGGCUAUGGUCCCUGAGGGCCGUCAAAGGCGGCACCAUCGUUAUGGUCUCCGCGAUGGAAUCCAAGCCAGAAGUAACUUCCUGAUGUAAGAGUACAAGAACAUUUAUUUAUUUUUUGUUAUUGGGGAUCUUCUAUUCUGAAUUAUCUUUACUAAUUAAUAGUGGUUGUGCCUUGAAAUAUAUCCUUUUUUUUUCUUCCACAUUUUUUCUUGAACAAAACAAGUUAAUAGCAAAUGCCAAUACUUUACAACUUUGGUGUGAUUGUUGAAGAGAGCACUAUUUCCGACGGAAUUUUUUGUUGAUAUUUAUACUCAUAGUUUGAUGGAUGAAUUUUCCCGAUCGGCUCCCUCACAAAAAUCAUUCAUCAGAAAAGCUCUCGUUUGUGAUUUAUGGUAUGUCAAUAAUAAUUUUAUCGAAGGAUUUACUGACAGACAUAACACGCAAAAAAAAAUUAACUCGCUUCAUUCCACCAAGAUCUCCAUCGAUGAAUAUAACAUAUCACCGACAUAAUCUUUUUUGUCCGUCGGUAUUUUUUUCGGUGAAUUUUAUGUAUAAUCGUCAAAUAGACCAUCAGUUAUUCCAUUAGUGAGUAAAUAGUGACGGUGGUAUUUGGAGUAAUUCUUUUCUAAUUUUCUGGAGUAUACCAAUAGUUUUAGACCAUCGAUAGCCAUGUUAGUAAUAAUUUAAAAAUAUAUAUUUUUUAAAAAACUAUUAAACAUAAAUACAAAAUAAUUAAAAUAAAAUAAAUUAAUAUAAAAAUUAAAUAUUUGUUAUAAAUUUAAACAUUUAUAAGUUUGAAUAUAAUUAAUCUAGAAUAAAGGUAACGAAGAAGGAGGAGAAGGAGGGUCAUCUGCGAGAAUAUGAGGCAAAUAAGUGGGAGCAGAUGUAUCGUCUAUCUAUGAUCUUGUUUCCAUUACAAAUCAGAGGAGUUUAACUAUUUCAGUAUUGAGUUGUUGAUAAUCAACAAGCUCACUAUGCAACUUCUAAUGGCCUAUUGGCCGCCUUCGAUGAGGGAUCAAAAACUCGGUGUGACAUUUCCGUAGAGAGAGGCAAGUAAUUUUUCAUACCGAAGAUGACUCGACUCCAUUAAUCAGGUCAGACUUUUACUCGGGAAUUUUUUUUGACAGUCAUGUAUCGAGGUUGAGUAUUUUCACUUGUGACAUGUUUUUUUUUUUCACUGCAUUCAAAGUUAGCACUGCGUCUAUAUAUCCUGAGCUCCAGAAGGAGAUUUUCAAUUUGAUAGGGAGAUUGGUUGGCAAUAUGGUACGGUCUGGUUUUGAUGGAAAAUUAAGGUUGAUGCUGAGGGGUUUUUCAGUCUGCUCCUUUUUGGGUUCGUGAAUGAGAGGCUUUGUUCGUCCUUCUCCUCUCCUUCUUGUGUUGUGCUGGUGUUUUAAAUGGAGAGGGGGCUACCAUUCUGAAAAAUCAAUUUGGGAUUGAUUUGCUAGAAAAUUGAUUGAGUACAAUCAGCUGGGAUUUUGGACCAUUAGAGAAGCUGAAUCAUGAAUUAAUUAGGGAUUAAAUGGAAUUAAUUUGACAAAAUCGUUGGAUUAAAUUGGGCUGAGUUGAAUUAAUUGAAUUCAAUUGGACUGAAUUGAGGUUAAUUGGACUGAAUUGGUUGGACUGAAAAGAAUGGGACUAAAACAAAGUUAUAUAAAGCAAAUUCAAUUGAUCCUUGGAAUUUUUCCUUCUUUUAAUUAAAGUCCUUUUAUUUGUAAUUUCUUUCAAUUCUAAUAGAAUUUGCCCUAAAUCUUCUUUUUCCUUUUCAAUUGUGUCCUAAUUGAAUUAAUUUAAACCUCCAGAUUUAGCUCUUGUUGCAAAUUCAUCCUUGGUUAUUUCUAAAUUUGACUAUUUAUUUCAAACUCAUCAUUGAACUUUCAAAUUUCUUUCCAUCCUAGCCAAAUUAAAUCAAAUUAAACUUUAUUUUUCCUCAAUUUUCUCUUCAAUUCAAACCUCAAUUACAAGCCAAAAAUCCUCAAACUUUAUUUUUGUCUUUGAUACUCAAUUAUUGGUACAAUUUCCAUCCUAACUGUGAUUUUUUAUAUGUAUUUUUUUUAUUUUCUUAUCUUCUAGAUAUUUUUAUUUGUUUUUUUAUGAUUUAUUUUUAACACACAAAGAUUUAAAAAAUAAUGAAAAUAACAAAAUGAUUAAAAUUAACUAAAUUUAAUGAAAAGAUAUAUAUAUAUAUAUAUUUUUGUUUUUUUCUAAUAUAUACAAAAAAUAAGGUCACAAUGGGUUAAGACAAUUAUUAUUGUUGUUGUUGUUGUUUGAUGUAUAGCACUCUGUUUUGGCAGAAUAGCGGAGGUUCGAUAAAAAUAUCAGACAGGGGUGAUUUGAUGUCUGGAACAAAUGAUAGGCAUGGGAAUGGAUUUUGAGUGAAUCAGUUUACUGCUAAAAAUGUGUUUUGAAGAGGCGAGGGUUUUAAUUCUGUUGUUUUCUGUACUCUUUGGCAGGAAAAUUACAAUCACAGAGGGCCAUCCAUGCAGCUGAGGACACGAUAAUGCGGAAGGUAUCCUAAGCUUCUGAGAGGGAGGCAGGUUAGCCUUUGACCAUGAUCUGAACUAUUUUUUGUUGCAAAUUUCUCCGUGGACCUUGCAAUUUCCUAAUUUAUUUGGUGUUUCUCGAAUUUGGUAAGCAGAAACUGUGAUGGAAGGAGAAACAAGGAAGGUAAAUUCUUCAGUAUAGAAAGUAUAGGAAAUUCUUCACAGGGUGCAAUUUUCUGUUUCUGGAAACAGUUGUUGGAUUAGGCUCUGUUGGCUUGUCUUAAUAUUAGAUGUAACCAUGUUUAUCUUCUUGAUACAAUUAUUAGUAACUUUUAAACUAACACAUGUUUUACGUCUGAGCUGUGCUUUCAAAGGAUACUUUGCCAUAGCUAAAAUGGAAAUUUGCCGAAAUAUUUCCUUCUGAAUCUUGUUUAGUUAAUCCUCAUCUUGACAUUUCAGAUUUUGUAAUCUCUUUCUUAUAAAUGGGCAAUAAAUCCAGGAGUGCAGGAAAUAAUAUAUAGCUUGUCUUGUGACUGGAAGCAUCGAAUGCUGAUGCAGGAUGUGGUUGUCAUUCUAUAUCACUUUUACGUUUCUGAUUCGAAGAAUGGCCAUUUUAUGAAAUACUAAAAGGAAAUUCUUUGGUUGUAAAGCUCACUUUUUGCAACUUCUAAUGGCCUUUUAGCCGAUUUCGGUGAGGGAUGAAAAACUCUAGUGUGACAUUUCCAUAGAGAGAGGAAGUAAUUUUUCAUACCAAAUUAAGAUGCCUCGACUUCAUUAACCAGGUCAGAUUUUUACUCGGAAAUUCUUUUUGACAGUCAUAUAUCGAGGUUGAGUAUUUUUACUUGUGACAUGGUUUUUUUUACUGCAUUGAAAGUUAUCACUGCGUCUAUCCUGAGCUCCAGAAGAAGAUUUACAAUUUUAGAAGGUACAAGCUCUUUUCUUUUAAUUUUUUUUUUUUUUUUUUUUUUUGUGAUGAGAUCUAAUUGUUCUUAUGGAAACGAAACAUGCGCAUUUGAUUUGGUUUUGCGGAGAGAUUAUCUAUAAAAUAUAUUCUUAGAGUAAAAUGUGUUCUUUUAUUUAUAGCAUUUGGAAAAGUGACUUUAUCGAUCGAUAGGGAUACACACAUGCAUAGUUGAAAUCACUCGCCAACAUGCUAUGUGUGAGCUCCUGCAAUUUUAUUUCAGAAUACAAAAGAAAAGGUAUCCUCUGUGUUCAUGGCAAGCUUUUAAUUACCUUUCCCUCCUCCAUAUCCAGAGCCAUAACCAGACCCGCUUCCAUAACCUGAGCCAGAGCCAGAGCCAGUUCCUCCUCCUCCACCCCCACCUCCUCCUUCUCCUCCUCCUCCUCCACUUCCAUUCCCACCCUUGCCACCACCGCUUCCGCUUCCACUUCCACUUCCAUAGCCUGACCCACUUCCUGAUCCAGAGCCUUGACCUCCACCACCACCACCACCACCUCCACUGCCACCACCACCACCACCACCUUUGCCGCCACCUAUCCCACUACCAGAACCAUAGCCUGAGCCGCUACCAGACCCAUAGCCAGAACCUGACCCGUUGCCUCCGCCACUGCCACCACCUCCACCUCCGCCACUGCCCCCGCCCCCGCCUCCUCCACGACCACCAGCACCAUAUCCUUCACCGCUCCCGGAUCCAGAACCAGAACCAUAACCUGACCCAAGUCCUGAUCCAGAUCCACCACCACCACCUCCUCCCUGCCCUCCACCUCCGCCUCCACUAAUUGACUGCAGUGUCCUAGCAGCAAAGGCGAUGUCUACAAUAAGCAAGACCAGGAAAGCAGUCCCUAACGCUCUUGGGCUUGCCAUUUCCAGAUUAUACUCUCACGGCUCAACGUAUCUGUAUGUUUAUGCGUGUCACUCGCUAUAUGAGAAACCAGUAUGUUUUGUUGACUGGAAAUGCUUGAAGUGGCAACCCUAUAUAUAGGCAUUGUGAAGGUAACAAGACAAGGUUUUUGAAAAGUAUGGCAUGAAUUGUAAAGGUAACGAGACACGGUUUUUGAAAGGUUUCUUAAAUUCCUAGUACCUCUCACUUGGUAAUUAAUCUUACCUAUUAUAGAAAGGAACGCGUGUUUUGGGUUUCUGUUUCUGUUUCUGUGGAGGGUGUUGGUACAGUGGAGGACUGUCUGUCUCUGUCUACAUGCAAUAGAAUACAAGCUUUAUCCCCACCUUUUCUUUUCUUCUUGUUUUUUUUUUCACUAAGAACUGUCUUAUAAUAUUUGACUUCGGAAAGGGGACCAAUACCAUGCACUUCCCACUCUUUAUCAUUCUGUUGAUAUUUUAACUCUCAGGACACCUAUAAAUCAAUUUAUUAAUAUAAAAAACUUCAAAAACAAUUCUAAAACGUGAAACCGAAACAGGUUGGAUUUUUCUUUCUAGACUUGGAUCCACCGUUUUUAGAUGAUAUUGAGAUUUCAAACUAUCACCGAUGAACUAUUUUUUUAAAAUGAAACUUGUGGAUACCGAGACAAACCAAUUUAGCGGUAAGAAUAUGCGAAAAUCAUAACUUUUAUUUUUUAAACUGGAAUUCGACGAAACUUUAUCUCUCCUUCACAAACAUAGAAACUUGAAAAUAAUAAAGAUAAAGUUAUAUACCAAAAUUGGAUUUAUAAAAACGUAAGGGACCGGACAAUUCAAAAUUUUAAAAUGAAAGACUGGGUUGUACUUUUCACGCCAACUUUAAACACUCCACCUACUUUCAGCGUCUUUUCUAUGUUGUUCCUCCUUUCAAUUUUAACUCUAGCCAACAAAAUACAAAGUAAUUGGCUAUUAACUUUGUAAUUAAAUGGCUCCAUUGAUGAAAACAAAAGUUAAGGGACCGAAAUGGAAAAAAAUAAAAAACACACUUCUCUAAUCCACCCUCCAUUGUGAGUACGUUAACAUGUUUAACACUGCUCGACACCCCCAAAAUGUUUUAGUAUAUUUGUUAUUUGAAGUCCACUUUGACGGCGUACUUGGAAUUUUCCUACACUAGCGCUUGUCUAGUGAUUUGUUUAUCUUAACAUUUGUCUCCUAGAGCAUAUGUUCAUCAACUACUACUAGGAUUUAUGUACACAGAUAUCUUUCUACUCUGCGUGUAUGCUAACAAUGGGCAAAAGUACUUGCACAACAAACUGGGUUGUUCAGUCAAUGUUUCUUCUUGCUGUUACAGUACUUAUGAAUUAAUAGAUUUAAAUUUCUUUUCCCACAAUAUCAUAGACACUUUGCAUCAUUGAAUAUAAAUAGAUCUGUACUUAGAAACCGUGUUCGAAUGUCUGACUUGUAAUUAAAAACCUUGGUGCCUGUUCUGGGGUGUUAAAGCACACCAUCCUUGCAUCACUGCGAGGGGAAUGUUAGGCCAUCUGCAUGGUUGAUAUACUGAACAGUCUUCUAUUCUUGCACAAAUUGAAUUUCAGUUCCAUACUCACAGAGCAUCACUUCCUUUGAUGCCAUGGUUUUUUAAGUCUGUGUAAGAGUGAUCUGCUAUUCUGAAUUACUGGUGACCAGCAUGCUGUAUAUACAUUAGAAGUGGGCAUGGAAUUUCAGAUUCCUUGGUGAAUGUCAUAACUCAAUUCUGGAUUAUUCCCCAAAGAUUCAUUUUUUUUUUCAAAAUAAAAAUAAAAAAAUAAAACAAAGACCGGCAACGUGGAGAAAGCAGACCGAGGAAUCAAGCUGUAUUUUUUUGGAGGAAAUUCAAGGCCUAAUUGUACCCUAUUAUGCCCCAAAAUAGAGAGAAGAUGCAAAUUCAAGGAUUAUUGGAUGAAUUUGCAUAAACAUUAAGUUCAAGGACAUAAUUAAAUUUUUAAUAGGCCAAAUUGAUUUAAUCAUGUGCCAAAUUGAAUUUUAAUUAUGUUCAAGAAUUAAUUUGGGAUUUAAUUAAGUGCAAGUACUUAAUUAUACUUUAAAUGGGUCAAAUUAAUUUUAUUUGGGGCUUAAUUGGUGCAAAAUUAAGUUUGGAAGCCUAAUUUGGACUUAAUUGAGAAGAUUGAAAUUUUAAGAGAUCAAAUUUAAUUUUUACCAUGUUAAUAUAUUGAAAUCAGGGGCAAAAUUACAAGAAAAUUGAACUUUUGGGGUCAAUUAGAGGCUAAAUUAAAGAAAUCCGAGACCAAAGACUAUAUCGCAAUAGGCACGUAACUUCGGGGCUCCAAUUAAAGUUCAUUAGGGGCUUAAUUGCAAAGGUUUAGGGUCAAUGAGAGGUUCAAUUGAAAGCAAUUGAAAGAUGAAGAACUGAAAUGAACUUUGGCCAAAAUCAGAACUUUGGAACUGUUCAUCUUCUUCUUUAAAUCUCUGAAAUAUCUGCUCAGGUUAUCUACUUUGUAGGUGAAUUUAAUGCACCUAAAGUCCACCAAAUUUAACCAAACUUGCACGAAAAUGAUUCUCUACAGUUCAUCUACAGUUUCAUAUCAAUAGUUCAGUCUGAAUGAUAAUUAAUCGGCGCCGGAGCCGGCCUAAACAUGCCAACUCAUGCAGCUUUUUCUGCAGAUUUGACAGUGCACCGUGCCUACUUUAAGCCAACGGUUGGGAUCCUUCCCAACCGAAUCAAGGGCUGAAAAGUUUUUUCCUGUGUAGAAAAGAUUUCCCUCUUCCACCGCCUAUAAAUAGAGGUGGAUUUCAUGGCCUGAGGGAGGAUAAAAUCGGGUCCAAAAUAAGCUAAAAAAUCAACCUCUUCCCGGUUUCUGCCACUUUCUCUAUGUUUUCCUCUUUUUUCAUUCUCUCUACACCGUGUCUUCAGCCACCACCACGUCAUCACCGGUCUUCCCACCAUCAGCUCCACCAUAGGAAGCCAACGCAACCACCAGCAGACCACCAAGAGCCACCGUUGGUUUCUCUCUCCUCUCUGCAGCCCCUCCCGCACGUUUUUUUUCUUUCUUCUUCUUUUGCUUCCUCUGCCGCAGGCCACCAUCUCUGUCACAGCCUCAACCACCUUUUCUACCACCAAUCGGCCACCAAGAAGCCACCGCGACUCUCUCCCUCUUCCUCCCAUAGCCGACCCCGGCCUCCACCGCUGCAACCACCGGCAGCACACCGUCAUCCUCGGCCAGACCACCGCCACGCCAGGUUGUCCGCCCUCUCUCCCUUUCCCCUUCUUCUUCUUCUUCGCUGCCUUUGUUCACUGAGUGAACAGUGGACGUGAAUUAUAAUUCACGUCCUACUGUUCACACAUGAACAGUGGGCGUGAAUUAUAAUUCAUGUCCACUAUUCAUGCAGUGGACUAUAUCUUUUUUUUUAAUCCAAAAAUUUUCAAAAAAAUCAUUUCAAAGAAAAUUAUGAUUUUCUGGCAUAUUUUUCUACCAAUUUUGCAUAAUAUUAGGUUGUAUAUUUACACUGUAAAAUACAAAUCCGGUAUUAAAAUACUCGAUUUUCUUUAAAAUAUUUCAAAAAGUAAAAAAAUAAAAAAAUUUCAAAAUAUUUUCAAAAAGAAAAAAAAAUAUUUUGUUGCAUUAGACCAAAUCCUGAAAUUUUUCCAAGCAUAUUUUUCAUAAAAAAACAAAAUUUGCAUCUUUUCAUGUUUAAAAAAAUAAAAAAUAGAUAUCGUAACCAGUUUAUGAUUAUCUAUUAGGAUUUGGCCAAAAUAUCAAAAAAAAUUCCAAUCCUUUUUUUAUGAUCCAAAUGUAGACUUUAAUAUUUGUGGAGUGUAAAAUUACACGAUAAAGUACACCCUCAAGUAUUAAAGAUACAAGGUGUAAAAAUGCAAUGCUAAAAUUCAGAUUUUAAAACGGUUAGGAUUUAACCUGAUAAGGUAGAGACUCUCUUAUGAAGAGAGAUCUGCCUUGAGCAUUAGAAAAGACCAACGAAUAGAAACUCGACUUAGAAAAAACAAUCAAACAACAAUGCAGCUUACCUUAGGUAGGGUGCACUGGGGGUGAUGCGUCUUCCCCUUGCACAAUCAGUCCCUUACUCAGACUCUCGCACAGUAUAGGUUCCUAUUGACCAUAAUACUAAGAGACGACUCCUAAACCUUAAUCAUAAUUUUAUGAUUAAAUUCAAAAACUCUUUCCAACACACAACACCCCUUAUCAGGAGGCACGCCAGGAGCCUUCGCCGUCGCCAGACAACGUCGCCCCAAGAUAACAGUCAGUAUAUUAGAACCACUAGAAGAGCUGUACAUCUAACAGUGGCUCAAGUGAAGCCAACAAUUAAAAUAUACAUAAAGAAAAGAGAACAAGAGAGAAAAAUCUCACCUAUAAAGAAGGCAAGCAAAGUUCACAACGCAGCCCCUCAUCUCUAGAUCAGUCCAUUCGAGAAUGUCAAACUUGGCAUCAAGGCUCUCUUUUUAUGCCAGAAAACACCGAAGAAGCAGAGACCAAUACACAAACAUUGUAUAAAAUCUUAAUAUGCAAUAUAUAUGAAUGCAAUACGAGGAAAAAAAGAAAGAAAGAUCAAAUAUCACAAAUAACAUAUAACAGUCUUUAAUUUGUUGUUGUAUUUAAAGAACGUUACCUUCCUGAGAAAAAAGAUACUACAAGCAAAAGCAACACGUCUCUCUGCAAAAAUCUUGGAACUUAAAAUGGAGAAGAGUGAGAAAUCGUUAAAAGGAUGUGUUCCAACAGGAACACAGGCCCAGACAGUACUUCUAAUCCUCUUAGCAAAGUUUUCAUGUACUGUUUAAAAGAAUCAGAGAAGAAUGGUGUACUCCUCUGAAUCCAAUUCAGUACUGUCCACUUUGCCUUAUCAGCAACACAAGGAAUGGUUUCAGUAGUAUUGAACAACCUAUGUUUCUCCCUUGAGUCCUUAAUGUACGUCUCCAAAAGCAAACUUGUAUAAUUGGUCCAAUAAUAGCGAAAACCUCUACAUCACUACGUAGUUUCAAUCAAUUCAUGAAUUCAGUAUAUUUAACUUUUUGAUGCCCUUUAUUUGUUGGUAAAUUUAUCACUAAUUUUAUUAUUAAUGAAUUUAUUAACAAAUUAAAAAUCACCAAAAAUAAUUUUUUUAAUAAAAUAUUUCUGUUCGUCAGUCUAUUGAUAAAAUUCGUGUCAAUAGACUGAAAGUACAAAUACUAAUAGACUAUUCUGUUAGUAAAUGUAAAAAUUCUGUUAGUGUCAGGAUGUUUAAUAAUUGAAAGAAUUCAGUCCAUACAUGACAACAUCUAUGGAAAAGUUGAAAACCAUACCUUAACAUCUCUGAUUGAAAUGUUAAAACGUCAACGACAUGUUAGCUUUCUGUCAAUUUAUGCUUGAAAAAACAUAAUGGAUACCCUUAGGAGAAUAUCUUCUGGUUGGGGCACUAUAUAUUUAUUUAUGUGGAGUUUCAUGUUCAUCCUGAAGAAGUCCUAACCAAUUGAAAGAGGCUUCCAAGUAUGGCUGAAAAAACCUUCAAAUUUCUAGUAUCCCUUUUUCUUCUCCUGAUUAUUCUGAUAAAAUUUGUCCAAUCAGAACCAACUGGGCAUCAUCCAUUCAAAUCCAUCCUGAACCUUGUGGAAAGCCAAAAAGGUCAAUCUGUUUCCAAGCUGCACCUUGUAAAACAGUAUCUGAAGAAAUUUGGAUACUUGGAUUAUGAUCUUUCAAGUAACAAGAACCUGAACCAGGUUGACGAUGAGAUGACCAUUUGGAGUCUGCUAUCAGAACCUAUCAGCAAAACUUUCAUUUGGAAGUCACUGGAAGGCUAGACAAACGUACUGUGAAUCAAAUGAUGAAGCCUAGAUGUGGUGUGGCUGAUAUCUUCAAUAGCACAAAGCACCACAAUAGUUCCAAGUCUUCUGAUGGGGUGGCCAAUGCUGACUAUUCGUUCUUCCCUGGAGCCCCCAGAUGGUCCUCAAAGCAUUUGAAGUACACGUUUGGCGCAACCGUCCAAGUCGCUGGUGCAGAGAGUAUAAGGUCUGUUUGCAAACAAUCCUUUCAAAAAUGGGCACAAGUUACUGACUUCACGUUCGAAGAAGUGCCUAAUUCUGCCGAUGCUGAUAUUAAAAUUGCCUUUUACCAACUAGACCACGGAGAUGAUGAGCCAUUUGAUGGCCCUGGAGGAAUCUUUGCCCAUGGUUUUAGACCAACUAUCGGGAUGCUACAUUUUGAUGCUGAUGAAACUUGGAGCAGCAAUCCUGGAAGUCUAGAGCUAGACCUGGAAUCCGUCGCUGUGCAUGAAAUAGGUCACUUACCCGAACUUGGUCACAGCGGAGACCAUCCAGAUGCAAUCAUGUAUCCAUACUUUGAUUAUGGAAAGACAAAAAGGAGUCUGCAAGAGGAUGACAUCGAAGGUAUCCGUGACCUCUAUGGACUUUGAUUAAAAGCCACAUAUAACUAAAAGGUUAUUAUACCUGUUAUUGUAUUAGCAAAUAAAGGAUUUGUACGUGGAUUUUAAAAUAUGUGAAGAAGUCACUUCCACAUAAUCUUAAUUAUCUCCUUGUAAUCAUAGAACAAUUGCAAUUGAAGUUUUCCAGUCUGCAUGUUUCUUUCUAGAUAUAAUUAGUGUUCAGGAAUUUGGAGUUUGACAAAAGCCUAUUUUGCUAACCAGAUCUUAAUUUUUCGAGUUAUGCAAUCAACCAAAAGAGCAGUGGCAAUUAGAACUAAAUUCGGAAAAUUUAUCUGUAGGAAGCUGGGGGCAUUAUAUUCUCUCUUCUUCUAAAAUAAGAAUUCUAAGCCCCCCAAAUCACCUGCUAUUAUGCAGCACAGAUGGUCGAAACCCAGCUGAAAUUAGCAUGAGCGAUCCAAUAAUAUUAUAAAACCUCUACAUCAGUACAGAAGUUUCAAUCAAUUCAAGCUGUCCAAUAAUUUAGCCCAUGAAUGACAAAACCUACGGCAAAACUGAAAACCAUACCUUAACGCCUCUUAUUGAAAUGUAAUAAGAACAUCAACAACAUGUUAGCUUUCUGUCAAUUUAUGCCUGAAAAAUCAUAAUGGAUACCUUUACGAGAAUAUCUCCUGGUUCAGGCACUGUAUAUUUAUGUGGAGUUUCAUGUUCAUACCUGAACAAGCCCUAACCAACUGAAAGAGGCUAGCUCCCAAGUAUGGCUGAAAACAAAGUACUCGAAUAUGCUCCUUUUAUAAUAUAUAUAUAUAUAUUAUGAACUUGCACAUCACACUAAAAUGUGAUUUACUUCAAAGCUGAUACAUUAAAAAUUAAUUUCACCAAUCACAUUCUUCUCUUUCUGUAAGGGUUUUUUAGGUGAAAACCCAGUUUCAACGUCUAAAAAGAUUGUUACUGGAUAAAUGCCCAACUGUAGCCUCUAGCAUACAAAAGAUAGGCACCGAACAAAAUGGGUUAGGCUGUAAAGAAAGGGAAAAAAAAAAAAAAAAAACUUUGUUAUAAAGAAUUUGAAGUAUAGCUGCCAGACAAAAUAGGGACAGUUGGGUCACUAAAUCAAUCCAGGAAUACUACGUCAACUCAUGCAGACUAACAAAUAGAAAAAAUAAUAUUUUUUUGACAAAAAUUGAAUUGAAAAACUAUAUAUGUUUCCACGGGAAACUUGUAAUUAAUGAAGACUUGCUACUUGACUUGUCUGUUUUCCCACAGUGGAAAUUCUAGAAUAGGGCCAUCCGUCCCCAUGCAGAAGAAGGAGCUCAAAUUCUCUUCCCAACACAAUAAUACAUAAUUAAAAAAUAAAAUUGAUGAAUAAGGACAGGAUCUAUAUUAGCCUUCUACAUUCAUCUAAGCAACCAUCUCUUAGCCUAAUUUGAAUGCAACAACACGAAAGAAAGGCAUAAGGAAUCACGGAACCCAUGGAGAAAACUUAAUCAAAACCCCUUUCCUGGAUAACAAUAAUGUACUAAAUCAAGUAUAAAGACCCGGGUACAUGAAAGAUGGAUACAAGAAACUCAACAGCUUGAGCUUGGAAAGAACGAAGAAAGGGCCGCUCCGGAUUGCUUCUAUCAGAGUUGGUGGUUCUCCAGAACGAGUAAUGAGGAUAAAAAAAAAAAAAAGAGUUCUAUCAAGUAUAAAGAACUCAUGAAAUCUAUAUUUUGGUCAAACAAACAAAAGUUUUAAUUCCAUAUUCUAGCUCUAGGUUCUAUCAAGGAAGACUUGACAAAUACUACAAUCACAGACAAUUUAGUGGUCCAUCGGGAUUGAUGAAAACAAAUAAAAAAAAGGAGAGAAUUUUUAUGAUUCCACAAAUUUACUUUUUCAAAAUUUAGAAAAACAACGUCUGGACGCGUUUCCAAACCAAACCUUAAACCCUCUUAACGGGCAAAAAGACUUGCCCCAUUCAACAAGGAAGCUAAAAUGUCGAGAUUGGAAGGGAACUGCCCGGCAGGAGCGCUAUAUAAACAACCCAGAUUAUCAAUGUCUAGCAUCCAUAAGUUCUCCUCUCGAACCCACAAGUGAAGGAGAGUCCUAGAUUUCAUGUCUACAAUGACAGCUAGAAGUUUUCCGAUUUUUGUAGCCAUUUUACUUCUUGUUGCGAUGCAAUCACGCACCAUUCAAUCAAAACCAAGUGGAGAUCCUUUUGGGUUCAUCAAACACCUGGAGGGAUGCCACAGGAAUGUAUCUGUCAAAGGGCUUCAUGAGCUCAAAAGAUAUCUUGAGAAAUUUGGAUACUUGAAGUAUGGUCAUCAAGGAAAGAAGGGCCAUAACCAUGCCAAUGACGAUGAGUUUGACGAUCUUUUAGAGUCUGCAAUCAAGGCAUAUCAGCAGAACCAUCAUUUGAACGUUACAGGAAGCCUAGACAAUAGUACAGUGCACGAAAUGAUGCAGCCUAGAUGUGGCGUGCCAGAUGUUGUCAAUGGCACAAAGCAUUACCAUACUCACAAGUCCAUCCACACACUAGCUCACUACAAUUUCUUUCCUGAAAAUCCUAGAUGGACAAAAAGGCAAUUGACGUACAAGUUUCGUUCCAGUGUCCAAGUCCCGGCUGCACAGAACAUAAGGUCCAUCUGCGCAAAAGCUUUUCAAAGAUGGGCACAGGUCACCGAAUUCACUUUUCAGGAAGUUAGCGUUAGCUCCCCUGCAGAUAUUGUAAUUGGAUUCCAUCGGCGAGACCAUAACGAUGGUUCCGCCUUUGACGGUCCUGGAGGGACCUUAGCGCAUGCUACUCCACCAGUUAGGAAUGCAAUGUUCCAUUUCGAUGCGGAUGAAAAUUGGAGUGAAAACCCAGGACCAAACCAGAUGGACCUGGAAUCUGUAGCCGUGCAUGAAAUAGGACAUCUCCUCGGUCUUGACCACAAUGAUGAUCCAAAUGCCGAUGCCAUCAUGUCUUCCAGAAUUCCUUCUGGGAUUGCGAAAAGGGAUUUGCGUGCGGAUGAUAUUCAGGGUGUACGAGCUUUAUACGGAUUCGCUAAUUGAAGCACGUACAAAAGGAGAAUGAUGCUUGCAGUUUCUAUUAUCUAAAUUAAGAAUAAAUUUCCAUCAGUUUCUAGUUACGAAUUUGUGUUUAAUUUGGCCAUCCUGAUCUUAGAGAGGCGGUUACAGUCUUUAUUUGCAAAGUAUCUCCUUGCAAGCCUAAAACUAUUUUGUAAACCAUUUCUUUGAGAUUGUAAAUAAAUUAUGUUGGCAAAAUACAAAUAAUCGGGGAUUAUUUGGACGAGUCUCUUCAAGUUCUAUUUGUGCAGCCAGCCGCAUGUUGUCUGUGUCACAGAGCAUGACCGCAGGCAUAAUAAGUCCGUCCAUACGUACAGUACCCUAUAAUUUCAUCCGACGAAACCCAAGAUGGCCACCAGAGAAAAGGCAUUUAAUUAAUGUAUAGGAAUUAGGAUCGGUUCUAGUCUCCAAGUCCAUCGCACACAGAGCAUAACUUUUAUCAGCUGUAAUUCUGUGGACAAGCUUUUCAAAUAUAGAAACAAGUUUGCCCAAUAUGUUUUGAUGAUGCAUGCUCAAAUUGAACUGCCAUAUGCAACUCCUCUCUCCCCCACAUCUCUUAUCAUCAUUUGUUUUUUCAUUGAACACGUCCACGCAUGAAAACUUUCUCUUAUACCUAACCGAUGGAGAAAAUAAUAUUUGACUGAUUAAUUUAAGUCAAAUUAAAAUAUUUAAUUAGAUGUCAGGACUUAAUUAUAUUUUUGAUUGGUCAAAUUAACUUUAUUAAGGGUAUAAUUAGUGAAAAAUUAAGUUUGAAAGUUUAAUUCGGGUUUAAUUGAGAAGAUUGAAAUUUUAGAUUUAAUUUUUCAAGCUCAAUUAGGUGAAAUUAGGGACAUAAUUAAAAAAAAUUAAAGUUUGGGGUCAAUUAAGUACCAAAUUGAAGAAAUUCAAGAUCAUGAACCUUUUCACAAAAAUUGCAUGAAUCUAGAAUCAAAUUUGGUUGAAAACAGGGGAAAAAUUAAAAAAAAUUAGAAGAGGUCAGUUAAAAACAAAUUUUAAAAUAUCUAAAAUCAAUGAUCAAAUUUAAAAACAUGCUGAAAUUAGGGGGCUUUUGAAACUUGAUAGGGAUGAAGUUGAAUUGAUUUUUAAAAUUAAGAUUUAAUUAAGAAUUAAAUUAAAUAAAUUAAAAGGUUAAACGCUAAAAUUAAAAAAGAAAUUUUAAACCUAAUUUAAACUCAAAGAGCUAAAAUAACAUUGUCUAAACAAUGCAUUUUAUAUAAAACACCGUAGUUUUGUUAAUUAAAAAUGUGGGCAUUCUCUCUUCUUCUAAAAUAAGAAUUUUAAUACGUAGCCAUAGAUUUAAUUUCUUCUGAAUUAUAUAUAUAUAAAUACACAUAAAGAGAGAGAGAGAAUUAUGACCUAAAUACAAGGAGGAAAGGAAUUACAAGGUUUUGCUUGCUUGUCUGCCAAGGUAAAAAAGGAAAAAGAACCGAUGGACCUCUAAAGUAAUUACAUUCCGUUAUUUGAAGUCUUCGUAAGAAACGGUCCAACUUCUAUAAAAAAAAUUCCAUCUUAAAAUUUCCAUCACAAAACCACUUUGCUUUCACUCCUAAACCAGUUAGAGUAAUUCUAUAUAUGAGACCAUAUAUAUGACUAUUUUGGAUAGAGAAAGAGUGUUGUUUUUACCAUUUAUCUCUUAUGAAAUUACUUUUUAUUUAUUUAUUGGAUUUUGUUCUUGAAAUAGAAGGGUCGUGUUUAUACCUAUUUUAAAUUCACAAUCCACUAUAAUUUAAGCUCUACACUUUACAAAAUAAACACAAGCAACAACUAAUCAAGUAAAAUAUUGUUAUAUUUAGAGAUCAUAUAAUGUUCUGGAUACACGUGCUAGGAAGCUAGCGUUGUGUUUUAUGUUUUUUAAAAGCAUGUUUGAUAUAAAAAUAUAUUAAAUUAAUUUUUUUAUGUUUUUAAUAAUUUUGAUGUAUUGUAUUAAAAACUAAAAUUAAUAUAUAUAUAUAUAUAUAUAUAUAUAUUUUAAUUAAAUUUCAAACAAAAAAUAUAUUUGAAAAACAAAUACACCUCACGCAACCGUAUUUUAUUAUCCAACAAUGCAAUUCAAAGCUCAAAACUUUUAAACCUAUUUUGAAAUUUGAAUUAGCUUCUUAAUAUAAAAUUGAGUCUUAUAUCUUGUGGAGAUAAAAGAAAAUAAUAAUAGAAAAAAGAUAAAUAUCUUAGUUUAGCUGGAAAGUGCCAGGUCUUUGUAAGAGUUUCCAAAUCACAUUAAAGGUCCAGUUUCUCAAGAUGUGAUCAGCAACCAGUUUCUAAGAAGGAAAGAAUAAAUUGCGUAAAAGAAAUACGAAAGUCCAAUAAAUUUAAAUAGGGAUGCAAUAAAUCGAGCGGUGUAGAUAUUUAAUCAAUUCAAUCCCCUUCCACCUUCUUAAGGGUUGCCGCGUAGAAAUAAUUUCUUCGUAUUUUCCAAAUCUAUGAUAAUUUCGUCUUAAGAACUGGUUUAAUAAUUGAAAAAAUAUAAUCAAAUAUUUAGUUUAUCAAUUUCAACUUUUAAAUAAAAGUAAUGAAACAUAAGACUCUCAGUAGAAUCGAAGAGCCAAAACCCUUCUACAGCAGGCGAUUCAUAACAUUUUCUAUAAAAAAUGAACUUGCUCACGAGGAAAUACAUCUGCAGAUUAGGAUGGCCUAAUUAAACACGAAGUCAUUAUUAGAAAACAGAUGGGAAUAUGCUCUUAAUGAAGAUAAUAAAAGCUGCGAGCAUCAUUCUCCUUCCCUUUGGUUCUUAUUAAUUAUUAGUGAAUCCGUAUAAAGCUCGUACACCCUGAAUAUCAUCCUCACGCAUGCAAAUCCCUUCUCGCAAUCCCAGGACGAAUUCUUGAAGACAUGAUGGCAUCGGCAUUUGGAUCAUCACUCUGGUCAAGACCAAGCUAGAAGAUGUACUAUUUCAUGCAUUCCUAGUUGGUGGAGUAGCAUGGGCUAUGGUCCCUGAGGGCCGUCAAAGGCGGCACCAUCGUUAUGGUCUCCGCGAUGGAAUCCAAGCCAGAAGUAACUUCCUGAUGUAAGAGUACAAGAACAUUUAUUUAUUUUUUGUUAUUGGGGAUCUUCUAUUCUGAAUUAUCUUUACUAAUUAAUAGUGGUUGUGCCUUGAAAUAUAUCCUUUUUUUUUCUUCCACAUUUUUUCUUGAACAAAACAAGUUAAUAGCAAAUGCCAAUACUUUACAACUUUGGUGUGAUUGUUGAAGAGAGCACUAUUUCCGACGGAAUUUUUUGUUGAUAUUUAUACUCAUAGUUUGAUGGAUGAAUUUUCCCGAUCGGCUCCCUGACAAAAAUCAUUCAUCAGAAAAGCUCUCGUUUGUGAUUUAUGGUAUGUCAAUAAUAAUUUUAUCGAAGGAUUUACUGACAGACAUAACACGCAAAAAAAAAUUAACUCGCUUCAUUCCACCAAGAUCUCCAUCGAUGAAUAUAACAUAUCACCGACAUAAUCUUUUUUGUCCGUCGGUAUUUUUUUCGGUGAAUUUUAUGUAUAAUCGUCAAAUAGACCAUCAGUUAUUCCAUUAGUGAGUAAAUAGUGGCGGUGGUAUUUGGAGUAAUUCUUUUCUAAUUUUCUGGAGUAUACCAAUAGUUUUAGACCAUCGAUCGCCAUGUUAGUAAUAAUUUAAAAAUAUAUAUUUUUUAAAAAACUAUUAAACAUAAAUACAAAAUAAUUAAAAUAAAAUAAAUUAAUAUAAAAAUUAAAUAUUUGUUAUAAAUUUAAACAUUUAUAAGUUUGAAUAUAAUUAAUCUAGAAUAAAGGUAAUGAAGAAGGAGGAGAAGGAGGGUCAUCUGCGAGAAUAUGAGGCAAAUAAGUGGGAGCAGAUGUAUUGUCUAUCUAUGAUCUUGUUUCCAUUACAAAUCAGAGGAGUUUAACUAUUUCAGUAUUGAGUUGUUGAUAAUCAACAAGCUCACUAUGCAACUUCUAAUGGCCUAUUGGCCGCCUUCGAUGAGGGAUUAAAAACUCGGUGUGACAUUUCCGUAGAGAGAGGCAAGUAAUUUUUCAUACCGAAGAUGACUCGACAAGUAGAGUCAUUAAAACUGUUGCAUUAAAACUUCUAACUUACAUCAGAUGAACAAGUAGAGGAAAGGAAAGCAUUAAAACUGUUGCAUGAAACAAGGGAGAGCAACAAAAUGGGAACAAAACAAAACCUAAGAAACCAACUUCUCCCGACUAAACCUUCUCUUAAUUAAGGUCUAAAGAGUUGGAAUCAAGCCUCAGCCAUAAAGCAAUACUUUGACGCACCAUGGAGAAACAAAUUUGAAGGUUAGGCUAUUAUCUUUGUAGCCUUUUUUUUUAAUAAAAUUUCGACUAUUAAAAAAAAAAAAAAAAAAAAAAAAAAGAUGACUCGACUCCAUUAAUCAGGUCAGACUUUUACUCGGGAAUUUUUUUUGACAGUCAUGUAUCGAGGUUGAGUAUUUUCACUUGUGACAUGUUUUUUUUUUUCACUGCAUUCAAAGUUAGCACUGCGUCUAUAUAUCCUGAGCUCCAGAAGGAGAUUUUCAAUUUGAUAGGGAGAUUGGUUGGCAAUAUGGUACGGUCUGGUUUUGAUGGAAAAUUAAGGUUGAUGCUGAGGGGUUUUUCAGUCUGCUCCUUUUUGGGUUCGUGAAUGAGAGGCUUUGUUCGUCCUUCUCCUCUCCUUCUUGUGUUGUGCUGGUGUUUUAAAUGGAGAGGGGGCUACCAUUCUGAAAAAUCAAUUUGGGAUUGAUUUGCUAGAAAAUUGAUUGAGUACAAUCAGCUGGGAUUUUGGACCAUUAGAGAAGCUGAAUCAUGAAUUAAUUAGGGAUUAAAUGGAAUUAAUUUGACAAAAUCGUUGGAUUAAAUUGGGCUGAGUUGAAUUAAUUGAAUUCAAUUGGACUGAAUUGAGGUUAAUUGGACUGAAUUGGUUGGACUGAAAAGAAUGGGACUAAAACAAAGUUAUAUAAAGCAAAUUCAAUUGAUCCUUGGAAUUUUUCCUUCUUUUAAUUAAAGUCCUUUUAUUUGUAAUUUCUUUCAAUUCUAAUAGAAUUUGCCCUAAAUCUUCUUUUUCCUUUUCAAUUGUGUCCUAAUUGAAUUAAUUUAAACCUCCAGAUUUAGCUCUUGUUGCAAAUUCAUCCUUGGUUAUUUCUAAAUUUGACUAUUUAUUUCAAACUCAUCAUUGAACUUUCAAAUUUCUUUCCAUCCUAGCCAAAUUAAAUCAAAUUAAACUUUAUUUUUCCUCAAUUUUCUCUUCAAUUCAAACCUCAAUUACAAGCCAAAAAUCCUCAAACUUUAUUUUUGUCUUUGAUACUCAAUUAUUGGUACAAUUUCCAUCCUAACUGUGAUUUUUUAUAUGUAUUUUCUUAUUUUCUUAUCUUCUAGAUUUUUUUAUUUGUUUUUUUAUGAUUUAUUUUUAACACACAAAGAUUUAAAAAAUAAUGAAAAUAACAAAAUGAUUAAAAUUAACUAAAUUUAAUGAAAAGAUAUAUAUAUAUUUUUUUGUUUUUUUCUAAUAUAUACAAAAAAUAAGGUCAAAAUGGGUUAAGACAAUUAUUAUUGUUGUUGUUGUUUGAUGUAUAGCACUCUGUUUUGGCAGAAUAGCGGAGGUUCGAUAAAAAUAUCAGACAGGGGUGAUUUGAUGUCUGGAACAAAUGAUAGGCAUGGGAAUGGAUUUUGAGUGAAUCAGUUUACUGCUAAAAAUGUGUUUUGAAGAGGCGAGGGUUUUAAUUCUGUUGUUUUCUGUACUCUUUGGCAGGAAAAUUACAAUCACAGAGGGCCAUCCAUGCAGCUGAGGACACGAUAAUGCGGAAGGUAUCCUAAGCUUCUGAGAGGGAGGCAGGUUAGCCUUUGACCAUGAUCUGAACUAUUUUUUGUUGCAAAUUUCUCCGUGGACCUUGCAAUUUCCUAAUUUAUUUGGUGUUUCUCGAAUUUGGUAAGCAGAAGCUGUGAUGGAAGGAGAAACAAGGAAGGUAAAUUCUUCAGUAUAGAAAGUAUAGGAAAUUCUUCACAGGGUGCAAUUUUCUGUUUCUGGAAACAGUUGUUGGAUUAGGCUCUGUUGGCUUGUCUUAAUAUUAGAUGUAACCAUGUUUAUCUUCUUGAUACAAUUAUUAAUAACUUUUAAACUAACACAUGUUUUACGUCUGAGCUAUGCUUUCAAAGGAUACUUUGCCAUAGCUAAAAUGGAAAUUUGCCGAAAUAUUUCCUUCUGAAUCUUGUUUAGUUAAUCCUCAUCUUGACAUUUCAGAUUUUGUAAUCUCUUUCUUAUAAAUGGGCAAUAAAUCCAGGAGUGCAGGAAAUAAUAUAUAGCUUGUCUUGUGACUGGAAGCAUCGAAUGCUGAUGCAGGAUGUGGUUGUCAUUCUAUAUCACUUUUACGUUUCUGAUUCGAAGAAUGGCCUUUUCAUGCAAUACUACUAGGACUUGUCUACAGGUGGUUCUUUGGUUGUAAAGCUCACUUUUUGCAACUUCUAAUGGCCUUUUAGCCGAUUUCGGUGAGGGAUGAAAAACUCUAGUGUGACAUUUCCAUAGAGAGAGGAAGUAAUUUUUCAUACCAAAUUAAGAUGCCUCGACUUCAUUAACCAGGUCAGAUUUUUACUCGGAAAUUCUUUUUGACAGUCAUAUAUCGAGGUUGAGUAUUUUUACUUGUGACAUGGUUUUUUUUACUGCAUUGAAAGUUAUCACUGCGUCUAUCCUGAGCUCCAGAAGAAGAUUUACAAUUUUAGAAGGUACAAGCUCUUUUCUUUUAAUUUUUUUUUUUUUUUUUUUUAUGUGAUGAGAUCUAAUUGUUCUUAUGGAAACGAAACAUGCGCAUUUGAUUUGGUUUUGCGGAGAGAUUAUCUAUAAAAUAUAUUCUUAGAGUAAAAUGUGUUCUUUUAUUUAUAGCAUUUGGAAAAGUGACUUUAUCGAUCGAUAGGGAUACACACAUGCAUAGUUGAAAUCACUCGCCAACAUGCUAUGUGUGAGCUCCUGCAAUUUUAUUUCAGAAUACAAAAGAAAAGGUAUCCUCUGUGUUCAUGGCAAGCUUUUAAUUACCUUUCCCUCCUCCAUAUCCAGAGCCAUAACCAGACCCGCUUCCAUAACCUGAGCCAGAGCCAGAGCCAGUUCCUCCUCCUCCACCCCCACCACCUCCUUCUCCUCCUCCUCCUCCACUUCCAUUCCCACCCUUGCCACCACCGCUUCCGCUUCCACUUCCACUUCCAUAGCCUGACCCACUUCCUGAUCCAGAGCCUUGACCUCCACCACCACCACCACCACCUCCACUGCCACCACCACCACCACCACCUUUGCCGCCACCUAUCCCACUACCAGAACCAUAGCCUGAGCCGCUACCAGACCCAUAGCCAGAACCUGACCCGUUGCCUCCGCCACUGCCACCACCUCCUCCUCCGCCACUGCCCCCGCCCCCGCCUCCUCCACGACCACCAGCACCAUAUCCUUCACCGCUCCCGGAUCCAGACCCAGAACCAUAACCUGACCCAAGUCCUGAUCCAGAUCCACCACCACCACCUCCUCCCUGCCCUCCACCUCCACUAAUUGACUGCAGUGUCCUAGCAGCGAAGGCGAUGUCUACAAUAAGCAAGACCAGGAAAGCAGUCCCUAACACUCUUGGGCUUCCCAUUUCCAGAUUAUACUCUCACGGCUCAACGUAUCUGUAUGUUUAUGCGUGUCACUCGCUAUAUGAGAAACCAGUAUGUUUUGUUGACUGGAAAUGCUUGAAGUGGCAACCCUAUAUAUAGGCAUUGUGAAGGUAACAAGACAAGGUUUUUGAAAAGUAUGGCAUGAAUUGUAAAGGUAACGAGACACGGUUUUUGAAAGCUUUCUUAAAUUCCCAGUACCUCUCACUUGGUAAUCUUACCUAUUAUAGAAAGGAACGCGUGUUUUGGGUUUCUGUUUCUGUGGAGGGUGGCGGUACUGUGGAGGACUCAAUUGAUGAAAACAAAAGUUAAGGGUUCGAAAUGGAAAAAAAAGAAAACACACUUCUCUAAUCCACCCUCCAUUGUGAGCACGUGAACAUGUUUAACACUGCUCAACACCCCCAAAAUGUUUUAGUAUAUUUGUUAUUUGAAGUCCACUUUGACGGCGCACUUGGAAUUUUCUUACACUAGCGCUUGUUUAGUGAUUUGUUCAUCUUAACAUUUGUCUCCUUGAGCAUAUAUGUUCAUCAACUACUACUAGGAUUUAUGUACACAGAUAUCUUUCUACUCUGCGUGUCUAUAUGCUAACAAUGGGCAAAACUUGCACACCAAACUGGGUUGUUCAGUCAAUAUUUCUUAUUGCUGUUACACUUUGAAUUAAUAGAUUUGAAUUUCUUUUUCCCACAAUAUCAUAGACACUUUGCAUCAUUGAAUAUAAAUAGAUCUGUACUUAGAAACCGUGUUCGAAUGUCUGACUUGUAAUUAAAAACCUUGGUGCCUGUUCUGGGGUGUUAAAUUAAGCACACCAUCCUUGCAUCACUGCGAGUGGAAUGUUAGGCCAUCUGCAUGGAUGAUAUACUGAACAGUCUUCUAUUCUUGCCAAAUUGAAUUUCAGUUCCAUACUCACAGAGCAUCACUUCCUUUUAUGCCAUGCUUUUUUAAGCCUGUGUAAGAGUGAUCUGCUAUUCUGAAUUACUGGUGACCAGCAUACUGUAUAUACAUUAGAAGUGGACAUGGAAUUUCAGAUUCCUUGGUGAAGAUAGCAGUCAGUAUAUUAGAACCACUAGAAGCAUCUAACAGUGGCUCAGGUAUUGAAGCCAACAAUUAAAAUAUACAUAAAGAAAAGAGAACAAGAGAGAAAAAUCUCACCUAUAAAGAAGGCAUGCAAAUUUCACAACGCAGCCCCUCAUCUCUAGAUCAGUCCAUUCGAGAAUGUCAAACUUGGCAUCAAGGCUCUCUUUUUAUGCCAGAAAACACCGCAGAAGCAGAGACCAACAAUACACAAACAUUGUAUAAAAUCUUAAUAUGCAAUAUAUAUGAAUGCAAUACGAGGAAAAAAGAAAGAAAGAUCCAAUAUCACAAAUAACAUAUAACAGUCUUUUGUUGUUGUAUUUAAAGAACGUUACCUUCCUGAGAAAAAAGAUACUGCAAGCAAAAGCAACACGUCUCUCUGCAAAAAUCUUGGAACUUAAAAUGGAGAAGAGUGAGAAAUCGUUAAAAGGAUGUGUUCCAACAGGAACACAGGCCCAGACAGUACUUCUAAUCCUCUUAGCAAAGUUUUCAUGUACUGUUUAAAAGAAUCAGAGAAGAAUGGUGUACUCCUCUGAAUCCAAUUCAGUACUGUCCACUUUGCCUUAUCAGCAACACAACACAAGGAAUGGUUUCAGUAGUAUUGAACAACCUAUGUUUCUCCCUUGAGUCCUUAAUGUACGUCUCCAAAAGCAAACUAUACAUCUCUGAAGGUGAGAAGCAAAAAUUUCCCAAAUCAAGAGAUUUGUAAUGCACCAUAAGAGAAAAAGUGUACCAACUUCACUCACAAAGCUCUACCAGGAUGGAUGUUCUGCAUUGCCAUUUGAAAUCCAUAUAGUGCCCGGGCCUGAGACAAUGAAAAUGCCUUUUGGUCCCUCUUCAAAACCUCCAAAAUGUAAUUUUAACUUUAUUUUCAUAAAUAAAAUAAAUUUGUAGUAUGAUAAUGAAAACCAGGUCGAACACAAGGCAAAUUUCAUUCAAUCUUCCUACAACAUACUAAAAUAAAAAAAGAACGGGGAUUUGAAUAAAAAAUUAAAGAAACAAAAUUCUGAAAAUAAAAAUACAAAAUUAAUAUGGCGUUGGCUUAGUUCAAAGGUCUAGACAUUCAUUCCCAUAAAUUUAUUGAUCAUCGAAGUAAAAUAAAUAUCCUUUCAAUUCAAGAAAAUGAAUUUGAUGCCCUUUUAAAGCUAAGGGGAAUCGAGGAGAUUAUGAGUAAAUUAAUUAGAUAAAGCUUUCUAAUCAAUUUCUUUCCAUCAAGCAAAUUUAAUAUUGAAAAGCAACUUUAAUUCACUCAGCAGUAGCCUUAGGAGAAAAAUCUGUAAAAUUUAUUCGAAGCAAUCGUUCAAAAGCUUGAGCAAUUUAACUUAGUGUACCCCUCCCUAAUAAAUUAAAGUGAUAGUUCUAGCAAUCAAGUUAACUCCUUUGUUUCUUCUUAUUCUAGUCCCCGACAACAAUUAAGAAUUGAAAGAAACUAGAAAGCACAUAUAUAUCAUCUCAAAACAAUUCAAUAAGCAUGAACAGAAAUCAAUAGCAUAAUUAUGAAAUAAAGAUAAAUAAGUACUUGAAUAUGAAAGAAUUACAAUGAGAAGAACGUUACUUCUCACAACUUAAUAAUGGGGAUGGUGUCUAUUCCUCUUGAACCGAAAGCCAAAGUUCAGUUCAUAGUUGCUGGAAAAUUAACAAAUAAAGAGAAAAGCACAUUGUAGAGAAGAAGAAGAGAGUAUUCUGACGUGAUUUGCUUCCUUUAUUCCCUCCCUCAGCUGCUCUCUUUCAUUAGGAUUCUUCUCCUGAUCAGGAGUCCUUAAUAUUACUUAUUCCUUCUUCUUUAUCUCGCCAUUAAGAUUGGUUAAAUCCCUCAGAAUUUGUGUUGAAAACUAACUCUGCUGCUGUAAUAAUUCUGCUGCAAUUUAGACUCUAAUGCCACUUAGAUGUUGUUUUCUAACAUGAUUUCUUGUAAUAUCCGGCCAUUCCAGCUGUAUUCUUUCAUUCAUGAAAUGUUAGAGACUUGAUUUGCACUUUUCUUGGGUCCUAUGGCUUAUCGUUUCUAUAUUAGACUCUCAAUCAUAGUGGGAUGCUCCUCACCGUUAGUUUCCUCAUCAAAUCAGGAGACCAAUCUUGUCCUUUAGCUUGUGCCUAAAUGUUUGCCUUCAAAGUUGUAUAUCUGGAUGUGUAGAUGAUUUUGAGCUUUAGAAUCGCAUGAUUUUAAUAUACAUAGCUCUAGAUAUGCUCAUUUGAAUCUGUAGUGUGGAAACAGAGAAUCCUGCUGCAAGUAGGAUAUCGACCUGAUUUUGCAAGUCUGAUUAGAGGUCCAAAUGAACUCGAAUUUCUGCCCAUGAUACCUUCCUAGAAAGCUUUAUAUGUGUACUUUAACUUUUAUACAUCAAAUGCUCACAUUUUAAAAUUAUAACGAUGAAAAACCUGCUACAAGAAGCAAGGUCUGAAACAUAAAAUGCAGAAAUUCUUAUUUUUUAGCAAUUAAUUCACAAAAUCUCUUAGGCACGCCAAACUCGUAAGAACAACUUCCAAUAAGGUCAAAUAUAUUAAAAAGCAUAGUGUAAAAGAAAUAAAAACAUAUGUAUAUUUAUCUUUAUAUUACAAAGACAAAUUGAAAAAACAAGAAGCUGAGUGCUCAAAAUAAGCAUCAUGUCUACGUCGAUACCACAAAGAAUCAGUUUAAAAUGAACAUGUAGCGGUCACAAACUGUCAGAAGCAGUAUUGGGUGCUUGAAUUCGACACUCGAUGGACACUUUGAAGCAAAUAUGAUACCUAAAAUGAGAUACAAAUACAGAUAGAGCAUGAAUACACCUGUAAAUGAACUUUGAGAAGGUAACAAAAGCUUCUUAGGAGCUUAGCCAAGAAAUUCACCUCCAGAAUUUUCACAUAUUUAUAAAAUCUCACAGCCAAAUCUUCCAAAAACAAUCCCUUCAGAUGCAGCGAAAAAUGCUAGCACAUGGCUUACAAAGAGUUUCUUCCAAAACAAUCUGCACUUGGUUUUGAUUGAAUAGUGUGUGAUUGCAUCACAACAAGAUGAAAAAUGGCUACAAAAAUUGGAAAGGUUGUAGCUGUCAUACAUAGAAUUGAGGACUCCCCUUCAUUUGUCGGGUUUGAGGGGAGAACCUACCCCUUUUUUUAUUAUUUACAAUGCACAUGAAAAUCCAUGAAUAAAGUUCAUAGUCGAAGUAAUACAUAUUUCCACUGAUUACCAAACUUGAAAUCAAUAAAUUUCGGUCACAAAUUUACAAUGUGAUGAUUGCUAGCUACUUUUAUAUCGAUUAACAUUAAGCUAUGAAAUCAUUUCAGGAUUGAAACAUUCUACGAAAAAAAGUUUACAAGAAUUCUGAUUCGUAAUUACUUGACCAUGGAGUAAACUAAACUUGAAAUCAAAAAUCAAAAUGAGAUAGACCCGUACGUGUUAUAAAUUGUCGUGUUAUAAAUUGAUUGGAGAACAGACAUGUAUUCUGGAUAAAUUAAAAGCAACUAGAUUAGCAAUAACAAAUUAGAGACUGAAGACAAGGACAAGGUGAGGUGAUUCCCGAAAAUAGGUGUUAGGUUCUUCUUAUGUGGAUCGUUAAAUUUGGAAUUCUUUUCCACCCAUAUAUUUUCUCAAGGCUUCAGGAAUCUCGACACCAUUGUCCGUCGGAUUGUUCUCAAGACAGACAUUUUCAAAAUUUCAAGCUCAUUUCUUUUAAUUUUAUUUGAAGUUCUUUGUUUGUGAUGAAAUCCUGUUUUUAUGGAAAUGAUAUAUUCACUUUUUUAUUAGGGUUUGCGGAGAGAUUAUCUAUAAAAUAUACUUUUAGAGUAAAAUGUGCUCUAAAAGUGACUUUAUUAAGAGAUUUAUAUGUAGACAUACAUGCACAGUUGCAGUUGCUCGCCAACAGACAAUAUGCACGCAUGUGUGAGCUCCUGCAAUUUUAUUUCAGAAUACAAAAGAAAAGGCAACCUCUGUGUUCAUGGCAAGCUUUUACCUUUCCCUCCUCCAUAUCCAGAGCCAUAACCAGACCCGCUUCCAUAACCUGAGCCUGAGCCUGAGCCAGAUCCUCCUCCUCCACCCCCACCCCCACCACCUCCUCCUCCUCCUCCUCCUCCUCCACCACUUCCUUUCCCACCCUUGCCACCGCCACUUCCGCUUCCACUUCCACUUCCAUAGCCUGACCCACUUCCUGAUCCAGAGCCUUGACCUCCACCACCACCACCACCACUGCCGCCGCCACCACCACCACCUUUGCCACCACCUAUCCCACUACCAGAACCAUAGCCUGAGCCGCUACCGGACCCAUAGCCAGAACCUGACCCGUUGCCUCCGCCACUGCCACCACCUCCACCUCCGCCACUGCCCCCGCCCCCGCCUCCUCCACGACCACCAGCACCAUAUCCUUCACCGCUCCCGGAUCCAGACCCAGAACCAUAACCUGACCCAAGUCCUGAUCCAGAUCCACCACCUCCUCCCUGCCCUCCACCUCCACCUCCACUAAUUGACUGCAGUGUCCUGGCAGCAAAGGUGAGGUCUACAAUAAGCAAGACCAGGAAAGCAGUCCCUAACACUCUUGGACUUGCCAUUUCCAGAUUAUUCUCUCACGUACGGCUCAAUGUAUAUGUUUAAUAUGCGUGUCACUCAGUGUAUGAGAAACAAGUAUGCUUUGUUGACUGGAAAUGCUUGAAGUGGUAACCCUAUAUAUAGGCAUUGUAAAGGUAACAAGACAAGAUUUUUGAAAAGUUUGGCGUUAAUUGUAAAGGUGACUAGACAUGGUUUUUGAAAAGUUUGUUAAAUUUCUAGUGCCUCUCAUUUGUUAAUCUUGACUUUUACAGGAGGGCGUCGGUGGUGGGGUGGCGGUACUGUGGAGGACCGUCUGUUUCUGUCUUUAUGCAAUAGAAUACAAGCUUUAUCCCCACCUUUUCUUUUUUGACUUAGAAGUGUCAUGUAAUAUUUGACUUCGGCAAUGGGACCAAUAGCAUGCAUUUCCCACUCUUUAUCAUUCUGUUCAUAUUUGAGCUCCACUUUUGAGUACACGUAUUUGUUUUCCAUGUACUGGUAGCUGUCCUGCGGUGAUUUAGGCUAACGAUGGUCUCCUUGAGCAUAAGUUGACCCGCUAACGGUAGAUAUCUUUCUACUCUGCGUGUAUGCUAACAAUGGGCUAAGCUUGCACAAAAAACUGGGUGGUUCAGUCAAUAUUUCUUAUUUCUGUUACACUUGGAAUUAAAUUUCUUUUCCCACAAUAUCAUAGACAUAUUCCAACACUGAAUAUAAAUAGAUCUGUGCUUAAAAACCGCGUUUGAAUGUCUGACUUAUAAUUAAAAACCUUGGUGCCUGUUCUGGUGUAUGAAAGCACACCAUCCUUGCAUCACUGCUAGCAGAAUGUUAGGCCAUCUGCGUGGUUGAUAUACUGAACAGUCUUCUAUUCUUGCACAGAUUGGAUUUCAGUUCCAUAUAUAUGCACAGAUCAUCACAUCCUUUAAUGGCAUGCUUUAAUAAGUCUAUGUAAGAGUACAAGAACAUUUAUUUAUUUUUUGUUAUUGGGGAUUUUCUAUUCUGAAUUAUCUUUACUAAUUAAUAGUGGUUGUGCCUUGAAACAUAUCUUUUUUUUUCUUCCACAUUUUUUUCUUGAACAAAACAUGUUAAUAGCAAAUGCCAAUACUUUUCAACUUUGGUGCGAUUGUUGAAGAGAGCACUAUCUCCGACAGAAUUUUCUGUUGAUAUUUAUAUUUAUAGUUUGACAGGAUGAAUUUUCCAGAUCAGCUCAUUGACAGAAAUCAUUCAUUAGAAAAACUCUCGUUUGUGAUUUGCGGUAUGUCGGUAAUAAUUUUACCAAUGGAUUUACUGACAGACAAAGCAUCAAAAAAAAAAUUACCCGCUUCAUUCCACCAAGAUCUCCAUCGAUGAAUAUAACAUAUCACUAACAUAAUCUUUUUUGUCCAUCGGUAUUUUCUUCGAUGAAUUUGAUAUAUAAUCGCCAAAUAGACCAUCUGUUAUUCCAUUGGUGAGUAAAUAGUGGUGGUGCCAUUUGGAGUAAUUCUUUUCUAAUUUUCUGGAGUAUACCAAUAGUCUGAGACCAUCGAUAGCCCUGUUAGUAAUAAAUUAAAAAUAUAUUUUUAAAAAAACUAUUAAACAGAAAUAGAAAAUAAUUAAAAUAAAAUAAAAUAAUAUAAAAAUCAAAUAUUUGUUAUAAAUUUAAAUAUUUAUAAGUUUAAAUACAAUUAAUCUAGAAUAGAGGUACUGGAGAAGGAGGAGAAGACGGGUCAUCUCCGGGAAUGUGGGGCAAAUAAGUGGGAGUUGAUGUAUCGUCUAUCUAUGAUCUUGUUUCCAUUACAAAUCAGUGGAGUUUAACCAAUUUAAUACUGAGUUGUUCAUAAUCAAUAGCAUGAUGGGUCGUCCAAGCUUAAACUUGCUUGUCUAAAAUCGCCUCGAACUCCGGAAUUUGAGUGCUUGAAACCUAUUGCAAGUAUCCAAUGAUUGAAACAUUGUUGGCCGUCCGCAAGCCCUCGACUGUAGUAUUAGAGAGAUCAUAUACCUGAUUUCUAUAGGGUUCACCAGACAAUUCUGCAUCCAACCAUAAAUCCGGAUCGAGAUCUGGAUGGGUUGAAGGAUUGUCAUUAUAUCUCCUUCAACUAGUGUUAUAUAUAUCCUAGAAAAAAAGUCAGGAAAUUUCAAAAAAUAAUAACUUGAGAAUAAUUGUCUGAAAACAACAUACCACAAAGUGUUGAGACCAGUUGUCCACGAGUUGUUGCACCCCUUUUUUACUGUCAUCAAUUCACAAAAAUGUGUCCAUAUAAAGCUCUAUUAGGCUUGGUCCGCUUCCAAGAACUAUGGCUAGUGAGAUAAAUUUGUUGUUAGUUAAAUAUAUUUAUAGAAAAAACAACCAAUAAAAAAAAUGGAUGUAAUUAAAAAAAAUCUUACCACCUGUUUUGCAAGCGAAACGAACGGAAUUGAGCUGCUGGGUAAAUGGAUCCUGUUGUGAAGGGACCCCCUCUCGACGUGGUGGCAUCACACUCGUGAGUGGAUGCCUGUGUCUUAGGUUCCUAUUCUUGGGCGACACCUAACGACUCAUAGUCGUCUGAAUCAAUGCUAGAAAAACUUGUAGCGGUCAUGUCCAUACGACGUGCUAUUGACUUUUUCCUAGACAUCUACACAAAUUAAAAGAUUAAGGUGUUGUAAAUCAUUCCUAUUUAAAACAAAUCGGCAACUUGUCCCCUAUACGAGAGACUACCCAAAAAUUUUAAACUUGCAAAUACAUAACAAUUUAAAUUGGAUUGCCACAAACUAGUUGAUUUUAUUUCAAUCUAUGUCAAUCAAAUAAUUUCAAUUAUAUUUAUUUAGCCAAAUCUUCAAUUAACUUUGCUACGACCAUUUGCGAAUUGAUCAUAAUAGGUAAAUAUAAACACAUUAAAAGAUUUGUAGUAUCAAUAUUUCACAUUAAAAUCUAUUCAUUUAUCAUAACUAUUAUCUUAGUUAUUAUUAUAUUUUUUUUUUUUGUUUAUGAUGGCUACUAUUUUUUAAAAAAUAAUUUUUAUUUUUCAUGACAUAAAAAACUAUUCGUUAUCACCAACAAAUCAAUUAGCUAACCAUAGUGAUUAUAUGGGUCUUGUAUAUAAAAUCAUAAUCUAAUGAUAUUCAAUGAGAGAUAAGAAUAGAAAAAAAAUUAAAAAAUUAAAAAAUUCCAACAUUUAUGCAAUCAUUAAAGAACAAAAAAAUAAAAAUAAAAGUAAAAAAAAAUUAUAACAACAUUUAUACAAUCAUUAAAUAACAUAAAAAUUAAAAAGAUUCCAGCAAUUAUACAACCAUUAUAUAAUAGAAAAAUAAAAUAAAAAUAAUUCCAACAACAUUUAUACAAUCAUUAAAGAAUAUAAAAUUAAAAAAAAUUAAAAAACUCUAAUAAUAUUUAUACAACCAUUAAAGAGCACAAAAAUUAAAAAAAUCCCAACAACAUUCAUAGAAUCAAUAAAAAAAAGAAAAAUUAAAAAAAUUCCAACAAAAUUUAUACAAUUAUUAAGAACAUAAAAAAAAACACAAAACAAAUAAGGAAAAAGAAGAAUCUUACCUUAAUGUUGUUGUGAGUUUUCCCGAUCCUGAGAAGAGAAACAAAAUAAAAAAUUAUGUUAAAUAACAAGAGAAAGAGAGAGGAGAAGACAUACCUGCACAUGGAGAAGAAGAGAAGGGAAUAUGUGGAGGAGAGAAGGAGAGGGAGAAGAGACAGACAGAAAGAUGAAGAUUUGGGAGGAAGAGAGAAUAAGAGAAAUGUGCUUUUAAAUUGGAUCUUCUUUACCCACAGAGUUUUUGAGGACCAAUUAAAUAUUAAUAUUUUAAUUGUUUCUGUCAGUGUAUCUGUUGGUAAAGUCUAAUUGAAAAUUUUAAUUUAAUUAAAUAUUUUCAGAAACAUGCCAAGCAUUAACAAUAUCUUUAAUUACCAUUAGAGAACUAAAAAUUAAUAUUUUAAUUUUUCUAUUCGUGCUUUUGUUUGUAACAUCUAAUUGAAAUUUUCAAUUAAAUUGAAAAUUUUCAGAAACCCACCAACUAUCAUUGACUACUUUUAAGUCUGUCAAUGAUCUUGUAUGCAUUGAACAAUAAUAAAUAGUCUAAUUGAGAAGUGAACAAUUCCUUAGCUCUUGAAAAAAUACCAACGUACAUUACCCGUUGGUGAUCCCGUAUGCACUAAAAAGUAAUAAAAAGUGCAAGAGAAAAGUGAACAACACCUUAUCUCUAAGGAAAUACCGAUGUGCAUUAACCGUUGGUGAUCUCGUAUGUAUUGAGCUUUAAUAUACAAGGCAAGUGAGAAUUGAACACUACCUUAGCUCUUAGAAAAAUACCAGCGGAUAUUUUUUGUCAGUGAUCCCGUAUAUAUUGAACACAAUUAACAAUACAAUUGAGAGGUGAAAAGUUACAAUACUCUCUGAAAUAUACCGACAACCUUAAUUCAUCGGUGUAGCUAUUGGUAUUUUGAAACCUGUCGGUAUUUUUAUUGGUGUAAAUGACAAGUCAUCGUACUUUUCAUCUUUUUUUUUUCAUUCCUUCUUUUCCAACUAUAAUCCACUCGGUAUAUACCAAUAAGAUAUUUUUAUCGGUGCUUACUGAUAGAUAUUGCAAAGGCACAUUCAACUGGGGAAAUUCACUGCAAUUGACCGAUAGAAAUAUUUCAUCGAUGUGUAUUUGUCAAUUUUCUGGUAGUGUCUAUGCUAUCAAAAUUAGCAGCAUGCUUCACAUGUUUUCCUAAAAAAUAAGAUAUAAAUUAAUGUCAAUAAAUUGUUGUAGUAUCACACGUAUCUAGCUUCCAAUGUACUUCUCAAUCCCAUAUUCUACUCUCCAGAAUAUCCGGAAAAUCUCAGGCCACAAACACACCCUCUAACUCACCAUCCAAAAUUGUCCAAUUGCAUAGCAUGCUUGCUUUCAAUAAUAGCUACCUGGCCAUCAUAUCCUCGACCAAAAUAGAAAUGGCCUAUCGUCGAUUUCUGACUAUCAAGUAACGUGAAUGAACCGCAACUUCUAAGCACUUGUGCAUUUGAAAUGCACAAAUAGAUUAGGUGUAUAAUGCGUUAUUUAUUACGGCGACAUUUGUCAACAAUAGCUGAAGGUGCUCUCGAAUGUUCCUCUCCAAUAGCAGAUUGGAUGUUAGAGAAUACUUGUUCAACGCACCACUAGGGAGAUAAAAUUGGUCUGGUAGAGUUUUGAUGAUAUGGAAGAAGUGGAAGUCAUUAUCAUGUUAUUAGUGGCAACCAUUAUGUGCAUGUGCUCUUCACCUCUUGAUUACCUAGUCGUUUUAUUUUACCCUCUCCAACAACGAAUGUGAUCUGGAGAUUCUCUUCAUGGAUAUGCACAAAUUAUUUAUAGUAUCGUCAGCCACGAUUAAUUUCCCAUUGAUCAAGGAUUGGCAAUUGACAUAGGGGGAGAGUAAUAGGGUAGCGUACAAUAAACAUGCAUUAGCAGCUAGCAGGUUAUCUGCUGUUGGUUAUAAGACUCAGUGUUGACCAUUUCCUUUUUUCCCAGAAAAGAAACAAAGAAGAAAAUAUAUAGAAAAAAGACUUGUUUUAGUUUAAUGCAUCAUCAACCGCUCAUUGCAACGUAAAAGCUCUUACAUUUGGGAGCUUACGUUGCUACAACAAAAAAAUACAAAAUUUAAGAAUGGCACUUGUUAAGGAUUUUUUAACUACAUAACCAGCAAUAUGUCAAACAAUGGCUUCAGUCCAACAAUCAAUUCGAUGCCUUACGUCCACAUAUUCAAUCUGUUCUACCAAAAUCCUGUUAUCCGAUCAGUUUCAUAGCUUGCUCAGCAAGCUUGGAUCAGUAAUUCUCUAGAUCCAGCUUGAGAGAAAGUCUUGAAAAUUACAUAAUAGUUGUAGAUCCUUACAGAUAUUAUAAAUAAUAAAAAUUAAGUAUGCAAAUACUACAAAUAUUAUUGUUUAAUGGAGCAAAUACUACAAUAUUUGAAGGCAUAUAUAUUAUAUUAUAUAUGCAGUGUAUAUUGAUAAACAGUGAUAUUUAUAUAUAAAUGAAACAGAAAUGAAGAAAGAGCAGAGAGUAGAAAGGAAGAAGAACAGAGAAUGAAUCUGUUUAUACAGAAAAGCAGAAGACGAAAUUCAUGCACUGUUACAUUAUUGCUUUUGCUUGACUGUUUACAUUACUAUUUCUCACUUUAUAUAUGCAGUAUUGGAAGAUACUACACGGAGAAUAUGCUUUCUUUUACACUCAAUAUAAUGCUAACAGAUUCUCUUUUACUAACAAACACUACUAACAGAAUGCUAACAAUAUUAAUUGCUAAUCUUCUGACACUUGGCAUCAUUAGGACCGUUGAUAUCUUUAUAUGCCCCCUCAAUCGCAGGCUGGGAGGAGCCAAGCAUGAGAUUGGAGCAAAGAUGCUGAAACAAAGAAAUGAAAAGACCUUUAGUGAGGAUAUAUCAGUAGAGGAGACAUGCUGGACCAGUAAAUCAUCCAUGAUAACCCGUUCCCUAACAAAAUGAUAAUCGAUCUGGAGAUGUUUCAUCCUGGAAUGGAACACUAGAUUGGAAGCAAGGGAGAUAGCAGAGAUAUUUUGAAAAGCUAGCAAGAAACGUCACAGAGAGGAACAUAGAAGUGAAUAGAAUUAGAGGGAGAUACUGCAAUAGAGAUGAAGAAAAGCAGAGAAUAGAGAUGAAGAGAAGUAGAGAGAAAUUCUGCAGUGCAGAGGAAGAAGAAAACGUUUAUGUGUAUAUUAGAAUAGAGAUGAAGAGAAGCAGAGAGAGAUUCUGCAGUGCAGGGGAAAAAGAAAACGUUUAUGUGUAUAUUCUCUUAUUAGAGUUGAACAAUCUGAAGUUAAGAAGUAGUCGCUAUUUUUAGAGUGCAAGAGAUAGAAAAGAAGAGAAUCAAAGAUUGAGAAGGGGAAGAAUCUUGCAGAAAGUUGAAGAUUUGAAGAAGAAGUUUCAGUUUGACAAUAUAUCAAACAGAUAAUAGACACACUAGCGAACACAGAAGAAUUUCAUUAAUAAGAUGAGAAAGAAGCCAGAAUCAGAAACAAGAGUAAAAAAAAAAUAAAAAUAAAAAAUAAAAAUCAUAGAGUGCAGAAGUUUCUCCAGGUUUCCCUCUCUCUCUGCUGAAAAAGAAGCAACAGAGUCUCAAAUCGAUUUCAGCAGGUGCACGCAGUAACACUAAGAUCUUGAAGAGAUCAUGGCCAAGCAUCAUCCUGAUUUGAUUAUGUGUCGGAAGCAGCCAGGAAUUGCUAUUGGACGCCUUUGUGAGAAGUGUGAUGGAAAAUGUGUAAUCUGCGAUUCCUAUGUACAUCCUUGCACACUUGUGCGAGUUUGUGAUGAGUGCAACUACGGAUCCUUCCAAGGUUGAUGUGUUAUUUGCGGAGGAGUGGGAGGCUCUGAUACCAUGAUAGACAGUGAUAUUUAUAUAUAAAUGAAACAGAAAUGAAGAAAGAGCAGAGAGUAGAAAGGAAGAAGAACAGAGAAUGAAUCUGUUUAUACAGAAAAGCAGAAGACGAAAUUCAUGCACUGUUACAUUAUUGCUUUUGCUUGACUGUUUACAUUACUAUUUAUCACUUUAUAUAUGCAGUAUUGGAAGAUACUACACGGAGAAUAUGCUUUCUUUUACACUCAAUAUAAUGCUAACAGAUUCUCUUUUACUAACAAACACUACUAACAGAAUGCUAACAAUAUUAAUUGCUAAUCUUCUGACACUUGGCAUCAUUAGGACCGUUGAUAUCUUUAUAUAUAUUAUCUAGUUUAAAUAAUCAUGUAAUUAUUAUUUAUUUUCUUGUUACUAAGGACACAAUCAAAUCUCGUAAAUACCAUAUUAGGAAAUGAUUCUAGUUCAUAUAUACUUGUCAAUAAUGUUAAUGUUAUGAUUGAAAGAUUAUACCUACACGAUCUAACUGCUAGGGAAAACAAAGCUGAAGAUUUCCACCUGCUUACAAGUUCAAUGCCAAAAAGUGCCUUAAUUAAUCCACUCUGGCAUAGCACCUCGUUUCGUUACAUCUUCUUGAUUGAUUUCCUUCAUUGGAAUUAUUGCAAAAGAGAAUUUUUCGGGUUUUUCUUUCUGCUUUCAGUUUGGGUGCCGAAGACCCAAAAUCUUGCAAAUUGAAUUGCUGAUAAUUUCAAAACAAGUCCACAGCAUCAAAACCCUAAUCUUUAAUACAACAAAAACAGAGAGAAUAGUAAGGAGGUCGUUUGGUGCCGUUCGGUAGGCGUUAAGAGAGAGAGGAGGGAAGGUUUUGUUUUGUAUUGUCGCUGGUAUUGUUCGACUAGAGCCCGCGCGCCAGCCCGUAUUCCUAGACCGGAAUUUCCUAACCCAGGGCAAACUGCCAUAAAACAAAGAUGAAGCCAUUGUUCACUUUUUGAUGUACUGAAUAAAAUUUACGAAGUAGGAUACAUUUUCAACCCCCAUUCUUGGGCCUUUCGUUUUCUGGUUUAUUCUUCUUAGCUUCUUAUUUCUAAUACUUUUAUGUUUUAAAUUAUUUUUGUCCUGCAUAAACUUAAGUUUUAAAUUGAUGUGGUGUAUGAAAGCACACCAUCAUCUGCAUAUGGUUGAUAUAUUCAUGAACUGUCUUCUAUUCUUGCACAAACUGAAUUUCGGUUCCAUCCAUGCACAUAUUAUCACUUCCUUAAUUUGAUGCCAUACUUUAAUAAGUCUAUGUAAGAGUGCAAUAAGUGCACUUAACUUUUUUGGUUAUUGGGGAUCUGCGAUUCUGAAUUAUCUUUACUAAUUACUAGAUCAGUAGUUGUGCCUUGAAACAUAUCCUCUCUCUUCUUCUUUUCUCCCAUAAUAUUAAUAGCAAAUGCCAAUAGUUUUCUUGAAAUAAUUAUAGCUUUUCAGAAUAUUUGUUGAGCGGACCUACUGGUGGUCCUUUGGACAUAAAAUUCACUUUGCGGCUUCUAAAGGCCUUUUGGCCGCCUUUGGUGAGGCAUAAAAAAACUCUGGGUGACAUUGUGGUAGGAGAGUUAAGUAGUUUUCAAUACCGAAGAUGACUGGACUCCAUUGACCAACUAAGACUUUUACAUAGGUAUUCUUUUUGGCAGUCGUAAGCUAUUUUCACUUGUGACAUGGUUUUGUUUACUGCAUGCAAAGUCAACACUGAAAGUCUUAGGUUGUGGGAGAAAAUUUUCAAUUUUCAAAACUUCAAGCUCAUUUCUUUUAAUUUUAUUUGAAUAAGUUCUUUUUUGUGAUGAAAUCCUGUUUUUAUGGAAAUGAUAUAUCCACUUUUUAUUAGGGUUUGCAAGAGAUUAUAUACUUUUAGAGUAAAAUGUGCUCUAAAAAGUGACUUUAUUAAGAGAUUUAUAUGUAGACAUACAUGCACAGUUGCAGUUGCUCGCCAACAUACUAUGUGCAUGCAUGUGUGAGCUCUUGCAAUUUUAUUUCAGAAAACAGAAGAAAAGGUAAUCUCUGUGUUCAUGGCAAGCUUUUACCUUUCCCUCCUCCAUAUCCCUCCCCAUAACCAGACCCGCUACCAUAACCUGAUCCAGAGCCAGAGCCAGAUCCUCCUCCUCCACCACCACCUCCUCCUCCUCCUCCUCCACUUCCUUUCCCACCCUUGCCACCGCCACUUCCGCUUCCACUUCCACUUCCAUAGCCUGACCCACUUCCAGAUCCAGAGCCUUGACCACCACCACCACCACCUCCACUGCCGCCGCCGCCACCACCACCUUCACCACCACCUAUCCCACUACCUGAACCAUAGCCUGAGCCGCUACCGGACCCAUAGCCAGAACCUGACCCUUUGCCUCCACCACUGCCACCGCCUCCGCCUCCGCCUCUGCCUCCACCUCCUCCAUGACCACCAGCACCAUAUCCUUCACCGCUCCCGGAUCCAGACCCAGAACCAUAACCUGACCCAAGUCCUGAUCCAGAACCACCACCUCCUCCCUGCCCUCCACCUCCACCUCCACUGAUUGCCUGCAGUGUCCUAGCAGCAAAGGUGAGGUCUACAAUAAGCAAGACCAGGAAAGCAGUCACUAACACUCUUGGACUUGCCAUUUCCAGAUUAUACUCUCACGGCUCAAUGUAUCUGUAUGUUUAUGCGUGUCAGUUGUCACUCGCUAUAUGAGAAACCAGGAUGCUUUGUUGACUGGAAAUGCUUGAAGUGGUAACCCUAUAUAUAGGCAUUGUAAAGGUAACAAGACAAGGUUUGUAAAGGUAACGAGACACGGUUUUUGAAUGUUUCUUAAAUUCCUAGUACCUCUCACUUGGUGAUCUUGACUAUUAUAGAAAGGAACGUGUGCUUUGGGUUUCUGUUUUAGUGGAGGGCGUCGGUGGUGGGGUGUUGGUACUGUGGAGGACUGUCUGUUUCUGUCUAUAUGCAAUAGAAUACAAGCUUUAUCCCCACCUUUUCUUUUUUUUACUUAGCCGUAUCUUGUAAUAUUUGACUUUGGCAAUGGGACUAAUAGCAUGCAUUUCCCACUCUUUAUCAUUCUGUUCAUAUUUGAACUCCACUUUUGAGUACACGUAUUAAUUUUCCAUGUACUGGCUGGUAGCUGUCCUGCGGUGAUUUAUGCUAACGAUUGUCUCCUGAAGCAUAAGUUUAUCCGCUAACGGUAGUGAUUUAUGUACACAGAUAUCUUUCUACUCUGCGUGUAUGCUAACAAUGGGCUAAACUUGCACAACAAACUGGUUGUUCAGUCAAUAUUUCUUAUUUCGGUUGCACUUUCCGUCAUUGAAUAUAAAUAGAUUUGUCCUUAAUUAAAAACCGCGUUCGAAUGUCUGGCUUCUAUUUUAAAACCUUGGUGCCUGUUCCGGUGUAUGAAAGCACACCAUCCUUGCAUCACUGCUAGCAGAAUGGUAGGCCAUCUGCGUGGUUGAUAUACUGAACAGUCUUCUACUCUUGUACAGAUUGAUUUUCAGUUCCAUAUGCACAGAUCAUCACUUCCUUCAAUGGCAUGCAUGCUUUAAUAAGUCUAUGUAGGAGUUCAAGAACUUUUUUUUUUUUUUUGUUAUUGGGGUUCUUCUAUUCUGAAUUAUCUUUACUAAUUAAUAGAGUGGUUGUGCUUUCAAACAUAUCCUCUGAUCUCUUUUUUCUUCCACGUUUUUUCUUGAACAAAACAUGUUAAUAGCAAAUGACAAUAGCAUUCAACUUUGGUGCGCUUGUUGAUGAGAGCACUAUCUCACUACCAAAAAAUUUAGAUUUAGCAACGGAAUUUUUUGUUGAUAUUUAUAUUCACAGUCUAUUCACGAAUUUUCUAACCGGCUAACAAACAGAAAUCAUUCAUCAGAAAACUCUCGUUGGUGAUUUGUGGUAUGUCGGUGAGUCUGUCAAUAAUAUUUUUACUGAUGGAUUAACUGACAGACAAAGCAUGCAAAAAAAAUUUUUAUCAACUUCAUUCCAUUAGGAUUUCCAUCGAUGAAUAUAAUAUAUCACCGACAUAAAAUCCGUAUGUCAUUCUAUCGGUGAGUUUUUUUGCCUGUCAGUAUUUCCUUCAGUGAAUUUGACAUAUAACCGUCAAAUAGACCGUCUGUUAUUCUGUCAGUUAGUAAACAGUAGCAGUGAUAUUUGCAGUAAUUCUUUUUCAAUUCCCUGAAAUAUACCAACAAAAUUAGACCGUCGGUAACUCCGUUAGUAAUAAUUUAAAAAAUAUAUUAAACACAAAUAGAAAAUAAAUUAAAUUAAUAUAAAAAACAAAUAUUUGUUAUAAAUUUAAUCAUUUAUAAGUUCAAAUACAAUUAAUAUAGAAUAGAGGCGUUGAAGGAGGAGGAGAAGAAGGGUCUUUGCUGGGACCGUGGGGCAAAUAAGAUAGAGCACAUGUGAUCUCGUCUCCAUUUAUAAAAUCAUUAAGGAAUAGAAAAAAAAAUUAAAAAAUUAAAAAAAAAAAUCCAACAACAUUCAUACAAUCAAUAAAGAAAAGAAAAAUUAAAAAAAUUCCAACAACAUUCAUACAAUUAUUAAGAACAGAAAAAUAUAAAAAAUGCAAACAAAAAAUACACAAAAAAAAGAGAAGGAAAAAAGAAUAAUCUUACCUUAAUGUCAUAAUGAGUUUUCCCAAACCUUGAGAAGAGAAAAAAAUAGAAAAUUAUGUUAAAUAACAAGAGAAGAAGAGAGGGAGAAGAGAGGAGAAGACAUACCUGCAUGUGGAGGAGAAGAGAAUAGGUGGAGGAGAGAAGCAGAGAGAGAAAUGAAAGAAAGAUGAAGAUUUGGGAGGAGGAGAGAAGAAGUUGUUGGGGAAGAGAUAAGAAGAGAAAUGUGCUUUUAAUUUAGAUCUUUUACCAACGGUGUUUCUGACGACCAAUUAAAUAUUAAAAUUUUUAAUUUUUUUGUCGAUGUAUCUAUCUGUAAAGUCUAAUUCAAAAUUUCAAUUUAAUCAAAUAUUUUAAGAAACACGCCAAGCAUUAACGAUGUCUUUACCGUCAGAAAAUUAAAAAUUAAUAUUUUAAUUUUUAUGUCAGUGUUUCUGUCUGUAAUGUCUAAUUGACAUUUUCAAUUUAAUUGAAAAUUUUCAGAAACCCGCCAACUAUCACCGACCACUUUUAAGUCUGCCAAUGAUCUUGUGUGCACUGAACAGUAAUAAACAGUGCAAGUGAGAAGUGAACAGUAUCUUAGCUCUCGGGAAAAUAUCGACAUACAUUACCUAUCGAUGAUCCCGUAUGUACUAAACAGUAAUAAAAGGUGCAAGAGAAAAGUGAACAACACCUUAUCUCUCAGGAAAAUAUUGGAGUACAUUAACCGUUGGUGAUCCCGUACAUACUAAACAAUAAUAUACAACGCAAGUGAGAAGUGAACACUACCUUAGCUCUCGGAAAAAUACCACAUGCUAUUUUCUGUCGGUGAUCCUAUAUGUAUUGAACACAAUUAGCAGUACAAUUGAGAGGUGAAAAGCUCCAAUGCUCUCUGCAAUAUACCAACGAUCUUAAUUUGUCACUGUAUAUGUUGGUAUUUUGAAGUUUGUCGGUAUUUUUAUCAGUGUAAAUGACAUAUCAUCGUACUUUUUGUUUUUUUUUUCAUUCUAUCUUUUCCCACUAUAAUUUAUUCAGUAUAUAUCGAUGGAAUAUUUUCAUCGAAGUUUACUGAUGGAUACUGCAAAGACACAUUCAGUCGGAAAAAUUCACUGCAAGUGACCAACAUAAAUAUUUUGUUGGUGUGUCCAUUUGCCAAUUUUCUGGUAGUGUCUAUGAUAUCAAAAUUAGCAGCAUGCUUCACAUGUUUUCCUAAAAAAUAAGAUAUAAAUUAAUGUCAAUAAAUUGUUGUAGUAUCACACUUAUCUAGCUUACAAUGUACUUCUCAAUCCCAUAUUCUACUCUCCAGAAUAUCUGGAAAAUCUUAGGCCACAAACACCCGCUAACUCACCAUCCAAAAUUGUCCAAUAUUUGCAUAGCAUGCUUGCUUUCAAUAAUAGCUACCUAGCCAUCAUAUCCUCGACCAAAAUAGAAAUGGGCUAUCGUCAAUUUCUGACUAUCAAGUAAUGUGAAUGAACCGCAACUUCUAAGCACUUGUGCAUUUGGAAUUCACAAAUAGAUUGGGUGUAUAAUUCGUUAUUUAUUAUGGCGACAUUUGUCAACAAUGGCUGGCUGAAGGUGCUCUCGAAUGUUCCUCUCCAAUAUCAGAUUGGAUGUUAUAGAAUACUUGUUCAACGCACUACUAGGGAGAUAAAAUUGGUAUGGUGGAGUUUUGGCCGGUGAUAUGGAAGAACUGGAAGUCAUUAUCAUGUUAUUAGUGGCAAACAUUAUGUGCAUGUGCUCUUCAGCUCUUGGUUACCUGGUCAUUUAUAUUUUACCCACUCCAAUAACGAAUGUGAUCUGGAAAUUCUCUUCAUGGAUAUGCACAAAUUAUUUAUAGUAUCAUCAGCCACAAUUAAUUUCCCAUUGAUCAAGGAUUGGCAAUUGACAUAGGGGGAGAGUAAUAGGGUAGCGUACAAUAAACAUACAUUACCAGCUAGCAGGUUAUCUGCUGUUGGUUAUAAGACUCCGUGUUGGCCAUUUCCUUUUUUUCGCAGAAAGAAACAAAGAAGAAAAUAGAAAAAAGACUUGUUUUAGUUUAAUGCAUCAUCAACCGUUCAUUGCAACGUAAAAGCUCUUACAUUUGGGAGCUGACGUUGCUACAACAAAAAAAUACAAAAUUUAAGAAUGGCACUUGUUAAGGAUUUUUAACUACAUAACCAGCAGUAUGUCAAACAAUGGCUUCAGUCCAACAAUCAAUUUGAUGCCUUACGUUCAAAUAUUCAAUUUGUUCUACCAAAAUCCUGUGUCUUUUCAGUUUGAUCGUUUACUCAGCAAGUUUGGAUCAGUUAAUCCACUGGAUCCAGCUUGAGAGGAAGUCUUGAAGAUUACAAAGCAGUUGUAGAUCCUUACUGAUACUGAAAAUUAAUGGUGUAAAUACUAUGAUUAAUGGAGCAGAUACUGCAGUAUUUGAAGGAAAUAUUCAAGAUUCUGUAGUAAUUACAUUACCUUAUAUAUGUUGUGUAUAUUAUCUAGUUUAGAUGAUCAUGUAAUUAUUAUUUAUUUUCCAUGUUAGAAACUAAUUUUAGUGCAUAUAUAUACUUGUAACUCUGUCGUUAGUAAUGUUAUGAUUGAGAGAUUAUACCUUUCUAAAUUUCUACACAAUCCAAUAGGGAAAACAAAGCUGAAGAUAUCCACCUGCUUACAAGUUCAAUGCCAAAAAGUGCCUUAAUUAAUCCACUCUGGCAUAGCACCUCGUUUCGUUACAUCUUCUUGAUUGAUUUCCUUCAUUGGAAUUAUUGCAAAAGAGAAUUUUUCGGGUUUUUCUUUCUGCUUUCAGUUUGGGUGCCGAAGACCCAAAAUCUUGCAAAUUGAAUUGCUGAUAAUUUCAAAACAAGUCCACAGCAUCAAAACCCUAAUCUUUAAUACAACAAAAACAGAGAGAAUAGUAAGGAGGUCGUUUGGUGCCGUUCGGUAGGCGUUAAGAGAGAGAGGAGGGAAGGUUUUGUUUUGUAUUGUCGCUGGUAUUGUUCGACUAGAGCCCGCGCGCCAGCCCGUAUUCUUAGACCGGAAUUUCCUAACCCAGGGCAAACUGCCAUAAAACAAAACAAAGGAAAACGGAAGGGGAGAGAGAGAGAGAGAGAGAGAGAGAGUGUUGGGAGAUUUCAGUGGAAAGUCAAGAUAUUUCGUAUAUCUAUUAUAACGGUAAGGAAGUCACGCGUGAUUGUUAAGCUGACGCGGGCGGGGAUUUUAUUUAAUUUAUAAUUGGGCUUAAUGGGCCAGUUUUAAACUUUAAGUGGGCUCGUGUGUAUUAAUUAACUCCAAGCCCGUAUUUGUAAGCCCUUUAAAGUCUCUACGGUGUGCGCCCUCUCAUAAAAGCAAAAAAAACUUUAACGAUGUUCGAGUCCUGUGGUUGUUCAUAUAAUGACCACUGGAAGCUUACAUGGUCGUUAACUUUAGGGCCCGUGGAAUUAGUCGAGGUGCACGCAAGCUGGCCCGGACACCCACAUUAAACUAAAAAAAACAAAAAAACUUUAACGAUAAAUUUCGAUCACAGAUUUACAAUGUGAUGAUUGCUACUUUUAUAACAAUUAACAUUAAGCUAUGAAAUCAUUUCAGGAUUGUAACAUUCUAUGGAAAAAAAAUGUUUACAAGAAUUCUGAUCAGUAAUUACGCCGUUAUUUACCUAUCAAAAUGAGAUAGACCCUUGCUAUAAAUUGAUUGGAGAACAUUCAUGUAUUCUGGGUAAAUUAAAAGCAACUAGAUUAGCAAUAACAAAUUAGUGACUGAAGACAAGGACAAGGUGAGGUGAUUCCCAAAAAUAGGUGUUAGGUUCUUCUUAUGUGGAUCGUUAAAUUUGGAAAGGGAGGAAUAAGAGCUUGCAAGAGGCUUUUUCAAGACUUGAAUGCUCUUAUGGUAAUUUCUUUUAUCGUUUUUUUUUCAGAAAGUUUAUAGCUUGUGGAGAUUUUUAGUUCUAUUUAAGAAUAGCAGUUGAGGUAACUUGACAUGAACUUUUAUGUCCACAGGCUGUUGCACUGGUUAGAUUAUGUGAGAAGUGAAUAUUUGACUGAAUGUCUGGCUUUGUAACAGGACUGCAAAAGUUAUGUUUUGAUUUGUGUAUAGUGUGUUGAGUUAAGCUGUUGUUGUUUUAUCGCUCUCGUUUUGGCUGCGGCUUUAUGUUCUGAGGUGUAACGAGGCUAAAGAGUUAUGGUCAUGCUAGCAGAGAAGGUGAGGCAGAGGCUUUUGCCGGGCUCGAGCUCUCAAAGUAGUUAUGGGGAUGAUGAGGAAAUGGAUUCCAAAGAAGAGAUGAAAGAUUGGCUGUUGAGUGUUGGUAUCAUAUCUCCAGUAACAAAAGAGUCUGCAGGUGCCAUGUAUCAUCAACAACUGUCCUGUAAGGUCAAGUCUGUUUUGUUGACUCUCUGUGUAUUUCUCAUGGCUAAUUGUUUGAUAAGAGAGAUUUAGAUGGAUAUUCUUAGUAUUACUUGCUUUUGUAUGCUGAGUAAAUUCUCAUGUUAAAUGGAUCCUCUUUUACUUAAUUUUCUUCCCUCGAAGAGAAUCUCAAUCUCUCUUUGUUUUUGCUCAGUUGGCAGAUUUUGUCAGAUUUCCUCUAAAGAAAGCUGGAGGAGUGAUCAAUCAAUCUUGUAUGGACUCCCCAACCGUGCUCGCACAGGUUUGUUUGAUGUCAUGAGCAUUCCUCGUUUUACUGAGUAUUACUUCAAUCCAUAUUGAACUUUUGAUUCCUUGGCAGCUCUCACUGGUAUUACGUGUUCUGCAUACAGUUGAUCUCACCUGAGGAUUGGUUGCGAGCACGUUCUCUUUGGGAGAAGUUUGAUGUGUAUGCAUGAUACUAUCUUCAACUAAUCUGGAAUUAUGAUUGUUUGUCUUGAGAUCCAAAAGAUGGAUUAUCUUUGCGACUUUCAAUUUAUUCAUAAGAUUGUACUUGAGCUGCUAUAGACAAAUAUAUCACGCAAGUCACUACCAACUGGCAAUAAAAUAAACUGAUUGUUGGUUUUAUUGAUGGGUAUAAGAUAUGUUCUUUGUGGAAGAACUUGUAGUGUUGUAACACAUUAUAUAAGAGAGCUAGUUGAUGAUUAGUAUUAAGACAGAUAUCCGAUAAAUUUGACAACAGCUUGGGCAGCAUUGCGAGCUGCUAAGGGUCCAAAUGUCUGGAUUGCAUUCUGUCCGGUCUGUCCUCCAGCUAAAUCUGAUAGCCCUCUGAUGACAAUCACAGGAUACCCGUUUGACAAGCUUGUCUGGGAAACCACCAUAAGUUGUUAGAAUAUUUUGAAGAGCAAAAUACAAUUGUCGACUGUAAGAGUCAGGUUUGAAAAUGCAAGCAUCUUAGACAAUUUAAUAAACUUCAACAAUGUCAGGCCACUCAAAUUGGGUAGAUUCAAUCCUCCAAAACCUAAAUCUUUCAUUGCAUUUCUAAGGCCCUAAUCGCUUGCUAUUAUGCAGCACAGUUGGUCUGAACACAAGUUGAGAAGGUGCUCUCAUAAUGCAUAUUAUGUUCUUUGCCUCAUGUAGACAUCGGAAUGCAAGGAGAUAGAGACACAGAAAAGAGAAGAAAAAUGAACUAUUAAAACUGAAGAGCAAGCCGAGGAAUCUUACCAUAACUACAGCAGAACUCUCCAUAUCCACUGAUGAAACAGCAUAAGUUUGAUAAAGGAAAUCCCUGUAAGCUGCGUUGUCCACAAAAAUAUUGGCUGUUGAACCCCUGAGGCCAACAACUAGCUUAGGCUUUCGAGAAAGGCACACACUUGAAUUCACACACCUUUCCAGUUCCAUCCCCUGGAGUAUAUCAGGAUUGAAAAAUUCAUCAAAACUGGAAAAUAUAUAUAUAUAUAUAGAAAAGGAAGCAACAUUCACAAAUCAAGAUAAUUAACCUCCAAGCCAGCGGCAAGCUGAAGCCAUUGUUCGCUUAUUUGUGCCCAAAAUAGUGGUAUGGCAGUAUUAGGCUUCCCUGACUCAGAAAAGAACUGCUCAUAACUAUAUCCAAUCUUUCCCAACAGAUUCAUCCCAUCUCCUUUUGGUACGUUGUAGCUUCCAAAGUCCAAUUCAGCAAUAUCAUUGGUGGGCAAUGUUCCAUUAGGAUUCUGUCAAGGGUAUACUUUUUUUAUAAAGAACAAAAUAACAUGAAAAAGAUGGAGAACAGGCAUGGACGAAUUUGUACCAGCCAAUCCCAAAUGCCAGUGUGAGCAAACUGUUUGGGGAUCGUAACAUCUCCAAUGGACAUGGAAUUGUUUACGUUUCCAGCAAUGCCAAAAUGGACUAUUCCUGUUAUAUCAAACAUGUCCAGCAUUUGUUGUGUUGCUGCAGCUGCAUUGACCUAAAAGAGCCAAAAAAAACCUUGAUUAAAUAAGCUUGAAAAUUCAUGUUAGAGGAAGAAUGGCAUUUCCUGAUCAUAUUCAAAAUCUCCCCUUCUAGGACCCUACAUCAGAUUAUGUGAAAAAGAUAGGAAAAGCUUUUAUUACCCACUGAUCUGUGUGAAUUUAAACUGGAAUGAUUUUAAGGACAAGUGGUUCGUGUUAUGACUAACUUGCUUUCCCCUAAUAAGAUUUAAGAAGCUCUAUGAUGCUAUUUUGACAUAUCAGCCCCAGAAGUUUUCACCUAAAAUAUAUGCAUCAGAAGUAAUUAGUAUCUUUGCUUACCAUUCCAACCCCACAUCGCACGUAGAGAACUUUCUUCCCCUGAACCUUUCCGACCCGGAACCGCCGUCCUGCAACAAACAACCACAAUUAAUUUGCUAUACAAGCUUGAAGAGCUCAACUGUCUACAGGCAUCUAAUGUCCAAUGAGAUCGCAUCACAGACAUCACCUGAGAGAUCCACAAAAGGAUGCUUCCCAUCAGGCUUAAAGGCCUUAGAUGCAAAAAAGGCAUUCUCCUCCGGUGGAUAAACAGUAAUUAUGCCAACGUAAGGCCCUUUUCUGUUCACUUCUUUGAUGAUAUUCAAAGACUUUAAUCUGUUUGAUGGAAUAGCUGAUGCAUUUACAAAUAUUAAAACCAGGGUCAGAAAUAGUAGCGCAACUAAUUGUUCUGCAGCCAUGUUUGUGGUUCAUCAGCUUAUGGGAAAAACCAUACUUGUAACCCCAACUGGUCACACAUCCAGCCAGCAGAUUUUUAAAUAUAAGUUCAGUUAGUCAGAGAGGCCGGCUUAAAUAAUAUAUUAAAGAUUCCUGUUAUGACGAUACUGGCUUUCUUGCAUGACAAUCCAUGGCCAGUCUUUCAUGUGGACUUUGAGUGGCCAAUAAGAUAACGUGGAGCAGGAAAAAGAAAUUUAAUUGCUAAUCAAGAAUCCGUUUAUGAUAUUCAUUUUUCUAAUUAAGUUGAAGAAUGACGAUCCUUUCAGAUUUAGAAUAAGUCAACGAUUUCGACGAACGAAAGGAGUGAUAAUUAUUUAAUUACAGGCUGACUCACUCACUCACUUAACUAUUUGUUCAAAAAUUCCACAGCUUACCUUAAGCAUCCGUUUACUUUCGAAAAUAUUUCAUUUUCAGCUGGUAUUAAGUAAAGGGCUAAGUUCCAGGAAAUUUCCCUCUUGGGUAUAUGUUGUUUUUAAUUUUCAACCUGCAUUAUUUCUGCAGACACGGCACAGAAAUGAGAGCUUCCAGGAACCAUAGCAUUCUCCAAAUUAAUAUAACAGGAAAAAAGAACAUCCUGAUCUACGCAAUUGUGAAAAGCAUCAUUCUUUGUCCUUCCAAACCAGUAUUUAAUAAUGUAGAGACAUUAUGCUCAAAAAAAAAUCCAGUGCCAGAUCCUUUCAUCCUUGGCAGGAGGUUAUAUAAAUUAUGGAGGAGGAGGGUCUAGCCCGACUGUCCAUAUCAGGCCUUGAUAAGACAGAAAAAAAAACACGAACUGUUUAUCACAAAAUAAAAUGGCUUGCAUCCUCAAUCAUACAUUACAAGAUGUGAGAAUACUGUAAUUAUCGUGAACCCUUUAUUUAAGAGUUCUUACAGCUUUGCAUCACUGAUUGACAUCAAAAUCUUUCCUUUUCAGAUAUGUUUCCAAGGAAGUUUAUUCUGCUGCACUAAAUCAGCUAGGAUAUGCUGGAGAACUUCUAAGAAAGACAGUUAUUUAACUUGUCACUCAUAUUUCUUAUUAUUGCAACUGACCAAUGCGAAACAAUGCUUUAAAGCAUAACUCUAUCGAGAAUUAUAUCCCGGUAGCUUGCUGAUAAAUUUAAGAACAGCCUUGGCAGUAUUCAGAGCUGCAAGCGAACCAUAUGUGUCCAUUGCAUUCUCUCCUGAUUGUCCUCCAGCUAAAUCUGACAUCCCUCUGAUGACAAUCACAGGGAUACCAUUUGACAAGCAAGUCUGGAAUAGCAAUAGUAUUAGUUUCUUCAGUUGAUAAUGAAACAACCUGUUGGAUCUUGUAAUUUCAGAAUAGAUAGCCAGGAUUUGAACAAGGUUCAAAUUCAAUACAAUGAAUAUGUUUAUGCUGAUGCUGAUGCUUAUCAACCUAAUCAAAACUUGCUACAUUCAACACCGAAUGGAAAAAUAAAGAACAUAUUAAUUAAUUAAGAUCAAAGGGAAGAAAAACUUGCCAUCACUACAGCAGAGCUCUCCAUAUCAGCUGAUGAAACCCCAAAAGCCUUAUAAAGGAAAUCCCUGUAAGCUGCGUUGUCCACGAAAAUGUCUGCGGUUGAGCCCUUGAGCCCAACAACUAGCUUGGGCUUUUGUGGAAGGCACAAGCUUGAAUUAACACACUUCUCCAGUUCCAUCCCCUGAAGAAGAUUGAACGAUACAUUGAAACUAAUCUGUAAGAGAGGCUUUUGUAGGAAAUUGUGUAUCAAAUAGCAAAGAGUAGCCUGCAUUUUAUCUUAGCUAUAACUUUGAGGAAAGAAAUAUUAGCAAAUUGGAAAAAUCUGAGAGACGGGAUAUGUAUGUCUAACCUCCAAACUAGAAGCGAGCUUAAGCCAAUGCUGACUCACUCCUGCCCAAAACAGGGUCGUAGCAUCAUUAGGCUCCCUUGACACUGAAAAUAACUGCUCGGGACUGUAACUGAGUUUUCCUAACAGAUUCACACCAUCUCCUUUAGGCACAUUAUAUUUUCCAACCUCUAAUUGAGCGACAUCAUCAGGGUCCACAGUUCCUUUUGGGUUCUACAAAUCACAAAAUUCUGUAUACGUGAAGUUGAAAAUAUGAUUGAAAGAGGUCAAAACUACAGCGUAAGAAUAUUUAUGAAUUCACACCAGCCAAUUCCAAAGGCCAGUAUUAGCAAACUGUUUGGGGAUGCUAACAUCUCCAAUGGACAUAGAAUUGUUGAUAUUGCCAGAAAUCCCAAAAUGGACAAUCCCGGCUACAUCAAACAGAUCCAGCAUUUGUUGUGUCACCGCAGCAGCAUUGACCUGAUUGAACCAGCAGCACAUUUAAAUCAGCUCGAGGGUGCCAACGUGUUCAGUAAACAUUGCCAUGUUUCUUCUGCAGCUAUGAAUUUUCUAGUCUAACAAGCUCUCCUGUACUAUACUGAAUUUUUUUUUUUCUUUUGGAGACGUGCCAUAUAACUUCAAACUUGAUGCAUUAAUUGGAGUGAAUAAAAGAAAAUGAUUUACCAUUCCAAUCCCACAUCUCACAUAGAUGACUUUCUUCCCGUAGAUUGUUCCGACUCGAUAUCUUCGCCCUUCAGUACCACAUUGUCAUUCUAACUUGCAGAACAAAUGUAUUCCAUCAACAAUGCAUUUAUAUAAGAAAAGAACCCACAUACCUGACAGGUUCACGAAAGGGUGCUCAGGAUUAGGCUUGAAAUCCGCAGUCCCUAAAAAGGCAUUCUCUUCUGGUGGAAACACAGUGAGGAGACCAAUAUAAGGCCCUUUGCUGUUAACUUGCUUUAUUAGUUUCAAAGAAUUUAUCUUCUUUGAUGGUAUAGCUGACACAGAUACAACCAACAAACAAGUCAAGACUACCGAUGCAAAAUAUGGUAGUGUUACAAGUUUUGCUGCCAUGGUUGAGUUUAGCUUGUAAGCCUUAUAUGUGAAUUGCCUAUAUAUAGGCUGCUUAAUUAAGUUUAAAAUUUUGAAAUUUUUUUUAAAUAAUAUUUUUUUUAGUAUUUUUAGAUAGUUCCGAUGCAUUGAUAUCAAAAAUAAUUUUUAAAAAAUAUAAAAAAUAUUAUUUUGAUAUAUUUCUAAAUAAAAAGCAAUACUAACUACACUCUCAAACACAAAAUUACUUAAUUACAUAUUGUUUUAGUGAUUCAAAGUGUGUAUAUAGUUUUAGUGAUUUUUUUUAAAGUGUUUUUUAUUUGAAAAUAUAUUAAAAUAAUAUAUUUUUAUCUUUUAAAUUUUAAUUUUGACAUCAUAACGUUACGACUAUCUGAAAAUAUUUAAAAAAUUAAUUUAAAAUAAAAAAUUAUAAAUUUUUAAAAACACUUUUAAAACACUAAAACAAACAAAAAAAAUUGAUCUGCAUCUAAAUCAUAUAAAUUUUUUUUUGAAAAAAAGUGGUUCAGAGCUGACAACAAAAGUGAAAAAAGAAAAGGACAAGGUAAAUUGUAGCUAUUAGACAUGAUCGGAAUAAAAUCUUGAAUAUGUAGAUUUCUGAUAUGACUAAGGGCUAAUAACUGGUUGGCAUUUUAAUCGCAUUAAGCUUUAUAGAAAAAAGAGUGGUUCACGUAGAGUUGACAGCAAAAGUGAAAAGAUAAAUUUACAAGGCAAAUCAUAUUUAUCAAGAUGAUCCAAAUAAAUGUUUCGUAUUUUAAUCACAUGAUUUUUUUUAUAUAUAAAAAAACGGUCCGCAUGGUAAACAACAGUUAAAAAAAAUUACUAGACAAAUCAUAGUUAUAAUAUAUGAUUUAAAUGAGAUUCUAAAUAUGUGGACUACUAAUAUGAUUAAGAGCCGAUAAUUAGUCCCUAUUUUAAUCCCAAGGAGUUUUUUAGAAAAGGUUGGUUCAGCAAAAAUGGGAAAAAAAAUUGACAAAGAAGAGCCAUUUAUUUUUGUAUUUUAAAUGUAAUUUUAAAAAAAAUUACUUUUUUUAAUUUUUUUAUUUUAAAUAAAUUUUUUUAUAUUUUUAGAUUAUUUUCAUGUGUUAAUGUAAAAAAAAUAUUUUUUUAAUAUUUCUUUAAAGAAAAUAUUUUGUAAACUAACUACUCACCGCUGUGUUUAAGAUUACUCGUGAUCAAAUUGAUUUUUACAGGGUGGAUAAGAAUCUGGGUAGUUAAGGUUUCACUAUCUUAUUACUUAUUCUAAUGUCUCUUUCUUCUUUAAAUGCAGUUUUAAAAGAGAUUGAAUGAGGGGCUUAAACUGGAGUUCAUGAUAUUAAAGUUUUACCUAACGGCUUCAAGACACUGCGAUGGAUAUUAAAGUUUACUUUACAUAGAUUAUGAGUUUGGCUAUGUUAUCAAUGAAAUAUUUUAAAAAUAUAUUUAAAAAAUAUUAAAUCAAAUUUUAUUUUUAUCAGUUUGAAUCAAUCCAUACAUGGUUUAAUUUUUUUACUAGAAAAACAUCUGCAAUACUUGAAUUUUUUUUUUUACUUCAAAAUAUAUUUAAUUCAACCUCAGCAUAACAUAGGCUAUACAUCUAAUUAUUUACCUAAUAUUUAUUUUUAGUUUUCACGAAAAAUAUCCGGCUAGUGCAUCAACUUUUAAAAAAAAUUUCAAUCAAUUGUUGCAAGCAAAUUACUUCUUCCAUUUCUGAAUCAUUGAUUGAUAUAAAAAUCUGGGCUUGUAGAAUGUGUCCCAGAUGAAGUUUGUUCCUGCUGCUUCAAAUCUGCUGAAGAACCCCUAAAGAUGUCUCCUUUGUCUAUUAGUUGUUAAAACUCUAAUUUCAUGGUAUGAUGACACAUUAAUGAGAAACUACAUGUAAUGCUGCUGCAAUGGAGAGUUGUAUCCUGGUAGCUUGCUGAUAAAUUCAAGAACAGCUUUAGCAGCAUUGAGGGCUGCAAGUGAACCAAAUGUGUGGAUUGCAUUGUCUCCUGAUUCUGCUCCAGCUAAAUCUGACAGCCCUCGGAUGACAAUCACAGGAAAGCCAUUUGACAAGCAUGUCUGAAAAAGCAAGUUCCGUCAGUAUGAUCUUUGUUGAUCAUGAAAUUAAUUGUUCGAAUCUUAGCACCUUCAGAAGCUUUGGAUCUUAAUUACAAUGUGAAAAAGAAAAGUACAAGUCCAUUUAACUGUGCUGGUUAUCAGAAGGAGGAUUCAGAUAAGUUAACUUGCCAUUACUACAGCAGAACUUUCCAUGUCUGAUGAUGAAACCUCAAAAGUUUGAAAGAGGAAAUCUCUGUAAGCUGCAUUGUCCAAAAAGAUGUUGGACGUCGCGCCCUUGAGCCCAACAACUAGCUUAGGCUUCUCUGGAAGGCACAAGCUUGAAUUAACACACUUCUCCAGUUCCAUCCCCUGAAGAGUUAUAAAUUGCAAGUGUAAUCUACUACAGAAGAGGCUUCUGUAGGAAAUUGUGAAAGAAGCAUUAAAGAGCAGCCAGCAAAUUUCCUUAAUAGUGACUUUCAAGAAAGUAAAAUUAGCAGAUGGUGAAAACUGAGGGGCUGGAUUUGAAUGUCUAACCUCAAGGCUCCUAGCAAGUUGAAGCCAUUGCUGACUUACUUCCAUCCACCACAAUGAAACAGCAGUGUUAGGCUCCCUUGACACAGAAAAGAGCUGCUCAGUGCUGUAUCCAAUCUGCCCCAGUAGAUUCACGCCAUCACCUUCAGGUACAUUGUAGCUUCCAACCUCCAAGUAAGCCACAUCGGCCGGGUCCAUAGUUCCAUUCGGGUUCUAUCAAUCGCAAAGGUCUGUGUGCGUAAGCUGCAAUUGGAUAGGGACAACAGAAAUAACAACACAUUAAAGAUUGAAAGUUUUCAAAAUUUUUGAACUUGUACCAGCCAGUUCCAAAGGCCAGUGUGAGCAAAUUGUUUGGGAAUGGUAACAUCCCCAAUCGACAUAGAAUCAUUCACAUUGCCAGAAAUUCCAAAAUGAACAAUCCCAGUUACGUCAAACAGAUCCAGCAUUUGUUGUGUUACCGCAGCAGCGUUUGUCUGAUCGAGUCAGAACCAAACUUAAAUCAGUUUGUGAAGGGAAAUACAGUUAUGAAUCUUCAGUCUAAGAGUACACAAAAAACAGAACUCAAAGCAUCAAGUGGGGUGAAAAGAUAAUAUUGGCUUACCAUUCCAACCCCACAUCUCACGAAAACGACUUUCUUCCCAUUGAUUUUUCCCACUCGAUACCUUCGCCCUUCAACAUCAUAAUUACUGUCAUUUAACAGAACAAACUACAAUCAACUGUAAUCAAAGUAUCUAGCAUCCAUUCCUAAGAAAGAAUACCUGCCUGAGAGAUCCACAAAAGGGUGUUUAGCAUCUGGCUUAAACGCCCCAGAUCUGAAAAAUGCCUCUUCUUCUGGUGAAUACACAGUUAUGAGACCAAUAAAAGGCCCUUUGCGGUUGAGUUGUUUGAUUGUGCUAAAAGAACCUCUCCUCCUCUUUGAUGGUAUGGCUGACACAGACAUAACCAGAAAAGAAACAAAAACCAGCACUACAAAACACCGUGCAGCCAUGGUUGAGUUCAUUACUAUUUGCUUGAAUGAAAAGACGUAUAUAUAUGCUCGGUCAACGCUUCCAUCGAUCUGGUAGAUAUAUUUUUUUUAUUUCUUGCCUCGUGAUUCAUUUUCUGGUGUUCCAUAUUGAUUGAUUGAUUGAUUUAUUUAUUUAGAAAAGAAAGAAAUGUAAAUUCACAUGAAGUUGACAGCCCAAGUGGGAGCUUUUAAAAAUAGACAAGAUCAGGGUCCUAUCUCUUGACAGGACCAGAGAGGCAGAGAAGACAAUAAUUAGCAUAAUAUCCUAUUAUUAAAUGUUUUUGAGCUUAAAUUCUCCUCUUCAUGUAUGGAUCUGCAUGCCAUCUUCUUGUUGUUGCUAUAUUUUAUCUGCAAAAAAUGUUAAUUAAUGUAAAACAACGAAAAUAAUCUGACUUCUUGUUUCGCCUGAGAGUAAAUCGGAGACUUCAAGUGAUUUCGAGCUGCCGACGAUGCAUAUCUGGCAGUUACUUAUCAUAAACAGAACAAGACAAGGCUUAAGCUCUUAAAAGCUAUGUUCUGUAAAUAUUUUCUUACUGCAAUGCAUCUGCACCAAAAUAAUUACCGGCAAUGUAAUAAUCACUGUUAUUAAAUCCAGUCCCACCAUGUACCUAAACAAUUGACUUCACGUGUUAAUUCAUAAACUAGUCAAAAUCUUCUUCUUUUUUCCAAAACAACAGCCUUGGCCUCUGUAGUGUAGAGUGACCUGUUCUGUUCAACAUCUAGGUAUCAUUUAACAUACCUUGACCUUCUUUCAAAUAUAGAACAAAUAAUUAUUUAAUCCGUGUGUUCUAACAAAAUAAUUAAUUAAUUCUAGUUAUUUGAAAAAUAUAACAUUGCAUCCUUAUAUUUUUAUUUUCGAUCAAGUACAUUAAUAAUGUUAUAUUUCCUAUAAUAAUGUUUUAUUUGCUCAAAUUACAUUAAUUUCAAGUAUUUUUAGAUUUAAAAAAAAAAAAUUGGACUUGCUUCCAUGACUCUAUCAGCACAAAGCAGUAUCUAUGCAACAGUAACAGAAAAUAAUUGGGAUAUAUCUUCACCUGUAAAUAUUUCAUUCAAGGAAAGAACUUUUCAUUAAUGGCUUGGAACUUUAAAUGUAGUAAAUAAGUAGUGAACCCUAGCCCUCCUCUACAAACCCAGCAAUCAAGACUUGCGUUGUACACGACUUUCAUUAAAAGCAUAACAUACAGAAAGGCCCCGUUGCAAAGUCAGUUUGGAGCGGGAGGGAAAGUGAGCUUGAUGGGGCAGCUUUGCACCUUGAAGAAGCCAAACUUGCAACAAAAUAAAUAAUUGUUGGGGGUGUCGACUGUUUUAGGAAUCCCCAAGUUCCUCUAUGUAUCAAUGCAUCAAAGAAUGUUCGGCACAUCCAUUAACAGAUUUUCACUGGUUUUGAAGACUCUCAAUGGCCUUUUUCCACUGCCACGCUCUCUGCUUAACAUCUUCAAAUGACCUUACCUUCUUCGGCUGAAAGAGCACAUAAUUAAAUCAGGAAAAUGAAGGGAAAAUGCAGAGGGGUGAGGGAUGGAGAGAGUGAAGAGAUAUAAACUGGAGAAUAAUCCUCUAUAGCUGGAAUUUUUAAUAAGAAAAAAAUCACUGUAUAAUGAAGAGGAUCGAAGGGCUAUAUAGCAUGGUGCAGCAUAAGUCUUUGAACUCCUACUAUCAAACUAUUUAUGCAUUUUCUACAUUUCACGAGUCCAAGGUUUGAUGAGGUAUCCCAAAAGAUUGGAAAUGACACUAGUUUAGAAUGAAAAAGCCGCCAAUGAUUUCAUCAGGGAGAUGAUUUGGCAAAAGAAGCAUACCGUACAGAUCUUAAAAUGUGAAGGACUUGUAACUUGGACACUCAGGUCAUCAGAAUUGUCAGACCAAAUUAUAUUUCCCUUCACUAUUAACUUCGAAGGGUCCACGUAGAUCAACUUUGGCUUGUUAGUAAGGAUAAGCUGCACCUUCUUGCUCGUCAGUUUCUGUAAUUUCUUCACCAUCGAGAUCAUUACAACAGAUUCCCCUGGAUCCAAAAACUGUUGCCUGGUAACAUGGAUAUCCUACAUGUUAGACAUACUUCCAAAUAGUCUGAAAACAAAGGAGGAAAAAGACAAACCAACACUUAAAUUUCUCCAUUAAAAUAACUUCAUAGUGGCAUUCUUUUGAAGCUUUAAGAAGAAUGAGGGAAAACAACCAACACAAGUCAUCCUAAUAAUGCCAACUAAAGAUCUUCUCCAGCCCCAGGACUACUCGUUUAGAUUGCUUCCAAGAAGCAACCUGUACCAGCUUUUUAGUAAUGUUAAAUGGUCAACUUCCUUGAGGUAAAACUGGAAAAAUGUGCUCAACUCUUAUGUAAACCGUUACAGUCAACACAAAAAAAAAUUCAAAUGAAUCCAGUAUCUCAAGGCAUGUCCUCGGUGAGUUCAAAAGAAGGUCAAUCUUCCUCGAACAAUUCCGAGCACAAGCUUGGAGGUUACAUAAAUCUAAGCAACUGAGUAGGUGCACGAGACAAGGAAUGCAAGGAACUUAAAUCAAACAGUAGUUCUAACUGGUUGGAUGGCGGUUAAGAAGAACCAUAUCCUCUGCACAUUCUUCAAUUCCCAAUAGCCAUGUGAGGCAACAACAAGAAUCUCAAAAAAUAUAUUGCAACAGGUUUACACCGAGAAAUUUUGCAAAGCAAAGAAUCAGACUUAUUGAGAGAAGCAGAAAAGGGACAUAUAUAAAGGCAGAUAAUGUGCAUAAAGCAAAAGGUGUAAAGCCAAUACCAUUUAGAAUCAAAGGAGUCAAUUGAAGCAAGUCUAGCUAUGUGUGAAGUUGCUUCAGCAGAUGAUGAGACUCCAACAUUCGCAUCAUUUUGUGUCAUUGAACUGUCACCAAUGUGUGUGGGGUUAAAUGGAGACCCAGGGUCAUGGUCAUUGUCACCGGAUUGCGCCUGGUACAUGAAUAACAAAAGAGAUAAAAAAAUCCAAAGAUUAUUCGCAUGAAGACAAAAAAAACAAAGGAAAUUUGAAAUCCUUCAGCACAUAAUAUUUUAAAGCAGUGUUGUCGUACCAUUGGUUCCAAAACAAGUUUUGGAGGGGUUUCUCCUCUUAAAUUCUUCCAGUCAACUCCCUCAAAGAAUGGAUGAUUCUUGAGCACAGCAUAACCACCACGUCCAGCACCCGGUCUUCUGCUGGGAUCUAUAUCCUACAUGGUUGUAACAUUGAAGAUCAAAGACAUGAAUCACAAACUUCAUAAGAGAAUAUUCGUAUCGUUUGUAAUACUUGGGGCAAAGGGGCAAACGUUGGCUUCAUGAUAAUAUCCAAAUUCAGAGAUUAUGUUUAUAAUGUUCCCGGCCCAAGUCUUAAGGAUGGUAGAAUAGACAACCAAAGGAAAGCAUGUGUGCUUUUCCUAUCAAGCAAGGUUAAGGUUCUAUAAAUUUUGCUUUUCAUUCCAAGAGAGAUCAGCCAACGUGAGUCACCAUAAAAUGACCUGUCCUUUGUCACUAGUCAUGUGCCUCAAAACUGGAAUGCGAAAGUAUAGCAAGGUUAACAUCCAGGCACUCAGUGUUAACCCGAACAAAUAGAUAUUGUAGAUGGUAACAACUAAAAGCUUUUUCACUUAGAGGAGCCAAGGUAAAAUCUUCUUGAAAGUAAAAGGCUAAAUUACAAUCUCUUAAGGGGGAAGGAAGGUAACUUUGCCCCAGCCCCCCUUGGAUCCAUACGUGCACUCAACAAAGAUUGUGCAUCCCUGCAUCUUUAAGCUUGUUCCCACUCGUCUAGAUCAUCCUGAAACCAACCAUAUAAGAUAUAGCUGGCUGUACUAAAUAGGUUUCCUUGUCAUUGUUACUGUGUGAUUUUAAAGAUUUAAUGGCCACACUUAAUUAUAGUCAUGGUAUGAACUGAAAAAUUGAAUCUGCACAUGUUUGUAGUGCAAGUGUAAACUCUUACCAUUGACCAAGUAGCAAUAUUUUUAUACGUACAUAUAGAAGAAUAGAACAAAAAAGACAAAGGAGAAAGCAGGAACAUUCAAAAAACAGCAAGCUAGUACAGAAACAAAAGUUCAACGUAUGAAAGCUUUGUAGCUUACUAAUAAGUGAUCAAUGAGGUCUCUCGCUUCUUCUGAAAAAUAAUCUGGAAAUCUUAAAUCCCGAGCAAUAAUUCUUUGAAAUAUAAGCCAUUCACUUGCAUCUUUGAAAGGAGAAGUCCCUGAAAGCAUCUGGUACAAAGUGCAGCCAAGUGCCCACAGGUCAUUUCUGUUUGAAUGUGGUCAAAAGAGCAAAAAGGUUAUCCCCCAUACACAAGAAAUUAUAUAAAAGAAAAGGACCUGGAAAUAAGCUCAAACAUGAAAAAACACUGUCAAAAACCUAAAACUUAUUCCAAUUAUAACAUUAAUAUGGAUUGAUUCAUGGGAGUCACUUACCCGAAAGUUGCAGGAGAAGAGUUAAGGACUUCUGGAGGGACAUAUGCAGCUGUUCCCACAAAUGUGCAAGCCUUAUCGUCUGAGCAGAGGAUCAAAAGAAAAAAAUUAACCUGCAUCUUAAAAAAAACAUAAUGAACAGUUGUAUAUGAUAAGUUCUAGUAUUACCUGAAGCUGCAUUCGGAAGGACAGUGAUGCAACUAUCCUGCAUGGGCUUCACACUUCCAAAAUCAGCAAUUUUAAUGUGUCCGUCUGCAGCAAAUAACAAGUUCUCUGGCUGCCAUUUAGAAGAGCUUUAGCUUUUCUUGAUUUCCAAAUAAAAAGAAGAGCAAUGAAUUAAAAAAUUACCUUUAUAUCCCGAUGAAUUAAUCCCAUACUAUGUAUGUAUUCAAGAGCAUCCACAACUUCUGCAGCAUAAAAGCGAGCUUCAUCCUCUGAUAGACGGCCUUUCUGCACAUACAAUUAAAUGGCAUAGUAUACAAUGACAGAGUAGCUAACAUGAUAAAACACUUACAGGGUAAAAAGUUUGAAGUCCAGAAGAUUCUGCUGAGUAUUAUGUGAAUACAGAAAUGCACAGGGCAUUAUGCAAUUGCUCUAAAGUGUUUCAAAUGCAACUUUUUUUAAUAAAAGCUAUAUAAAAGAUUAAAGGCAUAGCUUAAUUUAUAUAUUUAUCCAGAAUGGUCUAAAGUUCAUAAAUAAUAUAAGAAAGCAGAAUAAUUUAUGAUAUAAGAUGAAUUUUACGAGAAUUCUUCAAAAAGUUAUACUAUUGGGUUUCAUGAUUUCUGAAAAGUUUCGUAUUAGGAAAAGCCACGACAAAUCAUAGGAGUUACUUUUCCAAAAAUUAAUAGUUAAUAGCAAGGAGUUUUUAAUAGGUACUCACUCUGGUUAUUUGAUCAAAAAGUUCUCCUCCUUCACAGGAUUCAAGUGCCAUGUCUGCACAGUAGAAUCAAAAUAGAUCGAUGUCAUAUGAUAAACCCACUUAAGCAAACUAAUCAUAGCCACUGUGGUUGCAAAAGAAAAAAUAUAAAACACGGAGAACAAAAACAGAGAAAUUUGGAUAGGCUGCUACCCAGAUACCUACACAGAGAAUAAUUAUCCUGAAAAGUAAAAAAUAGACGCACGAUUCCUGGAUGAUCCAAUUGAUCAAGCACUAUGCGUUCUAGCUUCACAUAAGCUGUUUUAUUUUCUUUGGUGAUGAAUUUUUUGUCCAUGAUCUUCAAGGCAUAUACAAUUCCCGUGUCCUUCUUCUUUGCUCUCACUACCUGAUAAGUCCAUUAGUACGAUACUCAGCAUUCAUCACAAGAAGCUCAAAGGCCAACAAUUAUAAGCAAGAAUGGGCUCCUGGGAUAUAAGUGUUGGAUAAUAAACACAACAAUAUUCAUUUUCCGAUUGAACAUUUGUCAAAAAUUCUCACAAUAUGGCAUUCAAGAGAGGGUGAGUGUUCGCUCAUUAUAUGGUGUAACUAAGAAGUCGCCAUGCCCUGUAUCUCUUCUCCACAUCCCAUACACUCAUUGAAACAAUGAUGAAUACACGUAUCUGACAGCAAAUAAACAUUGUAUUGUCACAAAGUAAAUACCUAACACUAUUACCAGAAAACGCCCAAAAUUAACAAUUCACAAUUGCUUGAUUUCCUACUCUAUAACCAUAGCUUAAGAUUAUGUCCUGAAGAAAAAGGUAUGAAGAAGGAUAUUGCUUCACCAUCUCCUCUACUCUGUCACAACAUUGUGAAGCUCUCUUCAAUCACCUAUAGCAUAAGCUAAACCAACCAUCCUGCCAACUAGGAGGCACUACUUAUGCCUACAACAGUAGACUGCUGCUCCCAGAGGGAAUGAAGUGAACCUCUGAAACUUCUAAUUUUCCAUUUGGCCGCUGAGAAAAGAAAGGAUAUCAGCACCAAAACGAACCUAGCGCUAAAAUUGUACAUUUGUAUUUGGUUUUCGUUUUCUCGAUAGUGAAGACAGAAUCAAGGGUAAGUUACAAAAAAAAAAUUGCUUAUCUUCAUUCAACUUCCCCGGGAAUCAAACAAAGGAAAUUCAAUUUCACAGAAUCUGUCAUCCUUCAAAUGAAAUUUCUCCCCUGGACCAGAACCAAAAAAUUAAACCCAUACAACUCAAAAAUAUACAUGUGUUGCUCGUAAAUAUAAGCUUUAGAUUACGAGCUGGAAUCAGAUAAUGAUAAUACAAACAUAGGCUUAUAAAUCAAAGAAAUUGAAACGUUGAAUAAGAGAUACAAACUUUAAUCGUAAUGAUGACCACAACCCACCAAUCUUCAAUAACAAAGAAGCAAACCGACAGAGAGCCCACGCGAGAAAAAACCAAAAAAGAAAUAUCAAACCUUUGAAUAAGAUCCAACGCCAUAGAUCUUGCCAAGCUCAAAAUCCUGAAUAGUGAAAUUCUCUUGCGGAGCUCUAAAUGCAAAGCUUUUAGAUCUCUGCACAUUCCCAUUAUUGUUAUUAGAUGAUGAAGAAGGUGAAUUGCUGUUUUGAAUCCUCGACUUUGAAUCAGGAUCCCUCUCCAUUUCCAACAUUUCUCACUCUAUCAAAUUAUCUCCACAUAAUAGUAACAGUAACAAUAAUUAAAUAAAAUAAAAUAGCCCACUCUCUCUCUCUCAACAGAAACCAAUAUUUCUCUCUCUAAAAAUCUUGGAGGUGGGUUUUCAAGUCAAGAGAGAGCCCAUCAGAAUCAGAGGGCAAGUUUGAGCCUUUAUAUUCUCUCUGAUAAAGAAAAGUGAAUGAUGUAUUUGUAUAAGAUUAAUUUGAAUCAUAGAAAUACGUGAUUAUAUUUUCUUGCAAUAUGUGUGUGCGCGCACGCAUUACAGUUGUGAGCUUUAAGGUUGUUGGGGCGAUGCAAAAAUCUCAAAACACUAAAAAGUUAAUGUUGUUAUAAUUGAAGGAAAGAGGAGAAGUAAGGAUUUGUAUCAUUGUGUGUGGAAUUUGAUGGGGGGAGAGGGAGGCAUGGGGAUUGAAGAGAGAAGAACAGAGGCACAAAGGAUUGAAUGAUUCUUCUUUUCUUUCUUUUUUUUUCUCUUUUUCUAUCUAUAAAGAGUCUAGGUUUCUUUUUUUUCUUUUUCUUUUUUUGUAUAUAUAGAGUCUUUAUUUUUAUUUAUUUUUUAUUAAUAUGAAUCCAGAUCAGUUUAUGUGUAUCUCGAUUAAUCUUAUAAACCUUAAGAUUAACAACAAUAUAAAUUUUUAAUAGCUCAAAUAAUAAUUUUUAAAAAAUAAAUUUAAAACAUAAAUAGUUAAAUUAUAUCUCUAUUUCUUACAAAAAUUAUAUAUUUUGUUAGGUAGUCGCAGUGUGCAAGAAUGAAAACGGGUUGUCACAUCAUCAUCAUGUGAAAUUUGGGACAUGGGCUUCGAUGAAUUUGCUGAAAUAUUGUUGCUUCUAUGGGUAAGGUAUUAUUUACAAAGAUUAAAUUAAAGUUUUGGAUACAUUAUAUAUUUUUAUAUUAAUAUAAUGAUAGGUAGCCUUUUCUUGUUCUUAAUGAUAACCUGAGGUUACAAGUUAUUUAAACUCGUGCCUGUAUAUUUAUAAACAUAUUUUAUGAUAAGAUAAUAGUUUGAAUAGCAAAUCUACUACGGGUUAUUGCUUUAAUAAAAUAUAAAAUAUUGGGCAAGCCUAGCUUUUCAAUAAGGCAAUGGCAUGGGAUGUCCAGCAACGAAUUGGAGGAGAGUUUUUUUAGUGACAGAGCAAAGGACAGGAACUAGAGAGGUAUUUUCAAAUAAUUAUUUUAAUUUAAAAAUUUAAGUUAUCAAUUUAUAUUAUUUUUUAAUAUGAAAUUUUUUGAGCUUAAAACUUGUAUGAAUUCAUAUUAUUUUUUACAUAAUUUUUAUUAAAUAAAUAAAAAUAAAUUUAAACCCGCAAUUGUUUAGUUAUCAAAACUGUGAUAUCAUAUAAAAGAAAUAUCUUAAUCUAAAAAUUUAAAUUAUUAAUUAAUAUUUUAAAAUAUAAUUUAUAUUAUUUUCUAAUAAAAAUAUAUCUUUUUCUUCUUGUUUGUCAGUUUUAAUAUGAAUCAUUUGUGACAGAGAGGAGUAAAAAUGUUUUUUCUUCCUUCUUAUAUAUUAUUAUCACACAUAGAGUUAAAACUAUUUAUGUUCCCGUGCUGGUUUGAAAAAUUGGACAGGGAGGAUCACACUUUCUUUCCUUCCCCCGUUGACAAGACCGAGGACAGAAUACAACAAACUAGAGGAGAAAAUAACUAGAUAACAUGGUCACUUCAUCAACAAUAUAUAUAUAUAUAUAUAUAUAUAUAUAUAUAUAUAUAUAUAUAUAUAUAUAUAUAUUGGUUCAUGAUAGCUUUUGAUUUUAAAAAAUUAUUUGUUUAGGUUUUUUAAAUUAUUUUGAUAUGAUAAUAUCAAAAAUAAAAUAAAAAAAUUAAAAAAUAUAUUUUUAAUUAAAAAAUACUUUUUAAAAAUAUUAUCUGUAAUACCAAACAUUCACGAAGGAAUUGUCUUCGGACCAGACAAUGUUCAGUUUUCUUGUACAAGUCAAAGGGAAUGAUCAUUAAUUUGUAGUUAGAAAUAGACAAGUAAAUGGCCACGAAUAUCCUUACCAGCCUAGAUGUUUUAUAUUAUUAUUUUUUAAUGUAACAGAGAUUAUUUUUAAAAAUAUGUUUUAUUUAAAAAUAUAUUAAAAUAAUAUUAUAUAUUUUUAAAAAUAUAUAUGUUUUGCGACACAUUAACAUCAUUUGUAACUUGUGAGACAAUUCCUAGUUUGGUCAAUGUGCUAGGAGAAACACAAGAAAAUUAACAACACUAAAUAAUUAAAGACUCCCAGCUGGGGCUUGGGGGCAGGAGACAGCUCAUAAAACAAGAUUACUGCUACGAGAAAUACAUGGAUUAAGACAUAGAAUUGUCAUAGUUUUAUAAUUGAUUAUUGUUAAUAUUAUCGAAAAUCCUCCUCAAAUAAUUUCUUAAAAAUCUCAACCAUAGAACAUGUAGAUCCCACCAGUGAUAUUCACUUGUUCAAUGGAUAAGAAUUUCCAGAAAGUGAUUUUAAAAUAAAAUCUCUAUGAAAUUAGCAAAUCUUUUUAAUUCAAGAGGAGUAUCAAGCAUGGGUGUCGCUUUUUUGGAGAAAAAAAUCAUGUGCGAAAAUAGCUGUGCUGUGUUCCCUGUCACAGAUACAUAUUUGUGUUGUUGAAAUAAUCCUAGAUUUGUUUUCAAUGGAUUUUCAUUCUUGUUUACUGAAUCUUUAUCCACGCCCCAAAUUCCCUAAUAAAUAACGAAACAAGCAUGUCUAAAACAUUUAAUUUUCUUGCUGUAUGUGCGUGCGCAGAUGCAUGCAUACAUGUAUUAAUGGUACAAGUUUUUUUUGUUGGCCGACGAGCCUUGGUGGCUCGGUGCACCCAUGCCUCUUUCAGUCUCUCUGAGAGUAUCUGAUUCGAGGCCCUUUGGGAUGAUUUGGGACUUGUCAUCAAUCUGGAAGCAAUGAUAAUUUUGGAUAAAGCUGGUCUAAUCAUGUCACACCCAGCUAGCCAUUUGACUGGAUACCUUUACAUCAUCAAUUUGACCAGGACGGGCAAGGAUGUGCCAGUAAAUUGGAAAGUGCAAGGCAAGCUGUGCAUAAAUGGUAGGCCCCAAACGCGUGCAAGCUGCCCAUUUUUGUGUGAGUUGUGGUCUUGGUUUAAGGGCUGCUUAUGAGAGUGGUUGCAGUGGUGGUUCAUUUUGGUCUUGUGGGCUCACCAAUUGUAUCAGACAGAGACUUUAGCCCAUGUUUGUCCUGGUGGUCGAUGACAUGCAUAUUCCCUCGAUCACACCAUGCAUGUCAUUUUCAUCUCCAGAUGAGGAAAAUGAUGUACUAAGCUAUCAAUCAUAUUGCCCAUGCAUGCACGUGGACAUGAGACACCAGCAUGAAUACCAGGCGAAUGAUUCACUUCUGCUAGUUUCCUUUUUUUGUUUCCUUUUUGAAAGUUCGAGGAAAGAGUCUUGGUUCUUGUCACGUACGUGGUUUGUAAACAGCUCAUGAAAUGAUCUUGGCACAAAGAAUAAACUGUGGUUGAUAUUCUGUAUGUGUACUCGACGAAUUCCGGGGAUCAAUUCAAGACCACUGAAAUUCGCACCCAUGACCAGAUCAAUGGCCUAUCAUACAUAAUGGAAACCACAUGUGUUUGAUGGACUGGAUAAUCACGCCAAUGGUCUGAAUCUGGACAAUUACACAAACCCAACUGCAAAUGGUAUUUCUACUGACACAGUUCGAAGCUUGAUACUGGUUAUGAUGGUCAUACUUUUGAGAAAAGUUAUUGUCUGAAGAUUUCAUUAAACCAGUGUCACGUAUACUCACCCCAACCAGUUGAUUGAUCAUUCCCACCAAUUCAAGCUCCACUGCAAGGAUUGGGACAUGACCACCACCUUUUUUUUUGGCGUUCCAUAAGAAGCCUGUGUUAUUCAAAAGCAGCAUUGGAUCUGAAAGGCUUUAGCAAUAUUUUGGCAUAACUUCCAACUUCAAGCACCAUUCUUGACGGGUCACGGGCCCUACAUGUACCUUGCCUGACGAAAAUCCCUGAUGCCCUGAACCACUGUUUCGCAUCUGAGAAGGGUUCUCGGGGGUGAAGCUCUGUUGCUUUUGGCCCUGAGUUGUCUUUGCCUCUGCAAUUUAUCCCUGUGAGAAAAACAUGAGCCCUUCAAAGUGCAUCGCCAGUCCAAGGUAAUCAAUUAACCCCUUUCAGUUUGAGACUUUCAGUUGAACCUUCAAAAGACCAACAUCUCCAGUCCAGUAUCACUGAAUGGUAAUCGAUUACCAUGUCUUCAUCUGACCAAUGAUCUUCAGUUUGCAGUGGUUGGGGCUUACCUUUCACGUGUAUCUUUUUCCCUUGGAUAAAUGGAAAAUAUAAGGACAAUUCUCAAAGAGAAAAAUCUGAGACAGAAGGGAAGAGUUUCAUGUUUGCCAAGAAGUAUAUAUCUGAUAACUUUCAUUAAGAACUCAAGGAAGAAAAAACUGGAUGACACUAAUGUACAAAUCCCAAAACAACUCUGGUGAAAAGGUAAUAACACGAUAAACUAAAAUUUACAUCCUGCCAAACAAAGAUAUCGAAGCUAAAAGUUCCCCAACAGAAAAAUCUUCACAGGAGGGGUGAGACCUAGAGAUUGCGAAGACAAGAAUUUACCAUAAGAGCAAGAGAUGAUGAACAGAGAUUGAAGAAAAUGCAAGCGAGCUGCUAUCACGUUUAGGUAUCACUAUAAAUCCCAACCAUCCUUACGCCCAUCAAAUUCCCACUUUCGGCCAGCUAUACUUCCAUAGAUCUCUGAAAAUUUCAGGAGACAAUUACUUCUUAUCUUGUAAUGCACAUUUGUAUUCCUGCUAAUUGCAACCCCAGAGAAUUUUGAUGUGUCUAUUGCCCAUGCUGGUCUCACGUACUCAACAGUCUGGGAGGAGCUUGCAUUUGCAUACAAGUAAUUCAAAAGCACAUCCUCACAGUUAAAGUAUCUAUCUACUAGUUCCCUUCCUGCCUUAGCUUCUUUGCUCCAGUACCUCUCAAAAGCUACUGUAUGGUCCAUGAAAGCUGCCCCCGUAAGAAUCAUGUUAUAACCUUUAUGAUGUCGGGCAUACUUCUCACCCCUAUACUUCAAUGGACUACCACUAAUGAGUCGAGGAUAGAAGCCAACAAUUCGAUCCGGGUGUUGACGCCACACAUUGAAUCCCCGUUCAAUAUCAUCACAAGUCAUCAUGAUAUCAUCAUCAAGCUCAAGAACAGCUCGGGUUUUAAGCAUUGGAUCUCUCUUGAACCGAUUGUUCAGUGAGUUUUGGUCUUCUACUCUGAUCCAAACAGGCACUGCUGAGUCUAGAUCACUUGAUCUGGGAGGUCUGCCCUUGUUCCAAACCACGAUAAUCUCUUUAACUGAAGAACACCUUGAAUAAUGUUUCACAUACAUUUUCAAAUUCCAGAGCCGCGCAUCAUAGGUCAUCGUCAAUAAAGUGAACUGAGAGUAGUGACCAUUUAAUGGAUAAGCUUCUUCAGCAUCGUUGCCUCCAUAGAAAUAUUUAACACCUGUGCACAUUAAUGCAACUCCAACCACAAUAGUUACAGCUAACACCAAUUUUCCAGCCCAAGUAUUAGGUUUUAUUUUUCCUCGAACAGACAAGGGAACUCUGUUCAGUCGGCUGCAAAACCGUCUCACCUUUGAAGAAAACAAAUUUGACCUUUCCCGACCCAAGAGAGCAUUAUUUCUCUUCCCCGAGUAGUGAGCACACCAGCUGAGAGGAAUAAUGCACUUAACCGCUCCAAGUAGCACACCCAAUACUACAGCAACAACAGUGACAGCUGCAAGUGAAGCCGAGCCAAGAAUAAAGCGAUGGACAGGAUCUCCUGAAGGCACACGAUCUCCAUCCAUGACAGCUAUCCAUUUACCAGAGCUUAGAUGCUGCACGUCUAGAUGAUGAUAGCGUGCACCAUUCCAAGCAUUGCGUCCCUUAUUGGGCUCUUCAAAUCCCAGGGGAACUUCAACUUCUUUGUAAUCAUCCAUGGUAAGAACUUCAACCUUGAAGAUACGAACUCGUCGCCCAUAUGUUUCACCACAGUCUUGACCAACACGAUAAAGGUUUCCAUCAUACACAAAUGGUCUGCCUCCAUUUCUAGCUCCCACACUCUUGUCAACAUUAUAAAUGGGGUUCUUCUUGUGUGGUUUCCAAGGACCAAGUGGUGAGCUACUAUACCAAAUUUCCAGCUGCCCAUUCCUCCUGGUUCCAAAACCACUGUGAUCUGAACCAAAAAGCCAAUAUAUUCCAGCAUGAUUAAUGAUAAAAGAAUCGACUAGGGGCUUUUUUAUAAGAACCUUCUCCAGUGUCCACUGCAAUGGAAAAUUAAGUGCUCGAUAAAGGCGAAGUUCCCCUUUCUGGCUGCUCUCAGGCAUCAUAUAUAUCUGCAAGAAACAGUAAUAAAGGAAACGAUUCAAGCUGCAAGCCAACAGUAACAGCAGUUAGAAUUUUUUUUUUUCUUUCCAGCUAAUCAAAUUGUUAAUGAUUACCCAGCUAGUUUUCCAAGUUAGUUUGCAAGUAUUGGUUGGUCCAGUAUUCAUGUUAAGUACAGGACCUCCAGGAUAAACAGUUUACAAGUGACCAGUUGUAGGUGUAUGAUUGCUUGCAAAGAAAUAGUUAUCUUACUUGACCAAGGUAGUUGAAUACAUAGGGAUAAGAUAGAUGCCAGUCCUCAUCCAAGGCAAUGCCCAAUUGUUGCCAUGUCGCUCCCUUGUCCAUACUCUUUGCAACUGCAAUAUCUCCUUGCAUGGUAAUUGAAUUCUUUGUUUCAUAGAAUAGGAAAAGCGUAUCCCCCUGCUCAAUUCAAUAUAAGUAGACAUACAAGAUUGAUUUCAAGAUAGGGAGCUACCAUGAUAAAAGAACUUCUGACACUUAACAGAUUAUUUCAAGAACAGCAUGCUAGAAAGUAAAGAAUUUGGUCUUGGGUGAAAUACAAAGUUCUUAGACAGGCAUGUGCAUGCGUGUGUGCACAGAAACACAGCCCAUACCAUACGAGAGCACUAAACAGUGUUGGAGACUUACAAUUUGAAUCCUGCAGUUUGAUGCUUGAAAUCAGACUGACCACAGCAAAAUAUAUCUAAAGAGUUAAAAUCUAAGCUAAAACUUUUGCUUUUGGUGGAUUUCCUUGCAAUUUUGCUUCAAAAUGGAAAAUAGCCCAAAUAAAAUAAAAUAAAAAAUAGUCAAAAUCCCCUGCUUCAUAAAUACCCAUACUUCAAGCUAAAUUUACGAUGCUAAAGGUAUACAGUGAUCUCAUCCUUGCAUGUAACAGUUAGAAAAAUCUGAAGCAACAAAGCAGCUAAAGUGCACUGUAACUUCUCUCCAGAAAAAAAAAAUCCCUGCACCCACUCCUCCCAAGAAAAUAAAUCAUGUUGGUCCCAAAUCACCUAGAAAUAUCUUAGAUUUCAGCAGUAAUUAUUUUUGAAAAUAAAACCACGAGAAUAAAACCACGAGAUAUAACAUUAACUAAUCUCCAGCAUAAAACAAUUAACACUAUGUUCACCAUAAGUCAUAUCCACAUGCAAGAAGCACCCAUAAGGCAGAGAUGGAACAAUUAUUAGGUAUUGAUACUGUUCACAAAAUGCUUUCUGCCUGCAUCUGCAGAUUUCUAUAAAGGGCUUCCCCUGACCACAAAAUUCAUCUUUAUCUAUCCUCAUCUUUUCUUACAAAUGCUUAUCCUCAGAGCUUUCAUCAAGCCAUUUAACUAGGAUUUAGAAAACAUGACAUGGAAAAUAUAAAGAUGAACGCUUGUACCAGAGUCUGGAUUACAGCAUUGAGCUCCCUAUCUCUAACCAUGGGGUUGCUUGAGAUAACUAAAAUAACAGUAAACCCACAAGUUAUUGGCCCUUAAGACAUCAGAGCAGUGGCACAGGUUUGGUCUCUUUCACCAAUUUGCAAAAUGCAUUACUGACUUUUCUGUCACAGGCCCCUGACUAUUUACAUGCUCAAUGACCAAUGAUAAGCAUAUUCAUAACACACACACACACACACACACCCUCCUUGCAUUUGCAGAUUGGAGAAGCAAUAACUUGCAGCUCUCAUUCCAGACAUGAAAACACCAAAUGCCAGAUAGAAAAGGACAAAGAUAAGAUUUAAAUAUAGUUUUCAUUGGUACUAUUGCCAAGUUCCUAAAUGCAAUAACUGAACAUUUAGACAUUCGAUAAAAAAGCAAACAAAACAAUAACAAAAGUUAUACACACAAAACCAGAAGAGAUUUCUGAAAAAGUAUCAAAAUGAAUCCAGUUAAUAAAAUAAUUACCUGAACAUAAAGAAAAGGAUCGGCAACAAAAUUGCUGGGGAAAUUAGCAUCGGAAAGCGAAGCACAAGUGACAACAGGGUUAGCAACGGGCCAUGCCACACCCUCAUCUCUCCAUUCAUUCAUCUGUUGCCCAUUUCCACCAAUGAAUCAGAAUCACCGCAAGUUGAUGAUACAACUCAAUAUAUGCAUAUGGAAGAAAAAAAUAAAAAAAUUCACCUUCAUCCCACGAGCAAGAAAUGAACAAAAAAUAAUUAAACUGAAAGAAUUAAAAAAUUAUUCAAGAACAGUAAAUAAACCAAUAAAUUCUAACAUGAAUGAGAAAGAGUAUAAAAGCAAAAAAAUUGCAAUUUCGAAACAGCCAUUGAUAAAAAAAGAAAAAGAAAAAAAAUACUUGACUGAAAAAAAAAAGCAACAAAUCAAGACAACAUGCAACUUGAUGACAUCCACUGGACGAAAAAGUAAGAAAUUAGCCACCAAAACCCACUUUACAAAAGGCAAAGACUAGACCCAAACAUCAAUCAAAACCCCAUAAACACAGGUGAAAAUACAAUCACAGUCAUUCUCUGCUAAUACAUAAAUGUGAACAAAACAGGAAAAAAAAAACUUAAAAAAUAAAAAUAAAAUAAUGGUGUAUGGAAAAAAAAAACUUACAGCUUCAAUUGGUUUGAGAGAGAAAGGAGAAUCACCGUAAAAAACACCAAUAGACCAAGAACCCUCGUUGUCUUCUUGACAACCAAGUGAGUUUAACCCAACACCAACAUUUGUGCUACGUGAAUAAGGUUUACUAAACACGAGCCAACCAUAAAACAUACCAAUAGAUCCAUACAAGACCAAACACCCCAAAAAGAACAUAAAACCGGAGGAAAAUACAAGAGAAACCAAUCUUUGGUGCAACAAAUUGUGAUGAUUUUGUUGCGGCUGCUGCUGUUGUUGAUGAUUCCCCCAUUUCCAUCUACACCAACACCUCAAGCUCAUGUCACAACAGUUACAAGUUGUUGCUGUUGUUGUUCCAUUGGAGCCAUUCCCACCAGCCUCGUAAACACCCAUAAUUGAAUGAUUAUUUGCAAGUUUAGGCAAACCCCAGGUGGAAAAAUUGAAACUUUAGAAUCAUAACAUUGGUUUUCUUCUUUAAAGAAAAGCUUGUGGCUUUGCAACAGAAGGAAGUUACCCUUUUUAUGGGGUUUUGUGGGUAAUGUUUUUCUUUUCUUUUCUUUUCUUUUCUUUUUUUCUUUUUGGUUUUUAUAAUGUUGUUGUUUUAGACUUUUAGUGCUUUCGUUCUUGGGAUUGUCGUGCGUGCACUUAUUUUAGAGAGAGAGAGAGGAGGUAGUGGUGGUGGGAGAAGUUUUUUUUUUUGUUUAGAACUUGGGGUUCGGAAUUUGUGUUGUGUGCAUGGAAAGUGUAACAAAGGCUUCUUUAUAGACAGUGUAUGUACAUGUAGAGGAAUAGGAGACUUUGUUGUCCUUCUAGAGAGUGGAAAUUUCACCGGGUUCGUUCAGUGAUAAAGGAUAUGCGUGGUUGCGAAUUUUGGAGAGUUGAGUCCACUCGCGGCUUUUGGUGACAAGUGUGAGGGUUAAGAUUUGGCAUGUGGAAAGUUAUUGAGAUGUAAAAGGUGAUUACUUCCUUGUAAGCUAAGGAAAAACUGUCACAACAGGGUAAAGGUUAAAACUUUAUGAGACUAAAAAGAAAUUCGUAUGAAUAUUAAAAAAGAAAUCUCUACUUUUUUAGCAUUUUCUUGAAAAAGAAAUUCCAUGAUGAGAGGAGAACUUGAUCGAGAUAAUAGCUAGAAUUUAUAUAAAUAUUAAAGCUUUUACCUUUGGUAAGAGUAGAGUAUAAAUUAAUUAAAAUUAAGUUUUUUAUUUGGUAUCUUUUUUAUAAAAAAAAAAAAAAAACCGUGAAUCAAAACUAUAUUCCUUCGUUGAUGCACUCCAGAGCUUCCACGCUAUCCGAUUCCAUAAUAAUCUGAUUAAAAAUCCAUAUCCAAAGCCAAAGGGGAGUCCUUGCCAGAUGCCACUUGAUUCAGCCAUCGUCUUAGCGGUGAAAACCAGUUUCCAAAGGAAUCCCGGAUAAUUAAGAUCACCACGGCCUGAUUUACCAGGUCACCCGUGCCUGAGUCAGCCGGUUGAUUUGGGAAAUCCUCGACGUGAGCAUGAAGUCGAGUUUUAAAUUGAAAAAAAAUAGAUGAACAUACAAUAGAUUUCGGUUGAUUUCAUACGAUAAUUUAUGAUCUAGUUUAUCCAAUUUACGAAAAAAAAAUAGAUUUCAUGCGAUACACCCAGCAGCUGCACUUGACAGUGAAGGGGCUGUUACUGGUUUUCCAUGUUGUUCAGCAUGAACAAACAAUCCAAAGCUCAAUCUCACUGGGCUUACAAUUAACCAUCAGCCGCAUGUGAAUUUGAAUGACGAGACCUGAGAGUGUAAGGAUAACAUUGCAUAAAUGAUUUUUUUAUUAUUAAUUUUGAUAUCCAUACCAGUUUACGCGUAUCUCAACUAAUUUCACGGGUCAUAAAUAUAAAUUAUUUUUAAUAUUAUAGCUGCUUACAUUUUUUAUUUAGAUUUUAUACCCCAAAUCAAAUCUUUUAUCUUGAUUUAAGCAAGAAUGAUACGUGAACUUAAUUUAUUUAUUUUUCUUAGCAAGGGUAGAAAUUUCAUUUGAUUGAAAAAUGAUGAAAGAGAAUUCUUCAGCAAUAGUUAGUUUUGGUGGUGUAAAAUAUUUUUUAAAAAAUUAAAUAUUUUUAAAAUUAUUUUAUUUUUAUUUUAAAAUUAUUUUGAUAUGUUGGUAUUAAAAAUAAAAUUUUUAAAAAUAUAUAUUAUUUUAAUAUAUUUUUAAGUAUUUAAAAAGCGAUCGUUAAUAUAAAUAUUAAAUGAAAUCUUUAUAUACAGAUAAUCAAAACGGAUUUACAUACCAUAUUAAAAACAUCUAAUAAAUAUAUGAUAAAAAUAAACGCUUUCAGCAAUCCACUAAUAGCUCACUGUCACUGAUUAAUCACCUGAUGCCCAGUUUUUCAUAUAAAAAACUGAAGGAUGAUUGGUUAGCAAAAAAUUACAUGAGAUUUUUAUGGCAACAAAAGAAAUUCUUGAAAAGGAAGGGAAAAAAGAAACAAAGAAAAAUACGAUACGAAAACACCACAAAACAUCACAUGUAGUAAUAAAGAUACUAUAUUAGGGAAGAAAAUAUAUAAAAAUGAAAUAGAAGGAAGAAAAAAAUACCAUUGGAUGUGAACUUAAAUCGACGGGACACAAAGUAGUAGUUUCAACUUUCAAACUUUUUUUUUUUAAUUUAAUGUAGGUGUCCGGGCUAGUUUGCACGUAUCUCGACUAAUCCCACGGGUCCUAAAGUUAACGACCAUAUAAGCUUCCAAUGAUCAUCAUAUUAGCAACCACAGGACUCGAACCUGAAACCACAGAGAAAAUAAAUAUUUUGAUCCCACGUAGAUAGUAGUUUCAACUUUCAAACUUGAAUUGUUGAGAGCAGGUCCUUCUUGUCAAUUGCAAAAUGGAUUCAUGGGAUCAGUUUCUUUCAUUGAAAAAUACAGCUGGAGCACGUCCACCAUUGUUCAAAUUCAAAUUUUCUUCCUUCUUCUGUUACAGUACUGUGCAAAUUGACUCUUCUUUACUUUUUGUUUAGAUGGGCAGCCUUCUUUUGGCAUUGUGUCUAUACGUUACUGUUUGUUUUUAUAUUUUAAAAUUAUUUUUUAAAAAAAAAAUUUUUUUAAUUUUUUUUCUUAUUUAAAAUUAUUUUUUUUCUUAUUUAAAAUUAUUUUAAUAUAUUAAUUUUAAAAAUAACUUUUAAAAAAUAAAUAAAAAAUACUUUAAAAACAAGUAUAACCAUUUCAAAAAAAUUUCAAAUAUAUAUAAAAAUAAACAGAGGAGUGUAAAGAGAAAAUGGCACGAGAAAGGGGCAGGCGGUUUCGGAGAUUCUACGGGCUUUUGCACUCGCGGAGAUUAGGUAUUAAUAACUACUCGCAUGGUUUGGAUGACACGUUUGCCAGGUGGACCCGAGAAGGACAGCGGGUGAGCUCAGCUACGCGUGGAUUUGGUCGUGGUCUGAUGUUUUGAAGUGCACAGGGGCUUGUUCGGAUGACGAUGAACGUGUUUGGUAAAGAAGGGAUUGGAAGGAAUUAAAUUCGUAGGUGGAACUUUAGGGAUUAGAGUUAGUUAUAGGGGUUUAGGGCUGAAUUUAACGUGGGGCCCACGGUGUUAAUUAAUUUGCACUUCUAGAAAAAGGGAAGCAGCAAAGUUGAUAAUGUAUACUCAUUGCUGUGAUUUUCUCCCAUUAAACAUGCAUAAUUCGGUGUUAUUUAUGUGCUCUACUCCAAAAAAAUUGUGAUCAAUUAAGCUCUUGCAAAUUAAAAUUAAGUUUGAAAAUAAGUCCCGAUCAUCAGAUUGAGGAGCCAAAAACAAAGCCUUUCGAUUUUAUUUUUUCUCAAGAGAGCUGAGAGCUGAGAGAUGAGAGCCUGAGAGGAAAGAUCACGACUUUCUUUUAUUUAAUGGUUAGAAAUACUAUCGUAUAUAUUCGAAUCAGUACUGUACUGGUUUGACUAGUUAAGAACCCUAAACUAUGUUCCUUGUCGCCUGGGGAAGUGCCUUCUUUGGCGCGGCCAAUUUUGAAUCCAGCCUCCUCUCCAGCUUUCGACCACCUGAGUUCUUGCUUUUUUUUUCCCUUUAUUUAUUAUCCAGUUGGGUUCAUUGGAAACGGCUUUUGAUAUAUAAAAAAAAUGGUGGGGUGGGGUGGGGUGGGGUGGACUGGUGGAGGAUGCUUAACUUUUCUUGCCCGUCAGUACUGUACUGGUUUGACUAGAUCUCAUGCUUUAAAGUUUUUCUUCCCGCUGGAAGAAGAGGAGAUCAACGGCAUUUUCUUUUAAUAAGUCCGAUCAGGAGAUUUUUUUAUUUGAAAAAUUGAAUUGUGUAACAACUAAAGCGAGGAGUACGAAAGAUUAAAGGAGUGAAUUGUCUCCUUCCCAAUACCUAACUAGCUCCACCAUUGCUGAUAAAGGAGAUCGAGGACGUUUCUGAACUAACAUUAAUUGGUACUUACGAAGAGAUUAAAGAGAGAAAUUUCCCAGAAAUUUACUCUGUCAAAUGUAGUUCAGAAGCUUGAAAGAGCCGGUGGACGUUUCAAGAUUACGGUGGGGGCAUGAACCAAUCUGUUCGCAUCUAGUGAAGGAAGAUACAAAAAGUCCUCCCUCCUUCACUGUCACAGGCGAUUAUGUGAAAGAUAAUAUUUGGAUUUAGGGUUCUAUAUUGGCAUAUCCAGUUGACGAGCCAUCAAAACAUUUGUACGUAGGUCCCACCUCUACAAAACUACAACAUGUGUUGCGCAUGGGAUGCGGUAAUUAGACGACGUGCUGAUACGUGUUGAGUGACUCUCCAAGUGUUUUUGAAGUUUCGCAUGAGUUGAAGAGAUAUAAAAUUAGUUAUUCAUACUUUUUUUUUUUUUAAAAUAAGAUUUUAAUGGGUAAUUUGAUAAUUAACAUAGCAUUUUUUUUUUAUAGAUUCUAAUAUUAUGAGGAUUUAGUCUAAUUAACAUGUAAGCUUAUCUGGUAAUAUAUUUUUUAUAUAUAAAUAAAGGUUUUGAAUGAAUGAAAUAAACAGCUCAAAUAAUCAUAUUAUAAGUAAAAAAAAAAUCCUCAAUUAAUCAAACAUCACCAGUAAAAAUAACAAAUCUAACAUAAUUAACCAAUUUUCAUAACACACCUCGGCAAUACAUGUAAAAAAAAAGUAUUUAGAAAUAAUUUGAAAUAAUAUAUUUUUAUUUUUUAAAAUUUAUUUUUAACACAAACAUGUUAAAAUAAUUAAAAUAAUAAUAAAUAUUUUUUAAAAAAAUUAAAACACAAAAACAACCAACUAUCAACAUCUUUCCCCUCAAAGAAAUGACCGAUAAAUAAAUAAACAAAGUAUAUCUCAAAUGAAUAAAUAAAUAAAAGAAAUCUAUAAAGGUACCAGCUUUUAGGUAUUGAAAUAUUUUAAUCAGCCAAUGAAGUAUUCUGGAUGUGAUGGAUAAGACCGGGAGUGACCUAUCUUUUAAGUAUUAAAUUAUUUAAUUACAUGAUAGAAAAAUCAUAAAUCUAAUCACAUUCAUACAAAAGUCUAUUAAAUUUAUUAUAAUAUGGGCAGGGGCGGAAUUAAUGGGCUGGCAGGUACCGGACCCUACAAUUUUUUUAUUUCCAGCUUUUUCUUUAACAAAUUAGGUUUUUAACUCUAAAAAAAACUUACAAAAUCCCCCCUCCCCCCUAAAAAUUUAUUUCGGACUAAAAUUCCUAAUUUAUGGUGUCAUAAAAUAAUUAUAGUCAAUAAAUAAUGUGUCCAGCUAAUCUUCCAAUCACCAAAUUAAAGAGGCAAUUUAAUUUAAUCCUAGUGGAUUAUUCUCUCCAUGAUUGCCACAGUGGCAUCUCAUCCCUUCGUGUUCGCAACAACGCUACAGGGCAAAAGUCAGCGGACAAUAUAUAUAUAUAUAUAUAAUUAAAAAAUAAUUAAUCAUUGUUAAAUCAAAAUAAUAAUUUAAAAGAACCAUAACUUUUUAAUUUGAUCAUUAAAUUAUGCUAAAAUUUUUACAAUAGUUUUUGGAAGCUGUUUUUAUUAUAAUAGCAUGAAAUCUUUACUUCAAUUGUUUGAUCUUUGGAUUUGUUUGAUCUUUGGAUUUUGAAAAUGUUUCCUGUUUUUGUGAUUUUUUUUAUUAUUUUUGAAUUUCAUAUUUAUUUUUUUAAAAAUUUUAUAUUUUUAUUUUGUUUUCUAAUUGAGGUGGAAUUUCUAAUUUAUUUAAUGCUUUGUAAACUUCCUGAAGAAUUAUUAUUCAUGAGAAGAUAAAACCUCGAACUUGGGAUUCAUAUCAUCAAUUCCUUUUGCUCAUUAAAAUUCUUAUAUUUUUUUUUAUUUGUUGUUAUUUUAAGUUUAUGCUGCAUCACAACCUAUCUUUGUAUUUUUAGAGGAAAUUAUAAUAUUUUUAAAAAUAUUUUUUCUUUAUCUUUUAAUAUCUAUUUAUCUCUUAUGAAUUAAUAAAUAAUAAAGAUACUCGUAAUUCUAUGAUAAGCAUAAGAAAAUAUCACCCAAAAAAACCCUCCCAGGACUAGCACGUACAAGACAUUGCAUUGAGCCAUCAACUCGUAAUUCUAUGAGAGCAAUGUUGAAUUAUAUUUUUCAUCGACAGCUAGCUUUAUCCGAGAUAUUGCCAUCGUAUUGGGUUUGGUUCCAAUAUCAGAAUUCUUUUCUUUUAAAUAACAACUACUCCUCUUCUAUACAACAAUAAAAAGGAUUUAACUAUUGAAUGGAAGUGGCUCUGGCCUCUCGAAUCAUCAUGCCGAGGUUUCCAAAAAAAAGAACAAAAAAAAGGUUAGGUCGGGGUCCUCGGGGAGGUCUCUUCGAGGGUGGGGCCUGCCUGGGGGACUAUAAAUUAAUCCUGUUGGAUCAUGGAUGGAAGACCUUAUACUUCUUCAAAGUUGGAACAAUCAGGCAAUCAUGCCAAACGUAAGAAUUUUGACUUGUUAAGGGGGAAAAAAAGAAGAAAACUUAACCUCGUGAAGGGGUUUAGACAAAUCUUUUCUAAAUGAAUAUUGUCAGAAUAAGAAAUCAUCGUUAAAUCAUUAUUUCUUAGAGUAUACCUUGAAACAUUCCUCUGAAAAUGAAUCUUCUAGUUGUGAAUUAAACUUAUGUUCAAGAUCUUUGCUGCAAACAAAUUUAUUUAAAGUAAUUUUUUUUUAAUUUUUUGUUCUAUAUAAAGCAUAUUCCGUGGGAUGUUUGAAUUCAGAGUGCAUUCGGCAGGCUUGGAUUGUAAAUGCUGAUCAUAUACAAUUUUGACUGGAAUUUUCACUUGUUCUGGGCCAAGAAAAGCAAAGUUCAAGGUUGGAGGCAUCUUGAACAUUCCAUGGAGAACUAUAAAUUAGUAAAGGAAUCGGGCGUGUGGGGUUUCUGUAUUGGAAUAACAGUUGCCAAAUAGAAAUUAAUCUAAAAUUAGGCGAGACAUGGAAUUGUCGAGAGACGUACGUGUGGAAGCAGGAAGAAAGUAAAAGGAAAAGGAAAAAACAAUAACGAAACUUCUUAGGAAGAUUUUCUUUAAAGAAAUUAUAAUUUUUUUAUUUGAAGCUAUUAUAUAAGGAAUUUAUUCUUUCUAAUAUAUACAAGAUCUGUAACACCUCAUCCCACUAGUAAGAUAUUGUCCGCUUAACCAUCUAGGUGGUGGCCCAGUGGUAAGAGCCCGGGACCAAGAGGUUUGCUCCCUUUGUGGUCUCAGGUUCGAGCCCUGUGGUUGCUCAUAUGAUGGUCACUGGAGGCUUACAUGGUCGUUAACUUCAGGGCCCGUGGGAUUAGUCGAGGUGCGCGCAAGCUGGCCCGGACACCCACGUUAAACUAAAAAAAAAAGAUAUUGUCCGCUUUGGGCCUCCCAGUCCACCCAUGUCCAGGGCUUCCACCCAGGUCCCCCUCACGAGUUUGUUAUUGGCAGCCACGCAUGGCCCCAAAACGCGUCUUACUAGUCAAGGUGAGCAUGCACUUAUAAGGCCCUGGCUCUGGACGCUCGCUUCCGAUGUGGGAUUUUACAAUCCCCCCACCUUAAGACGAGACAUUCUCGGCUCUGAUACCAAAUGUAACACCCCACCCCACUAGCAAGAUAUUGUCCGCUUUGGACCUCCCAGUCCACCCAUGUCCAGAGCUUCCACCCAGGUCCCCCUCACGGGUUUGUUCUUGGCAGCCACGUAUGGCUCCAAAACGUGUCUUACUAGUCAAGGUGAGCAUGCACUUAUAAGACCCUGGCUCUGGACGCUCGCUUCCGAUGUAGGAUCUUACAAGAUCGAUGUGAGAUAUAUAUUAAUAAGUAAUAAUAUUAUAAUAACAAUGAAAAGUGGAAACCUGGCGCUUGUGUUGCCCUUACACCACGUGGCACUUGAGCAACCCUAGCACCACGUCGCGUUAGGACUGUCAUAGCCAAUCGGGCCUUUGCCUAGACCCAAGCGCUAGGUAGCGCUUGGGUUUGCCUCGUGCAUUGGAGCGACCUAAGCGUCACGUGGCGCUCGGGUCUGCCCUAGCGACACGUGGCAUUGAGGCUGCCAUAGCUAAUCAGGCCUUUGCUAAGACCCAAGCGCCAGGUGGCACUUGGGUCUGCCCCGCGCAUUGAAGCCACCUGAGCGCCUGGGUCAUCCCCGCGCAAGGGCAGGCCCGCCCAUGCACCAUGUGGCGCUCGGGUCUACCCCUGUAAGGGUCGGGUAGCCCAAGCAUCAGGUGUCCUUGCGUGGGUAGCGCCAACGCCAAGUGUCCGCUCCCCAUGGCUUGCAGCCCCACCAAAACUUGUGCUGGUAAUUUUCUUCCCAACCAUCCCUUCAAGGCAAAAUGCACUCCAUCAAAAAGACAAUCUCACCCUUUCCCCGCCGCCCUUGCAACUCUUUGUGUCAAGAGUUGAGUUGUCAUUACACUGCUUCAAUUCAUAGUGCUUUGUGUCUAUGUAAACAGUAAUAGAAAUACUGAGCCAUUUUAAUAUAUUGUGCAAUAUACAAUUUUGACUGGAAUUCAGGUGAAUUUUCACUUGUUCUGGGCCGAGAAAAGCAAAGUUCAAGGUUGGAGGCAUCUUGAACAUUCCAUGGAGAACUAUAAAUUAAUAAAGGAAUCGGGCGUGUGGGGUUUCUGUAUUGGAAAAACAGUUGCCAAUUAGAAAUUAAUCUCAAAUUAGGCGAGACAUGGAAUUGUCGAGAGACGUGUGGAAGCGGGAAGAAAAUAAAAGGAAAAAGAAAAAACAAUAACGAAACUUCUUAGGAAGAUUUUCUUUAAAGAAAUUAUAAAUUUUUUAUUUGAAGCUAUUAUAUAAGAAAUUUAUUCUUUUUUAUAUAUACAAGAUCGAUGUGAGAUAUAUAUUAAUAAUGUUUUUAAACAAAAUUCGAAACUUCUCAGGAAGAUUUUUUUUAAUUUUUGUAAAUUUUAAUUUGAAGGUAUUAUAUUAGGGAAUUUAUUCUCUUAAAUAUAUAAGAUGGAUGUGAAUAUAUACUAUUAAAAAAAUUUUAAAUGAAAUUUAAUUUGAAUUAACGUAUAAUUAAACUAAUUUAAAGAACCCUUCCUUCUUAUAUCGGAGACAGAACCCUUUGUCUCCAGCUAGUCACUAUCCCUGGAUGAAGGAUCGGUGUUGUAUUUUGCUCUCUAUAAAAUAAAGAUUCAUUCACAACUUUCUCGACGCAAAAUGAUUUAUAUAGCCGACCGCAGUCAAAGCUUUGAUUGUUAUUAUUGUAGUCAUGUGAUGAAUUAUCCAAACGCUAUCUCUAUGGAGGGCAAUGGCGGCAUGCAUGCCUCUAUAGUCCCUUCAAUCAACCGAUCGAUUUGGAGAUUCUACAGCAGCUUUCCUCGUGGUGCUUCGAAGAUAUAGCUCUGCGCAGCAACUAGAACUCACUGACUAGGUUAACACGACGGAAAUGAUGAAUGAUAUUAUAAUUGAAUAUAAUACAUUAAGUGAAAAAAAUAUUUUUUGUUUAAAAAUAUAUUAAAAUAAUAUAUUUUUUAUUUUUUUAAAAUUAUUUUUUUAUAUUACGACAUCAAAAUAAUUUAAAAAUAUAAAAAAAUUAUUUUUUUUAAAAAAUAAAUUUUUAAAAAAUGUAUCUAAGCUGAUCAUCAAGAAUAUUGCGAGCGGCUGUCGUUCUGUGCAUUGCUUCGAACAAAAAGCCUGGAUGACUCGUUAAAUCAUGUCGGGUUUAAUAACUUGCUUCGUACAUAUGCGGACAUAGCUUAACCUAUCGGAAGCACAAAUGACUACAAAUAUUGUUAGUGGCACUGUUAAACAGGGUUUAAGUCAUCACAUGCAGGGACAGAGCCUCCUCGGACUAAGUUUUGAUUCUAAGAUUUUAAAUUAUUAAAAAUAAAUAAACUUUGUUUUUUACGGGUCUCCUGCCAGCCUCCUCGGCUCCGUCCCUGGAGUCACAUGAUCCUAAUUGACUGGACUUAUUGACGACUGAUAAAGAAAUGAAUGAAAUUGUUUCUUUUGCUUAUUGUGGGCAUCACCAACACCUUUUCUGGUCACUAGGUUGAGUAGACGUCAACUGCCGAAUUUUCUUUUGCUUCCCUCGAUAGUCAAUGCUAAGCGCUAAGAGCAUCUUCAAUGUAAAAUGCUAUUUUAAAAAGCUAUAUUGAUAAAAUAGCACUUUGAAUAGUGUAAAUAUAGCUUUUUUUACCAUAUCUAUUCUAAUGGAAAAAAGCCAUUUGAAGAGUCAUUUAUAUUGGAGUGGAAGAAACAAGUGUCUUAUUAUUUCUUAAUAAAUUUGAUGUUAUUUUUUUUUCCACAUGUCUACAUUUAAUUGGUUUAUUUUUUUAGUGGCCUCACUUUGUUGGUUUUGGCUCUUUGAAGAGAUAUGUAGGAAUAGCAUUUGUGGGAGAGAAAAGCCAUUUUAUCAUUUUGUUUGGCUUUUCCCUUGAAAUGUGCAAAACAAUCAAAGAAAAGCUAAAAUAUUAGUUGAAUUUUCUUUUGCUUCCCUCGAUAGUCAAUGCUAAGCGCUAAGAAUGGAUUUUGCUUGGCAGCUCACCUACAGUCAUUUACUGGCUGCUUUAGCAAUAAAUAUACAUAAAAAGGUAUUUUACAACGUUUAGGUCGUCAAAAGUAAUUCUUUUAAUUAGAGCUACGACUGAAAAUAUAUGCUCGUCGGCGGUCGGUCAAAAUUAGGAUUUAAAGCAUCUCCAUAUAUAAUUGCCCCAUCAAAAACCUGUUGGUUGCUCGACUAUGAAAGGGAGGUAGUCUAUCUUGGAUAAUUUAAAAGAAAUCCGAAGUGGAGUUGGUCUUUUUAUAUAUAUAAUGACGGUCACUAUGACAUUUAUAACCUAACUAUUUCCUUGUCUUGUAGAUAGAUAUUGAUGGUUUUUGGCUGCCCUAUCUAGGCCGUAUGGAACUUGAAUAUGGAUAAUUAAUUAUUUUUCAUAGUUAAUUGCCUUUGUUAUAGUCAACAUAGAAUUUAAUUAAUAGGUUUUGGAUUAUUUUUAAAUUUCAAUGGUUUUGAAUCAAAAUAUUGUUUAUUCAUGAUGUGGGUUUAUUAUAUGCUAAAAUAUAUGAUAUUGCAGUACAGUUCUUUAUAUCACCAGAAAUGCUAUUAUCACCAUGUAGAACUCCCCCUAAUGCUCUUUGCCCAGGUAAAAUCGAGUAAAAUCCUAUUCCACUCUGUACCGGUUUGUCCUCCGGUACUUCAAUUCAUUGUAAUUGAUAAGAAGAAGAAGAAGAAGAAGAAGAAGAAGAAGAAGAAGAAGAAGAAGAAGAAGAAGUCCUAACAGGGAAAAGAAAUCACAGAUUUAUUUGUAUAGAUUUUUUUCUCUUUUCAUGAAUUGUUUUUCGUCCCAUUUUUUCUCUUUUCAUGAAUAGUUUUUCAUCCCAUCUACUUGAUGGGAUGAUUUUUUAUUCUUAAUUGUGUGUAUAUCUUAUCCAGCACUAUCUACUUGGAGCUUACUUAGUGUUAGUAUUGUAUUAGUGAUUGUUUUUUAUAUUUUUAUUUAAAAAUAUAUUAAGAUAAUAUUUUUUUAUUUUUUAAAAUUUAUUUUUAACAUUAAUACAUUAAAAAGAUAUAAUAAUAUCAAAAAACAUAAAUUUAAAAUAAAAAAAAAAUUAAAAAAAAAUAAUUUUUAAACAAAGAUGUGUAUCUCCACGAGAUAUCAAUAAAAAAGUAAUAAUAUUUCAUGAUCAUAUAUAUUUUUAAAAAUAUAUUUGUACCGAAAAUCAUCAAACUUUACGUGUAUUUUAACAUGGUAUGUCAAAAACACAAAAGAAAACCCUAUAAACCAUCGAAUUUAAUGUUUUUAAGUACAGAUAUAUUUUUAAAAAAACACCAACAUCACAUAGUUGAUGUGAUGCAAUUGCCAAAGCACGUUCCAAAUGGUCCUUCGAGCUUCUUUCGACCAAUUCAGUCGGACUGCGCUCAUUCGAUACUCUUAUUCCCUCCUUGCUGUGCGCAGAUAGAGAUAUUGAAGAGGUAGCAUUGUGCCAAGAGGCAAUCAGAGCCGUCUCUCAAAAUUAACAGCACUGGAAUCACAAUUAAAGGCUCAAAUCUGAUCAGUUGCAGCCUUGCAGGCCCAUUUUCUAGACCAAUAAUAGUGAUUUGCUAUAUGCAGAUCACAUCCCAGUGCUGGACCAUGGGGCAAGAGGCAUCUCUCAGGCUAAACAUUUAGAAGCUCAGAUUCAAACUAGUAUCGAGACCAGUUAACAGACAAGCAGCCAAUUAUUGUCUUCCAGAGAGAUUAUUUUCGGUUUUGGGUAAAAAAACUGACCAAACUAAAAUUUAUAUUUUUUAAAAUUAUGAAUUGAAUCAACCAACCAGUUCAAAUCAACUAAUUUCAUUUGUUUUUUUAUUUAAAAACCAGUUAGAUACAUGUCUAUUUAAUUAGUUUUUUGGGCCUUUUUAUAAUGCAUCUGAGUUUUUCUAAGCUUAUAAUUUUGAGUUUUAUUUCAUGAUGUACCUAAAGUGUUUCUUGAUAACGGGCCAACAAAGGCAAUAAGUACGUUGUCAUCUACUGUCGGCAGGGACUCCACAAUAAUCUACGUUGUCAUCCCCACCACGCACCAUAGCCAUUGAGAUCACCCCAGUUGGAGACUGGCCAGAAAACAAUGGCACAUAAGAUCAAUGUCAGCAUAAUACAGAGGUCAUCUUAGCAACUCCCUGCAAAGAGAAAAAAAACAGCAUAAGAUGAGCUUUACUUGCUCAAACGAUGAGGGGUAAAAUUACAGCCACAAGAAAACAAUGAGAUAAUGAGAGGAUUUACUGUGGAUCUCCUUCUCGAGUGACAGAUUUAAUGAGCCCUUCAUUAGUAACCAAAGAGAAGCCAUGUAUAACCAGCCUCAAGCAAUUCACGAGAGGUACCUCAGGAGCAAAGUAGCGAGCCUGUGUUGUUGUGCUAUUCUAGGAUCAAACAUUAUGAAAAGCUGAGGUACAGGCCGUUAAAACAAGAAAAACUCAAAAUUCAAAUCACAAGAUAAUACCAAGAUUAAAUUUUCUGGAGGUUUUUAAAGAAUCCCUCUAAGGAUUGGUGCCUGAAAAUUGGCCAAAAAACAGCAAAAUCAAAUAAAUCCCAUCAAAGAUUUAUUCAUGCCUGAAAAUUGACCAACAAGCAGCAAAAAGCGAGCCUGAAAUUAUAUGAGCUAAUUUUCUGCUGAGACUUUGUUGAAUCAAGUUUCGCUGAGUGACAGUAUCAAAAGUCAGAACGAGACCGUAAGCUCCAGCUAGGAGUGAAGGAUAAGAGUGCCAUGAUUCCUUUGUUUUUUAUUUUUCCUGGUAAAAAGGGUAGUGGUGAUUUUGCUUUUCAGGCAUGGGAAGCCUAAAGGUACCUUUCUUAAGUUGAUGCCAUUAUCAUCUGCCCUCCACGAGGCCGUCCUGUGCGUAAUCGAAAGGACAAGCCAUUUAUUCAUCCUCCUGUGGGAAAACUAACAGAACCUACAGAAAGCUGAAAGAGCAAAUGCUAAGUAAGAGCCUUUUACGCAAAGGGUUAAGAACCUCGAAAAAUCCAUAUUCUACUGCGAAUGUUUACUGACUGAAAUAGGUAUACAAUUAUCUUCAGUUCUGAUGUAUAAUCAAGAAGAGAAAAGCUAGCUGCACUCCCAUACAUGACAGGACAAAGAGCACAGCAGUAAUCCACAGAUACAGGUUGAAGUGAAACCUCUUCUUCUUAAAGAGUAUCAAUCAAACUUCACACUAUAACAUGUCGUAUGAUCCAAAGAGAGGAACAUACAAUAGCCCAUGUUAACCCAAGUUUCGAUGAUACAAAAUAAUGCAACCACCAAAAUUUCAGAAUACUUUUCUAGUGAUAAUAAAACAUGAUAUAUUUUUAACUAAUGAUAGGGGUAUUCAAGAAACCAAUCAACAAAGAAAAAAAACUGAAAAAAACAAAUCAAGAAAAAGAACUGAAAAAACUUAUUUAAAAACUAGAAAAAUUACUUGAUGUAGUUCGGUUUUGAUUUCAGGAAGCUGAAAAUAAUUGAACCAUUUGACAAGACAAAACAAAAAUACAAAUAGAAACUUAACUUAAUCCUAAAACAUUUUUUCCCCUUGCAGUUUUGUUUCAACUGCACCUCCCCCUAGGGCCCCUACCCUCUUUCUUUCUCUCCUGUGAUUCACAGCUAACCUAAUUAUGGGUGUCGUCGUCAUUGUGAAUCAGCCUGGCUACAUCAUAAUUCCUCUUGAAUUUUGUAUAGACAAGUUACUCUCCCUUUCUUUGAUAGAUGUUGUUACUAAAACCAGUUUGGUCUAUUAAUAACUUUAAACUAAAUUUUUUUUAAAUAUGUAUUAAAAUAAUAUUUUUAUAUUUUUUAAAAUUUAUUUUUAACUUAUUUAAAGUAAAAAAAAAAUAAAUUAAACCACAAUACCAGACAUGAGCCUUGACGUGUUUCCUCAUCACAGGACAGGACAUCUAUUACUUGUCAAAUCCUCAUACCAGCAAAACGGGUGGCUUGCCUUUUCAUUUCCAAUCAAGAAACUUCGUUACUUGACUGACCAUUCUUAAGAACCAGAAGCUGGAAUUCGCUUUUAUUUCUGGGAUUUUUUUCACUUUUUCUUUCUUGAAAUGUUGUUUGAAACGGGAACUUCCAAGUUAUAUGCAAUUUUUGUUUUCUUGUUCGUAUCUUUGAUUCUUUUCCCUCUGCAUUCCUUGUACUAGACCAAGUUAUCUUCUCCCUAUAACUUUGUCUGAGGUCAAAGCAAAAAAACCAACCAAAAAAACCGAACCAGUUUGGUUUGAACCAGUUUUUGGUUCAGUCUGGGUCAAAUUUUUCAGAAAUUACAACUCCCAGUUUGGUUUGGUUUUUGACCGUGACACCCCUAACUAAUGGUAUGACAAAAUUUGGAGGAAGGGGAAAAAAAAAAAAGCGGGGGAAACACAGUAGCUUGAGAGGGGCUCUGAAUGAGCAGCUAAUAAAGUACAAUCAUGCCGUUGCUUUCUUACGGGCAAAUCUUUGCAAAGCCGUAGGUAAUGAAAUUUCCUCACUGAUUUUCUGCUUCUUCUUAGCCACGUUUUCUUCCUCCAUUUGUUUCUCCAAGAAAGGUCUCUUGGCUCUUUCAACAAUCUUCUUUUUCUUUACCGCUAUUUUGCUUGGCUUAUUUUUCCCCUUUGUUUUCUUCCUAAUGGCAGUUCCCUUUGCUGCUUCAACAACAGCUUCCAUCUCCGCCUCCUUCUCCUUCUUUGUUGGUUUAUCUUUCUUCUUUGCCGACUUCACUGUACCGAUCUUUGAAGGGUCCAGCAUGAUGGUCUCGGGUGGGAGCUUGUCAAGAAGAGAGUGGAUUUCCUUCUCUCUUCGUUGUUUAGAUGUUUCAAAUGGGUUUGCUAACCAUGUGUCGAAGUUUGGUUCCCCUGAACCUGGGAUAAGAAUUGAAGACCAUCCCAUGGAGUGCCCUAUACCUAGAACAUCUUCAUAUGGUCGAAAUGCCACUUUCCCUAUCUGGUAACCUUUCACAAUGUAAUGUCCCAUAUAUCUACUAUAGAUCCGUGAUCCUGAGAAAUCUCCUAGAAUCUGAACAUACGAUCCAGUUCCAGCAGCUAGUAAACCUUUUUGACUGAAGUCUAAGGUUUUUGCAUGGCCUGGUAUAAUUUGGAGAACCUCGAAUUUCCUCAAGUCCCAAAUCUUAAUUUUCUUUUCUUUUCCAGAAGUGGCCAUGAGAUUGCCAUUAGGAUGAAAUGCCAUUGCUGUGAUAGGUCCAGGAUGACACAGCAUCUUGACAAGGGGAACCGCACUGGUGGGCUUCCACAUGCUUACUGUACCACCUGAAUGACCCAAAGCAACAACCCCGUUGAGAGGGUUGGCCAGCAUCACAUCAGUACGGCCUAAACCUGUCCGGAAAUUGCUUAUCAUCUCACCCAUUGUAACAUCUUGGUAUCGCAGCUGCCCAAAUUUGUUUAUUGACACCAAAAGAAAGUGGUUUUUCAAAAACUGAAGCCUUGUCACCGCGCCAUGUUCCUGUAAGCCACCAAAAUAACGCAACUUAAUCCCAUACUUCUGUAUUCAUAUAAACAUUUGGCAUGGUGGAAAGUAACAAUGAAUUAAACUUGAAAUUUGCAUCAAACAUCAAGAAGUCUAUAGCCAUGCAGUACAAUGAGCAAUGAAAUUCAAAGGAAACGUACUGUGUUGCAGGAUGGAGAACAAUCUUGUGACAGUGCAAAGACAGCCAAUGCAAGCAAAAUAAAUUAGUUUAGGAACUGGUUUACAGAAAGUAGGCCUAAUACUUUAUAACUGAGAAGAAAAAUCAUUCAAGUUCAUUUAUACACAAGAAAGAUACUGCAAACUUGUAUUUUAUAAGGUUCCCAAUAAAUGAAAAGGUCUUGCUGCAGCUUAAAACAAUAUAAAAUUCAUCAAUAGACAAUGCACUGACCUUUAAACAAUGAAGUUCGACACCAUCUCUGUUAUAAAUGUACGGGUACCUAUCAUAACUCGAAAUUAUUAGCUAUAAAGAGCUACACAAAAAAUUGACCAAAAGUAUACUACAACGUUCACAUUUGUUCAGGCAAGUAGUCACACUAUAUGUUCUUUUAUCUAUUUUCUGGGAAAAAGCCAUACUUUUUCUGGGCAGCAGCAAAGAACAGCUCAUUGUGCAAAAACACGAUAUCUCGCACUGUUUCUCUAACCUGAAAGAAUAAAAUUAAUUAGUACACCAGUCUAAUUUCCAGUAAAGGCCUGGUAAAGAUAAAUGCCAGUAAAAGAUGCAAAGUAAUGCUGGCAUAUAAAUAUCCAUUUUGUCAAUUUAUAUAAAAGGUCUCAACUAGAACCCAGUCGCGUCUCAGUAAGGGUCAGAUCAACCUGGCAACCCCAGGACAUACCUGCAUCUCUUUUAUUAAGCUCAUGUUCUUCAUGUCAACAACCGCCAAGUGGCCCUUGCGACCAGCAGCUGCCAUGUAUCGACCACUUGAGGUGAAAUCCAGAGUGUAUGGACCAAAAUCUGCACAUUUCAGUGAAAAAAGGCCUCAGAAGUUUCCUCAGGCCAUUAGCCAAAGGAUUACAUCCAGGCAAGAAUAUGACAUAGCAUUACAGUUAAAGAAAAAGUUUUUUUUUUUUUUUUGAAGCAGACUUAAUUAAGGAGGCAAAGAUGUUCAUGAAUUUAGAAACGUAAUUUUGCACUCCUGGAAUAAGCAUAGUUUCAGGCUAUUUUAUAGUUCAUGAGAAAGGCCUAGCACAACAUAGAUAAGAAUAUAUAUGCAAUGUUUUCCCAAAAAAUAUUUAGUAAAACAGAUCCAUGAUGUUCAGCAUUUCUCUCUGCUUGUUUUCUCAGGUAAAUCAAAAUUGAUAUGGGAAAUGACAGACUCAAACCCAAACAACAUACAUUGCUAAGUUAUUCAAGAAGAGAACCUGGAAAAUGGCUACAAAAUUGUCUUUGUAAACAUUCUGGCUAAAAAACAUUUUGAUUGCAAAAAACCCAUUAGAAAGGAAUCACACAGCAGACAAGAACCUGGCAAGACUAUAUCAUAUUGAUUCUUUGCGCUUGAGAUAUCAACUUCAUGAUUGAUUGCGUCCUGUUUGAUCCUCCAUGUCUUCUCUAUACCCUCAGCCUCCAGAUAGCCUCCCUUGCUUGGCAUAAGCCACUGAUUAAAAAGAACACAUGUUAUAAAGUAUUCAAACGAGUGAAAUGCUUUGUAUAUUUUCUGCCAGAAAACAGUGGGAGGAAUGACAAGCAAAAUCUAGUAGACAUGGAACUAUACAAAAUUAGUAUCUCAGACCACACAUAAAUCAAUUGAAAAAACAAAGAUAGUCCCCAUUAAUAUGUAACUCACAAAACAUUACUCAUGAAAGAGAUUUUCCCUUUAAUUUUUUUAGAACUAGAGAAGUGAAAAAGAAAAAAAAAGAAAAAAGGGAGAGGAUUUGCUAUUAUCCACCUUUUCAGCCUUGGCAGCAGCUUUUGCAGAUAUUCCAUAUAAAUCUUCCCUAACAGAAAGUUGACCCUUAAGCUUUUUGUCUUUUAAAACCUGCAGAUGGAGAGAAUUAAAUCAAAAUGCAAUAAAAAAACUCCUCCAAAGAAAUAAAAGUUUUUCGACUGGAAAUGUUGGACACCAAUUUCUGACCUCCAAAUUAGCCCCUUCUCCUCUAAGAUACUUCUUUACUUUCGUAUCCAACUCGUGAGACAAUUCCUGCAAACAAAAACUAGCCACUAUCAUCCUAUUGCCUUUAACAAACAUGUGCAGCAAAUAAUGUUUAUGAUGAUCAAGUAACAAUAAAGUCGAAUAAUCACAUUACAAACAACCUUUUUCUACAUCCAAAGCAAGGUCAUUUCCUUGUAAAUCAAAGAAUCGAAUUACCUGCUCAAUAGGAGGUAAAAUAUUCUCAGGAUCACCAUUUUCUUGUUUCGCACCCAUCUGGCCACUUAGAAUUUAUGUGCCUAAACUGCAGGAUAAAGAUAAUUACCAAUAAAACCCCUCAUUAUUCAUUAAUCAUGUAUUUACCAAAAUUGCCAAAAAAACCAUCUAGCAAAUUGCAUGAAUUCAAAAUCAAACAAGCAUACAAAGAACAAGCGAACCCAUAAUUUUCUACUUAAUUGAUCCAAAAAAAAAUCCUCAUUAAAACCUUCAAUUUCAAAACUUCGGAACUUGAAAGCAAAAAAAUUCACAGAAUAAAAACUACAUAGAUAAAACGCAGAUGAGCUAAACAGCAGACACAACUAAUUGGAUGACUGUCUCAAAUUUUCUCAAAAAAAAACAACAAAAGGGUACUCAAAAAGUUAAACAAUACUUGCCUAAGAAAUAAACUUUAUGCUGAAUUUGCGCUAACUUCUUGUCAGACAAGAGUUGUACAACUUGUAUAACACAUCACACAAAACCCAAGUUUUGCAAACAGGUAUAAAACAAGACAAGAAACAUACAAGUUAUUGGCAUAAGUUAAUGAACAAACGGAUGUCAGGGUUAGUUUUAAUGCCUGUGUGUAUUACUGUGUUCUUUCAAGAGUAGCAGAGACAACUUGGAGUGGAGAUGUUUUUAGGUUUUUUGUUAAAAGAAAGCAAAUGAAAAUCUCUUUAUGGUUGAAGUUUAGUAUUGUUUUCUUGCUGGUAACAAAGUUUAAGAAAAUUACAGUGUUUGUCUAUGCCUGAGUCGAUGCUUGAUCUGCUGUGACGGAAGUUUUUUAGGGUUUUUGCAGUGUUCAGUUUGGCUGAGUUUUGAAAUUUGUAAGAACCAAAAUAAAAUAAUUCUGGGCUUUUCUUUGCUUUCUUGGGCCAUUUAUUGAGCUGUUUACUGUGCUUAUUUGGGCCUCCUGCUCUGGUUUGCUCAUUGAGCCCAGCUCAAGAUGUAAAAUACUUUUAUAAGCCUGCGAGCCCAGUAAAAAAUGGAGAUUUAUUUAUUUAUUUAUUUUAUUGUACUAAUUUGUCUAGUUGCCGUGGUGUAAGGUGAGGUAUUUGAGGAUAAUUUUAUUGAUGGUAAAGAUGAAAUUGAAAAAUUAUCGUGGGUUUGGUUGCAAGAAGAAAAGUUUUUUUUUGCCAUAAAAGUUUCAUUGUUUUAAAUAAAAUUUAAAAAAUAUAUAAAAUUUAUAUUUUAUUCCAGUUUAGUUAAAUUAAUUUAAAUAUAAAUUAAUUUAUCAAAUCAUUUAAAUUUAAACUGAAUCAAUCUCCAAACUAUUUAAAAAUAAAACUUUCUCAAAGUUUAUUGAUAAAAUACUUAUUUAAAAUACUUUAUAUAGCAUUUAAUUUCAAAAGAUUAUCACUGGAAAAAUAAUUUAAAAAAGUGAAAGGACACUUGUAUAAAAAUCAUGAGUUUGGAUGGAUUUAUUUUAUUAAGAAAAUGCAUCAAUAUGAUAUUUAUAUAAAUUAAUAUCCUUCGGAUUGAAAUGGGUUUUGUUUGAUAUUUAACAUAAUGCAUGCAAAAAUCCUUGACGCAAGCUGUGCAAUACAUCUCGUUUUUGUUUUUUUUUCACUACGGUUUAUGCACUUGCCUGUGUUAGCAUCUUAUUUCCUCCAUCAACCACAUUUAUCAUAUAGCUGUUAUUCGGUCAACUCUCAAAUGUAAAGGUCAUUGGAUUAAUUAUUUGUACAACGAUUUUUUUUAUUCUAUAUAUAUAUAUAUAUAUAUUAUUUCUAUCCAGCAAGGUUUUAAUCAAGCUAGAUAAAUAAUUAAAAUCAACAAAAUCUGAUUAAUUGGAAUCGAAUAGCUGUGUUUUAGCUUAAAAAAGACAAAAAAAAAAAUGAACAAUGCCAAUGUGGCACUAUAAAAAUAUUAAAAACCGUCUUUCCCCGCGGAAUUUAACAGAAUAUCCACUGACACACCAAAAUAUCCACCAACACUCCUAAGCGUUGACUUUUCAAUAGUUUUCCACUCUCUUGCAAACGUGUAAGGUAGGCUCCACACACACACACACAAAAAAACCCAGCAUCCUGGACAUCACGGUGUCAUCGUUCGCAAGUUGCUGGACUCCAAAUAUUGUCCAAUAUAUCCAGAAUUUUUCGGAGGAAAAGUUCUCUCUGCCUCUGCCUCUGCCUCUGCCUUCUCUGCCUCUGUUUCUUUUCCUGUUUCCAUAAAUAGAAAGGAAAAGGAAUCCAACAAAACAGCAACAAAGACAAACCCUUUCUUGUGUUUAUCAAUGGAGUCAGGACAGGGAACUGUGACAUGCGGGUCAUGGAUCCGGAGACCCGAGAACUUGAAUCUUGCUGUGCUUGGCAGGUCAUCGAAGAAGAAAAAUUCUGCCUCUCCUUCUGUUCUCGAGAUCUUCUCUUUUGACACCGAGACAACUUCUCUCUCAACCUCUCCUCAGGUUUGUUUCUCCGAUACCCUUAACGACAUGUCGUUUAAGUUGUCUCUGUUCCGGCAAAGGGAGACCCUUUUUUGUUUCUAUAUUUUUGGUGCCUGAAUGGGUUUAUAUAUAUAUUGAUCGUGGGUUGUUUAGGUAACUUAUGUGUUUGAAGAAACAGAAGGUGAACUGGUGACAAUUGCAGUGCAUCCAAGUGGAGAUGAUCUUGUGUGUUCUUCAACUAAAGGUGGAUGCAAGUGAGUUUCUUGAUUAAUAAUUUUUCAAAUUUAAUUCUCUACAAAUUAAUGCAUCGAAGAAUUUUUUAAAAGAAAAUCAUGGCUCUGCUGUUUUUCUGACAUUCAAAAGAUUGUGACUUGGAAGUUAAAAAUGCUUGUUUGAAUUCCCUCAUCUAUCGGAAAGAUAAUUUCUUUUUAAGUUGAAUGAGUUCAAAGAGAUUCUAAUUUGUGUGUGACUUGAAUGUGUAUUUGUCUGUUGAACAAGUUUUUGUAACAUUGGGUUGGUUUGUGUUGUGACAUGCAGAUUGUUUGAGUUGCAGUGUCAAGAAACAAAUUUAAAGUUGCUAGCCAAAGAUUUACCUCCUCUCCAAGAUGUUGGUCCACAGACAUGCAUGGCUUUCAGUGUUGAUGGGUCUAAGUUUGCCACUGGUGGGGUGGUAAGCUAUAAUUUGUGAUUUAAACAAUGGUUAGCACCAGCUUGCUUUUGGUUGUGUUCCAAACGUCUGUGUGUACAGCUGAUAUGUAGUAUGGUGUCUUUUAUUUGAUCAAUUACAGGAUGGGCGUUUAAGAAUUUUGGAGUGGCCAAGUUUGCGCAUCAUUUUGGAUGAACCAAAAGCACACAAAUCUGUCAGGGAUAUGGAUUUUAGGUUAGUGUUUCUUUCCUACUUGCGUCCUAUGUAAUAAUUUUCUAUGUGCUGUGUGAAUGCAUAUGUUGAUAAAUGAGAAAUACAAUGCAUCCAAAUGCCUGUCAGUGUAUCAGUAACAAAGGUCAAUGGUGUCCCCUCCAGUUUCCCAUCGUGAGAUGUGCUUUUUAAGAAAUAAACAAAGGCUUAGCCUGUUUUUGGAGGUUUUGUAGAAGAAUCUUGGGCCAUUAAAGGGUUAUUUUUUCUCCUUAAAUCCUAGCUACUGAAACGCAUGCCUUUGUUUGUUUAUCAUAUUCUAGCCUGGAUUCAGAGUUCCUAGCGUCAACAUCUACUGAUGGUUCAGCAAGAAUAUGGAAAGCAGAAGAUGGUUCACCUGUGGUUUCUUUGACUCGCAACUCAGUAUGUUUUAUUUAGUGUAGGGAUUUUUCAUGUUGGGUUUCAGAUUUUGGUUGGAUCUUGUUGCCAAUAUGGUCUAUAUUUGCCUGCAGGAUGAAAAGAUUGAAUUGUGCCGCUUCUCCAAGGAUGGGACAAAACCAUUUUUAUUUUGUGCUGUGCAGAAAGGUGUCCUCAUUAGUAUCAAUGUAGCUUGUUAUUUUAUUUAGCCAUAUAAAAAAUCAUUCUUAACUUGUGAAUAUUGUUGAUUCAGGUGAUAAAGCUGUCACUGCAGUUUAUGACAUAAGUACAUGGAAUAAAAUUGGGUAUAAGAGGCUACUUAGAAAGCCUGCUUCCAUCAUGUCUAUCAGCCUGGACGGGAAAUAUCUUGCUUUGUAAGCACUCUCCAUUUACCCUUUGGACAUUUGCAAUCAAUUAUCUAGGUUUCUGCAGUCACUGAACUCAUUUAUUUUUAUCCUUGUUUAUCGUUCAGCAGACACAAAUCAAUUUCAUUUUAUCUUUUUUCAAAUCUUUAGCCCGAAAUCCAUCAGUAGUGACCCAAUACCUUCCCUCUUCAUUGUGAAAUGGCUUUGCACAGCUCAUUCUCUUAGUGAAAAAGAGAAUUCAACUUGAUGUUCAAAUAUGUUUAGGAUAGGAGUGCAAGGUUGUCGAAAUCCUGCUCUCUUGCUGACUGCAAUGACGCUAUUGAGAAAAUUUGUGGCAAGCUGGCAGUAUAGAUUGCUUGCAAAACUGUGAGGACCAGUUACAUUAACAUGUGUUUUUUUCUUUUAAUUCUAGAGGAAGCAAGGAUGGAGACGUGUGUGUAGCGGAAGUUAAGAAAAUGGAGGUUUCCCACUUGAGUAAGAGGCUGCACCUGGGUACAUGUAUCACGUCACUAGAGUUCUGUCCCGGUCAAAGGUAAGGUUCAUCCACGCCUUUUGCUCUGUAAUUAUAGAUGAUCAGCUUCAUGGUACAAGGACCCUUUAAAUGUUUCUUCUAGCUCACAAACUUUAUUUUCACCUUUUCUUAAUCCUUUUAAUCCUGCAAGUAUAGUUUUCUUCCUUGGCAUCUUUGAAGCACAAGUGUCCCAGUCACCAUUUUGUGAUUCCAAUUUGUAUUAUUUAAAUUGCAAACUAUAGGAGAUUGUUUAUUCACCUCUGGGUUUUUCUGCGCAGGGUUGUGCUCACUACUUCCGAUGAAUGGGGAGCAGUGGUGACUAAGUUGAAUGUUCCUGCAGAUUGGAAAGGUCUUUUCUCUCACUCCCUCACUCACACACACACGCACACACUAUUUACGUUGUGGAUGCACGCAUCCUUAAGAGACUGAUCCUUCCUCUCUCUCCUGUGCAGAGUGGCAGAUAUAUUUACUGCUAGUAGUACUAUUUUUGGCAUCUGCUGUUGCAUUUUACAUUUUCUUUCAGAAGUCUGAUUCAUUUUGGAACGUUCCACCUGGAAGAGAUCAACCUGGGAAACAGUUCGAAAUUUUAGAUCCACAGUACUCUGAAGAUGCAUUUGGGCCUGUAGAUAUGUGAACAAUUUUUAGACACGGUCACCAGAAGUCAUGGGUUGUAUCAUCAUCAUGUUACAAAAUAAACACUCAGUGAAGUAGUUUAAGAUUCUUCAUUUGAUCCAUUGCAACUUUCAACUUAAUCUAUUUUUGGAGAACGUUGCGCAGUUGAGGCUGGUUCUCUUUUACUCGAGUAUCUACAAGAAAAUGCCCCCCCGGGCUUGAAUUUAGUAAACUAGCAGAAAUUUAAACAGGAAAAUAAAACUCAGCCUUGUUUUGGGACAUUGAAAUAUUUUCACGAGCGGUUCCUUCAAAUAAUCAAAACCCAUCUCUAUUUCUGAAUGAAAAAGGCUGACAUCCAUGCGGCAGAAAGAAAGAGGUUUGAAGGAGGGGGGCGAGUGGGGGCUCUGAUUUCUGACAACGAAUAAAUAUUAUUAAUGAAGAAUUUUCAAGCACGUCUAGAUAGUACUUCAGGAUCCAUCAGCUAAUGAUCUCGAUUUCUAUGCAAUGUGAAGGUGCUCGUUGCAUGAACAUGAAUUACCUUAGGUGUAUAUACUGCCAGUAUGCUAUCUGAUAUGUUCCAGCCUACAAAACAUUUAACUUGUGACGUCAUAUAUGCCAGAGUAAAGGCUUGAAAGAUUCAGAAAAAAAAAACAACAUUGAAUGUAGAUGACCCCCCCGCUGCAAGGAUCGCGGAGGCCAUUGGAGAAGAUAAUGUUGCUGCCAAACCUCCCGAGCACCUCUUUAAAAUGCUGCAAUUUCACAUUGCCGAAAAAAAAAACAAAAAAAAAAACCGAAUGGAGCUCAUAUCAGCCUUUAAAUCGCUACUAUGAAAAUGCAUAAAAUCAACUGAAAUUUCACACACAGUUUGAACAACACAUGACCGCCAUAGAAAGUUGUUAUCCAAAGAGGCCUAGGGGGGGACUCCAAAUUUGCUUUUGCAUUCCUCAAUGUACUCCUUCAGAUCAAAUGGUCUGCUAGAAGCCUAGAAACAUGGUAUCAUUGUUACCACGACCAAUCGGCAUCACAAGUUCGCUACAUGUCUAUCAAACACCAGCAGAAGAAUUAACUGGUAUUAAUUAUGUGAUUAAUUUAUUAUAAUGCUGGAUGUUAUAAUUGCAGAAUUAAAAUAAACUUACCCGCCAAGUCCAGCCAUCCAGUGUUUCUGCUGAAAAGAAUGCGUCCAGAUUAUAGCAAGGCUUUUCUCGGAAGUAAGCAACGAUUCCAGAAAAUAUCUUGUCGAGUACAUCACUUCCUUCUGGAGCUGAAUCAAUACCUUUGCAAACAGGGUCAACUGGGUAUCUUGGAGGUCUAUCAUAUUGAGCUGCUACUGAAAAGAAACUGUCCAAAAAGUUUUUCAACUCUUCAGCAGCAUCCAGUGGUCUGUUAGCCAUAGUUAGAGGGAGUUAUGGGUUAAUCGAUCGGAAACUAGCAUAACGAAUUGAGUUAGCAAUUAAAAGCCAUGAGAAGUGAAAGACUUGGACGGUUAAAUACAUGCAAGUAUUGAGCUUGUUUUGAAGGAUAGCAAGACCAUUUGCUUUAGCAGCAACUUCAUCAAUUUCAGACCAUGACUGUUUUAUGGUUUCUUAGCACCUCUCACUCGAAUCCUUCAUGUGGUCAGAAAAUCAGACUCAACAAUUCAAAACAUUCUCUGGGGUAGAAAUUUAGAGAGGAAUACGAGGAUAUUAUGUAAAAUAAAGAACUCGGGCGGAAGACGCUAGUGCCCCUGGUGCGAUGUGAGGAUGUUUCAGCCGAAACCAAGCAGCAAGCACUAUAGCAAAAACAAAUGGUGAUCAAAUUGUGUUUCUAUAUUGAUUACGAGUACUGAAUUUAGUGGAUAUUCAAAAUAAUUUACUUCCUCAAUCCUCCGUAUGAUCCUCCAAAAACCAUAACUGGGGUGGAAUCGGCCGGAUAUUUUUUCUUAAUGUGUAGGAGCACUUCAGCGUAAUCUGGUAAAGCUUGAGCAGAGCUGCAGUAUCCGCGGAGAUUUUUGGCUUUUAGUGCUUCGGGGAUUGAUUCUCCGUAGAGACGAUGCUGCAUUGGAAAUUAUAGGUGAAAACGAAGCAUUAAUGUUCAACCUUUAAUCUCGGUGUGCGAAAGCCGACUAAUUAAAAUAAAAAACAAAAUAAUAAUAAUAAUAUUUUAGCCGAAAGGAAAGAUGGAUUUCUCUGAGAAUUUUUCUACUCACCUCUAUGUACACUUGUAAAGCACCAAAUCGAGCUACAUUAUCAGAGAGGAUUCCUAUAGAACCAAGAUCAUCAUUCAAAGAGGAUUCCUCUCCGAGAUAGGCAAAUAUUGGAGCCAUUUUAUUGGCACUCCUCCGAUGCUAGAAGCUCACUACAUAUCUAGGCCGAAAGCCUUGUAACUUUCAGGCCUUAAUCGAAGUGAUCAAGUGUUUAGUUAUAAUAAAAUGUUUUAAACACCUGAUCCGAUGAGGCCAGAGAAUCAACCUUCACUUUUCCAUGGUGAUUUCUUGCACCAGAAGGCCCUUGCACUCCAAGUCUUGGUAUUUUUUAUGGUGAAACACAAAACACACUUGUUGGGAAGAAAAGAAAAUCAGUCAUGGUGAAGCACAGAACAUUUUGUAGUUUAGUUAACGUUGUUCUUUGAUCCGAAUCUUGAUUGAUUAAGAUGACCCUGUCCAUGUUAGACAACGCAGCUUUCACGUAACUGUUGCCAUGAGCAAUGGCUCGAAGGCGAAAAUACAGCUUGGACUGUUCAAAGUCAGCUCGAGUAAGGUUUCAGUGGGUUAUCUUGUUAGAUCCAAUUUUGAAGCUCAGGCCAUUACUGUUUUUUUUUUAAUCAAUUUAAACUCAUAAAAAAAUAAAAAAUCAUAUUUUCUUAAUUACCAUCCAAACUCUUGAUAGUUCUUGGAAUUAGUCUACCUGAACACGUCAUUAUUGAUUACGAACUUAUAAAUCCAAUCAAAUAUAUCUAUACAGAUAUUAUCAAGAAAAAUUUACUUUUCAGAAUAAUAAUAAUUUUUUAUUUAAGAUCCAGGUGUAUUUUCAAAAUAAUCUUCAUGGAUCAGCAAGGGUAAACCUAUAUCUUUAAUAUAUUAAAAAAAUAUAUCAUUCAUGAUAUUCACGAAUAUUAUCAUAAAACUUGAUUUAGAAUAAAUCAAAUAUCCACGGCCUUAAAAUUUUAACAUAAAUGGGCUACAGUUUAAGCCCAGUUAGGCCAUCUGAGCUUCGAUCAAAAUUACCUUCUUUUCCCAUGUUGUAGGGCCAGUUAUAAAUACUAGAAGUAUUUAAAAAAAUCAAUCAACCAAUUAAACCAUAAAAACUAAAAAAAUAUUAAUGAAAAAAACCAAAUUGAGAAAAAAAAUUGAUCAAACUGAUUUAAAAAUCAUAAAAUCAACUUAAUUUGGUUCGAUUUCGGUUUUAAAAACUGAAAUCAAGUAAUCAAGCCAUACUCAAUAUAAAUUGUAAAUCCAAGGGUAUAAAUAAAAAACUAAUCGGCAUAAUUUCAUUAACCCUAGAAAUCCCCCACUCCUUUCCUGUUGAAAAUAACCGUCAAAUGUUUAUUUCUCUCGUUCCAUCUCUUUCCUUUAUUAUCUCCUCUAUUGAAACUUGAGAGGUUGUCACAUAUAACCUCUAUCUUUCCUAUUUUGGUAUUCAUUUACUCUGUUGUGUUUAUUUGUUGGUUAUUAGCCUUGGUUAAUGUUUGUUUUUCUUCUCUAAUGUGUUGUUUUCUUUUCCAAUUGUAUAGAUUAUUCACACUCUUAUUUUGUGUUUAUUAGCUGUAUAGAAAAUAAAAAGUCUUUAAUGCGUGCCAACUAUUAUGUUUUGACAGGUUUGUUAUUGCUGAAAUUAGGUUGAGAUUAUCCCUUAUUAUGAUCACUAACCUGUUUAUUUUUAUGUUUUAAAGGUUUUUUUAAUAAAAAUUUAAAUUUUUUUAUUUUAAAUUAAUUUUUUUUUUGUGUUAUCAAAUUAUUUUGAUGUGCUGAUCUUAAAAAUAAUUUUUAAAAAAUAAAAAAAAUAUUAUUUUGAUAUAUUUUCAAGAAAAAAAUAUUUUGAAAAACAACCGUAAUCACAUUCUCAAACAUCUCUACUUCUUAAAUAUAUGCUUGCAUGUUUCCAUUAAAAAUUGUUGAUGUGACUUUGUGUUUUCACCUUUUAUUUUUAUUUUGUUUGUUGGCCAUUGUAUUUUAGUGUGAUGCUCAUAUUACUUUUUUUUUUUUGAAAAUAUAAAAUAUUUAGAUAAAUAACUAACACCUUCCUUAAUAAUAAUAAUAAAAAGUUAAUAAUAAAUGAUGUAGCUUAACUAGUAAAGUCCCAGGUUUACUCUCCAGAUAUUACCAGUUCAAGUCACAAAUCUCAGGGUCACUGGAGACUUACAUGAUAAUUAACUUCAGGAUCCGUGAGAUUAGUCGAAGUGCGCACAAAAUGGUCCGAACACCUACGUUAAUCUUAAAAAAAAAUUAAAUAAAAGAGUGACUAAGAGAUUAUAUUUUCCGGUCACAAAAAAAAAUAAUUGGGAUUGACUGAACCAAACCGAUUCCCAGUUUAGUUUAAUCCAUUUUCCUAAAAAAACUCAUCUCCCGAUUCGGUUGGAAUUUCAAACUUAACCCCAACCAAACCAGAUGAUGAACACCCCUAAUAAACACUGUCACGGAGAAGAAAAUUUAAUGGCUAUCUUGGAGAGUCUUUCAAAAAGCGAUCCCCUUUUCAUUCCAACCCAAGUAAAACGAGGUAAUAGUGCAUUUGGUCCCUUUAUUCUCAAUUUUCUUCAUCUUAAUCCUUCUAUUGUCUUUAGUAUGAUCCCUGGUCCAUUAUUCUUCUCUUCAAAUUAGUUGGCUAAUCAUAGCCAUUCGGUUUCCAUAGGUAUUUCUUAUGUUCACGAGCCUCCCCUAGGCUGUCUUGAGCUGCUAUUGUGUGGCAUUCUCCUGGGGCAUCACCCUCCUUUUGUUUGAAAAAAUUAUGGCAAUUAUAAUUUUAAAAAUAGUUUAACUGAUUAAAUUUUAAAUGUGUUUUCUAGUGGUCACAAGUUUAAGUUCUCUCAUGAUCACUAAAGAAUUAUAUAGUCGUUAACUUCAGGAAUCAUGAAAUUAAUUAAGGUACGUGUAAAUUGAUCCAGACAUCCGCGUUAAUAAAAAAAUAACAUCGUAUCCAUGGUAUUAGAUCAAGUAAUUAUUUGCUCGAGAAAUUUUUAUUGUAUACCAAUAUCAUUAUUUAUGCAAUAGUAACAUAACAUGUCGUUCACAACAGUUAGGAAAUAUCAAAUAAUUAUGAGAUAAAAAGAUAUCAAAUAAUUAUGAGAUAAAAAGUUUGAAGGAUAUUGAGAUAAAAAAAUAUCACAAGAUUCAAAAUAAAAUAAAAUAAAAUUAUAGAGGACAAGAUUCACCACCAACAUGUCAAACCCGGGCUAGAAAACCAAUAAAAAAAAUCUAGUAACUAAAUCAAUUAUUUUAUUAAAAUUAUUUUGUUUUAAUAACUUUUUUUAAAUUUUUUUAUAGUUAAUCUUGUCAAGUUUCGUAUACUCAAUCUAUUCGGUUUUGAUUCUACUUAAAUUUAAAGGUAAUAUUUUUUAGAUUAUUUUUAUUUUUAAUAUUAAUUUAUCAAAACCAUAAAAAAUACUCAAAGUAUCAAUUUAAUAUAAUAUCUAAAAAUACUAACAAAAGCCGUGCCAUAUACGCCUUCGAGUAGUGAAUUUCUUAGUUCAGCCCGCUGGGUUGGGACCUGUCUAAUAACUAUCAACUCAGAUACGAAGUCCGCUCUCACUUCACUCCACUCUCUCUCGCACGGAUAUUUUUUCUUUCUGCUUCUAAUGAACUGCCGUCACUGUCUCCCAAGGUCUAUCUACACACAACCUCUGAACAUUUCUUUCUUUCUUUUCCUCAUUUUCUAGAAUCCCUUUUCUUAAUUUCUUGUUUGGUUUGCAGAUCAUCCUCUGCCUUGCCUUUGCAAGGCUUCAAUUUUUACCAAAGAAGACCAUCUUCACCAUCAUUAUUCUCUCUUAACAUGGCAGUACAUUCUCCUCCUUUAGCAUAAUUCUCGCUCUUUUUUUUUUAGUUUUUCUUAUUCUCAUUAUAUAUGAAUUUCUUGAUGCAGGGAACCAAGAAUUCUAGUGAUUUGCGGUUACGUGUAUCUGUGAAGGUAACUAAAAAGCAGCUUCCGAUUCGGUUUUUUACAUGAAGUUAAAGCUUCUUCAAUCUCUUUGCUUUGCUCUACGGCUUACUAUUUAUUACUUCAACCUUUUCUUUUUGGUUCAUUUCUUUUAAUUUUCCAAUCUUUUUUUAUAGUUGUCUGUUAGAAAUUCUGAAUAACGUAAUGCUAGUUUUAUCGAAAAUCUUUCUUGAAAGAUCUCGAGGGAGAGUCUCAACCAUUAGAUUCGUGGGACCUACUAGUGGGACCCACGAUGAGAUAUUCAUUGUGGGAUUUUUCUGUGAAUUUUUUUUUCCCGGGAAGAAACUUUCUGUAGAAUCUUGUAUUACUGACAAGAAUUCACAUAUUAGAUAUUUUGGAGUUUAAGGGUUUUUUUGGUACGUGUUUAGGAGAUAUUUUUGAACUUAGUAUUGAUUAAUAUUCCUUGUCCUUCUUUUUGUCCUUUCUUAUAAAGUUUGCGUUUCUUAAUGAUAUAAUUUUUGUUUUUUGAUUGUGACGUUGAAUAAUUCCUAGAGCAAAUUAAAGUGAUCCCAUGAAUCAAGAGGCGGGAAUUGAUUCGUGUUGCACCUUUUGCUGUGUGCGUGGUUUGACAGCCAAAAGCUAAUAUAAUCAGUAGUUUCGAUGAUAACUAAAUGAUUCGGGCGAUAAUUGAUUAAUUGUUUUGUUUCUGAUAAUGAAUGCGUUCUUCUGAGUGGUUCAUCUGCUGCAGUUUGUUGAGUUUCAAAAUUAAAAUCUUUUCUAAUAGAUGAUUGUUAUUUGAUGCUGUUGCCUGUAGGCAAUUCCCAGCUCACCAUCCAGUGCUGAGAUGAGCGGUGCUGAUGCUGAGGAAGAAGAGGAGAAAUCUGAGAUAUACAGUCAUGACAUGACUGAAGCUAUGGGGGCUGGUAAGUUUGAUGCUGCUUGUGGUUGGAGAAUCGGGUUGUGAUGUUUUCUAUUUGAAAAGACUGUGUAAUUGUUUGGAUUUUUAAAGUGUUUAAAGUGCUUUAAGAGCUAACUUUAGUUCCAUAUGAGCAAAUUUGAUUGAGCUAAAUGUUUGUUCUAAUAUAUUUUUAGUACAGUUUUGACCUAUAGGCACGAACUAGGAAUGAACUAUAACUUCAUUCGUCCAGAUUUGAUUGUCGGAUCAUGCCUACAGGUGAUUCUCAUUUGUUAGCUUCGUCUAUGAAGGGAUUCUAUUCCCUCUGAAAUGCUCUCUGAUUUUUUGUUUCCCAUAUUGUUUUCUAAUUACUCUUUUCAAAUUUCUAGACUCCUGAAGAUGUUGACAAGCUUCGAAAAAUUGGAGUCAAAACCAUAUUUUGCUUACAGCAAGAUCCAGACUUGGAGUAUCCUAAAUAACUUUGUCUUCAUGAUCUGAUGGAAGCUUGAUUAUUAUUGCUUACAUGUUAUAAAUAUGGUCAUCGGUUACCAGAUGCAACUGUUGAGCAUUUGAGAUCAAGCAAAAAGAAGUGUAUGAAACACAUUGUAAUUCUUUCACUACAAUUCCAGAUAUUUCGGGGUAGAUAUUAGUGCCAUUCAAGACUAUGCCAAGGCAUGUGGUGACAUUCAGCAUUUGCGGGCACAGAUAAGGUUAGUCAUGUCAUGGAGAAAUCACAGUGUUAACUUACCAAACCAUAACAAAUAAACAAUUGGAAAAAGAAACCUGUUGGUUAACAUUUGACUACUUGCAUCUGAAAAAACAACAUUGGAGAAUUACAUUGUAUCAAUGUUUUCAUCUAUUUUGGACUGCUAUAUUCUCACUUUCUACUCUCUAGAACUUCAAUUGUUGUCAGAAGAAGUUACUUAACUUUCUCAGCCAGGGAUUCAUUUGUUAUAGUGCAAACUUAUUCUUCUGGGUCACUUUCUGUACCAGUUGAAUUUCUGCUCGCUUCACAGUUUCUAUUGUUAGAACAUAAAAGAUGUUGUGUGUUGAAGGUGCAGCAGUAUCUAAAGUCUACAGUUAUAUAUGCUGCUGUUUUUCUUUUGAUACAGCAGCUAACAUAUCAUGUGACAGGGAUUUUGAUGCAUUUGAUUUACGGAAAAGGAUUCCAGCUGUCGUCAGCAAAUUAUACAAAGCCAUAAAUCGAAAUGGAGGUGUGGCAUAUAUACAUUGCACUGCCGGACUGGGCAGAGCACCUGCUGUUGCGGUAUGCAUGUGAUCUUAUUCUGUUUAACUUUUCUGUUGACACCUUAUGAUAUGUUGCUGUACACCUCAGUUUCCCUGCAUACACCCUCUCCCUAUCUUCUCAGGAAGCCUUCUUUCAUGGUUUUCCUUACCUUGUGCUUUUGUGAGGCACUACAAAGUUAGGUUUCUUCUAAUUCCACACUUCAGUAAUUAGAUUGAGUUAAAUGAGGGUUUUCCGUGAAUAUUUCACAUUUUCAGUCAUAAUUUCAUGGGGAUAGUUUUUCAAAACUCUUCACCAUUUAACUGAGCGUUUUUCAAUGAAUUACAGAUGGCAUACAUGUUCUGGUUUCAGGGCUACAAGCUCAGUGAUGCCUGUGAUUUGCUCCUGGUAAUUUUUUAUUUGAUUCCUUUUGUCCUCCAUAAACAAAAGUUAUGUGUUGAUAAUGCUUUCCCUAAAAUCAUUGUGAAAGAUCCAUGGCUCCAUGCAUGACAGGUUUUCAAAUAAAUAUCAUUAAGAUGUUGAUGAAUUGUCAAUUUAAUAUGUUUUUCCUAACUUGAAGAAGUUUUAGGGGUCAAGUUCACGGAGCUGUACAUUUAGUGCAUGACUACAUAUACCUGGGUGACUUUGCAGCAUGAAGAGCAUGAUUGCAGGACUCGGAUCACCCCCAAUUUUUUCUUGUCAAAUUGUAAACUAGCCAGUAUAAAACAAUGGGUCAUCUUUGGUAAUGGACAGCUUAUUUAGGGAUAUAAAAUUGCCUAUCUAUUCUACUUUUCUAGCAUUGUAAUUGACAGAUCAGUUUAAGUAUCCUUCCGACAAGAUUUUGAGCUAUACAGUGGACUGUCAAUGGAUUUACUUGAUGCAGUUUUUAGUGCUAGCAGUGACAGGCUCAACACUUGAUGGGGACCAUUGUGCAUUUUGAGAUUCAUUGUUGAAAUCAUGCAUUUGGUAAUUUUGAGAUUUACUUGGUUUGCGACAAAUAGGAUUCCAAUUUAAAAUAGCUGAUUAGUGCCAUGUUUUGGUGACUGGGAAAUUAGCUUGACUCCCUUUUAGGGAGUCGAGUCUCACAACCUCUCACUCAAAGGAGCAUUGGUUCCAAUGGUGCUAGAGCCGUAUUGGUAGCUGAUUAGUAACUUUGUAGCAUCUCAUUGUUUCUUGUCAUGCAGAGCAAACGCUCGUGCUUCCCAAAUCUGGAUGCUAUCAAAAAUUCAACCGCAGAUAUAGUGAGUCAUUUCCCCUUUGCAUGUACUAUAUGCAUAAUUGCUCAUGGAGCCUUUACCACGGGUUUUCUUUCUGCAUAUUGCUUUUUUCUUUUUGACUCGGUCUUUUUUUCUUAAUGACUUGCAUGUUUAGAUGCCCAUGUUUGUGAAGAUGAAAUUUGAAUUUGCAUGGUAUAUAAGGAUGCUUCCUGAAGUGCAAUACCAAUUUUUGGUGUAUCAACUUUUCAAACUACCUGUAAUAUAAAAAUUGCUGCCUGAAUUCACCAGUAACACUAGCUCAUAAACACUACUCCCUAAGAGUUCAUUUCUCAGUAGUAGAGUUUGCUGGCAUUUAAAUAUAAGAAAAGGAAUCAAUGUGAAAAUAAGGAUGGUUACAGAGGCCUAGUUUCUUCAUGUGAUCACUAAAUUAAUAUAUUUUGUCUAUCAUUUGUUAAGUAUUGACAAAUUACUGCAAACUAUUUAUUUUUCUCUUAUCUGAAAGCUUACAGGCCUUAGAAAGAAGCUUGUCACUUUGAAAUGGAAAGAUGACAAGUGUUGCACAGUGGAAAUUUCUGGGCUUGACAUUGGAUGGGGCCAGGUACGUGAUGUAAUAGUUGAUUUAAAAGCUCCUGCAUAGUGAUGAUCAUUAUAUACUGUCUUGAGAUGCACUAACAGCCAUUUCACCUAUACUUUCCGGGAGUUGGAAAGAAUAAAACAUCUAGAUUUAAUUCGUUCAGCUUUCUGGGCUUGCUUUCGGUAGUUGAGGAUUGAUUUGCUGGCUGUGACCUGAUUUCCACAUUUAUGGAGAUGCGAAUUUUAAUGUCUUAAACAUUGUUAUGCAAAUGAAGCAAGUCUUGAUGACAAGUUAAUACAAUGGAUACAGCAGUUUUUGCAUUAUGCUUAAGCCAUUCCAACCUUUUUACCUGGUAUUUAUUUCUCUUUCUUUCUCCAGAGGAUACCCUUAGAAUUAGAUGAGGAGCAGGGUUUUUGGAUUCUCAAGAGGGAAUUGCUGGUAAGUUUUUACUUUCUCUGGUAGUUAAACUUCAAAUUCUCUGGAAGAAAUUGGCAUCAGCUUUUUUUUUCUUGCCUGCAUGCCUCUUGUCUCUAGUUUACUGUCGAAAACUUUCCUGCACUUUUGUUGACAUGUGGCAACAUGCUAGUUCGGGAUUUAAAUAAUGAUUGGAUUAUGAUGUUAAAUUGUUGUGCUGAAGAAAAGCAUCUUGAAUAACAUCUGUGCUAUGAGCCAGCCCCUACUACAUCGUGGUCCCAGUCCCUAAUAUUUGUGAAUCUUGAGAGUUCAUUUCUUCAAAAAUUCAAAAUCUAUGCUACUCUUAGAGAUAAACUGCUAUUAGCUUUAAAGGUGCCCUAAAAUCAACCCAGCAUAGAUGAGGAAGGAUACUGUCCAUUCUCACUGUGCACAGCAAGGCACAGCUAGUUACUGAAAUGGGUGCAGAUACAAUAUGUCUAUUUCAAAUUAAAAUCAGAAUUUUGUGACCAUUCUUUCUUCAACAGGAGGGACGCUAUGAAUACAAGUACAUUGUUGAUGGUGAGUGGACCAUCAACAAACAUGAGCUAGUUACCACUCAGAACAAAGAUGGCCAUGUCAACAAUUAUGUUCAGGUAAGUAAAAGCUCUCCAGAUUUUGUUCUAUUGUCAUCAUUUUCUUUUGCUUGGGGGAGAUGGGAGAAGGGAAUGUUAAAGUGCAAUGGUGUUUUGAUUUUUCUUUGUGGAAGGUCUUUCCCCCGAUAAAAUAUAAUAUUCUAGGAUAAUUUGGUUUAUAAAGAUUCUUUAUCAUGAUUCCAUGAUAUUAUUUAUGGCAACCUUCAAACAUUGGUGCCGUUUUCAAUUAUUGUUCAGGUUCUUGAUGAUGAUACAGACAGUGCUAACGCUGCACUACAGAAGAGUUUAACCGGUGAUGAUCCAAAUCUAACAGGAGACGAACGGUUGAGAAUUAGAAGGUUUCUGGAAGCUCUUCCUGAAGAUGAAGGGUGAACUGGAAAUAAAGCCUGUAGAAGCGGUCAGCAUAUAUGAAGAUAUAGUGAAUACUUCCAAUAGCAACGGAUGCUUGUAUCCUUUAUCAGUUUAUUGUACAGUUUUUAUCGAAUUAAUAAACUAUCAAUAAAGCUGCCGCUAUCCAUUUGCUCUCUCCUGAUUUUACAGGGGUGAGUGCUGUCAGUAAGCUAAAUACCAACUAAUUUUGCAGGAUCUCAGUUCUGCAUUUUCAAGAAAUUAUUCAAUAUUUUCAGAACUUAAUCUUUUAAUUUUUUUUCUUGCCUUGCUUUCAUGUAGGGCCUCCUACCCUGAAAUGUAAACUCUCCUACCCUCCCUUUUUGUACUUGCAUCAAUCAAUUAGUGCAAACGGAAAUUGAGUAGCCAUUGAAGUGUAGUGUAGGGAUAAGGAUUUGGAUUUGGAAAGCUGGGGUCCAAAAUGCCUUGGUGCCUUGGUGAUGUCUGUCCUGGGAUAGGUCGGUUUGGUUCAUUUGGGCAGGCUAUAUUUUUUUUUUUAAAAAAAUAAAAAUAUCUGUAAAAUAAUAUUGUUUUAAGGUUUUUUUUCAAAAAAAAAAAACAAUCUUAUUUAAAAAAGAUAAGAGAAAUUUUUUGGUAAUUCAGUUAGGUAAUUAGGUUUAAGCCUCAAGUUUAGGUUGUUUUUUAAAAUAUUUUAUAUUUAAAAAUAUAUUAAAAUAAUAUUUUUUUUAUUUUUAAAAAAUUAUUUUUAAUAUCAACACAUUAAAAUAUAAAAAAAAUUAAUUUUAAAUAAAAAAAAUCAAAAUUUAUUCAGCUUUUAUUUGAAACACAAUACUAAAAUAGGAUUUCUUCUAGUGAACUAGGACACGGAAACUAUGAUUCCAAAAAUUUUUUUUUUUUUUUAAUUUUUGCUAAAAAUGAAUUUUUUUAUAUGUUUUGGAUCGUUUUGAUGCGCUGAUCUUAAAAAUAAUUUUUAAAAAAUAAAAAAACAUCAUUUUAAUGCAUUUCGGCAUGAAAAGCACUUUGAAAAGCAACAGCAACCACACUUUCAAAUAGACUUCUACAUGAGGCCGGAUCAAUAACUAUCUCUCAGGUCACCGACCCAGAGGGAGCAACACCGCAUGAUUUUGGGAUUUGGGAUCUAAUUACCUGCCAGGUUGUCCUGGCUACCCGCACCAUCAUCAACAUUCAACAUGAGUGAAUAGGCAUAUGCAUAGUUUUGAAACCCGAUUCGGCUCGGCGGGUCGACUCGGGGCUAAAAUUGAGCCGAGUUGAAGAAAAAAUAGGAAAAGUUAUGACACGGUGUGACCCGGCCGACCCGGCGGGUUGACCCGAUAAAAUCCGGUUGCAACCCGUUGACUUUUUUUUUACUAAAACGACGUCGUUUUGAAUUUUUUUAAAAUGAGAAUUGACCUGGUGACGCGGCCAAAAUCCAGAACCCGGAAUUUGGACCGGGCCGGUUUUAAAAACUAUGAUGGUCUUUCUUCUUAUAUAUCAGGAGUGACUAUUGAAUCUAGACUAAAUAUUAAAUAAUAAAUGGAGAUGGUAUCACGACUCGGGAUUUCCGUUCGAGGAGGUCGAGGAAAAAAUCCUCAGCACGGCCACAGAAGUGAUGUUUGUCUGUUACUAGAUUCGAUAAAGGACCCGUUUGGCUUUUGUUCCCCUGCUUUUGUUUCAAUUUGACUCCGAUGAUGUUGAGAUAUUGAUUUUGUAAGGUGGGCUGUGAACAGAAGUUGGCAUGGUACGAUGUUUCAUCGAUUAAUACAAAAUAUUUUAUGAUAUUUACUUAUGAGAUUAGAUUUACCUUUAUUGAGAGACUUAUAUUUCAUUACUUUUAUUUAAAAUUUGAAAUUGAUAAACUAAAUAUUUAAUUAUAUUUUUCCAAUUAUGAAACCAGUUCUUAAGUAGACUGAUAUGCCCAUAGAUUUGGAAAAUACGAAGAAAUUAUUUUUACGUGCCAACCCUUAUGAAGGUGGAAGGGGAUUGGAUUGAUUAAAUAUUAUUUUUAUAUUAAUACAUGAAAAUUAUAUAGAAAUAAAAAAAAAAUUAAAACUAAAAAAAAUUAAAAAAAUGCAAAAUUAAACUCCGCCUAAGCCGAGCUUGGAUCACAUGCCAGGGCACCACCCAUUUAUGUGAUGGUAAGUCCCUGCUGGUUGCUGAUCUUAUCUUGAGAAACUGGACCUUUUGAUGUGAUUGGAAACUUUUACAAAGACCUGGCACUUUCCAACUAAACUGGAAUCUUUCUCUUUUUUCUAUUAUUAUUAUUAUUAUUAUCUUUUAUCUACAAGAUAUAAAAGUCAAUUUUAGUUCAAAAUAGGUUUAAAUAAUGUUUAAAAGUUUUGAGCUUUGAAUUGCAUUGUUGGAUAACAAAAUAUGGUUGUGUGUGGUACAUAUGAUUUUCAAAUAUAUAUAUUUUGUAAAAUUUAAUUAAAAUAUUUUUAUAUUUUUUUUAAUUUCUAAUAUUAGUAUAUCCAAAUCAUAAAAAAUACUAAAAAUCAAUUUAAUAUAUUUUAACAUCAAAAAUACUUUUUAAGAAACAUAAACUACUAUAGUUCUGGACACCAUAAAUAAAUGGUAGCCAUGUUUUUUUGUCAACAAGAUGUAUCCAGUGAUCUUUAAAAAUAAAAAGGUUUUACUUAAUUAAUUGUCACGUGUACUCAUAAUGGAGUUUAUUUUGUCAAGUGUGGAGCUUGUAUUGCAGUGUAUUGUGAAUUUAAAAUAGAUAUUAAUCACAAGCUUUUUAUUUUACAAACAAAAUCCAAUAAAAAAUAAUAAUUUGAUAAGAAGUAAAGGGCAGAAACAACAACAAUACUCUUACUCUGUUCAAAAUAACUGAUGACAUUAAUUAUUCUAGAUAGAAAAUUAAAAUAAUUGAUGAUUUUUAUUUUGUAUUUCAUGACACAAUCAAAUGUCAUGAUAUAUUAACUAAUAAUUAAAAUUAAAAUUAAAAUUUAUAGGAUAUUACCGGUUAUAACUCACAAUAAAAAAUUUCUCUUUAUCCACCCACAGUGGAUUAUCCAUAAUAUCAGACAUCAACUUAAUUCGUCUACGCAAGAUCGCUAGAUUAGGUUUUUUUAUUUUUUUUGGGCGUGGUACCUUGCGUUUGAAAUAUGGGUCCGAGAAAAUACAAAUAAUAAAAACAAAACUGUUUAUUUAUAUUUAUAAUCUCAGAUUCACGUUGACAAAAACAUAUACUGCCAACAGCACACAACAGAGAGAAGUUUAAAAAAAAAACCAGCCUCUCAGAGAAAAUGCAACUCUACACGAUCUUUCCUCGCUGAAAAAAAUCUUCUCCUCACUUUCCCGAGAAAGAAAAAAACAAGGGAAAAGGAAAAUCCAAUCCUUCAUGAUCCGAAACCACCAUUCUCCACCCGAACUACCGGUCUCCGCUAUCAAUGGAGGUUCCGACGGUGGCUCCGAUCAAAGUUCCAACUCGAUUCGAGACCGUUCUCUUUUCAAACGAAACCCUAACUACAACACUAACACUCCAGACAAAUCAAGUAAAUCACCUCUUGAUCGGUCUGAUCGCCGCAGCCGAUGGCACCCCUAUACAAACAGAAGCUACAACCGCAAGGGGUGGUUGCUCCCUUGCUUUCCAUUUCGCGGCGUUUAUUUAUUCUACUGUUUGAUUUUUUUCGCUGUUUUAGCUUUCGUUUUGGCGUCUAUUUUGUUGCAGAGUUCGAUUACCGGUAUGGCUGUGUUUCGUAGAGGGUGGAUUGAUCAUUGGAGACCGAUCAAAGAAGAUUUGAAAUCAGGUGCUAUGUUGAAAUUCGUGCCCGUGUUAAAAUCACGGUUGCCUUUGGAAGGUCACGGGCUCGAUCAUGUCAGAUUGCUAGCUAAUAGAGUUGGCCUCAGGCCUCCAAGACUCGCCGUUGUAAGUUUCCGAGUCUGUUUAAAUUUAUUUUUUGCUGUAGAUGAGAAAUGCUAUUUUAGGAGAAAAAUAUUAAGAAUAGAUUGCAAGAAUUAGACAAUAGGAUUAGUGCGAAGCCCAUUGGCGGGUCCCGUUAAUCUCUUGGCAAUGCAUGGGUCAAUAACAAGGAAGAAUAGUGAUUGAAUUGAAGUAUGGAGAUGGAGGAGGAAGAAAGGUCAAUUAGAAAUGAUUCGUGGAGAAGAAUGAACGCUGUGUCACACAUAAUUUAAAGAAAGUUUAGCUCUAAGGGAAGUGAAUGGAGGAAGUCAAUUCAAGCAGCCAGCCCAACUAGUUCGGGACCGAGAAAUCCUUUUAAUGUCACAAUUACAAGUUUAUUGUUAGAAUAUAUGCAGUUGAAGGUAUGGAAGUAGUUUAGACUUUUUUUAAGAAUUUAUGAAGCAGGAGGAGCUUAGGUCAUGCGCGGGUUGCAUUGUUUUGCGUUGGUUUUCUUCUUUAUCCUUUUGUUAGACAUGUGGACUAGAUAAAUACAUUUUUCUGACGUGCACUUCUAGAUAAAGUUCUGUUUUAUUUUUUUCUCCAAAGACUUCAUCUACGUGUUUUUUUGUACUGACCUUGUGCGAGUGUGUUUUAUUUUAAUGGUACUUUGUUCUGAUGAUAUUCAGAUCUUAGGAAACAUGAAGAAGGGCCCACAGUCAUUGAUGUUGAUUAGUGUGGUGAUGAAUCUGCGGAAACUUGGUUAUGCACUUAAGGUGAUUUGUUUUGGCUGUUCUUGUAUAACUUCCCUGACAUUUCUAUGUAGAUUUUGGCAUUUCUUGCUGCUAUUACCAAAUGCUUUGUUAGGCUAUGCAACUGCAUGUAAAUGUCACACCAUCUCUUUAACAGGUUAAUGUAGUUUGGCUCGUGGAGGGAGCCUCAAUACAAGUUUAUGCGUCUCCCUGUUCAAAAUAAGCAUGGCAUAUAUGUUGAUGUGGAGGCUGCAUGUUCUACUUUGGUCUUCAACAAAAUGGUUUAUGCGCCUAACAACACCUUUUUGACAGAUAUAUGCAGUGGAUAAUGGUGUGACACGAUCAGUGUGGGAGGAAAUAGGAGGCCGGAUAUCAAUUUUAGGACCAGAGCAAUAUGACCAUAUUGAUUGGUCCAUGUACAAUUCUUUCUCUUAAUAUUGCAGCUUCACUUAAAUUUGUUUUCUAUUUAUGGUUUUUGUUUUGGAUAGUGAUUAUUACAGCUAGGAACUUUCUGUUUCUAUUUGUUUUUUCAGCAAGUUAAUUGGUAUUGCUAAUAUACAUGUAUUUUUCUACAGUUUUGAAGCUGUUAUUGUCGAUUCACUUGAAGCCAAAGGGGCAGUUUCAAGGUGCCUGCGUUUGCUUACUUAAUCCUUUAAGAAAUCACUGAAGUUUAUAAUUUUGCUCUAGUGUUUCAGUGAUUGUUCAUUGCCUGGGUGGAUUGUGCUGUGAAUGCAUGCAUGUGGAAUUAAACACAAACAUCUACUCUGUUGGACAUUUUGCAAACAAAAUAUGCCUUUGUCAUAGUGGAAUGCAUUUGCUACACACAUGACAUUAGACACAAUGUAACAUUUGUAUAAGUGUAUAACAGAUAUGGGAGGAAAUUAAAUUUGAAGUGACCAACAAGAUUGUUUGUAUCGUUUUAUCAUCUUCAUGAAAUUUUAUAAACAUGAGACGUUGCACUUAUCUGCAAUAUGCAGGAAUUUAGAUUAAGGUUUUAAUCUAGAUGUGGCUUUGUUCUUGGGUGUUGGAAACUUCAAUAUAUGUACCGGGAAUGGAUUAUAGUAUUUUAGACAUGAAGAGGAAGUUGAGUGUAUUAGGAGCUCUCUUGGUCAUUUUUGAAGUUAUUUGUAAGUAUAUGAUAAGAACUCUUUUGUGCAAACGUACUUGUGUUGUGAAUACAGAGGUGAUUCUGUGGAUAAUAAAAGUGAUAGUUAUAUGGAUAGAAUUACCUAAAGUGCAUGUUUAGAAUUCUCUGUAUCUGUAUUUGCAAGUGUGAAGAUCUGGAUAUCUGGUUGCCUUUGUUUGAGAUGCUAUGAUCAUUUACUUCUAUAUCUAUGCAGCCUCACACAGGAGCCAUUCCAGUCAAUACCGCUUGUAUGGAUAAUCCAAGAAGAUACCCUUGCGAAUCGUCUUCCAUUGUAUCAGGAAAUGGGCUGGCAGCAUUUGCUGUCUCAUUGGAGAAGUAUUUUUAACAGGGCUAAUGUUGUUGUAUUUCCAGACUUCACUUUGCCGGUAAAAAUGCCACCUCUGUAUGUAAUUGCAUCUCAUUUCUUGCCAGUCAUGUAUAGAAAAUCUUAUGCUAUUUUUUACAGCCCACUUCUAGCCAGCCUUGUAUAGAAAAUCUUAUGCUGUUUUUCAAUUUAUAUUCCUCUCUGUAUCAGAUGUUAUAUACUGUGCUUGACACUGGAAACUUCUUUGUGAUUCCUGGAUCACCAGUAGAUGUGUGGGCUGCUGAAAGCUACAGUAAGACCCACGCUAAGCAUCAGUUAAGGGUGGACCAUGGAUUCAGCAAAGAUGAUUUGGUGGUUCUAGUUGUUGGUAGUUCUUUCUUCUAUGAUGAGCUAUCAUGGGAUUAUGCUGUGGCAGUGCACACCCUAGGACCUCUACUAGCCAAAUAUGCAAGGACCAAAGAUGCUGAAGGAUCAUUUAAAUUAAUUUUCUUAGGCGGUAAUUCCACUGAUGAUAAUGCUUUACAGGUAGUCAACUUCUCAUUGGUUGUAGCUUAUUACUUCUGUUGUGAUGUUAUGUUUAUCUUCUUGUAUCCCUGCUACUUGAUAUAGUGUUUUCAUAUAUUAAGUGAAAACUUUUAUAAUGGUACACUUUUGACUAAGCUAGUCUUCUAAUGUCUAUUUGAUCACUUGACUGCAUAGGAAUGGGGUUGACUAGAAGAAUGACCAGGGAAAUAUAUACAUGAUCUGACCUUGAUAUUUCAUCAAGUUUUCUUUUUGUGUCUUAUUUUAAACAAUGCUAUCAAAGUAUUGUCAAUGUAUUUAUUUUAAUACUCCAUGCAACUAAAUUGAUUUUCUUGUUCAAUACUUCCUUUUUGGCCACUUAUAUUAUGUGUGGUCACUACCUCAGAAGAGCCUUUUCUUUCCUAAUAAUUGGAACAUACCAGUUGAUAGUUCUUGCUGUUUAGUAUCUUCUCAAAGGAGAGACUUUUGUUUCUUUUGGGAAGAAACAACAGUGAGAGAUGGGGUGAUGUUUGUUUUUAAAAUUUAAUAUCAUGCUCUGUUCAAUUUUAUGCCUUGCUUAAGCUAGAGUUUUUUUUUGUUCUUUUCAUGUAGGAAGUUGUUUCUGGUCUGGGACUUCAUCAUGGCUCUGUGUGGCAUUAUGGCCUGCAUGGUGAUGUCAACAGUGUGUUAUUAAUGGCAGAUGUUGUUCUUUAUGGUUCUUCCCAAAAUGAACAGGGUUUUCCUCCUUUACUUAUCCGAGCCAUGACCUUUGGAACCCCUGUCAUUGCACCCGAUAUUCCUAUCUUGAAAAAAUACGUGAGUGUAUUCAAGUUUUUGUGGACUUGAUUCCUUCUUUGGUAAAUUAUGUGUAGCACCUAUCUCCAUUUGUUUCUUCAUUUGAAGAGAUUGACAAAUAAAUUUCUUAAAAUAACAGGUUGAUGAUGGAGCCCAUGGGAUAUUGUUCUCAAAAUAUAGCCCUGAAGCAUUGACAAGGGCUCUCUCUCUUUUGAUAUCAAAUGGAAAACUUUCUAAAUUUGCUCAAACUCUUGCUUUCUCUGGAAGACUGCUUGCUAAGAACAUGCUUGCAUCAGAAUGUAUAAUUGGUUAUGCAAGGCUUUUGGAGAAUUUGAUUAGUUUUCCAUCAGAUACCUUGUUGCCUGGUCCUGUGUCUAACCUUCAACGGAGGGAAUGGGAAUGGAACUUGUUCAGCAAGGAACUAGAACAGGAAAUUGAUGAUUUGUUAAGCAUGGCUGAGGGCGAUUUUUCUUUCAGAGAAACCAGUGCUGUUUAUUCCCUUGAGAAAGAAUGGAGCAAUCAUGUUAAUUCAACUAGCAUCUCUGGGAAUGGAACUGAAAUUCUAGUACCAGAUAUCCCAACAGAAUCAGAUUGGGAUGUUUUGAGUGAAAUAGAAAGCUUUGAAGAAUAUGAGAGGGUGGAAACAGAGGAGGUAUGCUAUUCCUUUUGAGGGCCAUGCCUCACACAACAUCUACUUUUUCAUUGCUCCAGUUGUCUUAGUUAUUUUUCAGUCUUCAUGUUGUGAAAUUUUCUUCAAAAGACAGCUGAAAUGGAGAAUUAUUUCCUAUUUAGCUUCAAGAAAGAAUGGAUAAGAGUCAUGGUCCGUGGGAUGAGAUUUAUCAUGAUGCUCGAAAAUCUGAAAAGCUAAAGUUUGAAGCAAAUGAGAGGGAUGAAGGUGAGCUAGAAAGGACUGGCCAGCCAGUAUGCAUUUAUGAAAUAUAUGAUGGAGCUGGGGCCUGGCCAUUUUUGAAUCAUGGAUCUUUAUACCGUGGCUUAAGUCUUGUAAGUUUCUUCCAGCCAUAUCUGGAACUUAUAUUUUUUGGUAUUUAUAAAGAAAUUAUAUUUCUUUUUAGUACUUACAACAUUUCUUUCUUUCUUUCCUUUUUUUUUGGUUGCUUUCUAGGAUAUUUGCUUUCUUUUCUUGUUUUUUUUUUUUUUUAAAAAAAAUAAAUUGGCGUGCACACACACAUGCCAUUUUCUGGAGAUAAUAGUUAGGGCAUUUGAGCUUUCUGCAACUGGUUUUGUUGCUUCCUGAAAUGACAAAUGAUUAAAUAUUGGUAACAGAACUGUAUGUUGCAUCCGCAUUCGAGCCAUAAUUUCUCUUUUGUUUUUUGUCCUAUAACAUUCAAUUAAUGGUUCUUUACUAAGAUUUGAACUGUAUAUUGCUUUGUUUGGAGAUGCUGUGAUGUCCAAGUGUUUUAUUCCAAUAUAAAGAAACCUUAUAAUUGGUGUUUGAAUUUUUUAAGAUAUGCUCCUGUAUGAGCAGUCAUGCUUUAAGUAGUUUUGAUUUCUUAAUCAUGCUACAUUUAUCUCUUAGUCUACAAAAGCGCGGAGGUCAAGAUCUGAUGAUGUGGAUGCAGUUGCCCGGCUUCCCCUCCUGAACGACAGUUACUAUCAGAAUAUAUUAUGUGAUAUAGGAGGAAUGUUUUCUAUUGCAAACAGGGUGGAUGACAUUCACAAGAGACCUUGGAUUGGGUUUCAAUCAUGGCAUGCUGCUGGUAGUAAGGUAUCUUUUAUGCCAGUGAUAUUAUAGUUUAAACUUUCAAAAUUGCAGGAUUAGAUACAUCAAAUUUAAGGUCAUUAUUUUUCCAAGUUGCAAUCAGCUUCUUGGAAAAAUUGCAGAAUUUGAUAUUCGCACAAACCAGUUAGCAUAUUUCUGGUGAAACUGACAUUCUCUGUUUAAAAUAAUUUAUUUUCAGAAGUGCAAUUAUUGACUGUUCCCUUUCUUGAUUCAGGUUUCAUUAACAUUUAAAGCUGAACAAGUUCUAGAAGAAAAGGUGCAAGAAGAAAAUAAAGAUGUAAUGUACUACUGGGCUCGCCUAGAUAUGGAUGGUGGAGUUACAGGAAGCAACGAUGAACUCACUUUCUGGUCCAUGUGUGACAUCUUAAAUGGAGGACACUGCAGGUAUCUUUGCUUCAAGUAGGGGGUGUUCAUGGUCAGGUCAUUUUGCGCAAUGUUUAAAAAUGUCAGAUUGUCCAUCUAUCCUGUGGUAUCUGUGGGUCCCUUAUUACACAUACCAUACAAAUUUUGCUAUUCUUUUCAUUCUUCUGUCUUUAGCUGAACAAAUCUGUUAUUUUUUAGCCAAAUAAAUGGGAAAACUGUUUUUGGAUGCCACUGGCAUUUGCUCUUAUACUACUGCUGAAUCACUUGUGGAAAAGGCAGGUUUGACCAUCUUCAGUUUAGCUUUAAACAGGGCCAAAAAGAAGAUGGGUAAAGGCUAAUCGUACAUGCCCCAUUGUAAUUGCACUCUGUAGAUUGUUAUUACACAGAUGUGAGCAUUUGCCUUUUCAAAGCCAGAAUUUUAACUUCUGGCUUUUGAAUGCAUGCAGAAUUGCUUUUGAAGAUGCCUUCCGCCAUAUGUAUGGCUUGCCAUCAAAUCUUGAAGUUCUUCCUCCGAUGCCAGAAGAUGGAGGUCACUGGUCUGCCCUGCAUAGCUGGGUCAUGCCAACCCCUUCCUUUCUGGAGUUCAUUAUGUUUUCACGGUAAUUUACGAAGGAUGCUAUUUUUCGCCCAAGCCAGUUUCCAGUUACAUAGAUGAAAUGUUAUGUCCGAGGCAUUAUUGGUAGUUGCAAGUCCAUCAAUAGUUAAUGUUUUGUAAAAUCAAAUUGCAGAAUGUUUGUUGAUUCUCUUGAUGCUCUGCAAUCCAACUCUAGCCAAAUGACCAAGUGUCUGUUGAGUUCCUCGGAGCUACAGGUAAGAUACAUAGAUACUAGACUGCCUGCUUCAUAUGUUUAGGAGAGAUUAUAGUACUACCAUUAAUGAAUAUAUUUAUCUAAUGGUAUGCAGGAAAAGCAUUGUUAUUGUCGAAUAUUGGAAGUCCUUGUUAAUGUUUGGGCUUAUCAUAGUGCACGAAGGAUGGUUUACAUAGAUCCACACACUGGUUCUGUAGAAGAACAGCACCCUGUUGAGCAAAGAAAGGGAAUAAUGUGGGAAAAGUACUUUAAGCUUAUGGUGUUGAAGAGCAUGGACGAAGAUCUUGCUGAGGCUGCAGAUGAUGGAGAUCAUCCAAGGGAGAGGUGGCUGUGGCCACUAACAGGAGAAGUGCAUUGGCAAGGGAUUUAUGAAAGGGAGAGGGAAGAAAAAUAUAGAGUAAAAAUGGACAAGAAGCGGAAAACAAAAGAGAAACUAUUUGAAAGAUUGAAGUCUGGAUACAAACAGAAACCACUUAGGAAAUAUAGGAAGUUGAGAUUCUGAAACUCUCAAGGGCUAAUUCUGACUAUGCUUGACUCCCAAGUCCUAAUAUGGCUGCUGAAUAUAUUCUUCUCAACUUCAGAGAUGGACAGGGAUCUUGCGGAGAAGAUGAGAAGCUUCAUUUUUUUGUCUUUUUGUAACAGCUUCAGCACAGAUUUUGCUCGUCUUUUCAUUUUCACCAAACACACACUCAUGGGGCAAAGGGGACAAGAAAACUGGCUUCCCUUUGACUUCAGCUCACAACUCGGGGCAUGUUUGCACGAAACUCCGACUGGCCCCGACUAUACCAGGAUUUUGAGCAGUACCACGCAUGAGUUGAAAUUCUUUUUAACCAUUCAAAUUACUUGUAGUCGAGGGACUGAACCACAUAAUUCGUUUAUCAUUGCAUAUUCUUUUGGUAAUGUAGAUGCAAUUUUGUUACAAAGAAAGACUGACUUGUUUUGUUUCCUGUUCUGACUUUCAUUUUCGCUUCUUCGGAGGAACUGCAGAUGACCAAAUCGUUGCUUGUACUGAAACUAACCUUCGCUUUGCUAGAGAGGAACUGCGUCUAAGUUUUGGAGUCGUUCUUGCCAUAUGAAGCGUUUGUUCGCAGCUUGGUUGAAUAAGAAAACGAAGUAUGCCCCAUAAAUAGAUUGGAUAAUUUGUCCUCUAAUACACUCAUCUUAUAUUUCCUAUUGACUUGAGAUUCCAUUCGCAUAUGUGACUUUUGCAACUUUUAACCUUUACUCAUAAAUUUUUUUUUAAAUAUGUUGAAUCAACUUUUACUUAAAUUAAAAAAAAAUUACUAUAUAUUUUAAUCAAAAUCUUACUUCAAUCAGAAGUUCAAUUUUUUUAUUUUUUAAUCUUAGUGCAUCUUUCUUCUCUUAAAAAAAUUACAUAAAAUCUAUUUUUAUCAAACAAACUUUUAAUUUAACUUAUUUUCAUCAUAAUUUAUUUAUAAAAACAACUCUUAAAUUAUGAUUGAAAACAAAAGAUUACUUUCUAAAAAUCAUACCAGAACAUAUAUUCAAAAACUCCGGUUUAUGGACCAUUUGCCACCUUAAACCUCCUUUCUCUGCUUUUUUUUUUUUGAAUUUGAACCUACAAUCCAUGUUAAAGCAGAAGUCUCUUAGCAAAAUCCGACGGUACUAAUUGAGCCAAUCGGGCCGGCUGCUCCCAUGAACUCUCAUGGCCCUUCUGUAAAUCUAAAAAAAAAAAUUGCGAAGGCGGACCCGACCCAGUUCAGUAAAUUAUUUCAUCAUCACCCUAAAAAACGAGAAAAUUACAAAUACCUCCCGCCCUCACCUGGGACCAAUGGUCGGACCUGUUAAUGGUAUUUUUUAGGGUUUAAAUGACUCCAAAACCCAAACCCAACCCUCUCUCUCCGUUUCUCUGUCUGUCUCUCCCGCUCUCGGAUAUAGUAGGUAACCUCACUCUGUCUUUCCCUCUCAAACACUCCAUAUCUUUCUUCUAUACUUCAAUUCUGUCAAUCAUUUCUUUAUUUUUAUUCUCCCUUCUAGUGUAAAUGUACUAGCUUUAGCUGAAAUGCAACCACGUACUUGUUUGAUUUUUGUUUGAUUUUUGUUUGUGGGUCAUUUUGAGUUACACAUGAUUGAUAUUUUUUUUAAAUGGGGUUUGUUUGGUAGUGAGAAAUAUGGUUAGAUGUUGGAGAAUUACCUUUUUCCUGUUUGGUUUCUGAGAAAACCAAGGAAAUUGAGCAAAACUAGAGUGCAAAAUUGUUGAAUUUUUAGUAUGUGGGCAUUGAAAGUAACUGGAACUGAUGAUGCGUUCUCAAGUUCCUAGUUUGAUGUUCUAACACGACACCGGCUUGCAACUUUGUAUAUGAUAGGAUGGGGUCAUGGCUGUCUGAUUAUUUGAUACGUUUUGUCUAUGAAAAUUUAUGUCUUUACUGUGAAAUUAUUUGUCUUUUUGAUACUCUGAAUUUGGCUGUGUAUCAUGUAGGUUUUGUAUGCUAAAGGGUGGUGGGUUUUUUCCCAUCAUGCAUGCUGUAAAGGGUGUCUGGGUUGGCCAAACAUUUGCUUUAGCCAAGUGCAAUGAUUCUGGAGGGAAGAAGUCUCGGAUUCGGAGGUCGAAGGAGGAGAGGAAGGGAAUGGUGGAGUCCUUUAUAAAGACGUAAUAUGAUGGUUCCCCUUCAAUGAAGCGUAACUGUUUUAUUCUUUUGGUCUGAAGAUGAUUACUAAAAUUAUUGGAAUCAUUAGUUUGCCCUAUCUGUUCCCGAUGAAUGCUAUGAAAUUGCUUCUCUUGGAUGUCGUUCGCUAAAACUGAAAGACCGAGUGCUUGCUGAGAUGCACAUGCACUCACAUGCUCAUGGACACACACGUAUGCACUGAAUAAGUAACUUCCAAGAGCAGCAGUCUAUGACAUGGUAGAUGGGCUAUUUCUUGUUUUUCCUGGAAGUUUGAUUUAUUGUUGGUAAUAGGUUCAUAUAGUAUUUUCCAAACCAAACGAUAGCGAUUAGCUUCUUGAUAACACAAUGAUGACCCGGUCUAAAUAGAAAAUUGUUGUUUAUAUUAACCUUUUAAUAGUUAUCUUUCUUUUUUUAAUUCUCAUUGCAAAGUUCUUGGAGAAGUAGAUUUGGGCAUCCAUUCAUUUGGAAGACCUGCUUUCAGGUACCAGAAUUUAAACAAUGGGAAUUUUCCAUCUCUUAAUCUCACACACAAGGAAGUUGGUGGGUCGUUUUAUACUGUACGGGAGAUUGUUCGGGAGAUAAUCCAAGAAAAUAGAGUGCUGGGUCCUGGUAACUUGUCACCGGAAGAGCAGCAUAAUGAUCAAUUUGUGGAGCAGUACCCAUUGGGUACAAUUUCCACAGAACCUCAAGCUUCUCUAUCCACAUCUCCAAAUGGAAGUCCUGUACCAGAUCAGCAUGAUGAGGGCUCAAGUGAAGAGCAUUUAAUUUCUGAGCUUCAGGUUGAACCUGAACAGCAGGGAUUCGAUAAUGGGAGCCAUGUAAUUGUUAAGAAUGAAGAAGCCGAUAAACCAGAAGUUGUAGAGGUUCAAGAAACUGAACCUCUGGAAAUAGAGAAAAGAAUGGAAGAAGUGGCAGCAUCUGAUUCUAAAGUAACUCAAAUGGCAGAUGUAAUGGUAGAGACAUUUCCAUUGCCGCCUGUUACCAAGCCAGCUGGAAACUUGAAUGGAAAUUGCAGUAAUUUAAGGGAGAUAAAUGGGACUUGUGAAGAGAAAAAUGUUGAAAAGGUGCUCUUGGAACCAGAACAUGACCCAGGAAAUGGCAUUUCUUUGCCUGACAGAAUAACUUCCUUGAAUGAUAGCAGUUUGGCAGAUGAUAAAGAAGUGGAAAAGUCAGCAGUUCAAUUGUUGGAACAAAGCUCUGAUUUGGUGCGUGAACAAGAAGUGGAAAACUUUGCAGAUCUGGCAAUGGCAAGUUCGCAUGCAUCUGUCACCAAAGGAAGCAUUUUGCAGGAUGCUGAGGCUGACAUGGAUGUGAAGUUGAAGUCACCACAUGAUGACAAGACAAUUGCUGAGACUAAGGUGAGUUUUUUUCAAUACCACGUAUAAUUAUGUGGCCACUUUCUGCUGGAGGUGUGCACAGCAGAAAACAUAAACCACUAGCCCGCCUUCUUUUAUUUUAUUUCCCUUCCCUUUCCUUUCCUUUCCUUUCUGGGUUUUCUUUUUCAAGAUUCUUUCAACUUGCAUGGUGUGGUCGGCUGCUAAAAGGCAUUUAUGAUCUAGCAAGCUGCAACUGCUUUGCUAUUAUUUCUUCCCUUCCAGUGUAUUAAUUUAAUUCAUGUUCUUGGUUUAAUGCAAGGUGGAGCAAGAUAUAUAUAUUCAUGUAAAAGCUAAUUCCCUUAAUAUGCAAGAUGAUAUUUUUACUUGGAGGAAUGCACUGUACACAUAGGGUAGCAACUAUAAGCAUAAUAAUUUGCCAAUCGAAAAUGUGGGGGAGAAGUUGAGCAUGAAGCUAUUAAUGGCUCUCUUUUUUUCAGGUUGCUAGUGCUCAAAAUGCCAUGCAAACCAAAUCUUUGGAUAGCAAUGACGUCACUGUUAGUAUCUGUCCGUCAAUAGCCAAAGAAAUUGAGAUAAAAGAUAAAGUUGCAGUUCUACAUGGUCGUGCCUCUCAGAAAGGAAGCAGUCCAACACUAAACAGAAUUAAUCUGUAAGUAUAAGUCAUGACCAUACCUUUAAACUCAUUGCUUUGAUUUGCCAUCCGCUCUACGUCCUUCACUGGAGUAUUUCUAGAUGUUGGUGUAUUGAUUUAUCUUUUGCUUUGUUUCCAUGAGCAGUGAAUCGUGGGGAGCGGCAUCCAAGAAUCAAACAGAACCAGAAACUAACCCGCUUUGGGCCAUUUUUAAAUCGUUCUUGGCUGCCUUUGUGAAAUUUUGGUCAGAAUAAAUCCUUUAGUAGCGUAGCUAUAUUCUGUCUACAGUUUCUGCAGGGUAGAUUUAUACUUUACCUGUCACGCCAGUGCAUCUAGUUUUCCUGUCUAUAUCAAGAGUGAUUGUCACUGCUUGUUUUCUUCCCCUUCAUAUUUUUUUUUCCCUUCACCCACUUCACUAGACCAUUAUGAUCAUAAAAGCUUAGUGCAAUGGCUGGCAUCCCACUUAUGGGUUACUUGAAGAGAUGUGGUGGUUGAAAUUUCGUUGGUAAAAUAGUGGCAACACCCAUUAACCUCUGAGAGAAACCGUGUCAUCUUUAUGCUAGGUUGAUAUUUAUAGUUUUUAGCUGGAGUGAUACAAGAUUCGUGUUAGUAUCUCGAGACAGAAAAGAAGAGAUAAGGAUAAAGGGGAUAUGAUCGGUAGAGAGGACAUGCUUUUUUGUAUUUUUUGUUUUGAGAAUAUAAAAACUCACUUCAAAUUGUUUCAUUAACCAAACAUAAACAUAUUUCUGCUUUCUAUAUAUUUCUCACAAUUUUAGAAAUGAACGAUAUCUUACUAUUGAAUUAUAAAUUGUGCUUGAAACCUUGAUAAAACAGUUGUCUUUGCAACUUCAGUGGGCCUUCACAGCGUUGUUUUGAAGGCCUGGGCCUGUGCAUAAAUCUCCAAGGGCCGCCCAUAAGAUCAUAUCGUACAAAUCGAUUGUUAUCUCGAAUUUUUACAUGGAAGCAAUAAGCAUAAAAUAAUAAUAAUAAAUAAAUAUUGUUAUUAUAAAAUACUUUACAUGUCAAAUAUUUUUCAAUGUUUGACUUGAAAAAUAUUUUUAUAUGCAAAUAAUUUUCAAUGGUAAAGGUAAUGAAAUGAUAGAGAUGAUAAUAAAAAAGAAGAUGAUGGUAAGAAAAUGAUCGUGAGAAAAAAGGGGUCAUAUGAUGACAGUGGUAGAAGAGUUGGUAGUAACACAUGGCAGUAAUGGCGAGAUAAUUAUGGUCAUGGUGAAAAAAGAGAUGGUGAUAGCUAAAAUAAUUAGAUAAUAUUGUAAUUAGAUUAAUAUUUGUAAAAUAUUUUUAUAAAAUUUUAUGAGUUAAAAACAUUCCUUAACAGAUAAACUGACUAAUUGAAAGUUGACUAUAAAAUAUUUUUUAUUAAUUAAUUUUGAUGUAAAAUAUUGUUAUUAUUUCAAACAAUUGUAGGGCAUAUUUUAUUUUAUUUUGCAAAUCUCAUCUAGUCACAAUUUUUUCAGAUUCUCUAGUCUCUAACGCCUAAUCAGGGUUCGCAAAACUGGAUUAAAGGAUUAAGACUAAAGCAAUUUAAACUAAGAAGAUUAUUAAAAUAAAAAAUUGAAAAUAAAGAAAUUAUGUUGAAUUGAUCUCAAAAAAGCAAAAUCAAUUUUUCAUCUCCCCGCCACGGCUCCACCCUUAGCACUGCCGCAAGACCACCCUACCUUUCAUAAAACCAUCGUGGCCAUAAUCCAAUUGUAGUCCAACCACCAUGUAUUUAAAAUCCACGAUCCCUAUCACGAAAUAUAGCCAAAUCCAGCACACAGAAUAUAUCAACUUGCCACCUUCGUAACAGCACCAGUCACCACCACAACGCUCUUCCUCUCUUCAGAAUUAUCCAUCUCUACCGCACCUUCAACCAUCACAAGACUCUCUCCUUUCAAAGCCUUCUUUCUCUGCUUAACCUCUCUAGCUAGUCACCAAGUUAUCUUAAAUAAAAUUUGGUGAAAUCUAUCUUCUUAAUUAGGUCAGGUCGUGUAGUGCUGUACGUAAUAAUUAAUUAAAAGAUCCACAUUGCUUUGAGUUUUAGACCCAUCACAAGACGUGGAGCAUGAACGUGUAAUUAAUUCUAAACAAAAUGCAUCCACUUUUAGGGCAGCAUAGAUAAAAAUCAAAAGGAGAGGGGAGAAACACAAAUAAAAAGUGGGAUAUUUCUGUAUCAUAUAUUACAUAUAUAUAUAGCAGCAAGAAUCAUCCACUUCUUGGUUUCUUUGGAAAAGAUAAAAAUAUAUAAAAAUAGUAAAGAUAGAUAAUAUGUUUUACUAUACUUUAUUUUUAUUAAAAUAAAAAUACUUGUUUCAAAACUUUCCCAAGACAAAUUUAUUUUAUAUUAUAUCUAUGUUCCUCUUUAAUUCCUAGUACACGUACAACUAGGUCCCGUCUCGUCUUCCAUAUGAGAACAAAAGUAGGAAACUAUAUAAUAUACACGAACACGCUGUGUAUUCUGAAGGCUCAAUAAUUUCUUGAGAUUCAUGGGGCCUUGCUCGUUUAUUUAGGCAGAAGAAUCCAUCACCAUGCACCAAAUCCCAUCAUAGGAUUGUUAAGCAAGUCUAUUUGGUUUAACACAUGAGUUGUUUAUAUGUUUAGAAGAGUAUAUAUAUAAACAGUUUAUAUACAUAUAAACUAAAAUAAUUUCUUUUCUGAAUAAUCGAUCAUAAGAAUACACCACUAAAUCAGCAUAAUUUAUAUAUUUAGAAGAAUAAGUUUUUAAAAACAUCAAUUUCAUUAUUCAAACUUAAAAAAUCAAGUGAGAAAAAAGAAAAGAAAAACCUCCAUUACCACCUACCUAAAUACAUGCAUAAGCACACAGUUGAUCGAUCGGGAGACACUAGAUUUUAUGAUGUUUCAAUACCUCGUGCGUACUGCAUCACAAAAUUGAAUACCCAGAACCAACCUUAAUUAAGUCCGUAAUACAUGUCCACCAACUUAUGUGUAAUGUGUCUAUAUAUACAUAAAUAUAUCGUCUCCACCCAUAUGUGUUUUGUUUUAUAAGCAAAGGUCAUAAAGUCUAUGAAAGGUACAAACCACAGCCCAUAAGAACACGGGCAAACAAUCACAUUAUAUAUACCUCAAAAAGACCAAGAAAAAGAAAACAUAAACCUCGGCUCUAGUGAUCGAGAACUAAUAAAGAUCUAUCUCAUGUCCAAUUCUAUUUCUUAUUAAUUAUCAACAAUUCACUUCUUUAAAUUAUUAACUUUAUAUCCCUCGUAAAUUAAUAAAAUUAAAAUAUCAGCCCCCGAGCUUAAAAAAAACCAGAAAACUGAAAAUUUACGGAAAAGUGGAUUUUACUGUCUGGUAGGUGUACAGACGCUGUAGAGAUUUCAUGUCCAUUCACUGUCAAGCUAAAUGCGUCUAGUCCUUUCCCACCUAUAAACGAGUAAAUGCUUCGUGAAUCAAACAAAUGCUUUUACUUUCGAUUUCCUGACAAAACUUUCAAAAUUAGUUUGUUCUUCCUUAAUUACGUAAGUGCAUUUCCUGUCAACUGAUUUCAAUCUACUCUCUGGACUGUCCCUUCUAAACUUAUCGUGUCUAAGAAAACACAUUUUGUCUUGAAGUCGGCAUCACUGUUUUUAAUCCGGCCUGGUUGGCAAGUCGAUACUAGACCCGAUUGAUUUAAUCCUAACCAAGCUGAGUGUAAUAAAAAACUAACUUAAAGUUGAUUCAGUGAGGGGUUAACAUGAUCAUAAUCUUAAUGACAUUUCAAACACAAAAAAAAAUAUCAAAAUAAUACUGUUUCAAUUAACUUACUUUAUUUAUAACUCAAGUCCUAUGUCAUGUUAAUUCUCGGGCUAGAUUUAAUACAUUACAUGUAUUAUAAAGUUUACAACAUCACCAUGCAAUUUUCUUUUUAAUUAAUCAUGGUGUUCUUGGAUAAGCAAUUUUUCCACAUUGAUAUACUAUAUUUCUCUUUUCGGUCGAGUCUUGGACACACUUUACACUAGGACAAAUAUAUUUAUAUAAAAAAAUAUUUUUCAUAAUUUUAUUUAAAUUUAAAAAUAUAUUUGUUUGUCUUUUUUUUUUUAAAAUAGAUCUAAAAAAAUAACUAGUUAUUAGAUGUAACUAGUUAAGCACUAUAAAAUAUUUCAUUAAUUAGCAAACGUUUUCACCCAACUACCAAGUUUAUUGUUUUUUGAUAAAUAUGUCCCCACACAGUAAGGGUGGGGGGAAAUAAUUGUUGUCGAGAAAUUUGAUUUAGAGUUACAUCUCUUUAAAGCCACCGUUGGAACAUCGCUGUGUUCACUAAAGACUUUCUGGAGGUUAGGAGAUAUCCAUCCGUGAAUGGUUGGUGUUUUUCAAUCAUCUUCAAGGUCUUGUUAUUAAAUAUUAGCCUCUAUCAAUAUAUAUCUUUUGUUUUUAGUUAAUUAAUUCUUACAUCUUGGCAACAACUUGGUCGACGGAGGAGGUGGCGGAUCUUUCUUCACUGCAAUUGAUUUGAUCUUCGAAAUUCAUUGUAAAGGGCUUCCAUUCUGAUCACACUUAUCUUUUUUAAAAAUAAAAAAAAAUUGGUUGGAAUUCGUUGAACUAUUAAAAAUAUGUGUGUAACAUGACGUGCAGUCAUUUAAAAGUACUCUCGAGCACGUAUUUCUACAAUAACAUAAAAAAAUGACAGUAUCUUGAUGAUUUUAAAUCAAAUUAACAGCCACGAUGAGAUGUCGUGGGUAAUUUGCUUAAAAUAUGAUUAAAAGGGAUUUAUUCUCAAAGUGUAUUAUCUUAACUUUACUUCUGUGUGUCUAUUUCACGCGUUAGAAUUUGUAUUUCGUCUAAUAAGAGAAUAUUCAAGUUAAUUUCUAUAUAUAACGAAUAAUUAAUUUUUAAUUUUACAUGUUGGUUUUUUUUAUGUGAAAUUAUAUAUAUAUAUAUAUAUAUAUAUAUAUAUAUAUAUAUAUUAGUUUUUAAUUUAUUUAUUCUAUAUGAUCAGAUUGAUGGUUAUAUAUAUAUAUAAAGGAUUUUAUGUAUAAUUUGGAUAGCCCUCUCGAUAAAAAAGAAAAUGAAAACAGAAUUCAAGUCCUGUGUGUAGCGAAUUACUGAUUAAACUAAUAUAUAUAGGGGCCACAUAUUUAUUUGUCCCCAGACAAAUUAAAAAGUGCUAAAAUAUUUUGGUUAAAGGUACUAUUGCAUGAUAUCCCUCUUCCGUGAAUAUUCUUUUCUUCUCUUCUCCUUCUUUUCUUUAUUAAUUUUGAUAGAAAAUCCAAUCAACAAUUAAAGGUUCUUAAUUAGGGCCACGUGAACCAAAGCAAGAUUGCAAUCGGACAGCUGCAGCAUGGCCCGUUUCGAGCGAGCAGGCAAUCAACAACUCGAUCCGUAUUUGAUCAUUACUGUUUUUUUAACCGAUCGAUCCCUCUAUUUUUCCUUCUUCUAAUUAUACUGGCAUCAUAUGUUAAUCAGUCUCGGCUUAGCAGUGAUGGUAAUUAAUGGGUUUGUUUUAAAAAUAUAUAUUAUGAUCGUGCUUUUUCUAAAUAUGAAUAAUGUAUAAUUUGAAAUCCGAUCAAAAAAUAAUUUAGUUUCGAGAUGCCAGUGUUAUUUCAUAAUAUAUAUAUAUAUAUAUAUAUAUAUAUAUAUAUAUAUAUAUUUUUUUUUUUUUUUUUUUUUUUUUGAGUGUUAUUUCAUAAUAUAUAUAUAUAUAUAUAUAUAUAUAUAUAUAUAUAUAUAUAUAUCUCCGUCUCUGUUUUUUUAUAUAUAUAGAGAUAUAAUUAAAUCAGUACUGUCUUUAAAAAAGUGGAAAUUAAAGAGUAAUAUAUACUGUAGUAAAAAACAAAUCGCCUAUAGUACCCUUUAAGGCAGUCGAGAACACUAAUUAAUUAACCGGUUAAUUCCUCCCUCUUUGACUCCUCUCUUUACUGACUCCUCUGUUUCCUCUAUAACCAGUUAAGCAAACCCACAUUAGGACAAGGCUUAUUAAGAACUCUUCUUCAAAAGGGGCGGUUACGAAAUUAUGAAAAAGAAAAGGAAAACGGAAAGAAAGAAAAGCUUAAAUUUCUUAAGCAACACUUGACACAAGGAAUAAAGUAGCUGUUAAUUAUUAACUGAUCGGUAAGAUUUGGAGUGUUGUUGUCUUGAGAACUUGCAAAAAAGGAGCCUCCAGCAUCGAUCGUCGACCUUGCCUGUAGAGAUAUGUGCACUCAAUUAUGGUAAAAUGAUUGCACGUUUACCGAUAAUCAUCUUGUUAAGCAGCUCGAAUCCCAUUAAUUAGCAUAAAUUCACUGUAAGACAGCGUUGCAAUAGGGGGGGGUCAACAAGCGAGGAUUCAAUAAAAAAAACCACAAUACUUGGAGAUCAUUUUCUGGGUACUUUUUAUAUUUUCUCAAAGUAAGAUAAUAAUGCAGGGACGGCGCCAUGUGAGAUCAAUAUCUUUCAGGGUAAUUAAUUGGGGUGGUCAUGCAUGAGAACCCAGUCUGAAGAAAAGAUCAGAAUUCUAGCAAGAUAUUACAUAAAUUAACAGAUAAUAUAUAUUAAUCAGGUCAAACUCAAGUAACAUGUUUCCUUCGAAAGGACUUGUGGACACAACCUUUUUGAAGACUUGGGGGUUAGCUAGCUAGGCAGCGGUGAAAACCAAGAGCGAGCGAGGGAGACACUUCACGUGGAAAGAUUCAUUGUAUAAUGGGGUUUGGUAUUUGUUAAACCCAAUCCAAUCUUCCCCAUUUUUUAUACCAGAUAAGAUCUAGGUGGAUGGUUGUAUAUAUUCAAGACUCUAACAUGGAAUCCUAUGCUUCCAAUAUUGCAAUGCAAGAGAGGACCGAGAGGAAUAGAAAUACAGGGAGAGCUCGGCAGGCCAUGUUCUUGAUUACGCACGCACCUUUACUGAAAGUGAAAGACAUAGGAACAUUCUGCUGUGACUGGUUUGUCAUGGAAAUUAUUAAGAAAUACUAAACAUGAUCAAGCCAUUGAUGACAUCUAUCUACGUACCUUACAUGUACUAAUUAAUAGAUGCUAAUUAAUGUUCUUAUAAUUAGAUAUAUAAUCCAAUAUUGUAUUUUUUUUUUCUUUUUGUUAUUUCUAUUUUUUUCUUCUCGAGUGGUAUAUAUGUAUUACCAUCAUCUUUCAUACAUUAAAACUAAUUAAAUUAAUAUUGAUAUUAUAAUUAAAUUAAUGGGAUCUAAAGUUAAUUGACAAAGAUAAAAGUUCCCAUGUAUAAGUCUCAUAAUCUCAAUAUAAAUAGGUCCAUUUUAAAAAUAGAUUAAAAAAAUAAUUUUGAUGUAUGAAAACUCAAUAAGAUAAGACCAAAUUAAAAAAUAUAUAUAUACACAUCUAUGAUUAUGUUCAUAUUUCAGCGACUGUGUUCACGUCCUCUUAAGCGCGCGUGGAGUGGUUCGAGAGCAGCGUAGUUAACAACCUUUUGCUUCCAACGUAAAUGUCACGUUCCACAUGUCAUUCAAGAAAAGUAGAAGAAGGCAAUGCAUAUCGUCAAAAAGGGAAGUUAUUCUCUGUUUCUAAUCUUAACAAUCCAGCCCGCCAGAAGUGACACGUGUCCCGCUAAGAAAUCUUAGAUUUUUAUUACAGCAAUCCACAUCCGUGCUUAGCUAAACCAAUCAAAAUUGUAGCAACAUCCCAUGUAUUUUGGUUCCCAUUAAUUUGUCUUCAUUAAUUCAAUCAUUGGCUGUUAUUUUUAAAAAAAGUAAAAUAAAAAUUAACUACCUGAUGGAAGAAACUAUCAAAUUAAAUAUCUAUAAUUAAUAAAACAAAUUAAGUAAAGUAAAAAAGGUCAAUUCCUGGCUUAAUUAUGAAAAAGAAGAAAUAUAUAUGAUGAGAAAUUCAUUGGUGUACUGAAUAAUGGAUAUGUCAAAAUGGAAAUCAUUAACUUGAUAAUGCAAACCAGAGAAAAUUUUUAAUUAUCGCACUCAACCAUAUCUAAUUACUUUUUCAUGAUAAAUUAAAAAAAAUCACCUUUUAUUUUUAUGGAUUUAUCUAAUAUCUAGCAUUCUAGCUCACAAGAAGCUCAAGCAAUUCAGCUGAGUUCUUCACUGUUAAUUUUUUUUUUGUCGUUUUCCUUUAAUAUUUUUUUCUAAGGUAAACAAUCAAUCCUGUGUGGAUAAUAUUCAUCGAAAAUUAAGAAGAGAAAAACUUCGAAUUGAUAUAUAGCUCACUGGGAUGUAUAAAAUCGGUAAAUUUUAUUUAUUAAUAUUAAUUGAUAAUGAAUCGGUAAAUUUUAUUUAAAAAUGUUUUUUUUAAGAGAAGCAUAUAUUCUCGAAUCUGCAAUAUUCCAGAUCAGUAGAAUGUCCUCCAUGCCAAAGACUGAUAUGGAAUAGUUAUGAAAAGCUGGCCUAAUUAAUUUUUUUUUUUUUUUUACGGAAAAUAUAUCAUCGAUCAUCCAUGACAGGGCUACUAAGAUAGCUAUGGAAAGCUCUUGAUUUAUAUAUUUUUUUUGUCAAGUAUGAUAAGCACAGAUUAAUUAAAAAUGAUAUGGUAAACACUAAAUUGUAAUUAAAGUCUUGAUUAUUAUUAUUAUUAUUAUUAUUGUUCUAAGAGAGAUGAACUCUAUGAUCUGUAUACAUGUAGCUGGUUUAGAUCAAGAAAAAACAACUCAUCAACAGCAUCGAUGCUUGUAGAUGGAAAGGUAGUCGAUCUGUAGAAAGAUUCUGUGACCAGUCAGAUACAUCAGCUUAAGCUCUUGCUAGCUAUAUAUCUCAGUUUUAACGUCCAUGUCAUUUUCCCUGCAAGAUAUAUAUAGAAUACAAAAGAAUAGAACUAUUGAAAAGAAUCCAACGACCCUGCCUCUCUCUCUCUCUCUCUCUCCUCUCUCUCUCUCCCCCUCCCUCCCUCUCUCUCUCCCUCUCUCCCUCCCUCUCCCACACACACCCUUUUUUUUUUUUACCUUCCUAGACACGUCUUCGUGUUCUUUAUCUGCCUACAUAAAUAGAUUACAAAACCUUGACAAACCACACAUUUCUCUCUUAUUUUUUCUACCCCUUAACCUCCUCCUGUAAACAAGGAGAAAAACAUGUCUACCGAUCUUGAAUCACGCCAGGAUUUGCCAAGAAUUCAAGUUCGUGCCGUCAAGACUGAAACCCUACAAUCCUGCAGUGCUACGGAUGACAAAGAAACCAUAAUUAAGCAAGAAAACAGCGAAACUGACGACUGUCAAACGCCGAAAUCUGAAGAGCACAAGAUUCCUGCCGUUUUAAGCUGUCCACCGGCCCCGAGAAAACCAAGAAGGUCCUUUUCAUGCAAGAGAAAACUGACGGAACUCGAGUUCUUUGAGAUUGUGAACCGCGAAGAAGUAGAUUCGUUUUUUCAAUCAAGUUUUGAGCUUCUUCCGAAGAGAAGGUGCCCUUGCAUAUGAAAUGGUGAUCUGGUAUAUAUGUACUGGAAGGGUAUUUAUAAAAAAAAAUCUCCUUUUUAUUCUUUUGGUCUUUAUUCCAUUUUUUCCUUUUCUAAGUUCUUGUAUGUAUGUAUAAUUACACGCUUAAAUGCCACAGUAUGUGGGCUAAAAUCCAUGCUGUUAUAGGUCUGUAAUUCCACAAGACAUGGGAUCUGGAUCGUGGUUUUAAUUAUUAAUUGGUGCAUGAAUUAAUUAUUCAAAUUUAUUCAAGAUUUGUACACUAAUCAUCAAUUUGGAUCAAUCUUAUUAAUUCAUUUCGACUUUAAAUCUUGAUGAUUUUAUCAGUGUUUGUUAAUUAGGUCUGGUGCACUAUGAAUUUUAGCUGUUUAAGCGUUCUUGUACCAGUUAAAUCGUUAGCAAAUUUGAUGUGUUGAAAAGGGAUAUGGAUCAAGAUUUUGUUUCAUAUUUUUCUUUCGUUUAAACAAGAUUAGUGUGAGUUUUCAUGGGUUUGAUCACCCAUUAAUUUAUUAUUUGUUCUUAGGUGGUUAAGAUGGUUGAUUUGUUUCUGGUUUGGCAUGAAAACUUUCGAGUGAUUGACACGACUUCGGGAUUGAUAAACAUGAUUUCUUUAAGUGGAAGGGGGAGAGAGAGGAGGGAGAGUUGUGGUUAUCAAUGAACACGAAGAUAGAUAAUGUGAUCGAUAUGCUAUUGCUAUUAAUAUUGAAUGCGAUGUUUUUUGUCCUUUUUAUACGAAUUUCUUAAAUCAC